GACACUGUAGGACUCAUCCAGGCCAUGGCAAAAGCGUUGAAGCGGAAUUUGCAGUGGCGCAGCUGGCUAUGGUCAGCGAAAUACCUGACAUGCUCAAGAUGGAAGCAGAAGUUUGUGUGUUCCGCUCACUUGUAUCUGGUAAUGAUGGUGAUGGCAAAUGGGAUGUGAGGAAGAUACCAAUUGACCAUAAGGAGGAUGAGCAUAAGGAGUUAUACUAUUGGUCAACUGAUGCUGUCAUCACAUUCAACUCUUACAUUUGUUGGAUCAACUAUUACAGAGGCGGUAUGCUAGCUUAUGAUGUACUUGAAGAAAAGCCCAAGAUCUUAUACCUCAGAUUGCCUAUUGUUGACCGUCCUAGAAGUUCAGCUCAAGGCAAAGCAUUCUAUGAGGUGAAUCGUAGUGUGUGCGCCACGAUAGAGCUGAGCAAAAAGGGCUCUGUUCUCAAAUUCACUGAUGUUAUCCGCUCUGAUGGGGAGCCGUUUGGGCCACUUGUGAAAGGUUCUAGUUUCACCAUUCACUCCUAUACUUUGUCCUCCUUAGAUGGGUCAUGUGAUAAGCAUGUGGCCAUCACAUCUGAAGAGUUGUGGGCUUUAAACAGACGUAUAGGUCUGCCGCGUGAUAUCCUGAUGUUCCCUCUUGUGAGCAUGCUGAAUUCCAACAUCGCAUACUUUUUGGUCUCAGAGUCUGCCGAAGAAGAAAACAGCAAGGUUUCUCUGGUCACAAUUCAAUUAAGUACCAAGAAAGUGCUGGCAGUUGAUCCAUAUAUUUCAAGAGAAGAAGGCAGCCCUAGUGGCCCAGAUGCUGACAUGCUUGAGGAAAAGUCUCAUCUCCUAAGGAGUUUCAUUUCCUCCAGGUUCCCCACGUACUUAACACAGGUAUUUCUAUCUUUGUAUAUUUAUCUGUCCAUAAAUUAAGUUUUGCUGGAUACUGUUAGUUUUUGCUACAUUCCUAAUCUCAGUGUUGGAUAAUCGAAAUAGCUGUUAUUUUUUAUGACAAUAGCAAAGUCCACUGAGCUAAAGUUUAGGAUGGUGCCUUAAAGUUUGCGUUUCCUCUUAACUUCGCGAACAGGUUGUUGCCUUAGUGUUCUGGAACAAAACUCCAGCCCUCAUUGCCUGGUAUUGUGGAAGAUCAAAAUUAUGAUAACAUUGUGUUUUUUUAUUAGGAAUUUAUCUUAUUGCCAAUACAGAAAGUGAGCAUGUAAAAUUGAAGCCUAAUUACAAUACUAGUAAAAUAUAGCUCUGUUGCAGAACCAAUUAAUUUGUGUAUUCAUCUUUGGCUACCAUAGAUUAGCUAUUACUUGUCAUCCUUUCUACUACACCAUUUGUCACCAGCUUUUGAGUAUGGUUCGAAGUAUGCACAGCCCAAUACAAGUAGUACAUUUAUCAUUACAUUCCUGUCUGAUGGGAUCCAGCACACCGAUUGGAGCUCCAUCAAAUAUCAUAUUAUCACUUAAGACACCCUCCCUGGCUAGCCCUAGCUGAUUGAUGGGCAAUGCCACUCUCCUCCCUGUGCAGCUGUAGAACCUUGUAACCUGAUAAUUGAUUCAACAGAUGAUUACUUUCCAAGUAGACCCCCUUGAAGGCUGAUCCAUCCCUUUCUUCCUCAGCUAGUCCAAAUCACAAGCACAGUAACACUGCCAGUGAUCACCGGGAGGUUGGCAAUGCCAAUGAUGCCUCUCACGCCUUCCAUGCAUGCUAGAGCUUCUGUCCUUCCUGCACUAUUGACAUAUACAGACGCUGUCAUACUCUGACCAAAUGAUGUUGCCUGAAGAGGAGCGCAGCACUGCUCCCAAUGAGCUUUUGCCCGUUUCAGUCACGAAGGCUGUGUCUGUUCAACUUCAGUUCCGGUCCGAACAACCUGUUGAUAGGUCGAUCACUUGUAUUCACAGACCUGAUGGUGUACAUGUUAGUUGCUGAUUUGUCUUGAAUAUCCAGGGUCUUGGUGCCAGGGUGUGUGAACUCCAUGCUCUAAUGGUAGCUCUUACUAAACUGGACUGAGGCUUGGGUCGUUGCACCUCCUUUGCCAAAGAUUGUAUCAUUUCGUAAAUGGCAUGCUCUGCACCAAAGGAAUAGCAGCUUGGCGCGCACCCCUUCAUUUAGUUUGCUCAAAGCCAUAAGUGCCCAGCCUCAGUCUUUAUGAGUCAACUCUCUGUCAGCCUGCAAGUUCCAGUCUUACCGAAGGGCACAUCUCAGGGACCUUGCUUUCAUACACAGCAUUACAGCAUGAUAUCCAUCUCCCUCCCCUGUCCCACAGAUGUUGCAGGCAGGGAGAACAUCCAUAUUCUGCCGCCAUCGGUUUCUUUGGACAGCCAAAGAAUCCAGAAUCCAUUGCCAGCUUCCAAGCAAUAACACACACAGUUGGCGGUACUUUCGUUUCCAGAUCAGGUUGCAUGGCAGCCUCUCUCCGUUCGGUCUAGUGGAUGAAGAGGUCUGAUACCCAGGCGAAGCCGUGAGUGUCGUGUAUUGGCAGAGAGUUCAAGGUUGCCAUGUGGUAUUCAAUUGUCCCUCCACAGCCUCACUUUUCUAGCUGAGCCGACUCACUAGAUGUCACUAUUUUUCAGCAAAUCUGAACCAUGCUCGAUUCCCUGCCAAACGGUCAAUGUGUUCCUAAAUCCCUGUUUGGGUAGCAGCAAGCUUUUAGUAUUCUAGUGCAGAGUCUCUCCUGGAAUUCGAUUAAUCUCCAUGCCCGCCGAGCGAGAAGGGCUUGGUUAAACGAUCGCAGAUAUUUGAAGUCCAUUUCUCUGACUUUUGUAAGUUUUUCCCACAACCACCAACGGACUCUUCUUCUGUCUUCCUCGUCACCCCACCAAACAAUCCUCAUAAUUUGCAUAAGAUCCUCACAGAGGCUUGCCGAUGACUUGAGGACUCUCAUGGUUAUAGGUGGGGAGGGCCUGGACAACCGAUUUGACCCAAGACCUCUUUACCAUGUUCAGUGGCAUUUCUCAGACAAGACUGAACACUUCUUUCUAUCAUUAUCCUUGAGAAGCUGGAACUUUGCAUUCUUUAUCCUCCCUUCUGGAAUUUGCAAGCUUAGAUACUUCCCAAUCGUUUGUAGACCAAGCAUAAUUGAGAGUGCCAUACCACCAGCCACUUUACAUUUGUUUCCUGGUCAUGGAGAACGCUCCUGGGCUAAGGAGUUGGCCUGCGGUUCGCUUGUGCCAAUUUUUGACCACAUGCACUGCGCACAAUAUUAGCUCUGUUUAACAAUAAAACGGUAAAAUAUAAUUGGUGUUACAUGGCACAGUGCAGAAAUUUUGUGCAAAACUUACUUGUGUCUUUCUUUUCGUCGAACUGCGCUAGCCCCCCUUUCCCUGAUUAUAUGAUGCAUGUCCUUCUUAUUAUUUAAGUUCAUUUGAUGCACUUGGUAUGGCUACUUCGAUCUUCAUAGGCACGAAAUUGAUGGGAUUUCACUACGUUGUUAUCUUCAUUUUUCAUGUCUGGCAUUUAAAAGAUGCGGACUGUGUUUUUGUUGUCGUUGGUAACCUGCAUAUAUUGCUGAAUAACCUUGAGAUAUAUGGGCGAAUCUGCAUGAGAAACACAGAUCUUUAUUAACUCACCAUUAUUAUUUUUGUAAGAAUGGUGACUUGUGACAUUAUAUGUGUUAAUUCACCAUGAAGGAUUGCCUUGUUUAGAAAGCCAAUCAAAUAAUUUGUAGGGUCAUUGUACUUACAGAAUAAUUCCAUAAUGAUCACGCGGGAGCUUUUUCACUAAUUUAUCAUUGGCUUACCGUAUUGCAGGAACCGUCUGACAUGUUGAGGUCAUUGAGUGUGACUGGACAACCGACUGAAAUCGUGCCGAGGGAGAAGGUUCAUAGACCAAGGGCCAAGUGAAGUGUGCAGUAGAGAGCGUCGCAAGGUCAGGUUUUCCUUUCUGUAUGGAUGAGAUGCAAUCCCUGAGAAAUUUGAGCUUCUUGAUCUGAUCCCGUCUUGUUCUAUCCAUCAAAGGUUGUGUCUCAGGUCCUGGAGGACUUAGUGAACAAUUGGGCCUGUUUGCAUCUUGCUGCGUGUUCAUUCUGGAAUCUGUGUUACUUUUAGUGGGAAUUGCUAGAAUCCCUGAGUUUGUAGGCCGCUUAAAUUCAUGUGGUGCAGCUCGAUCAAGAAUGAGAGCGAGGAAAGUUGCACUGUCCGUGGAUGAGUAGCGCAUCCUGACGCAGUCAUCUUUGAGCCAAGAGAUAUGCUCGAAUUUGUUUGUUAGGUCUGAAUCUGACGGUAUUAUACGAUUCGGAGACGCCUGUCAACGCCAAUUGAAAUAAAAGGUUUAAAAAAAACUGAAGCUCCGUGUCCUCUGUUUACGGGAGGCACGCCCUUUGGCUGGAAGGGGGCCCUACUGGCGUGCGACAUGCCAGCCAACACCGCGCAAUAUUAUCAGAAGAAAAAAAGAUCUUGUAAGGUGAAUGUCAGAAAAAGGACCCACAUUAUCAUCGAUUUAAGGCAACUUAAGCCAUCUUAUGCUGCUAGUCAGUCCUGGAGAACACAAGAAUUCUUCUUCAGGGUUUACUAAAAGAUAUGCUCGUAACCAAAACUAUACCAUACCAUGCAGAUUUUGACCCCCAAUCAUUCAUACAUAAUGCACAAAAAUGGGGCACAACUUUCUGGAAAACUAUCUGAAGGGAUGUCUAGCAGACAUCCCACCCUAUAAUCUCAAACCGUAAUCUCUUAUCCCUGAAAAGGCUAUCAUUUGAGCAUUGAACUUCUCUUCGUCCAGCGGAUCUGUCAAAACUCAAUCACUCACUUUUUUUUUUGCGGGAACCAUCACUCUUUUUUACUCCCUCUGUCGCCCCAGAAUAUAAGAACAUUUCUGACACUAUGCUAGUGUUAAAAACGUUCUUAUAUUUUGGGACGGAGGGAGUAGUAUUUACACAUUUUGUUUUGGACAUAACAUAUUUAAUUCAAAACUUGAUCUAGAAUACAUAUCAAAUACAGUAUAAUGUUGUUGCUGCUGAUCCAGAGUACAUAUUACUAAGAACAUACUAGUUUUUUCCCUACACAAAAAAAGAGAGCAUAGUAGUUAGUCUAGCUAAUUGCCUAAUGGCUCUCACAUUACAACAGCUUUUCUUCUCAGGGCCUGCAUCUCGUUGUUUCACCUUGCUUCUCAAGUGCAUCUAUCAGCGAAUCAACUAGCCUCUCUUUAAGUGAUCGAUACUACUAGUCUAGCAUCAAUUUUAAUUAGUCAAACCAGAGCAAACUAGCAUGUUAAUUUGCUCCCACACUACUACUACAAAAGCAGAGCCCGAUCACAUACACCGAGAAAAGCAGACAAGCGGUUGAUACAUCUAUAUCAAAAAUAAACUUUGCAAUCCGACAUAACAGUGGCCGUGGCGUGAGGACUGUCCAGGAUGAUGAACUCGGUUUGCUUCCUGAUGCCCUGUUCAAUGAUAACAGGGAUAGAGGCAUUGAGCAAAAGAGACAUCACUGUCAGAAUAACUGAGAUGGCCAUUCAAGAACUCAGGGAACUAUUGAUACUUAGAAAAUAAAAGUUCAAAACACCAUUAUCAAGUUGAUCAAACUACAGAAGCCCAUAUCUCUUAGCGCCCAACGAAACUGGGGUCCCAUACAAGUUUGCAAACGAACAAGACUGACACAGCAAGUAGAUAGAACACACACGAAAUCUGAACUUCAGCAACUCAUAGGACCAUCUCCUCAACAAAUCCAUGUGAUCAUCAGAUGGAUUAACACCUCGCCACUCUAUUCUCCACAGCAGAACAUAGCAUGGCAAUCCAAUGAUGGAACUGACACCUACUUGCACAGAAUCCCCGAGAUUCUGGAUGCUUCAGCGAUCCCUGAAAGCAUAAAUCAAAUAACUUUAGUCAGCAAAUGCUCUAACCAAAUAACCAGAGGAAUUGCACUCAAUAUUUUAACACUUGAUUUGGACCUGGACAUAAAUUGGUUGUUCCAAUUUUUUCUUAAGGCAACUAAGUUAUCAUAGCUUUAGCUUCGGAGUAGAACUAAAUUUCCGAAGAAGUAAUAUAUGCACAUAGACCUGAACUACCAACUGCUAGGUUGCAAUUGUACUGAUAACUUCAAAAGGCGGCAUGACAAGAGAUAGCGCCACAGGGAUAUCGUGUCACAAUAAUAGUGAGGGCCUACUUCAAACUGCACUUUACAGAGUCUGCACUCUAUCACUAACUUAUUGUAUCUAAAAUGUUUUAGAAGGAAAAAAAAAUCCAGCGCGCAGAUCAAUCAAUACCUUGUGAGAUUCAAGAACUUGGGGAACUCGGAUGGAAGGAAGGACGUGAGAAGGUGUGACUUUUCUUUAACCAUGUCAGCAUCUUGGCCACAGAGGUCUUCCUCUCCUUUAAUAUAUGGAACAAUUGAAGUGGCUUUCUGAGUAAUCAUAUCCAACGCAACCAUGGAAACCUUGUCAAUCUUAUCUCCUUCCCCAGAGAUCAAAUAGUGCACAAUACUAGGGUUGUCCAUGCUCACAAGAGGGUACAUCAGGCCUUCACGCGGGAGACAUUCGGAGGUGUUGUAAUGCCACAAUUCAAAAGCUAUCUUUACCCUUUCAUGGAAGCAGUUUAUAUCACCACUCUCCGUUAUGCUCAAAGUAUCAGUGACGAUGGUAUAACCUGUCCGAGGUUCAAGUGGGCCGCAGAGUUUUUCAUCAUGGCGAACAACAGAAGUGUACUUGAGUAGAUCACCUCCAACACCGGUGACACAGAGGCUACGGUUCAUCUCAAGGAAACCUCUUUCUUGCAUUUUUCUAGGACGGUUAGCGGUAGGUAACGGUAGAUAAAAAAUGUUGGGUGUUUCUGCAAAUAUAUCAUAGAAUAGAAUACCUCCUGUGUAGUAGGAAAUCCAGCAGAUAUAUUUGUUGAAUGUGAUGACAGCAUCCGUCAACCAAUUAUCCAGGGCCGGGAAUUCAUAAGUCUUAUGCUGAAUAGGUAUCUUUUGAACCUCCCACAUGCCAGCGUCGUCAGGAGCCGACACACAUGAGCGGAGUACGCACACUUCAGCUUCCAUCUGGUAGGCGCCUCGUAUCUGGGUGACCAUACCCAGCUGUGCGACGGCAAACUCUUCUUCAUGGCCAGGGGAUGAUCCGCGAAUGAGCCCUACGGUGUUGGGGAAAAACACUCGCUGCAUAGUGGUUCCCUCCGAGUCUUCCUCGCAAGAAGAAGUUCCCUCCGUGUCUUCCUCACAAGAAGAAGUUCCCUCCGUGUCUUCCUCACAGCACGGAGGUAAGACGACCAUGGGUAUGGUGCAAAGGGGGAGCCGUUUGAGCUCCAUGUGCGGCCCAGCUGCAGGAUCCGAGCAUGCUAUGCAGACGAAGUGGUCAUGCGUGAUAUCACCUGCCAUGGAGACGAGCUGGAAGAGGAUGAAGUCACGGUGCGCGGCCAUAAGCACGGUGCCGGAGCCGUAUUUUCCUUUGGUGCCGCCGGGCCACCGCACGUAGAGGCGGGAGACGGCGGGCGGCUCGGCGUGCAGGAUGGCGACCUCGAAAGGCCUGCCGAGAGAGGUUGACGAGGUGGCCCUGAGGGGCGCCGUAGAUUCGUCCGGGAAGCGCCAGCCGCCGCCGCCGUGGUCCUCGUCCCUGCGGUAGACGAAACGGUCCAGCAUCAUCCAGCCAGCAGCCUGGUCGGAUCCAGCCACGGCCAUGGAUGAUGGGUCGGCGCAGGGGUGGGGUGGGGUGGGGUCGGUUAGGCUAGGGUUUCGCGAGAAAAGAGGGAGGCGCUGGAGGGAUAUCACUGCGAGAUAGGAGAUCUCGAUCUCGAUCUCGAUCUAAUGAUAUAGAGGGAUGUCACACGACUACAUGCCGACCAAGGACUUGAGGAAGCACAGGAAUAUGUCCAACAAUGAUAACUACUAGUAUGUGUGCGGCAUGGAGGACUCCUCGAGGCACAGUUUAAUUGAAUGCACCAUUGCUAGGUCUGUGUGUGGGCGUUGGUUGAUGAUGGCUUGAUGGCACACAUGAUCGCUACGACGACUCAGAUCUUGCUGUUUUCUACGAUGGAAGUUCUCGCACUCGCACGUGACGAGAUGACUAGAAUGGCGCUACUUCAUGGGCAAUCUGGUAUGCGCAGAUGAAGCUAAUACAUGAAAGAGUAAUCCAAAGUCCAUUAUCAACACAUUUGUUUGUCACAAGGUUCAUAGCUGAAUUGGAACAGCUUCAGGCGCCGAGAGCGUCACAUGCAUUAACGACUUCAAAUGUGCAAGUUAGAUGCAUGGGAGCCACCUCCACAAGGAAAGGAACUAUCAAAAUAAAUGUUGAUGCGGGUAUUUCCAUUGAUCAUGACGUCAAUUCUUGUGAUCGCAAUGGAAUGGAAGCUAUCUGGGCUCGAUCGUCUAUUCUUGUGAUCCACAUACUGCUUCAUCCUGCUACGAUGAGUAAAUUGCAUAGAAGUACCACAAUUGAGGCAUUGAAAGCAGAUUGAUACCAAGAUUGGUAAUUUUUACGUGUCAGUACCAACUUUGGGGUGAACCGUUGCAAAAGGAACUAAAAGUGUUGUUUAUACGUAUUGACAGGCAAACUGACCGGUUGGGCCCGCCCGUCAGGUGCCACCCUGGCGUACCCGCGCGCUGACUCGGACGAGCUGGGUCGCACUGUUUAGGCGCGGCUGGUGCGGCCCGAGCCUCCGUCUCCGUCUCCGUCUCGCCCGUCGCCACCGCCGACCGCCCGCGCCGCCGCGAGCUCGAGGCACGCUCCUCCACGACCGCGGCCCCGCUCCGGCCACACACGCGCACCUUCCUGACCCCCGACCCUCCCCGCCGCGCCCGCCUCGCGCUCUCCUCCAUCCGCUUCCGCCGCGGUGCCAACUCCUCCUCCGCUUCCUCCAUCGACGCCGCAGGCUGUGGCUACCCCCUGCCCCACCUCCUCUCCCCUUCCGCCGCCGCCUCCUCCUCAUCCCCUUUCCCCUCGCUGUCAGCCCCCGUGUCCUGCCCCGCCACCGUCUCGGCGCCCCGCGCUGGCGCCCAGGUGGCCAUGGAGCUGCCGUGCGGGAUGGCCGUCGGCUCGCGCGUCACGGUGGUGGCCUGGCCGACGAGGAGGGACGGGGCGGCGUCGUCGCAGUUCAUGGCGGAGCUGCUCAGCACCAAGGCCGUCCACGGGGAGGAGCCGCCCAGGAUACUCCACUUCAACCCCAGGAUCAGAGGCGACUUCAGCGGCCGUCCCGUCAUCGAGCUCAACACCUGCUACCGCAUGCAGUGGGCGCUGCUGCAGCGCUGCGAGGGACCGGCGUCCCGGCCCGACGAGGAUAGGGGUGAGCUCCUUUGAUUCCACAGUUCAAUCUCGCUUUUUCCUCGUCGUUCGCUAAGAAAUUUAAUAGUGGUAUCUUAAUUUUGAAGCUAUUUGUUCGUUAAAACCAACACAAAUUUCAUCACAGAAUUUGCUUGCUAUUGGUUCCAAUUUCAGUUGAUGGGGAAGUCAAGUGUGAGAAAUGGACUCGGGAUGAUGGCCCCAACACAGAGGAAUCGUCAAACAUAAAGUGGCUGCUCAACAAUUUGAUCGGCAGGCCGGAGCCAGACAGGGUCUCUGUCGAUCAGGCAUACCCCUUUACAGAGGGCAAGCUCUUUGUCCUAACCAUCACAGCCGGUCUCGAAGGCUACCAUGUCAAUGUCAAUGAGCAACAUAUUGCAUUCUUCCCUUACCGCACUGUAAGAUUUUUGCCAUGCCUCUGCAGACAUUGCUCGUUGGUUACUUACAUAGCAUAUCAUCGAUGGAGAACCUGUUAUCUGAUGGGCUGUCAAUCUGUGGAUUUAACAGGGUUACAACAUCGAGGACGCAACGGGCCUGUCGUUGAACAGAGACCUUGACAUCAAGUCGAUUUCUGUCGCCCAUCUGCCCAAAUCACACCCUAGCUUCGACCCAUAGCGAUACCUUGAAAUGUCUGCACAGUGGAAGGGCUCACCUCUGCCGACUGAACCUGUCAAGCUGUUCAUCGGUAUCCUUUCUGCAGCCAACCAUUUCACCAAGCGGACGGCCGUUCGCAAGUCAUGGAUGAUUGCUACAAGGAAAUCGUCUAACAGUGUUGCCCGGUUCUUUGUCGCUCUGGUAAGUACCUGUGGAUGAUUGCUACAUUUUAUAGUUGUAUUGCUGACUUUGCAAACUCUAAUAGAAAACUUCUUUAUAGAAUGGGAAAAAAGAGGUCAAUGAAGAGCUGAAGAAGGAAGCAGAGUUCUUUGGUGACAUUGUUCUAGUGCCUUUCAUGGAAGCAGAGAAUCCUUGUGUGUUGGGCCAUGCAAAUUCCUGCAUUGGUGUGACUUGACUUCCAUUAUUCAGCAUAUUAAUGCUUUACGGGUCAUAUAUGUUAGCUCCCAUUUCCAGUGUCAUGUUUUAGUGCGUUCAUGCUUGUCUCUGCCUUUCUUAAAGUAAGCAUGGGUUUACCUGGUAGCUCGAACUAUGAUUAUGCUUGCAAAUGAAUUAUUGAUCAACCUAUCAACACAGGGUGUUAUAUUUUACAAUACCUGGUAGUGGUAUUAGAGUAUGAUAUUUCUUUUCAGAAAAAAAGUACGUGUCAUAAUUGUGGCAAAUUUCUCCAGGUAGUGAUAUAUUUCACGCUGCAUACAGGAGUGUGAUGUAAUUUUCUGCCCCUUUUCAGGAAUGGGAAGAGGAAGUGUAUCCACCUUAUGCAAACGGACCGGGCUAUGUGAUUUCAUCAGAAAUAGCUGAGUACAUCGUAUCCGAGUUUGACAACCAGGCACUGAGAGUAAGUCAUUACCACCCCUUGCCAGUAACUAGAUUUUGAAACAUCUAUGUAGUGUGUCUAAAAAGCCUAACAAACGGGUGUGCUUCUUCCCCCUGAUUGUUGCAGUUGUUCAAGAUGGAAGACGUGAGCAUGGGCAUGUGGGUUCAGAAGUUCAACAAGACUCGCCAGCUAGUGGAGUAUUCGCACGACGUCAAGUUCUUCCAGGCCGGCUGCUUCGACGGCUACUACACCGCGCACUACCAGUCGCCGCAGCACAUAAUCUGCCUGUGGAGGAAGCCGCAGUCCGGGAGUGCUCAAUGCUGCAAUGCCAGAUGACAAUGAGACUGCUUGUUAAUUGAAAAGCAGUACCCGGCUCUCUGGAGAAUCAAACAGCAAGGAUGAGUUCGAGUUUGAUCUUGAUUUGGAGGAUCUCUGGAGAAUUAGCUUGCGUAAUUCGCUCAUUCUUUUGGUCAGUGGCUGGUUAAUUCAGCUGCUGAUUCUGACACUAGCUAGAUGCUGACACCAUGUACAUGUGUCAAUUGUUUUUGACCUAGGAACUAUAACAGCUCUGCUGAUCUCACUUGUAUACCGGCUGUUCUUAUAUAUACAUAUUAGAUGUUUCGAGUAAAUCAUUUUGUGUGUUCAGAGCUGCUCCUGUGCAUUGUCGAUUCCACCUGCAUGUCUGAUUGUUCUAAGAAGUAUGAAUGUCGCAGACUGCCGGUUGAAGAUGUGCGACAUGCUCGUGCCACCAUUGUCAACAUCACAAACUGGCUGAACUUAGAAGUCUUUACAAAUUGCAAGCACGGAAGCAACAACCUCUUAAACAGAGUUCCUACAUACUGCAAGCAUUGAAAGCAACGACUUCCAAACAAAGUUCCUACAAACUGCAAGCACAUAAGCAAAGGUCCGCAUAAGCCCGCAAAAACAGGAGGUUAGUUCAAAAUGAACUAAAUCUAAGCAUGGCGAUUACAACUAACCUUAUCAAUUUUGACUACGGAACAACUUCCUAAACGAAGUUCCAUACACAAAUACUAAGACUGGCAGCAUUGGUCCUACCUUAACCCGGCCUAUACAAAGUUACUACAGAACAACUACUUCCUACAGAUGCAGAGCCGCACUCACUUGUGCCAUAUCUAACAGCCACCACAGCCAGCUUCCCCUUGAUCCAGAAGCGCAUGCUCCAGCAACUACAGCUUGGCAAACACUUGAACACCAGCUCACUGCCCCUGGCCCGUAGAAGCUGCUUCCAUUGCUGCAGAAAAUGCGAGAAAUUGGAAUGUAAUAUCAACCAACUGGCGAAUCAUGUUAGCUCAAUGUACAUUCCGCUUACUCACCAAUCACAAGGACCGACAAGUUCCUCAGAAAAUAAAAACAGGAGUUCAUAGAAUCAUUAAGAUAUAUUGACUUGUACUCAAGAGGAACACCUCUCUUUCUUUAGCACAUAUGUUCAGCUCAAUGUGUAAAGUUUCUUGCUAAGAACCAUAUUUUCAUGCCAUGUUGCUAAGUGCCAGCGCCACCACUGUGACGCGCGAGCCGACGGCCAUCCCACACGGCAGCUCCACGGCCACCUGGGCACCAGCGCGGGCGCCGAGACGGUGGCGGGGCAGGACGCGGGGGCUGACAACGAGGGGAAAGGGGAUGAGGAGGAGGCGGCGGCGGAAGGGGAGAGGAGGUGGGGCAGGGGGUAGCCACGGCGGUGAAGGCAGAGGAGGCUGCGGCGUCGAUGGAGGAAGCGGAGGAGGAGUUGGCGCCGCGGCGGAAGAGGAUGGAGGAGAGCGCGAGGCGGGCACGGCGGGACGGGUCGGGGGUCGGGAAGGUGUGCCUGUGUAACCAGAGCGGGGCCGCGGUCGUGGAGGAGCGUGCCUCGAGCUCGCGGCGGCGCGGGCGGUCGGCGGUGGCGACGGGCGAGACGGAGACGGAGACGGAGGCUCAGGCCGCACCAGCCGCGCCUAAAUGGUGCGACCCAGCUCGUCCGAGUCAGCGCGCGGGUACGCCAGGGUGGCACCUGACGGGUGGGCCCAACCGGUCAGUUUGCCUGUCAAUACGUAUAAACAACACUUUUAGUCCCUUUUGUAACGGUUCGCCCCAAAGUUGGUACUGACACGUAAAAAUUACCAAUCUUGGUAUCAAUCUGUUUUCAAUGUCUCAAUUGUGGUACUUCUGUGCAAUUUACUCUGCCACGAUGGAAGCAGUGGCAUAGCUGCUCGUCUAUAUGUGCUGGUGGACACGUAUGUUUACUUUCGAAUGCUGAGCUGAAAGACCCCGGAAGAAUUGCUCACACUGGUUGAGCCAGUUGAGGGGGUCCGCGGCGCCGUCGUAGGUAGCGAAGUCGAGCUUGACGAAGCGCGGCGGUGUCUGAGCAUGCCCGCCGUGAGCGUACGGCUCGGCGAUACGGAGCAACGAAGAGAAUGGCGUGGUCCGGUGUGCACAGGUGGUCUGUUGGGAAGUGGUGGCCUGGCGCAGCCAGCGUGGAAAUCCGCGGAGCCGGAGGGGCCGUCGUACAGCAGGGGCCAGGGAGAAGGCGCCGGUUGGUCCACGGCCAUGGUGUAGACUGGCGGCGGUGACGUCCCGGCCAACCAGGCCGGAAGUUGUGAUGGCGAGGGCGGAAACCGCACUUGCUGAAUUGGCACGCCCGCUUGCGCGGUUGUAGUCAGCCCGGUGCUGGGCGGCGGAGGCGCUUGCAGCGGCAGCUGCUACUGCAUGGAAACGGCGGAGGCGGCGGGUGCCGCGAUGGCCGCGGCCGGCCAUUGUGGCCAGAGCGGGGCGGUGGCGGGGGCUGGCUGCAGCUGCAGCGGCCCGGCGAGCGCUGUGGAGGCCGCCAGGUGCGGCGGCUCCCAUGGCAGUAGCAUCGGCCCGAUGGUGAUGGUUGGUGACGCGGCCGGCAGCAGCCCGUAGGGCCCGGCCAAGUAGAGGCAUAUUUGGACGGCUAUGACGAGAUCGUUGAGGACCCCGGUGAUCUCCUCCGGAGUGUAGGCGACGGCCGGUGGUGCGGUGGAGGGCGCCAUCAUCUGGGUGGUGGCGGCGCCGGAGGAUGCGACCAGCGGGGCGGACGGGGAGGGCAGCGGCGCGAUGGAGAAGGCCAGCGGCGCGGUGGUGACGGUCGACAGCGAAAGCGACGGGAUGGACGGCGGCGAAGAUAUGAUCGGAACUGAGCUACCUGAUACCAAGGUGUUAGGAGAUAGGGUUCUGUCGGUUCUAGGACGGAGGUUGUAGGGGAAGGAGGGAGCUAGUCGUGGACGAACUCGUGGCCACUGGCGGCUGGGCGCUGUCGUGCGCGAGGAGGCGGCUGCUGAGAGCGAGAUGGCGCAGGGGAGGAAGCGGAUAGGGUUAGAUCUCCCGGCUCCUAAGGAAGCCGAGCAAAUAUGAUUGCUUCUUCCUUAAUCUCAAAAUGGGUCCUUAUAUAAGUUUACAUAAUCCUCCUAAUGAUAUAAUUGGGUUAAGCCCCUAACAAGAUAAGAUAACUGGGCCAGGCCCCUAACUGCCUGGGCUGUAAUAUAUGCCGCUCAUGAGGUCAUGAGUGACAAGAAGAAGUCAGCAAAGAAAUGGCAAGAGAAGCUAGAUAAGCAGUCAGAGAAAUCAGAAUAAAUGAAAAGAAAGAGAGAAGCUGCAUUUGCUCCACCGAAGGUCUGAUUAUUCUUUCGUGUGCAUUUAUUUAUUAGUGGGCUUCUCUUUCUCUUGUAGAGUUAUUAAAUCUUUUUUAUCUUGUCAUUUGUCUCAGGAGAACACGGGUGGUCUAUCUGAAUCUGCCAAAGGUACCAAUGAUCACAAUGAGAUUGCUGAUAUGACAAAAUCCUUAAAGGUACACGUUGCUGUUAUUGUUCCGCGCCUUACAUAUUUUUUUCAUGCAUGUUCCUUUUAACUUGCUUUGGAGUAUGUUCUGUGUUUUCUUAGGGAGAGUGUGUUCUGUUGUUUCACUGUAAUCGUACCACAUCAUUGUGAUUGUUCUAUAUUUGCAGAAAAAGGCAAAGAAAUUCAGAAAAAAUGAAGCAGAGGAAAAUGUGAAAAUCGAGUCAUAUGUUGCCAGAAACGAGUCAUAUGAUGUGCUGUUUCAGUACUACUAGCUGUGAGGAGGAGGAGGUUAGCCUUGAUGGCCAGGUGGUACCUCGGAAGGACACCUUUCGGUAUUUGGGGUCAAUGUUGCAGGAGGAUGGGGGUAUUGAUGAAGAUGUGAACCAUCGAAUCAAAGCCGGAUGGAUGAAGUGGCGCCAAGCUUCUGGCAUUCUCUGUGACAAGAGAGUGCCACAAAAGCUAAAAGGCAAGUUCUACAGGACGGCGGUUCGACCCGCAAUGUUGUAUGGCGCGGAGUGUUGGCCGACUAAAAGGCGACAUGUUCAACAGUUAGGUGUGGCGGAGAUGCGUAUGUUGAGAUGGAUGUGUGGCCACACGAGGAAGGAUCGAGUCCGGAAUGAUGAUAUACGAGAUAGAGUUGGGGUAGCACCAAUUGAGGAGAAGCUUGUCCAACAUUGUUUGAGAUGGUUUGGGCAUAUUCAGCGCAGGCCUCCAGAAGCUCCAGUGCAUAGCGGACGGCUAAAGCGUGCGGAGAAUGUCAAGAGAGGGCGGGGUCGACCGAUUUUGACAUGGGAGGAGUCCGUUAAGAGAGACCUGAAGGAUUGGAGUAUCGACAAAGAGCUAGCUAUGGACAGGGGUGCGUGGAAGCUUGCUAUCCAUGUGCCGGAGUCAUGAGUUGGUUGCGAGAUCUUAUGGGUUUCACCUCUAGCCUACUCCAACUUGUUUGGGACUAAAGGCUUUGUUGUUGUUGUUGUAUGUUGCCAGAAACGAAGAAACACAAUGACUGCGAAAAGAAGCGCAAAUCAUUAGCCAAGUAACGGCAACAUGUCAGCAACUUGGAUGAUAGUCUUUAUUGUUUUAGUUAGUUCAUCGAACUAUUGUCAUCCAGUUAUACAACUAAACGGCUGUACCUAGCGGUUAUAUUGAUUUUGAACAUUUUUUGGGGGGAACCUUGAAUUCCUGUCCUCGCAAUCCUGGGUCUGCCACUGCCAGCUGCUCCAAAAUGCAGGUGAUCACCUCUGUCAUCGUUGCUUUCCGCCCCUCCCGGAAGUUCCAGACCUCAUUCAUGACAUGCCGUCCAUGAGGACUAUACUCGUUGAGCUCUCUCAGUGCAUCCUUCACUGCAUUGCAGAUGCUGUCGCCAUAAUCCAACCGCAGCUUGCUUAGUAUUGGAUCAUUGUCAUCUAUAACCUCCUGCAAUUGUCCCAAAACACCCUAGUGAUUAUUCACACAAAAUUCAGAGAAUUUAAGGGCAUGAAUGCUGUAGGGAAAUUGGAUAGACACCUUAUCUUCUUCAUCGACCUCAGUAUUAGUAAACGGACGCCAUAAUGGCUUCUGUAUUUCCUCCUGCCAAUACGAGACCAAACUUGCAGCUUUACCCUCUGGAUCAUUGUCCCUGUAUUUCAGAUUGCAUGCGGCGCGAAAAGGAUUCUCAUCAAGUUGGCCCAUCCUUUUGAUUCCAACAACGGCGCCCCACUAAUCGGCAUGUUCUCAAAACCCUGCACAUUAUCAUCAUCAUUUCAAUGAGGAAAACCUCUAGCAAUAAUGAAACUCCUCCCAAUGAGGAAAACAGAGCAACUAGUAGAAUUUUAAAAAACUAUCGGCUUUUACUUUUACCUGAAUCAACUCUUGGCGAUUCUCUUGGAGCUCUUUGCUGUUAGCCUGCUCUCUUUUGAAGAGGUCUAGCAAUGGAAUUUUCAUCCUUUUCCCUUCCUCAUCCAGAAUAUUUCUCACAUACGUCAUUACUGCAAAAAGACGUUGAUGGUCUUCCUCUGCGAGCAUCUCCCCUGCUUGUAGUUUCAUGUUCAGCUGCCGCGCGAUGAGCACUAGGGCUUUAUCCCUUUGCUCCAGUUGCCUCUCAAGUUGAAUUAGCUUGGCAUGAAUAGCCUCCAUCUCUUGCUACAAGGCGAGUUCUAGCAUGGUCAGCAACUUUGAUGGAGCUACUAAGAAUUUGAUGCAGAUGAGCUUAUCGAUUGUCCUAUCAAAGAGAAGAAGAAACCUUGUGGUUUCAUGCAGCAUGAGAGCAUGAUCAGCCACCUUGCUCUCUCCAUCUCCCUGUUCUGAUAUGUUGAUCUCCAAAUCCCCCUGCGUAUGUGUAGGGAAGUUCUGCUAAGACCAUAAAAAGGACAUGAACCGGGUCAUAUUGCGUGGAGAGCUCGGUCUGUUAGUUACUCCCUCCGUCCGGAAAUACUUGUCAUCAAAAUUAAUAAAAAAGGAUGUAUCUAGAUGUAUUUUAGUUCUAGAUACGUCCCUUUCUAUCCAUUUUGAUGACAAGUAUUUUCGGACGGAGGGAGUAUGAAUGUAGCGAUAAUCUAGCUAAAAGGGCCAAUAUUUGUCUAGAGUUUCGACUGAAAUCGUCUUAAGCUGACGCUUCCUAAUACGGAGUACUAAUUUAGGGGGAACACUGCCUGAGUAGCAUCUGGAAUGAAUGAGGGACCGACACUGAAGCUAAUUCUAGCAUUUAAAUUGGGAGUGCAGAUAGAUGAUCUGAAUUCCACAUUGUUUUAAGUCCCACCUACAGGUUUAGGCUUGUAAAGCAGGGCAAGUACUCUCUGAUAAUGCCUCUCUGAGCAUAUGUUGUCCAUGAUGAGUAAAAACAGAAUUAGGCAUUUGAUGUACCACGCUCUUUUUAGCGUGCAUUUGACAUUGCCAUCUGUAAUUUGUUUUGAUAAUUGCGGACAUCCGUGUUCAUUUCCAAAAUGAUACUCUAAUGUUCAGGUGAAAAUUCAGCAGUCUGAAAACUGAAAGUUUAACAUGUUGUAGAGUUCAGGCAAGAAAUGUAUGACCCUACCUUCUCCAGCUCAUGCAGCACUAGAUCAUGGUCAGCCAGCUUGCUCUCUCCACCUGCCAUGUCCAGUGUGUUGACCUCCUAAGUAAGACAAUAAAAACAAACAAGACUAUGUCAAGAUGGCAAAAGCAAAUAAACCGGGUCAUACUGCGAGGGAAAGUGGCUUUGUUGGUUAUUAUUGUUAAGGAGUGCGAACAAUCUAGAUAAAAAGAACAGACAUUUGUGUGAACAUGUAGAAUUUCUACUCAAAUCCUCCUGUUUGUUUGUUUCUUUAUUUAUUCACUGCCUGAGUAAAAGCUGCAUCUGGUUUAUUGAGAGAGUAUGCUGCAGCUAGUAGUCUUCCCAACACUGAAGCUAAUUCUAGUAUCAAACCUUUUUAGAUGAUUUCAAUCAUCAAACCUGGGAGUAGCGAUAGAUGAACUAUGGUGGCUUGUAAGCAGGGCAGGUGCUGUUUGUUACUGUUUCUCUGAGCAUAUGCUGAAUAUUGAUCCAUGAUUAAUACGAUAAUAAGUCAGAUACAGUUAAAAAUGAUGGCUGAAAAAAAAGCAUUUUAGCCCUCUUCAGCUGGACUUGCGCAUUCGACACUACUAUAUGUAACACGUUCAUUUUAAUAACUGCUGAUAUCGGUGUUCCUUUGUAAAGCGACACUCUGAAGCUGAGUUGAAAAAUCCAGAACUCUGAAAACUGAAAGUAAACUAACACUGAUGCUAAUUCUAGAUGAUUUAAAUUUAUACUGCGUGUACACUGUUUUUUGUUGCUCACAAGUUUUUUUUUGUGUGUGUGUGUGUGCCCACGACCAAUUCAAUAACAAAUUUGACAUACCGCUGUAAUUUUCGGCAAUAAACUUGCAAUUCAGGACUCACUCAUCUGAGAUCACACAUCCGACAUUAGCAUCCGUAACUUUUUGUUAGGUACUGUACUGAACUACCAAUGCUGGUGUGAAUUUGUAAAAAGACAUUGUAGAGCUGAGCUAAAAAGUUCAGCACUCUGAAAGUAAGCCAGCAUUUUAGAGUUCAGGCAAGAAAUGGCAUGCAUGAGCCUACCUUCUCCCGCUCCUGCAGUUCUGCUAUCUUCUCCAUCUUCCACUCGAGCUCUUUCGUCGUGGCAUCCAGUUCCGCCCUGAGCCUCUGAUUCUGCUCCUCCGGAUCCUCACAGUUCAACUCUGGUAUGAUCUCGUCAGAUAUGAUCCUCAGCUCUGGCAGGUGACAACCCAACAAGAUUAACAUUUGCCUAAAUAAUUAGAUCAUUAUCGAGCUCACAGCACGACCAAUCUAUGGAGUAUUACCGGCGAGCUCGUCGAUGAGGCAGCUAAUGUCCUCCUCCGCCGCCCGCACCGCCGCGGCCGCCUCCUCACACCUGGCCUCCAGGAGCCUCGCCCUCGCGUCGUACUCGUCGGCGAUGGCGUCCUCGGCCCUCUUCACCGCGGCGGCCAGGAAACUCCCCGUGGCGUCAUCCCCGCGCAGGUGCAUGAAGUGGUGGUGGAGCUCGGGCGGCACCGCUUCCUGGGCUGCCGCAGUGGUCGUGACGGCGGCCGGGUGCUGCUGGGUAUCGGAGGCCAGGGCGCUCUCGGUGGCGAGGUGGUGGUGCGCGUCGGAGGCCAGGGCGCUCUCGGCAGCGAGGUGGUGGUGAGCGUCGGAUGCCAGGGCGCUCUCGGCAGCGGGGUGGUGCUGCGCGUCGGAGGCCAGGGCGCUCUCGGCGGUGGGGUGGUGCUGCGCGUCGAAGGCGUGGGUGCUCGUGGCGAUGGCGUCGAGGACCUCGCCGGCGUCGGCGUCGGCCAUGGGCACGUCGUCGUCGCUUGACAUGCAAGUGCAGUGGAGCGGAGGCCUUUGAGUGGGUUUGCGUUGGGUUCCUGUACGGACCGCCCGAGUGGGUGGCUCUGGCGACGGGGGCGGCGAUCUCGCUCUCGGGCCUGUUUCCGGCGCGGGCGUUCGGAGCUCAGCGAGCGGGGAGGCGGUGGCGGCCACGGCGGCGUCCUGGCGUCCGGCCGGCCCCGCCGCGGGUGUGGUUGGCUGGUCGGGGAGCCGUUUUUGGGCGUUGGCCGAGGCGGAUUCCGACGUGGAGUCGGUAGGUGAAGAUGCGGAGGAGCUUCUGGGCGCGACGGCGGAGUCGAUGGAGGGCGGCCAGACGGCGUGCUCCAUCGGCGACUUUGUCGCACGUGUGGAGGAGCUGGGGGGCUCCUUCAAGGCCGGGCGCCGGCGUGCUUUCGCGCCCGGUGGCCGUGGCGCACGACGUCCAGUGUUCGCCGCGGGCAGGGGGCCGCGUGCAUCGCCGGGUCGUGCGGGGCGGGGCAGCAUGGGUUUCGCAGAUGCGGGCCUGCGUCUGCAACCUACCCCGGACCAGCCCCGCUCGGUGCUGGCGGCGCCUGCAGCUGCGGCGGCUCCGCCGGAUCUGGGCGCUGGUCGGCCUAGGGUUGGGGGCGACGAGCCGGGGGCGGUGCUGGGCCGGGCCCCUGGGACGCUCGUUGGCCCAUCUGACGGGCUGGCUUUGGUAGCGGCCCAGUCGACCGCUUCCGUGGGGCAGGUGGCCCAACCCAUGGCUCAGCCCGGUCUACAGGCAGCAUCCCAGCCCAGGCCUGUCAGAGGCGAGCAUCCAUAUAAAUGGCUGUGGCUUCCCCGUGGAACCCUAGAUCCCCAUUUAGGUUUUCCUGCCACCGCUUCGGAGGUGCGGCGCUUCGGCCACUCCGCACGUUUCCUCCUCCCCACCCCAUCCCCCCCGCCUCUGCUGCGCUCCUUUGCGGAGGUAGUGAAGAUGGGUUCCAAGUCCGACCGUCGGGGGGAGAAGCCGCCCAUGGAGCCACCACGGGACCGCUCCCGUGGCCGCGACGACGACGAGGGCGGGUGGUGGCCGCCGCCUGCUUGGUGGCUCAAGGAGUAGGAGCGCAAGAAGAAGAAGAAGGAAGAGCAUCGGAAGAGGGGCCUCGAGCUCAAGUGCAAAGGGCAGAUGUCCUCCCAGGGCGGCGACCGCGCAGUCGAUCUGCAAGCGAAGAAGCCGAAGCUCAAGCUUGCGGGGGCGGCGGCUUCCAAGCCACCCCUCCCGCCCAGAUCCGCGCAGCCUGGGGGCGGCGGCUCAUCCAAGGGCUCUGUGGAGGCGCCGAUUCCCAUUGAAGAUGCAGACGGCCCAGAGUGCUUCAAGUGCGGCUGAUCUGGUCACUACCAGAACACUUGCUCCUUCCAACCGCUGUGUGUGGUGUGCAACACGGAGGGACACACCUCGGCGCAGUGCCCAACCUGCGGCAAGCCUCUGAUCUUCCAAACCAUGGGGCACGCCAUCGCCGGCGAGGGCUUCUUCUGUCUCCAGUUCCCGGAUGAUGCGAGGGAGGAGACACCGAUCCUGAUGGGGGCCAACACGGCCGUGCUCUCCUCGACUCCGGGUGCGCUCUCGAGGGAGAUCUUGGCGAUGGAGUUGCCGCACCUGUUCGAGGGUGCCUGGGACUGGCAGAUCACUCCCAUGGAAGGAGGCGCGUUCUCGGUGGUGUUUCCUGACCCGGUGAUGCUGCGGAUGGCAACUAGGAGUGGCAAGCUCUUUCUGUCCCUCAAUAAUCUCAUGGUGGAUAUCCGUGAUGCGAUCCUCGAUUCGCCCAAAGGAUUGGAGAUGCCGGAGGUGUGGGUCAAGCUGGGUGGUGUCCCUCCGAAGCAGCGCCGCUCCGACAGGCUCAUGGCGGCCACCACCAUGCUGGGCCGGCCCCUGCAGGUUGAUGAGGAGUCCCUUCUUCGCCCCGGGCCGGUGCGCAUGCAUUUUGCCUGCAGCAAUCCUCGCAAGCUUCGGGGAAUGGUCCAGAUCUGGUUCAACAAUGCAUGUUUCAACAUCUCCGUCGAGCCCGAGCUCCCCCCGGCGCCACAAGUGGCUCCCCCUCCCUUCCCCUCCCCCUCCUCCUCAUGGCAAGGGCCCGGACGAGAAGGGGCGCGAUGGUGGCCACGACGACGACAAGGAGCUCGAUACUAGCAUGGGGGAUGACUCCAUUGAUACGGCGACGUGGGAGAAGCUGGGAAUCACGGAGCAAGGCGGGGCGGUGGCUCAUGCGCUGAUGCCCAGGGUGGAGCACUCUCUGGCUGGCGGAUCGUCGGAGAUGGAUGUCUCCAUCCCGAACCAAUACGGCUCCAACCUGGGGUCGGUCACGUCUCCUCCGAUGCGGAUGGAGGUGGUCGUGGCCACCUCGACGCUGGCGGAGCCGCAGGAAGAGGCGCGCACCCCCAUCGCGGUGUCAGCGGAAUCUCUGCCCCCCACCUCGAUCUCCCCGGUGCAAGGCGGACGCAGCAGCAGCAAACUUGGGGCAGUGAAGACGCUCAAGAAGGUUGCGGUGCGCAGGGUGAGCGCGGAGGCGGCGAGUGCUGCGGAGAACCUGGGGGCUCCGGCGACGCCUAGGCAGGCGGUGAUGGCCCUGGCCUUGCCUGUCAGCGCUCCGAUCGUGCAAGAGAUGCCCCAGGCGGUGCCCAUCCCGAAGGCCAAGCGCUCCAGGGCCGUGGUGGAGGGGCAGGUGCCUUCCGUGCGGGUCAGCGCGCGCGCCAAGGGAGCCAAGGGCAACCUGCCUUCGCUCCAGUGCGCACAACUUCUCCAAGCCCAGAAGAACCUGGAAACUUCAGGUAAUCCCCUGCCUCGUUUUACGAUUCUAGACUCCUUUUCAGACGAGCAUUUGGGCGAGGUGUUGGGAGAGAGUGGGGUGGAACCAAUGGACGACGGUGGCAUGGACGAGCUCAUCUUAUUGAUCCGUGCUAACGAGGUGGCGCAGGCAGUGCUCGCAGCGGCGGCUGUUCAACACGCGGAACGCUUGGCACUGGAGGCAGAGUCCUCGCAGGUGCCAGCGAUCCUGCCCGAUGGGUACAACGCAACAGGGGUUGCUGCUCCCCCUUGCCUCGCUGCGGCAAGGUGAGGCGCGUGGCUAAGGCAAUCACCUCAAGGGGGGUGCGCCUUCGGAACCACGUAAUUUAAAUGUGCGCGCUUCUUUGGAACAUUUGUGGCUUCGGCCACUCGAGGAGGCGCACCCAACUGAAGGAGUACAUCCGUAAAGAGGCGAUCGACAUCGUUGGGCUACAGGAAAUGAUCAAAUCGGAGUUUCGGCACCAAGAUCUCAUCGCUAUAGACCCCUUAGAGCGCUUCGUGUGGCACCAUAGCCCAGCUCAGGGCCAUUCGGGAGGUAUGCUUCUUGGUUUCUGUAGUGCUACCUUCGAGGUGCUGACCUGGGAGGUUGGCACCUUUCUAAUUGCGGCUAGAAUCCGCGUGCGAGCGUCGCUUCGCGAACUCGCGAUCGUGCAAGUCUACGGACCGGUAGAUCACUCCCGUUCGGCCGAGUUCUUGGGAGAACUUGAAGCCAAGGUGCUCGAUCUAGCUGAGGCUCAGAUCCCGCUCAUGGUGGGAGGGGAUUUUAACCUGAUUCACUCGGGGGCGGACAAGAACAAUGACAACGUUAAUUGGUCAAGGGUGGCCAUGUUCAACAAUGCUAUUGCUUCGAUGGCACUUAGGGAAGUGGCUCAUACGGGAGCGAGAUACACUUGGACUAACAAACAACUAGCCCCGGUGCGAUCUGUUCUGGACCGUGUCUUCAUGUCUUCGGACUGGGAAGUCCUAUUCCCUUUGUGCUCGCUUCUUGCGGAGACAAGGAUAGGUUCGGACCAUGUGCCUCUAAUCUUAUCUUCAGGGGAAGAUAGACUCAGGCGUAGCCCGCGUUUUUUCUUCGAAACCGCGUGGUUUGAGGUCCCUGAUUUCGAUGCAAUCUUUAAGGAGAGAUGGCAACGGAGUAUCCAGCAAGCCAGCCAGCAACGUGGUCCUUUGGAGCUUUGGAUUGCGGUGGGGGACCGCCUGCGCGCUAGCCUUAAGGGGUGGGGCGCGAACCAGGGACGCGAGGCCAAGAGCCUCAGGGCGAGGCUUGUGGCUGAUCGCCGUCCUUGAUGCCCAAGCAGACACGCGCCCUUUCUCAGAGCUAGAAUGGGCGUAGCACUACGCCUUGGAAGGCCAAGUCGAAGCAUUGCUGCGGGCCGAGGAGGAAUAUUGGAGGCGCAGAGGUGGCCUCAAGUGGACGCUCAAAGGGGACGCGAACACUAGGUAUUUCCAAGCCUACGCGAAUGGCCGGCGCAGGAAAUGCUCUAUCCUUAGGCUGCAGACGGAGCAGGGGCUCCUACUGCAGCAAUCGGAGAUCUCCAAUCACAUCUACGACUUCUACAUUAGUUUGAUGGGGUCGGACGACGCACAGCGUGCGCGCCUGCGGGCGGAUGUGUGGCUGCCGUCGCAGCGGGUGUCUGAUAGCGAGAACGACGAGCUGGGGCUCGCGUUCCUCCCUAAGGAAAUCGACAACGCGCUGUUGUCCAUGAAAACCGACACGGCGCCUGGUCCCGACGGGUGGCCGGUGGCGAUGUUUAAACAUUUCUAGCCACUGCUGCGUGGCCCUAUCUUCGACGUGUGCAACGGUUUUAUGCGCGGCUUCGUGGAUAUAGCUAGUCUUAACUACGGGGUCCUCUCGCUCAUUCCGAAAGUUCCGGGUGCGGACAACAUUCGUCAGUACAGGCCUAUUGCUCUUAUUAAUGUCCCGUUCAAGAUUUGUGCUAAAGGUUGCGCAACUAGGCUGUCUCCGGUCGCUCACCGCAUCAUUAGUCGCUCGCAGUCGGCGUUUAUUCGUGGUAGGAACAUUCUAGAGGGUCCGUUAGCCUUGGAAGAGACCCUUCACGAGCUUAGACGGACACACGAACCGGCGAUCCUCCUGAAAUUAGAUUUCGAGAAGGCUUACGAUCAUGUCAACUGGGCUUUCCUUCGGCAAGUCCUCUCUAGCAGGGGCUUCGCGCCUGUUUGGGUGCACCGAGUGAUGCAGCUAGUCUCGGGGGGCCAGACUGCUAUCUCGGUUAACAGAGAAGUAGGGAACUUCUUCCGGAACAAACGGGGAUUGCGCCAAGGCGAUCCCAUGUCUCCACUCCUUUUUAACUUCAUAGCCGAUGCGUUGGCUGCCAUGCUGCGGAAAGCCACGGAGGCUGGCCACAUUAAAGGGGUGUUAGGACACCUGAUCCCAGGGGGGAUCUCUCACUUGCAGUACGCGGAUGACACGCUCCUAUUGUUCCAACCAGACCCGCACAACAUCGCUACAGUCAAAGCUCUGCUUCUUAGCUUUGAACUUAUGUCGGGGCUUAAGAUAAACUUCCAUAAGAGCGAAGUGAUGUCUUUGGGCUUGGAGGCGCAGGAUAGUAGGCGCAUCACGGACCUGCUAAAUUGCAAGUUAGGAAAACUGUCGUUUACCUAUCUAGGCCUUCCAUUAGAUGCCAAGCACAUUAAGAUGGACGGCUGGGCCCCGCCGUGGACCAAGGUGGGUGAUCGGGUUUGCCCUUGGAGGGGAAAGUUUCUCUCCUCCGCAGCCAGGUUGGUGCUCACAAAUUCGAGCCUCUCCUCGCCGCCUCUAUUUGCAAUGGGGCUGUUCCUUCUGGCCAAUGGGGUGCAUGCCAGGAUGGACACUCCCCGGUCCCGUUUCUUUUGGGAAGGAGCGGGACCCAAGUGCAAAUAUCACAUGGUUCGAUGGGAUGCGGUGUGCCGUCCGAAGGCCCAUGGUGGACUAGGGAUCACGAACACCAGAAUCCUCAACAUUGCGCUUAUGUGCAAAUGGAUCUGGAAGCUGUCGCAGGGGGCGACGGGCCUGUGGGUUGAUCUACUCCGCACUAAGUACUUCCCGUCGGGGAACUUCUUUGAAGGGGUGGUCAGGGGCUCACCGUUUUGGAAUGACCUCCAAGCGGUGCGGCCAGCCUUCGCCUUGGGAGCCAAGUUCUCCGUUGGCAAUGGCCGUUCGGCCCAGUUUUGGUUGGAUCACUGGGUAGGAUCUCAACCCAUCUGGUCCGCUUUCCAGGACCUGUACAUCCAGGCGGUCAACCCGGACAUGAGCGUAGCCUCGGCGCUUGCCUCCUCCCCUCCUGCGAUCUGUUUCAGACGCGAGCUUACGGGAUCGGAACUAGCCCACCUGGCUGAGUUACGUGAGCUUAUCGCGCCGGUGACGCUUACCAUGCUCGCGGACACCGUGUCAUGGUCCCUCACUCCUUCCGGCAAGUUCACGGUUAAAUCUUUAUACCGUAAGAUGUGCCAGAGCCAGGCCUGCCUUGUGCCGAAAGCCCUAUGGACCGCGCGUCUACCUCUUAAGAUUAAGGUGUUCUUCUGGCAGAUGUUCCGCAAUCGGCUGCCCACCUCGGCUAACGUGGCUAAAUGGAAUGGUCCGUCGACGGGCACUUGCGCGGUUUGUCACGUUGUGGAAGAUGCCAAUCAUGUUUUCUUCCGCUGCCCGUUAGCCCGCUUUGCUUGGAGUGCGGUUCGAGCAGCCGCUAACACCUCUUGGAACCCACGUUCGACUUCCGACCUUGCGGGCUUAUUUGCCUCUGCCUCUGGAGGCAACAAUCGCGUGCUGUGGAGCUGUAUCGGAGCCCUAGCUUGGUCUCUCUGGCUAACUAGGAAUAAACUUGCGAUCGAGGGUAUUUUCCCAACGCACCCAGCUAACAUCCUAUUCAAAUGCAACCUCUUCCUGCAGCAGUGGAGUCCGUUGGUGAGGCGCAAGGAUGCUGAUAAGAUGAAGCAUGCCCAAGAUCGUCUGCGCACCGUCUACAUUUUGGCUAGGGAGCCUCUCGCCUCGUCUCCGUCGUGAUUGGGGCCCUUUUGCGUCGUGUUUGAGCGAGCCUGCGUGCUCUAUGCUCUGGCUUCGUGCCAUGUUUCUCGCAUCAUUCUUCUCUGGCCAGGUCUUUCGGAUGUAAACUUUAAGUUACUGCUGGCCGGGAGCCUCUGUGCUCGUGUCGUUUACUUUCGGAACUUGGUCUGUUACGCUGCCUGCUGUGGGCUUUAUUAAUUUAAAGCCGGACGCGUCUAAGCGUCUUCGUUCUAAAAAGGAUGGAUUUCCACUUUCUGGGAGUACUACUACUACAGUCUACAGCAUACUACCAGUACUAGUGCAGCCGAUGAUUUAUUAUAUUCAGUGCAUUUCUUUUCCAAAGCUUUUUUUAUUGGCACACCAUCUUCAUGUUCAAAUAUCUUUUCUAAAGCUAUUUUAAUCACUGUUGUUGUUCCGGAAGAAAUUAUGCUCGAUGAGUGUUGUCAGCAUGAGGGAAGGACCUCAAGUUCAGUUCAGCUUCCAAGGCCUCGAAUCCUGUGAGAAAAUCACAUGUUUGGUCCUUCAAGUGUUUGGCCCACAAUGAUUUGGUUCGACAACUCCAGAAACACUACGAUAUGAUCUUUAUAUACGUGAAUACGUAACAUUCUAUGGUACCCUUACGGUCCUCUCGAUAGUAGAGCACCCUGGUGCCGCGUCGCGCUGUGCUUUUGCAGAAAACCCCCUCGCUUUUUGUGGAAACAACCCACGCUCCAGUUUGGCACCACACGUUAGGAUCGCCGUCGUGGGCCCACUUGUCGGUCACACACGCCAUGUAGUCAAAUCGCCGUAGCCUUAUUCAAUAGCCACGCCUACUCCACCACUCCACUCCCAUCUCUCUCUGUCUCGUUGCCUCCCUCCUCAUGGAGAAACCCCCAUCUGUCUCUUUCUCUCUCUCAAACCCCUAACCAACCAACCAACCGCCCGUCACUGCCUACCGUCACCAUCGAUAGCGAAGACCAAUGAGUGGGAGAGGAUGGUCGACGGUUGGGCCGGCACCGAUCCACUCAAUGUCUCCAUCACUCGCGAGUCGGUGCCUGGUUCAAGAGUGCGUCAUUGCUCGCGAACCAUGCGUGUGGCUUGGUCAAACAGUUGAGGGAGGAUGAGAGGGCUCGUGUGUCCCCGGACGGCAAGGGCAUGGCAAUGGUUACCAUUAUCGUCUGGUGCAUGCUCGAGGGGCGGUCCGGUGAUGCUUCCUAGUGCACUCGCUGGGCCAUGUACCGCCCGUGCAGCCUGCGGCCGCUCCUGCCGGAUCCAAAAGUAGAGCGUGCCGAGCACGUUCAAGUGGUCGUGCCACAUCAUGUCGACUCCAACUGACUCACCAUCGCUCGCAAGGAGCCGCCACUGGGUAUGCCUGUGAUCGUCAUUGAUGACGACGAGCCGCACGAUGCUUCGUCUGAUGUGCAGGUCGCCGCUUGGCCUGUCAUCGCAUGCAGCAAGGAGGCACCCAUCGAUGUGGAGGAGCUGCCUCCCAUCAAUGAAGAUGAGCUACCUCCUGUUGAUCUUCCGGUGAAGACUGAGAAGGAGCUAGGGGAAGGAGCAGCCACGGGAGCUGGAGGAGGAGCCACGGGAGGAGGUGAAGAGGGCGGCAAAGAAUAAGAGGGCAGCCAACAUAUGCAUGCUCAGCGCCACUCUACACGCCUGAGUGGCACACCGGUCCCACGUUUCGCCUGACUAAACUGAAAGAAGUUUUGUUGGUUUAUGAUACGUCUCCAACAUAUCGAUAAUUCAUGAAGUAUGCAUGCCAUGUUUAUUAUAAGGGAUAAUUGAUAUUAUGCCCCUAAUUGUGUCACACUCGACAUGUUUACCGCUACUUUUCGGAUAUACUCGUUCCUGUCCCAACCACUUUGCUUCUCUUGUGUUUUUGCCCUUCUGUCUCAACUCCGUCUGGUCAAAGGCGUUUGACUGUUAGAGCGACUUUUUUUGGAUAAUUUUGCCCCUCCUUACAACUCCAGUUAAAAAUCAAAGAAAAAAAAACAAUGUUACACUUACAUGUGGGACCCAAUUGAAUGCAAGAGAAAAAAACGCAUUCCCUCUCUCCUUCCUGUGGGACCCACGCCCUAAUCCCCCUUCCUAUCUUCUUCCUCGCCUAGCUCCGGCAUGACUCCCCCGCUCACCCCGCAGCCGGUCACCCACGCCGGUGCCUCCCUGACCUCAAGCCGCGGGACAAGUAGUUGCUGCCUAUCUGCUCGCCGCCGAUCGCCAGUGCCUCCUCAACCUCCAUCCCGGCCAGAUCCGGUCCAGCCCGAGCCUCCCGCGGCCGGAUCUGCCGUCUCCGCUGCGCCUCCAUGCCUUGCGCCAAUCCUAGCCUCCCCUGCAUCGCGCCGCCACCCCAUGCCCAAAGAUCCCCGCCACCCGUCCGUAGACCCACAUUGUCCUGGUGGCUCUGGCCAUCCACAUCGAAUCUCGCCGCCAGACCCCGCUGCCAACUACCUCCAGCGACGCGUCGGAUCGAGGCCUCCUACACGCCUUGCAGUGGCCCUGCCUCUGCCACAUCCAUCACGGACGAACACCGUGGCCUCGAGGUCUAGCUUGUGCUCACGAAGGCGCCCGCUAGCGAGAGGUCGGCUGCCCUCGCCAUACAGUCCCUCAGCGCGCCGGUCGACAGAGCUUUGCGGUGUCUGGGGUGGGAGAGCGAGGUGGUUGUGAGGGGCACCGACGGCAGGUCAUGCGACACCGGCGGCACGGGUGCGGCAACACCACGAUGGAGAAAGUGAGGUGUUUCGGGAGGGAGAGAGAGUGUGUAUGUUUUUCGAUUUUUUUAUUUUGCAUUUAGUUGGGUCCCACAUGUAAGCGUUGCAUUGAUUUUUCUUUGAUUCUUAACUGAAGUUGGAAGGAGGGGCAAAAUGGUCCAGAAAAAUGUCGCUCUGACGGUCAAACUCCUUUGACUGGACGGAAUUUAGACGGAAGGGUAAAAACACAAGAGAAGCAAAGUGGUUUGGACAGGAACGAGUAUUUUUGAAAAGUAGGGGUAAACCUGUCGAGUGUGACCCAACUAGGGGCAUAAUAUCAAUUAUCCCUUAUUAUAAUUUUUUAUGAUUUUGGUUCACUUUUAUAUGAAUUUCAUGGACUAACAUAUUAACCUAGUGCCUAGUGCCAGUUGUUGUUUUCUACUUGUUUUUGGUUUUCCAAAAAAUGCAUACCAAACGAAGUCCAAACGUGAUGAAACAUUUUGACCUUUUUCUGGAACAUAAGAGACCCCCAAAGCUUUAAGGGAGGAUCAGAAGACCCAUGAGGAGGUGACAAGGCAACCUGGUGCGCUUAGGGAGGUGGCCGCACCGGGAUACCUUGUGGGCCCCUUGUGACUCCGUUUCACGUGAUUCCAACUCUGAAAAUUCUUGUAAAUAGAGAAAUCCCUAGAAAUAAACCUAGAACUUCGACUCCACCGCCGCAAGCCUUUGUUCCUCCGCGAUCUCAUCUAGAGCCCUUUUUCACACCCUACCAGAAGGGAAAUCAUCAUCGGAGGCCAUCUUCAUCAUCCCAACGAUCUCCAUGAUGAGGAGGGAGUAGUUCAUCCUCGGGGCUGAGGGUAUGUACCGGUAGCUAUAUGUUUGAUCUCUCUCUCUCUCUCAUGUUCUUGAUUUGGCAUGAUCUUGAUGUACCACGGGCUUUGUUAGUAUAGUUUCAUCAUAUGGUGUUCUUCCCUCUCUAUCUUUGUUGUGAUGAAUUGAGUCUUGCCCUUUUAGGUUUAAUUAUGUUGGAUUGAAUAUUGGAUUUGAGAACACUUGAUGUAUGUCUUGCAUAUGAAUACCCGUGGUGACAAUGUGGUAUUAUAUUGAGUCACUUGAUAUAUGUUUUGGUAAUCAACUUGCGGAUUCCUGUGGUGACAUUGGGGUAAUCUUGGCAUAGAGGUUGAUACACAUUUUCGUCAUGCUUUCUCUGAUAGAAACUUUGGAGUGAUUCUUUGUCACAUGUUGAGGGAUUGUUAUAUGAUUCAAUUAUGUUAGCACUAUUGAGAGAUUGCACUAGUGUAAGUAUGAACCUUAGGCCUUAUUUCCAAGCAUUGCAAUACUAUAUGUGCUCGCUUUUGUUACUUGCUACCUUCCUGUUUUUAUUAUUUUAGAUUACAAAAACCUAUAUCUACUAUCCAUACUACACUUGUAUUACCAUCUCUUCGUCGAACUAGUGCGCCUAUACAAUUUGCCAUUGUAUUGGGUUUGUUGGGGACACAAGAAAUUUCUUGUAUUUGAUUGCAGGGUUGUUUGAGAGAGACCAUAUUCAUCCUAUGCCUCCCACGGAUUGAUAAACCUUAGGUCAUCCACUUGAGGGAAAUUUGUAGUUGUCCUACAAAACUAUGCACUUAGAGGCCCAACAGAUUCUACAAGAAAUAAAGUUGCAUAAUAGACAUCAGAAAAAUGCAGUUAGACUAGAAGUUAGUAUUAGUAGUUAAAUUAUAUUUUGUAUGUAAGUUUGGACUACCUAUGAUUAGCAGCAGUAGUUAGUAUGUUAUUUUGAACUACCUAUGAAUAUAUGAUGCAACUUGUCUUGUUUAAGAGAUCACGUGUUUUAACUAUUUUAGCAACCCAUGGAAACCAUGUGUGAACAAUCACUGUUUUAAUAGAUAUCCUAUUUUAACAACUUGUAUUUGUCUUUGUAUGACUUUUGGCAACAUGCCAGUGGCAGCUGGGACCCAUUUUUGGACACAUCUUGUCUUUGUCUGAAUUUUAACAACUUGUCUUUGCCUUUGUGUGAAUUUUGGCAACAUCUAUAUUUGUCAGUUUGGAAAUUGUGUUUGGCAUUUUGCUUCACGAUCCUGUGGCAUUUAUCAUAAAUUUUUGGCAACACUUGUUGGGCAAUGUUAGCAACACAUUCAGAUCCAUUUUUGGCAACAUCCAUGCUGGUAAAACUGCAUUGAGAUGAUGCCAUAUUCAGAUCCAUUUUUGGCAGAACAUAACUUCAUCAGGUGAAUUUAAACAUAACGUAAAUGAAGAGGAAAUGUAUUUAAACAGAACAUAACUUCAUCAGGUGCAUUACAUUACAUAACAUAACACUUGUAGUUCUUCAGGUGCAGUACCUCACAUUAGCAGGCAGUUUUAACUUAAGUAGCAUCAUUACAGUCAUCAGAAUAUGCACUCAUUGUUGGGAACAAAAAAGUUUUAACGCACACGCAAGAUCUAUUCAUGGAGAUGCAUAGCAACGAGAGGGGGAGAGUGUGUCUACGUACCCUCAUAGACCGUAAGCGGAAACGGUUAGUAACGCGGUUGACGUAGUCGAACUUCAUCGUGCUCCAACCGAUCAAGUACCGAACAUACUGCACCUCCGCGUUCAGCACACGUUCAGCUCGAUGACAUCCACGCCUUCUUGAUCCAGCAAGACGGCGAGGUAGUGGAUGAGUUCCGUCAGCACAACGUCAUGAUGACCGUGAUGGUUAUGCUAUCUCCGCAGGGCUUCGCCGAAGCACUACGAAAAUAUGACCGACGGUGUAAACGGUGGAGGGGUGCGCCGCACACAGCUAAACAAUUGUCGUGGUUAUGUAUGGCGCCCCCCUCCACAUAUAUAUAGGUGGGGGAGAGGGGAGAGUCCAAGGGGCACCCCAAGUAGGGCCAAAUCCUACUUGGGGACUUCCCCAAACCGCUCCCCCUUUCCAUAUAUGAGUGCGAGAGGAAGGCAGGGGAAGGAGCCCCCCCUUUCCUUUCUCUCACGAGGAGGGAAAGGCAGAAGGGGCCACCCCUCCCCUUUCCUUCCCCUAGGAUGGCCUGCCAAGGAGAGGGGUGUACUAGCCCCUAGUGGGCUGAUUUGUCCCGUCCUUUGGCCCAUUAGGCCCAUACACUUACCGGGGGUGUCCGGAACCCCUUCCAGCAACCCGAUGACUACCCGGUGCAGUCUGAAACUCUUUCGAUGUCCGAAUACUAUCAUCCUAUAUAUCAAUCUUUACCUCUCGACCAUUUCGAGACUGCUCGUCAUGUCCGUCAUCUCAUACGGAGCUCUGAGCAACAUUUUGUCACCAAAUCAUAUAACUUAUCGUCAAUGAACGUUAAGCGUGUGCGGACCCUAUGGGUUCGAGAACUAUGUAGCAUGACCGAGACACCUCUCCGGUCAAUAAACAAUAGUGGAACCUGGAUGCCCAUAUUGGUUCCUACAUAGGUACGAAGAUCUUUAUCGGUCGAAUCGUUAUGACAACAUACGUAAUUCCCUUUGUCCAUCAGUAUGUUACUUGCCCGAUAUUCGAUCGUCGGUAUCACUAUACCUAGUUCUAUCUCGUUACUGACAAGUGUCUUUACUCAUUCCAUAAUACAUCAUCUUGCAACUAACUCAUUAGUCACUUUGCUUCCAAGGCUUCUUAUGAUGUCUAUUGCCAAGAGGGCCCAGAGAUACCUCUCCGAUACUCGGAGUGGCAAAUCCUAAUCUCGAUCUAUGCCAACUCAACAAACACCUUCGGAGAUACCUAUAGAGCAUCUUUAUGAUAACCCAGUUACGUUGUGAUGUUUGAUAGCACACAAGGUAUUCCUUCGGUAUCCGGGAGUUGCAUAAUCUCAUAGUCGAAGGAAUAUGAAUUUGUCAUCAAGAAAGUGAUAGCAAUAAACUGAACGAUCAAUAUGCUAAGCUAACAGAUGGGUCUUGUCCAUCACAUCAUUCUCCUAAUGAUGUGAUCUCGUUAUCAAAUGACAACACAUGUCUAUGGUUACGAAAGCUUAACCAUCUUUGAUCAACGAGCUAGUCUAGUACAGGCUCACUAGGGACACGAUAUUUGUUUAUGUAUCCACACAUGUAUUUAAGUUUCUGAUCAAUACAAUUCUAGCAUGAAUAAUAAACCUUUAUCAUGAAUAAGGAAAUAUAAAAUAACAAAUUUAUUAUUGCCUCUAGAGCAUAUUUCCUUCAGUCUCCCACUUGCACUAGAGUCAAUAAUCUAGUUCACAUCGCCAUGUGAUUAACACCCAUAGUUCACAUCGCCAUGUGACUAAUACCCAAAGAGUUUACUAGAGUCAAUAAUCUAGUUCACAUCGGCAUGUGAUUAGCACUCAGAGAGUACUAAGUUGUGAUCAUGUUUUGUUUGUGGGAGAAGUUUAGUCAACGGGUCUGCCACAUUUAGAGUCGUAUGUAUUUUGCAAUUUUCUAUGUCUACAAUGCUUUGCAUGUAGCUACUCUAGCUAAUUGCUCCCACGUUCAAUCCAUAUCCAAAUUGAGACUUGGAGUCAUCCGGAUCGCUGUCAAAAGCUUGCAUCGACGUAACCCUUUACGACGAACUCGUUAUCACCUCCAUAACCGAAACAUUUCCUUAGUCCUUUUCAGGUAUCUAGGGAUAAUUUUGACCACUGUACAAUGAUGUACUCCUGGAUCACUAUUGUACCCCCUUGCUAGACUCAUGGCAAGGCGCACAAUAGGUUUGGUACACAUCAUGGCAUACUUUAUAGAACCUAUGGCCGAGGCAUAGGGAAUGACUUUCAUUUUCUAUCUAUCUUUUGCCGUGAUCAUGUUUUGAGUCUUACUUAGCUUCACACCUUACAAUAUAGGUAAGAACUCCUUCUUUGAAUGAUCCAUUUUGAACUCCUUCAAAAUCUUGUCAAGGUAUGUAUUAAUUGAAAGUCUUAUCAAGCAUCUUGAUCUCACUAGUACAACAAGGUGCUAUACAAAUGGUUUUUAACCCAUUUCCGUGACGGCAUUCAGAACCGUCACCUAGUAUGUGUGGGUGAUAGGGGGGGUCCUUCCCCAUGACCCAGAAACCGUCGGGGAUAUGCCCUCCUGGCACACACGCUUGGCAAAAUGAGGUCGUGUGCGACCGGCAAGCGAGAAAAUACGGUUAUACGUACAGUAGUGCUCAAAAAUACAAUUCUACAGGCAAAAUCGUUUCCGGUCGUAAGUACAUCCCACAAAGUCAGUCCUCGCUAAACGUUUCCGUUCACAUAUACAUCCCACACAGUCGAUGCAAGGAAAAUGUUUCCGUCCGUUCGUACAUCACACAAAAUUUUCCCCAUUAAAUCAUUUGUCAUAGCGUUCUCAUCGUACACAAUAUUAACAAUUUUAUCAUUUGCGUUAUUGAAUGCAUCACACACAAGCACACAAGAAGCAAGCGAAAAGAUACGAAUGGAAGAGGGGCGAAGAAAAGGCAAAUGUUUUCGAAAAUCAUUUUAGAAGUGGGGGAGAGGAAAACGAGAGGCGAAUGGCGAAUAAUGUAAUGCAAGGGAGAAGAGUUUAUGAUGGGUACUUGGUAUGGCUUGAGUUGGCGUAGAUCUCCCUGGCAACAGCACCAGAAAUCCUUCUUGCUACCUCUUGAGCUUGUGUUGGUUUUCCCUUGAAGUGGAAAGGGUGAUGCAGCAAAGUAGCAUAAGUAUUUCCCUCAGUUUUGAGAACCAAGGUAUCAAUCCAGUAGGAGACGAUGCACAAGUCACCGAAUACCUACACAAACAAUCAAGAACAUGCAACCAACGCGAGAAAGGGGUUGUCAAUCCCUUCACGGUCACUUGUAAAAGUGAGAUCUGAUAGAGAUAGAUAAACGGUAAAGUAAAUAUUUUUGGUAUUUUUGGUUUAUAGAUUGGAAAGUAAAGAUUGCAAAAUAGUAGAUCAGAAACUAGCAAGAUGUAAACGAGAUUCAGUAAUAUGGAAAAGAGACCCUGGGGCCAUAGGUUUCACUAGUGGCUUCUCUCGAGAUAGCAUAUAUUACGGUGGUUGAACAAAUUACUGCCAAGCAAUUGAUAGAAAAGCGCAUAAUUAUGUUGGCAUCUAAGGCAAUAAUCAUGAACAUAGGCAUCACGUCCGUGUCAAGUAGAGCGACUCCUGCUUGCAUCUACUACUAUUACUCCACACAUCGACCGCUAUCCAGCAUGCAUCUAGAGUAUUAAGUUCAUAAAAACGGAGUAACGCAUUAAGCAAGAUGACAUGAUGUAGAGGAAAUUAGCUCAAUCAACAUGAUGAAAACCCCAUCUUGUUAUCCUCGAUGGCAACAAUACUAUACGUGCCUUGCUGCCCCUACUAUCGCUGGAAAAGGACACCGCAAGAUUGAACCCAAAGCUAAGCGCUUCUCUCAUGGCUAUAGAGAUCAAUCUAGUAGGUCAAACUAAACUGAUAAAUUCGAAAAGACUUGCAAAGAUAUCAAAUCAUGCAUAUAAGAAUUCAGAGAAGAACCAAAUAAUAUUCAUAGAUAAUCUUGAUCAUAAAUCCACAAUUCAUCGGAUCUCGGCAAACACACCGCAAAAGAGUAUUACAUCGAACAGAUCUCCAAGAACAUCGAGGAGAACUUUGUAUUGAGAAUCAAAGAGAGAGAGAAAAGGCCAUCUAGCUAAUAACUAUGAACCCGAAAGUCUGUGGUAAACUACUCACGCUUCAUCGAAGAAGUAAUGGUGUUGAUGUAGAAGCCCUCCGUGAUCGAAUCCCCCUCUGGCAGAUCGCCGGAAAAGGACCCAAGAUGGGAUCUCAUGGGUACAGAAGGUUGCAGUGGUUGAAAAGUGGUUUCGCGGCUCCCCCUGAUGUUUUUGGGGUAUAAGAGUAUAUAUAGACGAAGGAACUAGGUCAGGGGUGUUACGAGGGGCCCACAAGUGUGGGGGGCACGCCUAACCGCCUUGGGCGCGCCCUCCUGCCUCGUGGCCGCCUUGUUGCCUCUCCGACUUCAUCUCCAAGUCUUCUUGUUUGCUUUCGGUCCAAGAAAGAUCAUCGCAAAGGUUUCAUUCCGUUUGGACUCCGUUUGGUAUUCCUUUUCUGCAAAACUCUAAAGUAGACAAAAAAAUAUAGAAAUUGGCACUAGACCCUCGGUUAAUAGGUUAGUCCCAAAAAUAAUAUAAAAUAGCUUAUUAAAGCCCAUUAAACAUCCAAAACAGAUAAUAUAAUAGCAUGGAACAAUCAAAAAUUAUAGAUACGUUGGAGAUGUAUCAGUGAGCUCAAGACACCAGGGCGCGCCAGGCCCCCCAGGCGCGACCUGGUGGGUUGUGCUCAGCCCAUCCCACCUCCCGUGCCUCUCUUCUGGUAUUUAGGUCAUUUUGACCUAGAAAAAAAUAAGGGAAGGACUUUCGGGACGAAACGCCACCGUCUCGAGGCUGAACUUGGCAGGAACACUUUUGCCCUCCGGCGCAGCGAUUCCGCCGGGGGAACUUCCCUCCCGGAGGGGGAAAUCAUCGUCAUCAUCAUCACCAACAACUCUCCCAUCUUGGGAAGGGCAAUCUCCAUCAACAUCUUCAACAACACCAUCUCCUCUCAAACCCUAGUUCAUCUCUUGUGUUCAAUCUUUGUACCGGAACUAUAGAUUGGUGCUUUCGGGUGACUAGUAGUGUUGAUUACAUCUUGUAGUUGAUUAUUAUAUGGUUUAUUUGGUGGAAAAUUAUAUGUUCAGAUCCAUUAUGCUAUUUAAUACCCCUCCGAUCAUGAGGAUGAUUAUCAUUUGUGAGUAGUUACUUUUGUUCUGGAGGUCACAGGAGAAAUCAUGUUGCAAGUAAUCAUGUGAACUUGAUAUGUGUUCGAUAUUUUGAUGAUAUGUAUGUUGUGAUUCCCUUAGUGGUGUCAUUGAACGUCGACUACAUGACACUUCACUAUAUUUGGGCCUAAGGGAAUGCAUUGUGGAGUAGUUAUUAGAUGAUGGGUUGCGAGAGUAACAGAAGCUUAAACCCUAGUUUCUAUGCUAUUCCAUAAGGGACCGAUUGGAUCCAAAAGUUUAAUGCUAUGGUUAGAAUUUAUUCUUAAUACUUUUCUCGUAGUUGCAGAUGCUUGCGAGGGGGUUAAUCAUAAAUAGGAGGUUUGUUCAAGUAAGAACAACACCUAAGCACCGGUCCACCCACAUACCAAAUUAUCAAAGUAGCGAACACGAAUCGAACCAACAUGAUGAAAGUGACUAGAUGAAAUUCCCGUGUACCCUCAAGAACACUUUGCUUGUCAUAAGAGACCGUUUUGGCCUGUCCUUUGCCUCAAAAGGAUUGGGCUACGUUGCUGCACUUUUGUUACUACUACUGUUACUUGCUCGUCACAAAUUAUCUUGCUAUCAAACUACUCUGUUACUUACAAUUUUACCACUUGUAGACAUUACCUUGCUGAAAACAACUUGUCAUUUCCUUCUGCUCCUCGUUGGGUUCGACACUCUUACUUAUCGAAAAGGCUACAAUUGAUCCGAUAUACUUGUGGGUCAUUAGAGGAUGGACACCACCGACACCCUUCAGGAAGGAAUGACGGCACCCGCAGGCGGCACCUCAUCAGUGCCGGAUGAACCGGCGGUGUCGUGGAAUUGUCACGUCAGAUGUCCUAGCGUAAGGACUUAGCCAUGGAGCCAUCGCAACUAGGAAGCUUAAGGGGGUUUAAUGGGACAAAGUUCAUGAGGUUUAUACUCGUUCAGCCCCUUGCGGUGAAGGUAAAAGCCUACGAUCCAGUUUUGGGUGGGAUUGCUAAUGACUCGAUAACCAGGGAGCGAAUCCGCUUGACCUAGUUCUCGAUCUGAUGUUACUUGCCCUGAACCACUGCCGGUUCGUCCCUUUAUAUACAGAGGUUGACGCCCAGAGGCUCACAGAGUCCCGGACGGUUCAUAAACAGUGUCCGGCUUGGUCUCUCUCUAUUCCUGUCUUACAAUACAAGUUAUACAUACAUGGCGGUUUAUCUCUACUGGCCUUAAGUCUCCUAUGGGCCUUGGGCCUUUAAGUGAGCCGCCAUCUUGAAGUAUCUUCAGUGGGCUUCGUCAUAAGGUGUGACCCGAACCCUCCCGGGCGGGUCUUGCCUAAUAGUUAUAUCCCCAACAUUAGGCCCCAGAUUGAUUUUAACUGGUUCAUGUCAAUCUUCAACACUUAAGAAAAAUAUUCUGCUCCCUGCUUAUGAAAUUUUUGUAACCCGCCAUGACGUCAUCCUUCGGACCUGUGGUAACCCGCCAUGACAUCAUCCGUCAUAAAUGUAUGUUUUAUCCAACAUACCUCAAUGGAUCUUUAUCUUAAUGACCAUCCCAAAAAUUGAGGCGUCCUUGUAGUUGGAUAAUUAUGUCUUUGGCCUCCUUGUUUUUCGCGCCUGCUCAUCAGUUUUUUUUCUUAUAAAUAGACCUGACCAGGUCUUUCCUCAUUCUUCUCCUUUCCUCAUCUUCUUCCUUGCACACCUUACUGCUGCUCGAGCUCCGCCGCCGCCGCCGCGCACCUCGUCUUCGUCGACCUUGGCCGCUACAUCGACCUGAAUCUGUCCAGAGAAUGGCGGCGAGCCUCCGCAGCAGCCUUGCAGCCGUAAGUUUUCCUCUUCCCCUACUUCAGAUCUUCAUUAGGGUUUGCAAGUUCCUUCCAUGUUCUUUGCUGUUCACGUUGGCUUCUUCCUAGUUCUACCACUGCAGCCUCCUUUGAUACAAAAAAGAGUAUAAGACUCAUGCAAUAACUGUUUCGCACUCAUUUUUGAUACUAGCAGAUCCCUUUAUCUUGCAAAGAAGCCUUGUUAGAACUGAUGAACCCAUUCACACUUCGUUUUUAGGUCUAGAAUAUUUUCCUUUCUGAAUAGCCGGUUGAUCCAAAAUAGUAGCUGCAACUUGUGAAAACUUGUUUUUCAACACUUAGGCAAAAAAUUGUGUUUACUAGAUCCACCUAGCCAUGGCGACUACUAUCACUGGCUUCAAUGACAAUGCUUAGUUGAUAAUCUUGACCGCCCAUGGCGGCUUAAAUAACUGAAUUGUCAAUGAUGCUUAUGGCGGCUUAAAUAAUCUGACAUAAUUAGUCUUAUACCAUUAGGCCCCUUCAUAAGCCACCAUCUUGAAUAUGCACUGGCAUUUCUUCCAGCUUAAAUUUGAACCAGAAAUUUUAUCCUUUCUUAGGCUUCCAUCACAAUGGCACCUAAGACAAGUACCUCAUGCAACUGGGUCCCGUCCAUUGUCACUGAACAGACCCUUGAAGAUUUUGUGAAAGUUGGCUAUCUGCCGUAAAGGGAUGUCAUGUCGUACUGUGCCCCUGACCCAACAGAAGAAAGACCUCAACCCAAGGAGGGGGAAGUGAUCGUAUUAACAGAUCAUAUGAACCGGGGUUUCUCACCACCCUACUCAAAAUUCUUUAGGGAUGUCCUGCAUUUAUUUGAUCUCCGUCCUCAAGACAGCGGACCCAAUUCCGUGUCUAAUAUCUGCAAUUUUGAAGUAUUCAGCAAGGUGUAUAUUGGAGAAGAACCCAACAUGUUACUCUUCAGAGAGUUAUUCUAUUUGAACCGCCAAAAUGAAUGUGCCAGGGGACAGAGCUUGGAACUUGGUGGCAUCUCAAUCCAGCAUCGGAGAGACAUCAUUUUUCCUUAUGCCAAUCCGCCAAGCCACUCUAAAGACUGGAAUCAAAGGUGGUUUUAUUGUCAAGACACUUCCCCGGCUGAUGAGAAUCCUCUGCCCGGUAUUUGCGCCUUGUGUCUCGAUUCCAAUCAUCCACUGCCUGACAAGAUAUCACCCGCCGAACGCAAAACGCUCACCCCCACCUUGGCCAAAAUCAAAGCUCUUCUAGGGAACAGGUUGAAUGGUAUUGAUUUGGUCCAGGUCUGGCAUGCCUGCGGAUUAUUCCAUUAAGCUGCCGCCCCGGUCUAAUGUGCAACUAUUCAGGCAAGAAAGAUGAUCCUCUGUGACAUAGUCCUGAUAAUUUGCCUGAUCACGUCAUCAAUGACAUGACCAAGUGCCUCCUUAAUGAAAGCCUAAUAGACUGCGCCAAGGUGGGCUUAAGCCCUUUCUGUGCAACCAAUCCGGCUCCAGCGGUAAGUCGCCAAGCUGAACAAAUCAUUUCCAAUAUUGAUGUUUUACCUAUACUCAAACUUUUGCUAAUUUUCACAGACUGAUAACAAAUUCUGGAAAGUCAAAUAUGAUCAUGAGGCUGCAAAAAGAGACAGGAAGGCCAAGGGAGCCGCUAGGAGAGCCGCCACAAAGAAACGUGGAAAGAAACCGAGUGCUUCUGAGCAGCUUCGGUUAGAUGAUUUUCCUGAGUCGGAGGUAGCCCUUGACUCCCUUGGCUUAUUUUUUAAUCACGUUAUUGAUACUGAUUAUGAUCAGGAUGACACGGGCACGAGCCGUGGGGUGGAUGAAGGGGUAACUAUUAUUUCCUCUGACUCAGAGCCUUUGCCGUGCCAAAAACUCCGCCAAGUAACCUGGAAAGUAAGAUUUUCACAUCCUUUUGCUUAUCAAGAUCCUCAAUUUCUUUUGAAGCGACAGAUUCAUGAGAGCCGGAGGCAGACCCGUACCAGCAAAGACAUAGAGCUCUCCUCCGGCUUGCCCAAUACACCACGGAAGCGCCGGAACGAGGUCAUCUCCGUCUUAGAUUCCUCUUAUCCUUUGGCAGGUCUCACUCGUCAGCCACUGAACCCUUCUGACUCGAAUUAUCAAGAAACCUCUCCUUCAUCCGGCGACUCAAUUCAAUCCAACUUGCCAGCUUUCAAAGCCGCUCCAGGGUAAUGAUGACUUGCCUAUCUUGUUCUUUGAAUUUUUAUACUUAUACUGACCUUUUGAUCUUUAUGUAGCGGCAAAGCAAAGGUUAGCAAGGCCAACGAGGACAAGCCGGUGGAUGAGCCAACCCUCAGAGAACCGGCACUUCAGACGGUCAUACCGGAAACCUCUGCUACUGAGCCGCCGCCUGAGCCAGCGUAUGAACCGCCAACCUUAGCUGCUGACCCGCCUGCCGGGCAAUCUCUUGAUGGCUCUGAAAAUCCUGAAGUCUCAAGCCCAGUCAAGACAAAUGACCCUCAAGAAGCUGAGGUUGAAAUUACCAAGACCAUUACAUUGAGCCGGGAAGGCCUGCUGUGCUUGGAAAAUGCACUGCCAAAGAAGAAUUCCUGGAAUGUCGUAAGGUCAGAUUUGACCUUACGGAUUACUCUCACAUGAGUGCCGGAGAAGUUUUGUCUGGCUAUCUCAGCCAAGUGCACAGUAGCCGUGACGUCGAAAUCGACAUGGUGAAGCAGAUGCACCAUAAAUUUGAGGUAUGAUCUCCUCUUUUCCCUGAAUCAUUCUUAUUACGCCAUCCCCGAAGUCUACUACUUAUGAUGAAUAUGUUGUAGACUUUAGAAAAACGUCAAACAAGUAUUAACAAUGUCUUUAGAUCAAAAACCUGUAGAAAUCCGGCUUAAUCCGUAGCCCCCAAGGGCCAUUUUAAUCAAAAUGAAUGAGCCGAUCCUUCACAUGCUUGUGUAGAACAUAUUAACUGUAUAGUUUGAACUGCAAUAUGCAUUAGCCCCCAAGUGCCAAGUAGUCUUGCUUGCAAAGUGCUUGGGACUUUAAUUUUGUGAACCGCCAAUCUCAUGAACCGACACUAUAAAUAUACUUCCGUGGUAGACAUUAGCCCCCAAGUGUCAAGUGCUUUGCUUGCAAAGUGCUUGGGACUUGAAUAUUAUAUGCUCAUAGUCAUGAUUUUAACCCGGCAUUUAUGUAAGUCGCCACCAAUCAAUUUCAAUCAGAAAUAUCCGACUUGAAGAACUGCCUGAAAUCACAAGAGACAGAAACUGAAAGGGCCAACUCCAAGUUUGAAUUCAGUGUAUCUGAACAAGAGAAGCUGAAGGCCGACUUUGAGGUGGAAAGAAAAGCUUGGGCUGAUGAAAAGAAGGCCGUAACCCAACAAGCUGACAAGGCAGAGGCGGCUCUUGAAAAGGCAACCAAUGAAUUGUCCGGCUUAAAACGCCACGUGACCCAGAUGGUUAAAGCAAUCUUUGGUAAGUCGUCCUGCAAGUUAUAAAUAUUUGAAACUUUCUAAUGAUCAUAUAAACUGUUAUUAACGCACCUGACAUUGCUAUGCAGGCCUCAGGAGUUCAAAUCUCAGCCAAAAUAUGUUGACAAAGCUGAAUGCGGUUUAUACACUGGUGGAGCAACUCUACACCGGAUCUCAGCGGGCCUUAGCCACCAUGGCCCUGUCCAAUGAAGUUUCCACACUUUUGGCGGAUGUACUAAGGAAACUUUCUGUGCUACCUCAACGGAUCACUGAACUGAAGCGAUCGUCUGUAAGAGCCGGAGCUGCGGACACGUUAAGCCAGGCCAAAGCUUGGCUUCCGGAACUAGACCCGGCGGACAUCGCUAUUGGUUAUCCAAGCCUAAAAGAAGAUGGUACGCCCUUUGAACAGGAAGAUUUUGCUGCUUGUGUGAAGGCAAUACGCCCUGUGGCCACUCUGAUUGCUGAAGAGGCGGAUCUCUCCAAGUACCAGGUGGGUUAUGACACAGAGAACCGGAGGAUUCCGACACCACAGUACACUUUGACAAAUCUGAUUCCUCAAAUUCGUAAGCAUAGCUUCACCCCUGAAGUUGACCCGGCCGGAUUAAUUGAUGACGAAGCUGAAUUUAAAGCUUUGAGUGGCAUUGACUGGUCGUCAUCAACCUUUCAGGACCGGGAACAGGACGAUGAAGUGGAAAGGGUUGAUCCGGAAGCUUCAGGCCAUCACGAGAAUUGAUCCACCGAACGGCUCAUAUUUGUAGUCUUUGUUGAAAAAACAAUGUUAAUUAUUUUGACUCGGGGAGUCAUGUAAUAGGAGCAGAAAUGACUUUGCUGUGCCGUGCCUUCGUGCACGUUUUGAUGCUUUAAAAAUGUUUAAGCCGUCAUCAUAUUUUUACUCCGUCUUACACUUUCCUAUUUUCCUUGUGUAUAAGAAAGCAUGUAAUCUGUCCUGCACAAAGAGAUAGAUCACAGAAAUCUUCGGCGGCUUACCGUAGGGCGGGUCAUAAUUAUCCCAUGUAACUAUAAAUGUGAAAUAUGAGUUAUAAAUAAUCCUGAUGAGAAUCAGAACUUUCAAUAUAACUGUGAUAACAUCAUACCUGAGAUGUCAAAUUUCUAUGGCCAAUUUAGAUGACCUGUACAGUAAGGGUGAUGACCCAGUUUAGAAGUCAUGACUUCAAUUGGAGUAUGUCACACGCCUAGCGACUGAUUGUUUGAAGUCAAGCCAGCUCAAACAGAAACCUUAUAUGCCUUAGAACAUGAACACAGGAAAGGUCUCUAGACAAAUCCAAAGAGUGCUUUCAAAAAAGGCUUAAGCAAAAAGAACAGAAAUACAAAUUAAGGCUUCUGAUUCGAAUACGAUCAGUAAACCGUCCCAAAGGGUUAAGCUAGGGUUCCAAUACGACCAUGUAGCCCCAGUGGCUUUGGCAUUGCGCCGAUCAAGAGGGUACCGACAACUAUGUUCUCUUUGGUUCGAAUACGACCUAUGUUUGAACAGGAAGCCCCCAAAUGACCUUGAGAAUAUUUAACGACUCUGAUUCGAAUAUGAUCUGGGUUGGACCCAAGAGGGGUUAAGCCAUGAUUCGAAUACGAUCAAGAAGCCCCCAAGUAGAUUUUGGCAUUGCGCCGAUCAAGUGGGUACUGACAGCUAUGUUCUCUUUGGUUCGAAUACGACCUAUGUUUGAAGAGGAAGCCCCCAAGUGACCUUUAGAAUAUUUAACGACUUUGAUUCAAAUACGACCAGGGUUGGACCAAAAGGGGUUAAGCUAUGAUUCGAAUACAACCCAGCCCCCAAAUGAUCAAGUUGUUUGAACAACUAUGAUUCGAAUAUGAUUAGGAAGUUGUGCCAAAGGAGUUAAGCUAGAUUCGAAUACGAUCAGCCCCCAAUGGUCUUUUUCAAAUUAUGACAAUGAAGACAUAUGAUCUUUGAGGAUGAAAAAGGACAGAGGUCCUGCUUUAUUAUUGAUAAUAUAUGCCGUCUUUUCCUGGUCCUUAACCGCCAUCUUGAUCUGAUGAUAUCGAGAAUAAGCAUCCAAAAAACCCAGACGCUCACAUCCCGUCGUAGCAUCAAUGAUUUGAUCAAUACACGAGAGAGCAAAGGGAUCAGCCGGACAAGCCUUGUUCAAGUACGUGUAAUCCACACACAUAUGCCAAGUGUCGUUCUUCUGGAGCACUAGCACCAGGUUAGCUAACCACUCUGGAUGAAAUACCUCAAUAAUGAACCCGGCUUCCAAGAGCCGGGCCGCCUCCUCGCCAAUAGCCUUGCGCCUCUCUUCAUUAAACCGCCGAAGAAACUGCUUGACCGGCUUAAACUUUGGAUCAAUGUUGAGAGUGUGCUCAGUGAGUUCUCUCAGUACACCCGGCAUGUCAAAAGGCUUCCAUGCAAAGAUGUCUCGAUUCUCACGGAUGAACUCGAUGAGCGGGCUUUCCUAUUUGGGAUACAGAUUGGCAUUGAUACUGAACUGCUUAGAUGAAUCGCGAGGAACAAAGUUAACCAUCUUUGCGUCCUCAGCCGACUUAAAGUUCAUCUCCGGUUCAUGCUCUGUGGUGGGCUUCUUCAAGGAUGUCAUGUCUGCCGGGUCAAACAUUGUCUUUAUAAUACUUUAACUCUUCUGUAGCACAGACUGACUCAGCAUAAGCCGCGUCGCCUUCCUCGCACUCCGGAGCCACCUUCCGACUGCCAUGAACCGUAAUGGUCCCUUUAUGACCCGGCAUCUUCAGCUGCAGAUAAACAUAACAUGGCCGUGCCAUGAAUUUGGCGUAAGCCCGUCGCCCAAACAGAGCAUGAUACGGGCUCCUGAUCUUGACCACCUCAAAAGUUAACUUUUUGGCCCUAGAAUCAUACUCAUCUCCAAAGGCUACCUCCAGUUCGAUCUUGCCCACUUGGUGUGCCGAUUUACCAGGAACUACACCGUGGAAAACAGUAUUGGACUGCAUAAGAUUUCUCCCGCAUGCCAAACUCCACUGUCCAACUAAUGCGGAACCAACCAGUAACUUGCCGCCCACCAGCAUGGGCCACCACGGUCUUGAUGCCACCCACACUGCCUCACAGGGAUCACCACCAUGAGGCAAAGAGGACGGAGAGAGGAGCGCCAGGAAUUAGGAGCGACAACACUGGAGCCGCGCGGGAGGGAACCACCUCCACUGCCAUUGUGCGGGAGGCCUGUGCCUCCAACACCGUCGCGGUCGUCGUUCGGACGCGGCAACAGGGGCAUACUAGGCCACUCCUGGCCCGGCCAUGCCCAAAUUGGGCCCGCAAAGCCCCAACUACCACGUUGCAGCAGGCCGACGCCAGCGGCCGCCACCACCCACUCCGCCCAACGCCGCUCCUUCGCUUGCCGGAAACCACACCAUUGACAUGCCACACCGCGCCCCCGCCUAGACCGAGAUGGGCCCAGAUCUAGGCCGAGCGGGCGCUGCGCCACCCUGAGGUGUACUCCAUGGCUCCGCUCUGCCUCGUGUCGGCGUGUCACCAAGAGGGGAAAGGCCAGGGGCCGCCUAGGAGACUUUUCCUCGAUCAUGUCAGCAUCUGGGCCACUGGGGCUGCCUUCUUCUCUUGAAAUAUAUGGAUCAACUACGAGCACUUUCUUGGUACUUAACUGAAUUGUGACCAGAGAAACCUUGCUAUUUUCUUCUUCGGCAGACUCUGAGACCAAAAAGUAUGCGAUGUUGGAAUUCAGCAUGCUCACAAGAGGGAACAUCAGGAUAUCACACGGCAGACCUAUAUAUCUGUUUAAAGCCCAUAGCUCUUCAGAUGUGAUGGCCACAUGCUCAUCCCAUGGCCCAUCUUAGGAGGACAAAAUAUAGGAGUGAAUGGUGAAACUAGAACCUUUCCCAAGUGGCCCAAAUGGUUCCCCAAGAGCGGAUAACAUCAGUGAAUCUGAGAACAGAGCUCUUUUUGCUCAGCUCUAUCAUGGCGCACACACCACGAUUCACCUCAUAGAAUGCUUUGCCUUGAGCUGAACUUCUAGGACGGUCAACAAUAGGCAAUCAGAGGUAUAAGAUCUGGGGCUUUUCUUCAAGUACAUCAUAAACUAGCAUACCACCUCUGUAAUAGUUGAUCCAACAAAUGCAAGAGUUGAAUGUGAUGACAACAUCAGUUGACCAAUAGUAUAACUCCUUAUGCUCAUCCUCCUUAUGGUCUAUUGGUAUCUUCCUCACAUCUCAUUUGCCAUCACCAUCAUUACCAGAUACAAGUGAGCGGAACACACGAACUUCUGCUUCCAUCUUGAGCGUGCCAGGUAUUUCGCUGACCAUAGCCAGCUGCGCCACUGCAAAUUCCGCUUCAACGCUUUCGCCAUGGCCUCGGAUGAGUCCUACAGUGUCCGGAAAGAACACACGCUGCUCACCCACAGCUUUCUCCUCUCCCUCUCCAAAAGGGAAGAUCAUUGGCUUGUUGCAGACAAGGAGCCGUUUGAGCUGCAGGGAUGGCUUAGUCUCACACGACGCUACACAGAUAAAGUAGUCUUGUAUGAUCGGUAAGCAACCGUCCUUGCCCAAUCUUCUAAAAGAAGUUUGCCUGAAGAGAACCAGAUCACAGUGGGCGGCCACAAGCUCGGUUCCCUUGCAUCCUCCGACUUUAUACCGUCAGGACACCGCAUGUAGAAGCGGGAGAUGGCCGGGGGCUCGGCAAGGAGGAAGAGGAUGUCGAACUUCUUGCAAAGAGAGGUGCGUGAACUUGCCCUGAAAGGCGCCUCGGAUCCGUCUAGGAAGGCACUGCCCUCUUCCUCAUCACCCCUGUGGAAGACAAAGCGGUCGAGCAUCAUCCACCUGGAUCCAGCAAUGGCCAUUGAUCAACUAAUUAAAACAGGUUUAGGUAGCUUUUGCCUCUGCCUGCGAGAAGAGGGAAUUGACUCAGCACCAUCACAACAUUUGCCACUCUCUCAAGAAAAUUUACCACUCAAAAUGUUGCCGUUGAGAAAUUAAUUAUCCAGAAUACCAAGCAUUACUAUGUACUACUAACUAGCUGAGGUUGCCACAAGAACAAAAGAACAAUUUUACCAUUACCUUCUUCAAAAGAUGAAGUGAGACAGAUAAUGCUUACAGAGAUGCAAGAUGUCAUAAUAAUGCCCAGUAGAGAAACAACAAAAUAAUGCACAGUAGAGAAAAUGGAAACAGGCUGCACCCUCGCACAUCAUUUGCAUGCAAAAAGGGGCUAAAAUGAGCUAGAUGGAGAACUUGAAUUGCGGAUUGCAGAUUGCCCUUUUUACGAGAACAAGGUUAAAUUGACAGAUGUGGGAGGUGUGGUCAGGUGAGAGCUGGUUGUACAAUGACGAGCAUGCUCUUUUCCCUGCCCUCGUGUACAUUUGUUAUACUGGAAGGACCAUGGGAGGUAGAAUUUGCAUCAACAGCAUUACAACAAUGUUUGCCACUCUAAAAACCACCAACUUUAACAGAUUGAUUUUGCCAGAGCAGCACUAGUUGAAAAUAUUUGUUGUCCAGACAGAAUACCAGGCAUUAUCAUGUAGUGCUAACCUACCGGUGCAACAAAAGAAGGCGUCUGCCCUUACCUUCCUCAACGGCAGCAGUUGGGGCAGCCGAGCAGCCUGCGGUGGCUGGUGCAACCCAGCGGACCAAGUGUGCAGAUCACGGGGAGGGGAACGCCGGGGAGACGGAGGGGGGUGAAGGGGUCGAGCGCCAUCUCGCCCUGCUUCCGGCUCGCCGGCCCGGUGUUGAAGCAGAUUCCACCUGUCGCCUCACACGAUGGAGCUCGAGCGAAGAGGCACCGCGGGUUUCUAGGGUUCGAGGGCUAGGAAGGGGAGGAGGGGAAAGGGAUCGGUGAGGAUCACUGUCGCUGUGACUAGUGAAUGUGAGAUCUGGAAUGGUUUUUUCCAGUUUGGCCCAAUUCCUCAGCUGGCUCUCUUUGCCAAGUGACCCGUCGCGUGGCUAUCUUGCCGCAAGCGCCGCGACAUGUGGAGCGUGUCAGAACUAGAAUUAGCAACCAACUAAUGCUCACUCCGUUGUUACGGAGUAUAAGAUUUACUGUAUUACUAGUUUUUAAAAAUCAAAUAUGUAUAUAUUUGACCAAAUUUUUAGAGAAAAGUAUCAAUAUCUAUAGUGUCAAACACAAAUCCUACUACUGUUGUAUGUAUUUUGUUUUAUCAAAUUAUUUGUUAUGGGACCCCCUCUCAUGCGACCGCGUCGCCCCCGCGGGUGAUCAGCUGCAUCUUCCCUCGAGCCCUCCCCCUUCCUCCCUUCCCGCCGUCGUCGCUAGCCUGAGCGGCGUUGACGCCGGCGGCCCUGGCCUUUCCCCUCUUGGUGGUGCAUCGGCGCGGGGCAGAGCGGGGCCGUGGGUUGCACCUAGGCGGCGCCGGCACCGGCGGCCCUUGGCCUUUCCCCUCUUGGUGACACGCCGACACGAGGCAGAGCGGAGCCAUGGAGUACACCUCGGGGUGGCGCAGUGCCCGCUCGGCCCAGAUCUGGGCCCAUCUCGGUCUAGGCGGGGGGCGCGGUGUGGCAUGUCAACGGUGUGGUUUCCGGCAAGCGAAGGAGCGGCGUUGGGCGGAGUGGGUGGUGGCAGCCGGUGGCGUCAGCCUGCUGCAACGUGGUAGUUGGGGCUUUGCGGACCCAAUUUGGGCAUGGUCGGGCCAGGGGUGGCCUAGUAUGCCCCUGUUGCCGCGUCCGAAUGGCGACCGCGACGGUGUUGGAGGCACAGGCCUCCCGCACAAUGGCAGUGGAGGUGGUUCCCUCCCGCACGGCUCCAGUGCUGCCGCUCCUGAUUCCUGGCGCUCCUCUCUCCGUCCUCUUUGCCUCGUGGUGGUGAUCUCAAUGAGGCAGUGUGGGUGGCAUCAAGACCGCGGUGGCCCAUCAUGGUGGGCGGCAAGUUACUGGUUGGUUCCACAUUGGUUGGGCAGUGGAGUUUGGCAUGCGGGAGAAAUCUUAAGCAGGCCAAUACUAUUUUCCACGGCGUAGUUCCUGGUAAAUUGGCAUACGCAGUGGGUAAGAUCGAGUUGGAGGUAGCCUUUGGAGAUGAGUAUGAUUCCAGGUCCGAAAAGUUAACUUUUGAGGUGGUCAAGAUCAGGAGCAUGUAUCAUGCUCUGUUUGGGCAACUGGCUUACGCCAAAUUCAUGGCGCGGCAGUGUUAUGUUUAUCUGCAGCUAAAGAUGUCGGGUCAUAAAGGGACCAUUACGGUUCAUGGCAGUCGGAAGGUGUCUCUGUAGUGCGAGGAAGGCGACACGGCUUAUGCUCAGUCAGUCUGUGCUACAGAAGAGUUAAAGUAUUAUAAAGACAAUGUUUGACCCGACAGACAUGACAUCCUUGAAGAAGCCCACCACAGAGCGUGAACCGGAGAUGAAGUUUAAGUCGGUUGAGGACGCCUAGAUGGUUGACUUUGUUCCUGGCGAUUCAUCUAAGCAGUUCAGUAUCAGUGCCAAUCUGGACCCAAAUAGGAAAGCACGCUCAUCGAGUUCAUCCGUGAGAAUCGGGACAUCUUUGCAUGGAAGCCUUCUGACAUGCCGGGUGUACCGAGAGAACUCGCUGAGCACACUCUCAACAUUGAUCCAAAGUUUAAGCCGAUCAAGAAGUUUCUUCGGCGGUUUAACGAAGAGAGGCACAAGGCCAUUGGCGAGGAGGUGGCCCGGCUCUUGGCAGCCGGGUUCAUUAUUGAGGUAUUUCAUCCAGAGUGGUUAGCUAACCCGGUGCUAGUGCUCAAGAAGAUUUGCACUUGGCGUAUGUGUGUGGAUUGAUCAAAUCAUUGAUGCUAUGGCGAGAUGUGUGUGGUCCGACUGAUCCCUUUGCUCUCCCGCGUAUUGAUCAAAUCAUUGAUGCUAUGGCGGGAUGUGAGCAUCUGAGUUUUUUGGAUUCUUAUUCUCGAUAUCAUCAGAUCAGGAUGGCGGUUAAGGACCAAGAAAAGACGACGUUCAUUACUCCCAUUGAAGCCUUCUGCUAUGUUACUAUGCCUUUUGGGCUCAAGAGUGGCCAGGCGACUUAUCUGCGUUGCGUGCAGAAUUGCCUUCAUACUCAGAUUGGCCAUAAUGUGCAUGCUUAUGUGGAUGAUAUUGUGGUGAAGUCCAGAAAGAAGGAAACACUGAUAGAUGAUCUCAAGGAGACCUUUGAUAACCUCCAGGUCUACACUAUGAUGUUUAACCCGGCAAAGUGCGUCUUUCGUGUGCCCGCAGGCAAACUCUUGGGAUUUCUGGUUUCUAACAGAUGCAUUGAGGCUAACCCGAAGAAGAUCAAGGCUAUCACCUCUUUGGCAAAACCCAAGUAUAUCAAUGAUGUUCAACGUUUGGCGGGUCGCAUUGCUGCUUUAAGCCGGUUAGGUGAGAAGGCCAUACCGCUGUAUUAGAUGUUGAAGAAGACAGACGACUUUUUCUGGAGUGUUGCUGCUAACGUUGCCUUUGAGGAUUUGAAGAGGCAACUGGCUGAGCCGCCGGUCCUUGCUGCUCCCAUUGAUAAGGAGUCAUUGCUGUUAUAUGUGGAUGCUAACGCACGUGUUGUCAGUGUGGCCUUUGUGGUGGAGCGCAAGGAGACUGGUAAGGAAUAUCCAGUUCAAUGGCCGGUUUACUACAUCAAUGAGGUGCUUAUUGAGUCCAAAUAGAGGUAUCCACAUUAACAGAAGCUUGUUUAUGGAGUGUUCAUGGCCAACCGAAAGCUUGAGCAGUAUUUCCUGGGUCAUUCCAUCACUGUGGUCAGUUCUGCUCCUUUGGGGGAUAUCAUCCAGAACAGAGAGGCUACAGGAUGAGUCGCCAAGUGGGCUAUCGAGCUUGCGCCUCAUGGUUUAAAAUAUGUACCUCGUACUGCUAUCAAGUCUCAAGCACUAGUGGAUUUCAUCAACGAUUGGAUAGAGUUGCAGGCGUCUGAAGAGAAGCCGGAUAACACAUACUGAACUAUUCACUUCGAUGGAUCCAGGCAAUUGGAAGGCUCAGGGGCUGGAGUUGUUUUGGCUUCCCCUCGAGGUGAUAAAUUUUGUUAUGUCCUAAGGUUGAUGUUUUCCUGUACUAACAAUGCAGGUGAGUAUGAGGCCUUUCUCCAUGGUCUUCCGAUGGCUAAGGAGAUGAACUUAAGCCAGGUAAGGUGCUUCGGCGACUCAGAUUUGGUAGCUCAAAAAGUCUCAGGCAAGUGGGAUUCCAAAGACCCUCUCAUGGCGGCUUAUCGCUGUGGUUAUCAAGUGGAACACAUCGAUCGCAGGAAGAAUGAGGCGGCUGAUGCUUUAAGCCAGCUUGGAUCUCAGCGUAAACCGGUACCCCCGAACACUUUCUUGCAUGUUUUGCAUAAUCCUUCUAGAUUAUGCAAAAAUGACUUAAUAUCACACAUGUUUCAGAUUUAAUGAAAAUAUGCGCCUAUGCUAUCACAAUAAAAGGAGCAGAAAUAAAAAGCAACCCUUAGGGAACCGCUACAACUAUAUACAUUUGGUACAAAUAAUAAAGUCCAUUUAAACGAGACAAAUUUAUUCCAGCAUAUAUCAUAGAAGGGCAAGCACACUCCCUUAAGUUAAUUCAGAACCUCAUCAAGUUCUGACUAUAUUCAUUUUGUAUCUAAGUAGUAGUAGUGAGUACUGAUGCGUUUUUUGGGCCACGACGACAGGUGAGGACGACAUCUACGCAGCAAGUUGGACCUUUGAGAUUCAUAUAUUUAAUAUAGUGAUUUAUGAAUAUACGUUAGAUACUAAUCGAGAGCUUAGAGAAGACGGCCCUGCUAAACAAAGUUAUUUGGUUUGUGCAUUCAGGGAUCGUUGAAACAUACAGAAUGUUGAGGAUUCUGUGCAAGUAGGUGUCAGUUCCAUCGUUGGAUUGCUAUGCUAUGUUCUUCUGUGGAGAAUAGAGUGGCGAGGUGUUAAUCCAUCUGAUGAUCACAUGGAUUUGUUGAGGAGAUGGUCCUGUGAGUUGCUGAAGUUUAGAUUUCGUGUGUGUUCUAGAUGACUCAAAAAACAUGAACAGAGAGGGUUUAGGGAUUCUUUACUUGUCACGAAGGUCGACAUGAUUACUUGCUCGGUGCAGGCGAGGUGGAUGCAGGGCCGGGCCUACAGUGGUGCAAGAAGUGCGGCCCGCACAGGGCCCAGAAAUCUGGGGGGCCCAAAUUUUUACAUAUACAUAGUAUUAAAAAAAUUUAUGCGUUUUGGGCUGCUGGGCGCUGGAGUGGGCUGGACUGCUGGGGUCGAAGCGAGGAGGGCAUCGGAGAGUAUCGAGCGAGCGACCGGCGCUGAACCGGAAUCGGGGAUCGAUCUCCUCCUCCUCCAGUCCUCCUACUCAUCGAUGUCUCGAUCGCUAGUCGCUACAUCCUACAGGAAAGGUCCUUUGAUGAUCCAGGGUGUUCACUUUGCCUUGUGUUGGAGUCUGACUCCUCCUCCCUGGAUCCGAUUGAUCCAAGGUGUGAUGGAGUCUGAUCCCUCGGUCAAAGGUAUUCUGUCCUGGAGACUGGAGUCUGAUCCCUCGCCCCUCGGUCCCUGGAUCGAUCGGAUCACAGCACGACCGGCCGCUGCCGCCAUUGACUUCCUCCGCUCCUCCGUCCUCUCUCAAAUUUGGAUUGAUCGGUGACCCACUCUAGCCUCCAGGUGUUUAGCAAGUCCUUUUCGAUUAACUUCGGUUUCUACUCAUAAUUCCUAUUUUUCUAAUUAUUUAAUUAACUAAUAACUAUUGGCAGGGAUCUUCACUUCGUUAGAGAUUGCUUCUUACUUCUCGGUUAAAGAUCACAUGACCCAAAAUUAGGUGAGUUAGACGGUUCGUCUAAAUGGAAAACAUUGAUGCAUGAUAUCCAAUUGAUAUAUGCUACUGUGUAACUUUUAUUUUAUUUUAUUCAUCUUCUUUAUCUUCUUAUAUAAGACAUUNNNNNNNNNNNNNNNNNNNNNNNNNNNNNNNNNNNNNNNNNNNNNNNNNNNNNNNNNNNNNNNNNNNNNNNNNNNNNNNNNNNNNNNNNNNNNNNNNNNNNNNNNNNNNNNNNNNNNNNNNNNNNNNNNNNNNNNNNNNNNNNNNNNNNNNNNNNNNNNNNNNNNNNNNNNNNNNNNNNNNNNNNNNNNNNNNNNNNNNNNNNNNNNNNNNNNNNNNNNNNNNNNNNNNNNNNNNNNNNNNNNNNNNNNNNNNNNNNNNNNNNNNNNNNNNNNNNNNNNNNNNNNNNNNNNNNNNNNNNNNNNNNNNNNNNNNNNNNNNNNNNNNNNNNNNNNNNNNNNNNNNNNNNNNNNNNNNNNNNNNNNNNNNNNNNNNNNNNNNNNNNNNNNNNNNNNNNNNNNNNNNNNNNNNNNNNNNNNNNGCUUGUUAAUUCAUUUUUUUGUAACAUAGGGCCCCAUAUUUUUAGUUUGGCACAGGGCCCCGGAUUUUGCCGGCCCGGCCCUGGGUGGAUGGAUCUAUUCUAGUGGUAGCUAGUAGCCGAUCUCCUGGACGUUCCGAUCCCCUCAGUCCUCCACUGGCACUGUCCUGUGACGACAGCAAGUAGGCUAGGUCUUCCCGUUGCUGCCACGCACCAUUUGAUUGGAUAGGGUUUUGGAAUAUGGGGAGGAGAGUGAACUUGACGUGAAUGAAUGAAUCGCGUAGGAGGAGGCUCUCUCCCAUAUCCCUUUAUAUAGCGUUGUGUGCAACAAGGGGACCUAAACUAUAAGUUGGUUUGGGUGCCCCCGAUCAGGGUGGAUAAGUUGUGGUAUAGUUAGUUGGUUUGGUAUGUUCAUGCGUGUGCGUGUAGUUCGAUUCGACCAGAUGAACAUGAGAUAGUGAUUCGUUUUUAUUUUAGCAAAACUCAUUUUGUUUUGAUUGAUGAUUGAUUGAUUGCUCGUGAGGAGACACGCGCGUGACUACCUAGGCAUCUUGCCUCUGACGCGGCGCUACUCUGUGCUUGCUCGAUCGAGCGGCUAUGGCAGGGCCUCUAGGAUCGAGGAGGAGGAGGAGCAGGAGCGUGGCCACCGUCUAGGGCAUCGGCGUGAACACCUUGCAUGCAUGUCGAUCCGUCGUCAUCGCCGUGGCCGUCGCCGUCGCAGGCAGUUUACACCGAGCCCCUGUCCCCGCUGCACAGGCUCAGCUGUACCUGGUCCUAGCUCGGCUGUAAUGGCGCGCACGCGUAGCUAGGCGGUGCCGUGGUUGCCGGCUGCUCCUCGGUCUCUGGCGUAUGAGGACGUUGGAUGGAAUGUCGAUCGCCCUGGAGCGCCCACGUCGGCCGGCUGUUGUGUGCGACCUUACCAAAGAGACCUGCUUCUUGAGCGACGAGCAUCGUCGGAACAAUAUGUGUGCACGCACAAGACAAGAGACAAGAGAGCAGUACUGGAGCUCGUCCAUGGCUGAAAAUAUUUUCUUUUUUACAGAAGCAUCCGUCAUUAGAGCAUCGAGAACCAGAGUGGGCAAAUCGCCCCCCUUACACGUCCAUAGACGACGCAUCCACGGAUAGUAGUCGAUCACCCCUCAGAAAUCCGCAUCCACAACUGUGUCCCCCAAAGCAAAUCCUUAAAUCCAUACCAAGAUGCCAUGCAACGUUAAACUUGCACAGGUAGUUGAAUAGACACAUUUCAUCGGAUUACCAAAAGUUGACAUGUUCUACUAAUUAACUAUGCAAGAUAUGACAAUGGAGGAAGUUCAUCCAUGGCCGCCCUUGCCCUUGCCAUCUUUGCUAUGGGAGUUGCGGCCAAAGACGCAAAACGGAUCGGGGCAGAACUUGUCACUGCCGGAGCUGUCCGAUUCGUCGGGCUCCUCCUUCUCCUCUUUUUUUUUUAUUUGGGGGAGGGGGUCCGGCUUUGCUCCCUUGCAAGGGCGUGCACCGUCCUCCUUUACCGCUUCCUGAGGAUGCGACACGAAGGCUUUCUUGUUCCUGUCCAAGCUGGCAUAUGACUCCGCCUCCGCAGCUUGCCAUGCCCUCACCCUCGCAUGCCAGUUGGGCCAUGAGGUGUGCCAAUGGGCUUUAGCCGAAGGACGAGGCACCACGGCAGGGAUUGCGGCGUUAGACGAUGGGCGGUGCACUUGGCUCUGCCGCGGUCAUGUGCCUUGAGCCGCUGGAUACGAACGCCAUUUGCGCGGACGCAAUGGAUUCACGGUGGAGCGGCUUCGAGUGCAGAGUUGCAAGAUUUCCUCCCUGGCCCGACGGAGAGCUAGGUAGCUGGGGGGUCAACUCCUGCUCGUCCCCCUUUGGGAUGAGGUCCUAGUUGACGGAUCCGGAGAUCUCAGAGUUGGAUGCGCGGGUGGCGCGCCACGCCGGAGAAAAGCUUGGGGCUGGAGUGGAGAGUCUAGGGUUUGUUUCGGUAUAUAGGCAUAUAUGUGGGGUUGACGGGCAAUAGCCGAUUUGACGGACGUGUCCGGACGCCCAACAUAUGGUCUGAUUAUAUAUAGGUUGACUGAUCCAUGCAAUCGUCAUUUUAAAUUAUUAUUUUUUGCGGCGGGGAAUUGAAGGGCCGCAUGCCAACGUGACGUGGAUCGGUUAGUAAUCCAAUUCAAUCGAAUCGAAGUAGUUAAUACAGGGAAGAGAAGGGAGGGUAGAUCGAUGCGUGCGUGCAUGCAUGCAUGAAGUUGAAGUAGGAGCAAAAUCAAUGGUGGGAUGCAGCAGUGAACGAAGGGAGGGCGAUAUAUAUUGCAUCAUUUGACGGUUAAAUAUGUAUGCAAAAUAGGAACAUAUAUAUUACAUCAUUGGACCCAUGCAUAAUAAUGGCUAAGUGUGUAUACAAAAUAGGAACAUAUAUAUUACAUCAUUUGACCGAUAACAUACGGUUCCUCAGCGCUGUCGUUUUCGUUUUUGAGUCAGCUUUUUUCCCUUCUUGUUCGUCGAAGAAUAAUUGAGAUCCUCAUUGUGACUUUGCCUUUUCCAUGGAGUACGAUUUUUCUUAGGUAAUGUAGUAUUGAUUCUUAUUUUGACGUAUACUUCAUCAUCAUCGUCAUCUUCCCUCAUUGGGUUGCCGUACUGAUCAUAGUCUUCCUCGUUGGCGACUCCAUCCAUUCCGAUGAUGUUCCUUUUGCCUCUCCUCACGACAACACGACUGGGAUUGCGCGGGUCGGUUAUGAAGAAGCAUUGUGUCACGUGCUUAGCGUGUACCCAUGGCUCAUUUUUUGCGAUAGCGUUCACGGUAGCGCUCUUGGCGUCGGGUAUAGUCAUGGUAGUGAAAAUCCGGCUUUCUCUUUCGACAUUAUUAGCCCAUCUGACACGGAACAUCGUCGUGUUGUGCAGUCCAGAGUAGUCAAGCUCCCAGAUCUCCUUGACCCUUCCAUAAAAUCGUUCAGUUGCGCCGUUGUCGCUGCCGGUCAUGCAUUCCAUCAACACCCCUGAGUUCUGAUCAUCACUGUCCAUAUCUUUGGCCUCCGUGUAGAACGUGUAUCCGUUGAUAUGAUAUGCCGGAUAGGUUACGAGGUUGGGCGAGGGGCCAUGUGCUAAGGCGUAUAUGAGCAAUCCGUCCUUAGAGCCCUCCUCCGGGGGAUUAGAAAUAAUAUGCUCUUUGAACCAAUGCAGGAAAGUGGAGUUGUGCUCUCUAGUAACUUCGCGUUCAUCCUGCAUACCCCCGGUCACGAUACUUCUUUGCGAUAAUUUCUUUGUGCAGUGCCACGAAAGGAUCUACCUCAUCUAGGUGUUGUAGCACUACCAAGUUUGCUCUGUCAAAGUCGCUGCGUCGAUCUGAGUAUGCCACGUGCAGUUCCCUGCGACCGUUGCAGUGACCAUCUCCUUCGAUCCUCCCAUCGUGCUUGUUAACGGGCAAACCAACACUAAUACCAGGCUGCUGGUCUGCGCCAUAUAGAAAAUUCUCACAGAAAGAGAUGCACUCUUGUGUCAAAUAUCCCUGGACGAUGCUUCCAUCCGGACGGGACAUGUUACGAACGAAUCCUUUGAUGAUUCCAUUCAUCCUCUCAAACGGCAUCAUGUUGUGCAGGAAUGACGGCCCCAGGUCUAUUAUGCCAUCCACAAUAUGGACACACAGAUGCACCAUCACGUCAAAGAACGCGGGCGGGAAGUACAUCUCAAGCUCAUUCAGUAUCACAACGAUCUCUUCCUGUAGCCUUCGGAGCUGCUUCACACUGAUCGACUUUCGAGAGAUGACGUCGAAAAAGUUGCAGAGACCAAUAAGCGUGUCACGGACGGGCUUGUCCAUUAUCCCUCUAAGGGCAACAGGUAGUAUCUGCGUCAUCAUCACCUGACAGUCAUGAGACUUCAUCCCGCUGAACCUUUUCAUGUCUGUGUCUAGAUAUCUGCUUAUCUUGCCACAGUAAUCGGAACUAACUUUGACUCCGGUAAGGCACUUAAAGAAGGCAUUGAUCUCAGCCUGACUUAAGGUGAAGCAAGAAGGGGGGCAAUAAUCCUCUUUCUUUAUUUUCUUGCCCUUCUUCUCCCGUGCCUCUGCCUCCGUCUCUUUCUCGUCUGACAUUUUACAGGGCGGCAUGUGCAGAUCUUCCCUGAUUUUCAAAUCUUGCAAGUCUUUUCUUGCCUUCGGCCCAUCCUUGGUCUUAUCCGGCAUGUACAUCAGUGUUGCGAGCAAGCUCUCAAGGACAUUCUUACAGAUAUGCAUUUGAUCAAGGCAAUGAGGUGUAUCGAGUUUUUGCCAGUACUCCAAGUCCUAGAACACAGACCUCGUCUUCCAUACCUUCAGCAGCGGCUCCGGCGCCUUUCUCAUCGUCUUUCCCGGCGCGGGGCACUCCUUCCAGUUUUUCAACAGCUCAUUGAUUUCGGCACCGCUCCGCUUACGUGGAGGUCCUCGAUGCUCAGCGUGACCAUUGAAUAGAUCUCCACGGUUUCUCCAUGGGUCGUCCUUUCAAGCCAUCUUCGAUGCCCCAUGUACACGAUUUUCCCAGACCCGCCAUCUUUCCUUGACUUUAGCUGCUGAGACGUCGUAUCAUCCAUGCACAGCGUGCAUCCGCAAUAUCCAUGGCACACCUGGCCUGCCACAUAUCCGUAACCGAGAUAGUCCCGCACUGUCGUGAUCAGCGCGGUUCUCAUGUUGAAAUACUCGCCUUUGCUGGCGUCCCAUGUCUUGGCCGGUGUUUUCCAUAACGUGUCUAACUCCUCUUGAAGUAGCCCCAGAUACAAAUUAAUAUUAUUUCCUGGUUGUUUCGGCCCUUGAAUAAGCAUGCUCAUGUGAAUGUACUUCGAUUUCAUGCACAACCAGGGGGGAGGUUGUACAUCCAUACAAACACGGGCCAUGUGCUUUGGUUGGUGUUCUGGUUGCCAAACGGAUUCAUGCCAUCGGUACACGCGCCAAGCAUGAUGUUCCUUGCAUCACAUUCAAAAUAUCGAUAGAAGCUGUUCAAUGCUCUCCAUUGGCUUCCAUCCUUCACGUGUCUGAGCUUCGGAUCAUCUCCAUCGUCGGGCUUAUUCCUCUCCGCGGGCCAGCGCAUUAGUUUUGCUUCCUUGGGAUCUACAAAAUACCUCUGGAGACGGGGAGUGAUCGGUAAGCACCAUACAACUUUCUGGGGACAUUUCUUCCCGGCCUUCUUGUAUCGAGAAGCAUUGCACACCGGACAGCUUGUUUUUUCCGCGUGCUCCUUCCGAUAAAUUAUGCAAUCGUUGAUGCAUGCAUGGUAUCUAACAUGUGGCAGAUCAAGAGGGCACACGAUCUUCUUGGCCUCAUCAACACUAGUAGGACAUAUAUUACCCGCAGGAAGAACAUCCUUUAGGUACUUGAAAUGGUCAUCGAGGAUAGUGUCGGUCCAUUUGUUUUUAGCCUUCAUCUUCUGGAGUUGGAGCGUGAAACUCAAGUGGGUCACCUCAGGAUUGCAACCAUCAUACAAUGGAGUGUUUGAGUCUACCACCAGUUGCUCCAGCUUAGCCUCCUCUCUAGAAGCAGCUCUCUCAGUACUCGUCUCCUUGUGAAGCAAUGCUUGAACAUGAGGGUCCCGCACGAUUGAACUUAGUAUCGACGAACUCUGCUGCGUGGAGUCCAUGUCGUUCUCUCCGCCGCCAUGUUCGGCCCCUUCUCCCCACCAUGUCCGGCCCCUUCUCCGCCGCCAUGUCCGGCCUCUUCCCCGCCGCCAUUAUCGAUCAUCUCUUCGUCUUGCCCCGUGUCAUCAUUGCUUGCCCCGUCGGCAUCCUCAACAUCCUCAUCCUCAUCUUCAGUUAUCCACUAAGUAUAGCCAUACAUGAAACCAUUCAUGAGAAGGUCCGCUUCGACACGACCAUAGUCAUAGGGGUCGAGCCAAACUAUUCCUUUGCAUUUUCGACACGGACAUAAAACCUCUGUCAGGUUAUUUUCUUUCAUGUCCUGCACCGCCGACCGCAACCACCUGUCCACCAUCGUUCCACUGACCAUCAUGAACGUCUGCACGGUAAUAAUAAAACAGAUUGAUUAUAAAAAUGUGUGCAUGCAUCAAAGUCAUACAAAAAUUCGGCAUGACCUUCCCUAAAAAUAGGACAUAUAUGGAUGUAGAGUUUGCCCGGAAUUCGCCGAAACGGAAAUAAAUCGACAUUUUGGCAAAACAUAAGCAACUCAAAAGCACAAUUUGGCGUCAACUCAUGCCACACACACAAUUUCCACAAACAUAUCACACACACACAUAAACAUAUUUCCAUUUUGCAAAAGCAUGAAAUUUUCAUCACCUCCAUCUCGAGAUCGAGCACACGGUGAUGAGAUGAUGAUGUAGGGAGAUCAAAAGUGCCCAAAGCUCUUCUUGACAAAGAUAGAUCUAGUUAGGGGGCAAAUAGGUCACUUAACUAAAUGCUACAUCUACCUAGCUACCUAAUUUGGGAGGAGACAACUUCAACUAGUGGAGGGGGAAGGAAAAAGAGAAAGGAGAUGCAUUAAUGGAGAUGGUGUAGUUAGGUAGGAGUAAUGAAGAGAGAGAAAGGUAGGUAGAAGAGGGAGAGUAAUGGGGGAGAAGUGUUGAGGAAGAAGAAGAGUGAGAGUGGGAGGAUGUGGGAGGUAGGGGAAAGNNNNNNNNNNNNNNNNNNNNNNNNNNNNNNNNNNNNNNNNNNNNNNNNNNNNNNNNNNNNNNNNNNNNNNNNNNNNNNNNNNNNNNNUAGGUAGGAGUAAUGAAGAGAGAGAAAGGUAGGUAGAAGAGGGAGAGUAAUGGGGGAGAAGUGUUGAGGAAGAAGAAGAGGGAGAGUGGGAGGAUGUGGGAGGUAGGGGAAAGGGACGAGAGGAGGGGGAGGGGAGGGGACGGGUGGGGAAAAGGUGGUGGGUUGGUGCGGAUUAGCAGUAGCGCAGGACGUAAAACGCUCUGCUGAUAAGAAAGUAGCAGCAGCGUGCUUUCGGCAGAAGCGCUACUGCUAACCGGGACAAAAAGUGUGUCCGAUUUGAAUAUUAGCAGCAGCGACCUCAGAAAAAGCACGCUACUAGUACAUCCAUAGCAGUAGCGUGGCUAGCGGAACCGCGCUGCUACUAAAUGGAGUUUCGGGGUGUCGGUGACAAAACCGGCGGAUCUUGGGUAGGGGUCCCGAACUGUGCGUCUAGGCGGAUGGUAACAGGAGACAAGGGAAACGAUGUUUUUACCCAGGUUUGGGCCCUCUCGAUGGAGGUAAAACCCUACUCCUGCUUGAUUAAUAUUGAUGAUAUGGGUAGUACAAGAGUAGAUCUACCACGAGAUCAGAGAGGCUAAACCCUAGAAGCUAGCCUAUGGUAUGAUUGUUGUUCGUCCUAUAGACUAAAACCCUCUGGUUUAUAUAGACACCGGAGAGGGCUAGGGUUACACAGAGUCAGUUACAAUGGGAGGAGAUCUACAUAUCCGUAUCAAGAAGCUUGCCUUCCACGCCAAGGAAAGUCCCAUACGGAUACGGGAUGAAGUCUUCAAUCUUGUAUCUUCAUAGUCCAGGAGUCCGGCCAAAGGCUAUAGUCCGGCCAUUCGAACACCCCCUAAUCCAGGACUCCCUCAGGGGGCACUGUCGGUCGAUAUUUGUAGCAGCACGGGUAACACCAAGCGCGCUACUGCUAAACGCUUGUCAGUAGCGGGUUUUACACGCCUGUGCUACUGCUAAUUAGCAGCAGCGCUCCUUUUUGAGCCGCGCUGCUGCUAAGAUUCUGUGUAUAGGCUUUUCCCUAGUAGUGGGCAGUGCCACAAAUAAAUUGCACUAUCAUUAUCAACUCUGCAUCUUUUGGCUUCAAUAUUAUGAAUAUGUGUAUCACUACUAUCGAGAUUCAAUAAAAAUAGACCACUUUUCAAGGGUGCAUGACCAUAAAAGAUAUUACUCAUAUAAAUAGAACAACCAUUAUUCUCAGAUUUAAAUGAAUAACCGUCUCGCAUCAAACAAGAUCAAGAUAUAAUGUUCAUGCUCAACGCUGACACCAAAUAACAAUUAUUCAGGUCUAAAACUAAUCCCAAAGCUAGAUGUAGAGGUAGCGUGCCGACCGUGAUCACAUCGCCUUUGGAACCAUUUUCCACGCGCAUCGUCACUUCGUCCUUAGCCAAUCUUCGCUUAAUCCAUAGUCCAUGUUUCGAGUUGCAAAUAUUAGCAACAGAACCAGUAUCAAAUACCCAGGCACUACUGUGAUCAUUAGUAAGGUACACAUCAAUAACAUGUAUAUCACAUAUACCUUUGUUCACCUUGCCAUCCUUCUUAUCCGCCAAAUACUUGGGGCAGUUUCGCUUCCAGUGAUCAGUCCCUUUGCAGUAGAACCACUCAGUCUCAGGCUUAGGUACAGACUUGGGCUUCUUCACUUGAGCAGCAACUUGCUUGCCGUUCUUCUUGAAGUUCCCCUUCUUCCAUUUACCCUUUUUCUUAAAACUGGUGGUCUUUUUGACCAUCAACACUUGAUGCUCCUUCUUGAUUUCUACCUCCAUAGCCUUUAGCAUCGCGAAGAGCUCGGGAAUUGUCUUAUUCAUCCCUUGCAUAUUAUAGUUCAUCAAGAAGCUCUUGUAGCUUGGUGGUAGUGAUUAAAGAAUUCUGUCAAUGACAUUAUCAUCAGGUGGUUAUUAUACCCAGACAUUUUGAGUAUAUGUUCACUGACAGAACUAUUAUCCUCCAUCUUGCAGCUGUAGAACUUAUUAGAGACUUCAUAUCUCUCAAUCCGGCCAUUUGCUUGAAAUAUUAACUUCAACUCCUGGAACAUCUCAUAUGCUCCAUGACAUUCAAAACGUCGUUGAAGUCCCGGUUCUAAGCCGUAAAGCAUGGCACACUGAACUAUCGAGUAGUCAUCAACUUUUCUCUGCCAAACGUUCACAACGUCUGGCGUCGCUCCUGCAGCGGGUCUUGCACCUAGCGGUGCUUCCAGGACGUAAUUCUUCUGUGUAGCAAUGAGGAUAAUCCUCAAGUUACGGACUCAUUCCGUGUAAUUGCUACCAUCAUCUUUCAACUUAGCUUUCUCAAUGAACGCAUUAAAAUUCGACGGAACAACAGCACGGGCCAUCUAUCUACAACAACAUAGACAUGCAAAAUAAUAUCAGGUACUAAGUUCAUGAUAAAUUAAAGUUCAAUUAAUCAAAUUACUUAAGAACUCCCACUUAGAUAAACAUCCCUCUAAUCAUCUAGGUGAUCACGUGAUCCAGAUCAACUAAACCAUGUCCGAUCAUCACAUGAGAUGGAGUAGUUUUCAAUGGUGAACAUCAUUAUGUUGAUCAUAUCUACUAUAUGAUUCAUGCUCGACGUUUCGGUCUCAGUGUUCCGAGGCCAUAUCUGCAUAUGCUAGGCUCGUCAAGUUUAACUCGAGUAUUCUGCGUGUGCAAAACUGGCUUGCACCCAUUGUAUGUGAAUGUAGAGCUUAUCACACCCAAUCAGCACGUGGUGUCUCGGCACGACUAACUUUCGCACUGGUGCAUACUCAGGGAGAACACUUAUACCUUGAAAUUCAGUGAGAGAUCAUCUUAUAAUGCUACCGUCGAUCUAAGCAAAAUAAGAUGCAUAAAAGAUAAACAUCACAUGCAAUCAAUAUAAGUGAUAUGAUAUGGCCAUCAUCAUCUUGUGCCUUUGAUCUCCAUCUCCAAAGCACCGUCAUGAUCACCAUUGUCACCGGCGCGACACCUUGAUCUCCAUCGUAGCAUCGUUGUCGUCUCGCCAACUAUUGCUUCUACGACUAUCGCUACCGCUUAGUGAUAAAGUAAAGCAAUCACAUGGUGAUUGCAUUUCUUACAAUAAAGCGACAACCAUAUGGCUCCUGCCAGUUGUCGAUAACUCCGUUACAAAACAUGAUCAUCUCAUACAAUAAAAUUUAGCAUUAUGUCUUGACCAUAUCACAUCACAACAUGCCCUGCAAAAACAAGUUAGACAUCCUUUACUUUGUUGUUGCAAGUUUUACGUGGCUGUUACGGGCUAAGCAAGAACUGUUCUUACCUACGCAUCAAAACCAAAACGAUAUUGCGUCAAGUAUGUGUUGUUUUAACCUUUACAAGGACCGAGCGCAGCCACAGUCGAUUCAACUAAAGUUGGAGAAACAGACACCCUCCAGCCACCUUUGUGCGAAGCACGUCGGUAGAACCAGUCUCGCGUAAGCGUACGCAUAAUGUCGGUCCGGGCCGCUUCAUCCAACAAUACCGCCGAAUCAAAGUAUGACAUGCUGGUAAGCAGUAUGACUAGUAUCGCCCACAACUCACUUGUGUUCUCGUACAUAUAACAUCUACGCACAAACCUGGCUCGGAUGCCACUGUUGGGGAACAUAAUAAUUUCAAAAAAAAUCCUACGCACACGCAUGAUCAUGGUAAUGCAUAGCAACGAGAGGGGAGAGUGUCGUCCAUGUACCCUCAUAGACCGUAAGUGGAAGCAUUAUGACAACGCGGUUGAUGUAGUCGUACGUCUUCACGAUCGACCAAUCCUACUACCGAACGUACGACACCUCCGCGAUCUGCACACGUUCAGCUCGGUGACGUCCCAUGAACUCACGAUCCAGUAGAGCUUUGAGGGAGAGUUCCGUCAGCACGACGGCGUGAUGACGGUGUUGAUGAAGCUACCGACACAGGGCUUCGCCUAAGCACCGCAACGAUAUGACCGAGGUGGAUUAUGGUGGAGGGGGCACCGCACACGGCUAAAGAUCAAUGAUCUCCUUGUGUGUCUUGGCGUGCCCCCUGCCCCCGUAUAUAAAGGAGAAAGGGGGGAGGCGGCCGGCCUAGGAGGAGGGCGCGCCAAGGGAGGAGUCCUACUCCCACCUGGAGUAGGACUCCCAUUUCCUAGUAGGAGUAGGAGAAGGGGGAAGGAAAGGAGGGGAGGGGAAGGAGGGGGCGCCGCCCCUCCCUCUAGUCCAAUUCGGACUAGGAUUGGGGGGCGUGUGGCCCAGCCAUAGCCAGUCCCUCUCUCUCUCCCAUAAAGCCCAUUAAGGCCCAUAUACUCCCAGGGGGGGUUCCGAUAACCUCCCGGUACUUCGGUAUUUAUCCGGUGACCCCCGGAACCCUUCCGAUGCCCGAAUAUAACCUUCCAAUAUAUCAAUCUUUAUGUCUUGACCAUUUCGAGACUCCUCGUCAUGUCCUUGAUCUCAUCCAGGACUCCAAACAACCUUUGAUACAUCAAAACACAUAUACUCAUAAUAACAAUCAUCACCGAGACAAGUCUCCGGUCAAUAACCAAUAGCGGAACCUGGAUGCUCAUAUUGGUUCCUCUAUAUUCUAUGAAGAUCUUUAUCAAUCAAACUGCAUGACAACAUACAUUGUUCCCUUUGUCAUCGGUAUGUUACUUGCCCGAGAUACGAUCGUCGGUAUCUCAAUACCUAGUUCAAUCUCGUUACUGGCAAGUCUCUUUACUCGUUCUGUAAUGCAUCAUCCCGCAACUAACUCAUUAGUCACAUUGCUUGCAAGGCUUAUAGUGAUGUGCAUUACCGAGAGGGCCCAGAGAUACCUCUCCGUCAAUCGGAGUGACAAAUCCUAAUCUCGAUCUAUGCCAACUCAACAAGUACCAUCGGAGACACCUGUAGAGCACCUUUAUAAUCACCCAGUUACGUUGUGACGUUUGGUAGCACACAAAGUGUUCCUCCGGUAUUCGGGAGUUGCAUAAUCUCAUAGUCAUAGGAACAUGUAUAAGUCAUGAAGAAAGCAAUAGCAACAAACUAAACGAUCAAGUGCUAAGCUAACGGAAUGGGUCAAGUCAAUCACAUCAUUGUCUAAUGAUGUGAUCCCGUUAAUCAAAUGACAACUCAUGUCUAUGGCUAGGAAACUUAACCAUCUUUGAUUGAACGAGCUAGUUAAGUAGAGGCAUAGUAGUGACACUUUGUUUGUCUAUGUAUCCACACAUGUACUAAGUUUCCGUAUAAUAAAAUUCUAUCAUGAAUAAUAAACAUGUAUCAUGGUAUAAGGAAAAAUAAACAAUAACUUUAUUAUUGCCUCUAGGUCAUAUUUCCUUCAUUAAUUUCACAAGAUUCAGCAUUGGUAGUAGGAGCAAUCGGAGUGCUAAUAAAAUCAUUGUUGUUGGUGUUGGAAAAUUCACACAAUUUAGUAUUAUCUUGAGCCAUCGUGACAAGCAAUCAAUCCAACACACAAGCACACAAGAAGCAAGCAAAAAGAGAUGAACGGAAGAGGGCGAAGAAAAGGCAAAGGUUUUUGAAAAUCGUUUUAGAAGUGGGGGAGAGGAAAACGAGAGGCGAAUGGCGAAUAAUGUAAUGCAAGGGAGAAGAGUUUAUGAUGGGUACUUGGUAUGGCUUGAGUUGGCGUAGAUCUCCCCGGCAACGGCACCAGAAAUCCUUCUUGCUACCUCUUGAGCUUGUGUUGGUUUUCCCUUGAAGUGGAAAGGGUGAUGCAGCAAAGUAGCGUAAGUAUUUCCCUCAGUUUUGAGAACCAAGGUAUCAAUUCAGUAGGAGAGGACGCACAAGUCACCGAAUACCUGCACAAACAAUCAAGAACUUGCAAUCAACGCGAUAAAGGGGUUGUCAAUCCCUUCACGGUCACUCGCAAAAGUGAGAUCUGAUAGAGAUAGAUAAACGGUAAAGUAAAUAUUUUUGGUAUUUUUGGUUUAUAGAGUGGAAAGUAAAGAUUGCAAAAUAGUAGAUCAGAAACUAGCAAGAUGUAAACAAGAUUCAGUAAUAUGGAAAAGAGACCCGGGGGCCAUAGGUUUCACUAGUGGCUUCUCUCGAGAUAGCAUAUAUUACGGUGGUUGAACAAAUUACUGCCAAGCAAUUGAUAGAAAAGCGCAUAACUAUGAUGACAUCUAUGGCAAUAAUCAUGAACAUAGGCAUCACGUCCGUGUCAAGUAGAGCGACUCCUGCCUGCAUCUACUACUAUUACUCCACACAUCAACCGCUAUCCAGCAUGCAUCUAGAGUAUUAAGUUCAUAAAAACAGAGUAACGCAUUAAGCAAGAUGACAUGAUGUAGAGGAAUUAACUCAAGCAAUAUGAUGAAAACCCCAUCUUGUUAUCCUCGAUGGCAACAAUACUAUACGUGCCUUGCUGCCCCUACUGUCACUGGAAAAGGACACCGCAAGAUUGAACCCAAAGCUAAGCGCUUCUCUCAUGGCUAUAGAGAUCAAUCUAGUAGGUCAAACUAAACCGAUAAUUCGAAAAUACUUGCAAAGAUAUCAAAUCAUGCAUAUAAGAAUUCAGAGAAGAACCAAAUAAUAUUCAUAGAUAAUCUUGAUCAUAAAUCCACAAUUCAUCGGAUCACGGCAAACACACCGCAAAAGAGUAUUACAUCAAACAGAUCUCCAAGAACAUCGAGGAGAACUUUGUAUUGAGAAUCAAAGAGAGAGAAAAAGUCAUCUAUCUAAUAACUAUGGACCCGAAAGUCUGUGGUGAACUACUCACGUUUUAUCGAAGAGGUAAUGGUGUUGAUGUAGCAGCCCUCCAUGAUCGAAUCCCCCUCUGGCAGAUCGCCGGAAAAGGCCCAAGAUGGGAUCUCAUGGGUACAGAAGGUUGCAGCGGUGGAAAAGUGGUUUCGCGGCUCCCCCUGAUGUUUUUGGGGUAUAAGAGUAUAUAUAGACGAAGGAACUAGGUCAGGGGUGUUACGAGGGGCCCACAAGGGUGGGGGGCACGCCUAACCACCUUGGGCGCGCCCUCCUGCCUCGUGGCCGCCUUGUUGCCUCUCUGACUGCAUCUCCAAGUCUUCUUGUUUGCUUUCGGUCCAAGAAAGAUCUUCGCAAAGGUUUCAUUCCGUUUGGACUCCGUUUGGUAUUCCUUUUCUGCAAAACUCUAAAAUAGACAAAAAAAUAGAAAUUGCCACUAGACCCUCGGUUAAUAGGUUAGUCCCAAAAAUAAUAUAAACUAGCUUAUUAAAGCCCAUUAAACAUCCAAAACAGAUAAUAUAAUAGCAUGGAACAAUCAAAAAUUAUAGAUACGUUGGAGAUGUAUCAGUGAGCUCAAGACACCAGGGCGCGCCAGGCCCCCCAGGCGCGACCUGGUGGGUUGUGCUCAGCCCAGCCCACCUCCCGUGCCCCUCUUAUGGUAUUUAGGUCAUUUUGACCUAGAAAAAAUAAGGGAAGGACUUUCGGGACGAAGCGCCGCCGUCUCGAGGCUAAACUUGGCAGGAACACUUUUGCCCUCCGGCGCAGCGAUUCCACCGGGGGAACUUCCCUCCCGGAGGGGGAAAUCAUCGUCAUCAUCAUCACCAACAACUCUCCCAUCUUGGGAAGGGCAAUCUCCAUCAACAUCUUAAAAAGCACCAUCUCCUCUCAAACCCUAGUUCAUCUCUUGUGUUCAAUCUUUGUACCAGAACUGUAGAUUGGUGCUUGCGGGUGACUAGUAGUGUUGAUUACAUCUUGUAGUUGAUUAUUAUAUGGUUUAUUUGGUGGAAAAUUAUAUGUUCAGAUCCAUUAUGCUAUUUAAUACCCCUCCGAUCAUGAGCAUGAUUAUCAUUUGUGAGUAGUUACUUUUGUUCUAGAGGUCACAGGAGAAAUCAUGUUGCAAGUAAUCAUGUGAACUUGAUAUGUGUUCGAUAUUUUGAUGAUAUGUAUGUUGUGAUUCCCUUAGUGGUGUCAUUGAACGUCGACUACAUGACACUUCACUAUAUUUGGGCCUAAGGGAAUGCAUUGUGGAGUAGUUAUUAGAUGAUGGGUUGCGAGAGUAACAUAAGCUUAAACCCUAGUUUCUAUGCUAUUCCGUAAGGGACCGAUUGGAUCCAAAAGUUUAAUGCUAUGGUUAGAAUUUAUUCUUAAUACUUUUCUCGUAGUUGCAGAUGCUUGUGAGGGGGUUAAUCAUAAAUAGGAGGUUUGUUCAAGUAAGAACAACACCUAAGCACCGGUCCACCCACAUACCAAAUUAUCAAAGUAGCGAACACGAAUCGAACCAACAUGAUGAAAGUGACUAGAUGAAAUUCCCGUGUACCCUCAAGAACACUUUGCUUGUCAUAAGAGACCGUUUUGGCCUGUCCUUUGCCUCAAAAGGAUUGGGCUACCUUGCUGCACUUUUGUUACUACUACCGUUAGUUGCUCGUUACAAAUUAUCUUGCUAUCAAACUACUCUGUUACUUACAAUUUUAGCACUUGUAGACAUUACCUUGCUAAAAACAACUUGUCAUUUCCUUCUGCUCCUCGUUGGGUUCGACACUCUUACUUAUCAAAAAGGCUACAAUUGAUCCCAUAUACUUGUGGGUCAUUAGAGGAUGGACACCACCGACACCCUUCAGGAAGGAAUGACGGCACCCGCAGGCGGCACCUCGUCAGUGCCGGAUGAACCGGCGGUGUCGUGGAAUUGUCACGUCAGAUGUCCUAGCGUAAGGACUUAGUCGUGGAUCCAUCGCAACUAGGAAGCUUAAGGGGGUUUAACGGGACAAAGGACAUGAGGUUUAUACUCGUUUGGCCCCUUGCGGUGAAGGUAAAAGCCUACGAUCUAGUUUUGGGUGGGAUUUCUAAUGUCUCGAUAACCUGGGAGCGAAUCUGCUUGACCUAGUUCUCGAUCUGAUGUUACUUGCCCUGAACCACUGCCGGAGGUUGACGCCCAGCGGCUCACAGAGUCCCGGACGGUUCAUAAACAGUGUCCGGCUCGGUCUCUCUCUAUUCUUGUCUUACAAUACAAGUUAUACAUACAUGGUGGUUUAUCUCUACUGGCCUUAAGUCUCCACUGGGCCUUGGGCCUUUAAGUGAGCCGCCAUCUUCAAGUAUCUUCAGUGGGCUUCGUCAUAAGGUGUGACCCGAACCCUCCCGGGCAGGUCAUGCCUAAUAUUUAUAUCCCCUAUAUUAGGCCCCAGCUUGAUUUUAACUGGUUCAUGUCAAUCUUCAACACUUAAGAAAAAUCUUCUGCUCCUUGCUUAUGAAAUUUUUGUAACCCGCCAUGACGUCAUCCUUUGGACCUGUGGUAACCCACCAUGAUGUCAUCUAUCAUAAAUGUAUGUUUUAUCCAACAUACCUCAACGGAUCUUUAUCUUAAUGACCAUCCCGAAAAUUGAGGCGUCCUUGUAGUUGGAUAAUUAUGUCUUUGGCCUCCUAGUUGUUCGCGCCUGCUCAUCAAUUUUUUUUUCUUAUAAAUAGACUUCACCAGGUCUUUCCUCAUUCUUCUCCUUUCCUCAUCUUCUUCCUUGCACACCCUACUGCUGCUCGAGCUCCGCCGCCGCCGCCGCGCACCUCGUCUUCGUCGACCUUGGCCGCUACAUCGACCUGAAUCUGUCCAGAGAAUGGCGGCGAGCCUCCGCAGCAGCCCUGCAGCCGUAAGUUUUCCUCUUCCCCUACUUCAGAUCUGCAUUAGGGUUUGCAAGUUCCUUCCAUGUUCUUCGCUGUUCACCUCGGCUUCUUCAUAGUUCUACCACUGCAGCCUCCUUUAAUCCAAAAAGAGUAUAAGACUCAUGCAAUAACUAUUUCACACUCAUUUUUGAUACUAGCAGAUCCCUUUAUCUUGCAAAGAAGCCUUGUUAGAACUGAUGAACCCAUCCGCAUUUCGUUUUUAGGUCUAGAAUAUUUUCCUUUCUGAACAGCCGGUUGAUCCAAAAUAGUUGCUGCAACUUGUGAAAACUUGUUUAUGCAACACUUAGGCAAAAAAUUGUGUUGACUAGAUCCACCUAGCCAUGGCGACUAUUAUCACCGACUUAAAUGACAAUGCUUAGUUGAUAAUCUUGACCUCCCAUGGCGGCUUAAAUAACUGAAUUGUCAAUGAUGCUUAUGGCAGCUUAAAUAAUCUGACAUAAUUAGUCUUAUACCAUUAGGCCCCUUCAUAAGCCACCAUCUUGAAUAUGCACUGAUAUUUCCUCCAGCUUAAAUUUGAACCAGAAAUUUUAUCCUUUCUUAGGCUUCCAUCACAAUGGCACCUAAGACAAGCACCUCAUGCAACUGGGUCCCGUCCAUUGUCACUGAACAGACCCUUGAAGAUUUUGUGAAAGUUGGCUAUCUACCGAAAAGGGAUGUCAUGUCGUACCAUGCCCCUGACCCAACAGAAGAAAGACCUCAACCCAAGGAGGGGGAAGUGAUCAUCUUGACAGAUCAUAUGAACCGGGGUUUCUCACCACCCGACUCAAAAUUCUUUAGGGAUGUCCUACAUUUCUUUGAUCUCCGUCCUCAAGACAUCGGACCGAAUUCCGUGUCUAACAUCUGCAAUUUUCAAGUAUUCAUCGAGGUGUAUCUUGGAGAAGAACCCAACAUGUUACUCUUCAGAGAGUUAUUCUAUUUGAACCGCCAAAAUGAAUGUGCCAGCGGACAGAGCUUGGAAGUUGGCGGCAUCUCAAUCCAGCGUCAGAGAGACGUUAUUUUUCCUUAUGCCAAUCCGCCAAGCCACUCUAAAGACUAGAAUCAAAUGUGGUUUUAUUGUCAAGACACUUCCCCGGCUGAUGAGAAUCCUCUGCCCGGUUUUUGCGCCUUGCGUCUUGAUUCCAAUCAUCCACUGCCUGACAAGAUAUCACCCACCGAACGCAAAACGCUCACCCCCGCCUUGGCCAAAAUCAAAGCUCUUCUGGGGAACGGGUUGAAUGGUAUUGAUUUGGUCCAGGUCUGGCAUGCCUGGCGGAUUAUUCCAUUAAGCCGCCGCCCCGGUCUAAUGUGCAACUAUUCAGGCAAGAAAGAUGAUCCUCUGUGUAAGUGCAUCUAGUGCCACCCCUAGUUGGUUUUGGAGUAUUGACGACAAAUUUGGUUGAGGGACUAAUGCGUUUGUGAGAAUUGCAGGAUAACGCAUGUAGUGUCCCUCAUUGAUUCGGUUUACCUACCGGAGAUGACCCCUAAAAAUGUAUGAAGACAUUGACGACAAUGGUGGUAUGUGAAGAUAUUCAUAUUGAAGGCUAUGACAUGAGAAGACAUUGAGUGAAGACUAUGGAGCGCGAAGACUGUGUCAUUUCGUUGUUUCCUUUUUCUUCUUUGUUGAUUCAUAGGAACCACCGUACUGUUAAGUGGGGUCCAAGUGAACAAAGUCAGAAUGACUGAAGUGAUGCUCAACCCAAAUCCUAUAUCUUCGAGCGAAGACAAUGAGAGCAAAUCUUAUCCAGAGCUGGAUGAGUCAGCUUUGCUUGUAGCCCAAGUAAAGAUGCCAUGUGUGUUUGAAAUCUGACCGUUGGAACACGUGUCAGUUCCUUAGUGACCCAGGGUCAUUUCGGACAUAUCAGGCCGGGUUGCCUAGUGGCUAUAAAUAGCCCACCCCCUACACCAUAAAUUGGUGGCUACUUAGAGUUAGUACACGGAUUUUGUCGUUUGAGAGCAACCCACCUCAAAGCCUUUGAGAGAGAGAAAUCCUUGCGAGGACAAAGCCCAAACACCCAGAGCCAAAGAGUGUUAGGCAUCACUGAAGUCUUUAUGUCUGCGUGACCUGAAGACUUAUUACACUUGAGGACUGUGAAUCCUCCAGCUGGUUAGGCUUCGCGUUCUGAGCAUCCAAAAGUCAUUGUGGAUCGCCGGUGAACGAAGUCUGUGAAGGUUCGGAAGUCUACCUUGAAGACUUACCAGAGUGAUUGGGCGAGGACUGUGUGUCCUUAGCUCAAGGGGAAUAGGGUGAAGACGCGGUCUUCUGAGUUGAAUCUCAGCCUCCCUAACCAGACGUACAGUUGUCACAGCAACUGGAACUGGUCCAACAAAUCAUGUGUCUUCAACAAGUGACUGGUUCUAUCCUCUCCCUCCCUUUACUUAGUGUUUGUCAUCGUGAAGUCAUUGCCUAUUUGUCGUACCUGUUUGACUUCAUUGCUUGACUACUAUCAUUGGUUGGCUUCAUACUAUCUUCCAUCCUGAUCCUUACUACUAAGCUGCUAUUAGUCUUUGUACUUUCACAUUAUUGCAUACUUGACUAUGGUUUGCUUUUUGUACUUUCACAUUAUUGCAUAGAUGAGGAAACGUCGAAGCUAGUCUGGGACUGGCUAUCCAAGGUCAAUGAAGGCGUCUCAACCCAGAGAGAUCAAAGGAUCAGUGUUCUUUGCAACCUUUUCAACCGCUUCAAGAGAAACGACAAUGAAAAUGUCCAGCUCACGUUUGAUCGCCUCACCGACAUCGCAAAUGAGCUUCGUGCUCUCAGCGCCACUGAGAUUACCAAGCAUGAAAUCGUCAAGACACUACUGAGAUCACUUGACAGCUCCUUUGACACCCUUGCCCUCAUGAUACAAGAACGCCCUGACUUCAAGACACUCGAUCCGUCUGAUAUACUUGAGAGGCUCAACACACAUGAGUUCCAGCUUUCUGAGAAAAGAGAUAUCUAUGGUCCCAACUAUGGCCAAACUCGCGCUUUGAAGGCAAAAGUUGUUUCCUCAUCUGAAGAAGAAUCUGACUGCAGUUCUGAUGAUCCUGAAGACAUUGGAAAGGAACUUGCUAUGCUUGUGAAGAAGUUCCAGAAGUUCACUAAGAAGAAGGGCUUCAGAAAAUCUUCACGAUCUAGCUCAAGAAAUGAUGAAGCUUCCACUCAUGACUACAAGAAGAGAACAUGUCACAAGUGCAAGAAACCUGGACACUAUAUCUCUGAGUGUCCACAGUGGGACAAUGAGGAGAAGAAGAAGAAGAAGAGCAAGGAAUAUGAUUCUGAUGACAAGAAGAAGAAGAAAUCUUUAAAGUCUUCUUCCAAGUCCUCAUCGAAGUCUUCAUCUCAUAAGAAGAGCUCAUCUGGCAAGGCUCGUGCUUUUGUUGGCAAGGAAAUGGAUUCAGAGGAGAAGUCUGCUUAUGAGGAGGCGGAGGUGGAGUCUGAAGAGGAGUCCGACCCUCGCAUUGCAAGUCUGGCUCUAGCCACAACCUAUGCUGCCAAGUCCAUCUUCAACACUGAAGACAAUGACUUCCACACCAACGCUGAAGCUGAUGACAAAUACGACCCUGCUCCCACCUACUACUUCAUGGCACGUGGUGCCAAGGUAAAAUCACGUGAUGCUUACUUUCAAACAUCAAGUGAAGAUGACUCUGAUUGUGAAUCCAAACCCAGCUACAAAACACUUGCUAAAAUUGCAACUAAACAACAAAAAGCUAUGGAACAUACUCAAAAACUGUUAGACAAAAGUGAUGACCUGUUGGACGCGGAAAUGACACGUUCACAGUCCCUAGUUGAAGACAUAAAAAAUCUUCAUGCUAAGCACCAAGAACUUGAAAGUCGUCAUUAAACGCUCUCAACCACUCAUGAAAAGCUCUCCUAUGAUUAUCUUCAAAGGAAGCAAGAGCUUGAGAAAUUGAGAGCGGCUCAUGAAGAUCUUCAAAAAGAGAACGAGUCACUUCGCGCUCAACAGAUCAGUCCCGCUCAGGAUGGAUUCGAACCACCAUGUCUAAAAUGCCUUGAGCGUGAUAACACUACCUCUGUUGCUGAAUGUUCCACUACUGCUACUGUUGCAUUGUCUUCAACUACUGAUGUGGUAACUAACCCCUCUGCGGAGGAUACCACUACUAUUGCUGAUGAAAAUGCUAGGUUGAAGACAUUGCUUGAAAUAGGGAUGUAUAAAAGUCUGAAAGGACAUCAGACACUUUGUGAUGUCCUCAAAAAGCAGAUUCUGAACCGAAACCCUAGGAAAGAGGGUUUUGGGUUCGAGAGGAAAAUGAAUGUUGAUGGUUCCUACUGGAAGCCUGAGCAGUAUCCCAAAACCACAUGGGUUGCUGCAAAGGGACCUUCAGCGGAUCCAUCCACCUUAUCUAGCUUUACCUGUGCUAAUCCUGUUAUAAUUGAUGAAUCCCUUGAUGCAAACUAUAAGCUAUUCAAGAAUCAGAAUGGUGAAGUGUUUGCCAGCUAUAUUGGUACUAACUGCAGGAAUGGACCACCUAUGAAGAAGAUCUGGGUUCCCAAAAGCUGUCUUGAGAAUCUUCCAGUGAAUGUGAUCAUGACACCACAUGGGAAGAAGACAAACCCCAGACCUAAGCAUCAUAUGGUCCAAAGGCUUCAUACAGACAGAGGACUCACCUGAGUCACUCUAACGCCAAUGUUUUGCAGGGAAACCGUCCUCAAACUUAUGAAUAUGAGCGUGUGUCUUCAAACCGCUAUGUUCAUAGAACUAAGAACUUUUCUGCUUAUUCAUAUGAGUAUCAUUCAUCUCCUGCAAGGCUAUUUGCUAGGGCUCCAAAGCCGAAGUUCUCAGAUGUUGCACUUAGACUCAUUGCUUCUAAGCCACCCCUGAAGAUGUGGGUGGUUAAGAAGAAUUAACUUUCAUUUGCAGGGAAGGGUCUCCAGCCGAAAUUCAAAGGCGUCUGAUGCUAUUGCUGGGGACCUAAAACAUCUUCUAGGGUGCAAGAUCAAAUGCCCAAAUGGUCUCACUAUGUAUUUUGUUCCUGAAUUGUUUGUCAUUCAUCCUAUCGGUCCUAAUCUUGAUCUGAGCUUCAAUAAUCCUCUUGCCCGUCAAAUGUUUAUGCUUCACAAUACUCUUGGUGAAGCCUAUCCCCCUAACUGUACUGUAGGGUAUGACACCUCAUGCUUCAGAAUGGAUUAUGGAUAGCGGAUGCACUAAUCAUAUGACUGGUGAUCGAAGUCUUCUCAUGGACUCAACCUUACGUCCAUCAGACAAGAGUCACAUCACAUUUGCUAACACUGGUAAAAGCAAGGUAUUGGGUCUAGGUAAAGUUGCAAUCUCAAAGGAUCAACACAUGGAUAAAGUGAUGCUUGUUGAAUCCCUUGGUUUCAACUUAAUGUCUGUCUCGAUUCUUUGUGACUUGAACAUCAUUCUGCUAUUCGGAAAAUAUCGUUGCCUUGUACCAAUGGAAUCUGACAAGUCUCUAGUCUUUGAAGGGUAUCGGAAAGAUGAUCUAUACAUGGUAGAUUUCUCAGCAGGUCCACAGCUUGCCAUAUGUCUUCUUGCAAAAGCUUCAGAAUGCUGGCUCUCGCAUCGAAGGCUGGGGCAUGCUGGCAUGAGGAACUUACACACACUCGCCAAGAAGAAGCAUGUCAUAGGCAUCGAGGGUGUCAAGUUCAAGAAGGAUCAUCUGUGUGGUGCCUGCGAAGCUGGAAAGAUGACUAGGGAAAAGCACCCCUCGAAGACAAUCAUGAUGACAUCUCAACCCUUCGAGCUGUUACACAUGGACUUAUUUGGCCCUACUCACUACUCUACCCUCACAACAACUGCUUGUCUCUAUGGCUUCGUCAUUGUUGAUGACUACUCAAGAUAUACAUGGGUGCACAUAAUUCUCUACAAGACUGAAGUGCAAGAUGUCUUCAGACUCUUCGCCAAUCGAGCCAUGAACAAUUAUGGUGUCAAGAUCAAGCAUAUCAGAAGUGACAACGGCACUGAGUUCAAGAACACCGGACUUGAUAUUUAUCUAGAUACAAUGGGAAUCACUCAUGAGUUCUCUGCUCCAUACACACCUCAGCAAAAUGACAUCGUAGAGCGCAAGAACAGAACCCUCAUUGAGAUGGCUCGAACAAUGCUCGACGAGUACAAGACACCAAGAAAGUUCUGGCCCGAAGCUAUUGAUACAGCAUGUCACAUCAUCAACCGUGUUUACAUCCAUAAGCUUCUGAACAAAACAUCCUAUGAGCUCCUUACUGGCAAGAAGCCAAAUGUCAGCUACUUCAGAGUAUUUGGAGCUAGGUGCUGGAUCAAGGAUCCCCAUCACAAGUCAAAAUUUGCACCUAAAGCUCACGAAGGCUUGAUGAUCGGUUACGAAAAGGACUCGCACUCUUACAGAGUCUUCAACCUCUAUCUCUACAAAAUCGUCGAAACUGAGGACGUGCGAUUUGAUGAAACCAAUGGUUCACAAAGAGAGCUCCUGCCAAGUACACUAGAAGAAGCUCCGCCCGACGAAUCUAUCAAGCUGAUGGGAACUGGUGAAAUCAUGCCUUCUGAAGCACAGCCUGAAGAGGAACUUAUCAUUUGGUCUUCAAAUUCGUCAGCAAAGGAAUGGCAUCUUCAUAUCUCUAGAAAAAUACCUCAAAGAUUGUCUAAAGAAGUUUGGAAUGCAAGAUUGCAAAGGUUACACAACGCCAAUGCCAGCCAAACACCAUCUGGGUCCCGACGACAAUGGUAAAGAGUUCGAUCAAAAGGUAUACCGCUCCAUGAUUGGUUCCUUACUUUACCUAUGUGCAUCUAGGCCAGAUAUUAUGCUUAGUGUUUGCAUGUGUGCUCGAUUCCAAGCGGCACCAAAGGAAUCGCAUCACUUAGCUGUGAAGCGAAUUCUUCGAUAUUUGGCUUACACCCCAACACUCGGAUUAUGGUAUCCAAAGGGCACAAAAUUUGAUCUGGUUGGAUUCUCCGAUGCUGAUUAUCCUGGUGACAAGGUGGAUCGCAAGUAUACAUCAGGCACAUGUCACUUUCUGGGACGAUCACUUGUCUGUUGGUCUUCAAAGAAGCAGAACUGUGUAUCACUCUCAAUUGCUGAAUCUAAAUACAUUGCUGCUGGAUCUUGCUGCGCUCAGCUUCUAUGGAUGAAGCAAACUCUCAAGGAUUAUGACAUCAAUCUGAAACAAGUACCUCUCUUCUGCGACAGCGAAAGCGCCAUCAAGAUUGCCAACAAUCCAGUCUAGCACUCAAAGACAAAGCACAUUGAAAUUCGUCAUCACUUUCUCAGAGAUCAUGUCAUGAAGAAAGAUAUUGACAUCAUUCACGUCAACACUGAAGAGCAACUGGCAGAUAUCUUCACAAAGCCCUUGGAUGAGAAAAGGUUUUGCAAGUUACGGUGUGAGUUGAAUAUCUUGGAAUCCUCAAAUGUCGUGUGAUCAGGCACACAUCCUAACACUUAUGCAUGUUGAUGACUUAGAUGUGCAACACACGAAGUAAAGUAUAUCUUCAAUCAAUGAAGACUUACAUUGUGGGUGUGAAUACAUUAACGUGGAAUUUGACUUCGGAGCGCCACAAUAAUUGUGCGCCGUGUCUGGGUCUAAUACUUCCUAUACGGUGGGUAACGCCACCACCAAAUUUCUCGGUUUGAAGUGUUUCACUCAUGGAGUUAUUUUUGCUAUGUCUUCUCAUUUGGUUUGUCUUCAAUUUCAACUUAUCUUCAUGAUUUUCUUCAUUAUGUUGAUUUGAUUGCUUUCUGAUAUAUAUACUAGUGUUCUGUCCUCUACAGCAUUCACUUAUAGCUAUGUCUUCCUAGUUGAAUCUUUUGAACUAAGUCAUUGCUUAUCUGUAUAUCUGUUUGACUUCAUUGCUUGACUACUAUUGUUGAUUGGCUUCACACUUUCUUCCAUCUUGAUCCUUACUACCUAACUACUAUUGGUCCUGAGUUUUCACAUCAUUACAUACUUCACUAUGGCAUGUUUAGGGUAGUUUAUCUUCCGCUGCAUAUCAAUUAGGUUGUUUCUGUUGUUUGUCUUUGAAACUUCCGAGUUUUGAAGACUUUCAUAAAAAUAUCCUAUUCACCCCCCUCUAGUCGAUACUAGCACUUUCAAUUGGUAUCAGAGCAAGGUACUCCCUUGUUCCGUGUGAUUCGGUUAAACCACCUGGAGUUUCAGCUAUGUCGACUGCAGGGAUAAUCAAGGUCUCCGCUGCUUGCCCCGUGUUCGAUGGAACUGAAUAUCACUACUGGAAGAAUAAGAUGCGCAUGCAUCUUGAAGCCAUUGAUGUCGACCUCUGGUAUGUCGUCAAGAACGGCGUUCCCAAAACUGGUGAAGGUGUCAACCCCACUGAUGUCAAGAAGUUCAUUCAACUGGACUCCACUGCAAAGAACAUCAUCUGUGGUCAUCUGACCAAAGGACAGUAUGGCCGUGUGAGUGCUCUGGAAACGUCGAAGCUAGUCUGGGACUGGCUAUCCAAGGUCAAUGAAGGCGUCUCAACCCAGAGAGAUCAAAGGAUCAGUGUUCUUCGCAACCUUUUCAACCGCUUCAAGAGGAAUGACAAUGAAAAUGUCCAACUCACGUUUGAUCGUCUGACUGACAUCACAAAUGAGCUUCAAGCUCUUGGCGCCACUGAGAUCACCAAGCAUGAAAUCAUCAAGACACUGCUGAGAUCACUUGACAGCUCUUUUGACACCCUUGCCCUCAUGAUACAAGAACGUCCUGACUUCAAGACACUCGAUCCGUCUGAUAUACUUGAGAGGCUCAACACACAUGAGUUCCAGCUUUCUAAGAAAAGAGAUAUCUAUGGUCCAAACUAUGGCCGAACUCGUGCUUUGAAGGCAAAAGUUGUUUCCUCAUCUGAAGAAGAAUCUGACUGCGGUUCUGAUGAUCCUGAAGACAUUGGAAAGGAACUUGCCAUGCUGGUGAAGAAGUUUCAGAGGUUCACCAAGAAAAGGGGCAUCAGAAAAUCUUCACGGUCCAGCUCCAAGAAUGAUGAAGCUUCCACACAUGACCACAAGAAGAGAACCUGCCACAAGUGCAAGAAAACUGGUCACUACAUAUCUGAGUGUCCACAGUGGGACAAUGAGAAGAAGAAGAAGACGAGCAAGGAAUAUGAUUCUGAUGAUAAGAAGAAGAAGAAAUCCUCAAAGUCUUCCAAGUCUUCUUCCAAGUCUUCAUCAUACAAGAAGAGCUCAUCUGGCAAGGCUCGUGCUUUUGUUGGCAAGGAAAUGGAUUCAGAGGAGGAGUCAGCUUCUGAGGAGGCGGAGGUGGAAUCUGGAGAGGAGUCGGUCCCUGGCGUUGCAAGUCUGGAUUUAGCCACAGCCUAUGUCACCAAGUCCAUCUUCAACACUGAAGACAAUGACUUCCGCACCAACGCUGAAGCCAAUGACGAAGACGAUCCUUCUCCCACCUACUGCUUCAUGGCACAUGGUGCCAAGGUAAAAUCCCGCGAUGCUUACUUUCAAACGUCAAGUGAAGAUGACUCUGAUUGUGAAUCCAAACCCAGCUACAAAACACUUGCUAAAAUUGCAACUGAACAACAAAAGGCUAUGGAACAUACUCAAAAACUGUUAGACAAAAGCGAUGACCUGUUGGACGCUGAAAUGACACGCUCACAGUCCUUAGUUGAUGACAUAAAAAAUCUUCAUGCUAAGUACCAAGAACUUGAAGGUCGUCAUGAAUCGCUAUCAACAACUUAUGAAAGGCUCUCCUAUGAUUAUCUUCAAAGGAAACAAGAGCUUGAGAAAUUGAGAGCGGCUCAUGAAGAUCUUCAAAAGGUGAAUGAGUCACUGCACGCCCAACAGAUCAGUUCCGCUCAGGAUGUAUUUGAACCACCAUGUUUAAAAUGCAUUGAGUGUGAUAAUGCUACAUCUGUUGCUGAAUGUUCCACUACUGCUGCUGUUUCAUUGUCUUCACCUACAGAAGUGGUUACUAACCCCUCCGCGGAGGAUACCACUAGUAUUGCUGAUGAAAAUGCUAGGUUGAAGACAUUGCUUGAAACAGGGAUGUACAAAAGUUUGAAGGGAGAUCAGACACUCUGCGAUGUCUGUCGUGGUUCUAAGCCUGACAGUAGAGUGGGGGUAGGUAUGGAGAGGCAAGGUCCUAGCUAUGGAGAGGUUGUAAGCACAAAGGAUGUACGAGUUCAGGCCCUUCUCGGAAGAAGUAACAGCCCUACGUCUCGGAGCCCGGAGGCGGUCGAGUGGAUUAUGAAUGUAUGGAUUACAAGGUGCCCCACCCCUCUGCCUGUGGAGGGGGGUGGCUUAUAUAGAGUGCGCCAGGACCCCAGCCAGCCCACGUAGGAGAGGGUUUAAGGUGAGUUAAGUCUGGGGCGUUACUGGUAACGCCCCACAUAAAGUGCCUUUACUAUCAUAAAGUCUACUUAAUUACAGGCCGUUGCGGUGCAGAGUGCCUCUCGACCUCCUGGUGGUCGAGUGAGUCUUCGUGGUCGAGUCCUUCAGGCCAGUCGAGUGAAUCCUCGUUGGUCGACUGGAAGGCGACCUCUUCUAGGGAUGUCCUAGGGUAAGUUACUUGGAACAGGUCCAUGACCCUACCCUAGGUACAUAACCCCAUCAUUAGCCCCCGAAUGGAUUGAGGCUUCGAGUGAAGAAGGAGUUGAUGUCGUUUCCGAUUAACCUUUGCGCUCUAUUUGUGCGCUGUUCUGGAUCAAAGAAUCUCUUCGUUGACAGGGAGUAAUUUGUCUUCGGUCGACUCGAUCCAUUCUAUUUUUGCGUCGAGUGAUCUUUCGAGCUUCGACGAUCUCCGAGCGACGGAUCGCCGGAAACACCGCGUCUGACAGAUUGAUUUGUUGCUCGCGGAUUCCGCGGGGUGCGAAAUUUGGGGGCGCGCGCGAAGCGGGGCAGACCGCGGCGUUCGGAUGGGACGGGGCAUAGACGCCUCGAUCUCCGCGCCGCCUUUUUCGCCACGUAUCCAGUCCUCAUAACUGCUCCCAGAUAUGAUUAGAUCGACCGGGCCCACAUGUCAGCCACUCGGAAGGGACCUUAUAAAUGUGCCCGGCGAGGAUUUCUGUGCUGCGCCUCAGCAUUCUCCCUCUCUCCCUCUGCUUCCUUCCUCCCUGCUCAGCGUGCUCGCUCUCGCCCCCGCACCACUUCCCUUCGUGCAUCUCACCGGCGACCAUGGCCAAGGAGAAGACGGCGGCGCUGGAGCGUUCCAAGAAGGCGUCGGCCUCGGAGAAGGCGAAGGGGAGAUCCACCAGCCGCAGAGGGUCCUCAUCCAGAUCCCGCCUGCCGAAAGGCUGGGUCCAAGGAGACUGGAUCCAGUCGACCAUCACGGAGAAGGACCUCCUCGACAUGGCCAACGAGGGCUUGAUCCCUCACGGAGCUGCGAGGUUGCCGGGGAAGGAGUGGCAGCCACAGCCAGAAGAGGGUGAGUGUGUGCUUCUGGUCACUCAUGUUGAUCGUGGGUUUUCCUUGCCGCCAAGCAUUUUCUUCCGUGGCUUCUUGAAUUUCUUUGGAGCGCAGCUCCACCACUUUACCCCAAACUCCAUUGCCUAUCUUGCUGCAUUCGUGUCCAUGUGUGAGGGUUUCUUGGGCUGUCGACCGCACUGGGGUUUGUUCAAACGUAUCUUCACGUGUCGCUCUCAGACCGUGAAGAAGGCGAGCCCAGGUGACGAGAAGACCCGAGUCGUCCAAAUGUGUGGGGGCCUGGGGAUUCAGGUGAGGAAUAAUAGCACCUUCCCGCCCAUGUCCUUUCCCGAGUCCGUCAGAGGCUGGCAGUCGACCUGGUUCUACUGUCAGGUCCAGUCGACGCCAGGGCAGUCGAGUGGACUCCCUCCGUUUACCAUGGACCGAGUGAACAAGCCCUCCCCUCUGAAGCUGAUUCCGGAGGAGAAAGCCGACGUGAAGAUGUUGAUGGAGCGCGUGGUGCAGUUGGUUCGGGAGGGGGUGACGGGCAUGGAUCUUCUGGAGGUCUUCCUCAGGCGUCGCAUCCAACCCCUACAAUUCCGGAGCCACUGCAUGUGGUUGUACUGUGGGCCCGAAGACGAGACUAGAGUCCAUCCAGAGGAAGUCGACGAUGCCACUCUGGAAAGAUGGAUGGUAGCCGUUACAGGAAACAGGGACAACCCGCGCGGAGCCAGAAGGAUUCCUCCACUCGACCACAACAGCGACCCAAACAAGGUACGCUUGCUCUGCUUUCCAUUGUGUCCUUGUCGUAUUCAUUUCUGCUAACCUUGUCGACUGGUCGACUGAUCCUUGUUUGGGCAUCUGCUAGGCCUUCACCGAGCUGUACUCGAUGCCCAAUGGGGCACAAGCUUCGACUGAGGAAGGCGAGGCGAGCGGGGGCGAGGCGAGCGGGGGCGAGAGCCAGGAAGAGGAGGAAUGGGACUCGGAUGCUGCAAGGGAUGAUGACGACGAUGAUGAUGAUGAAGGUGAUGAGGAUGACAUCGAGGACGAGGAAGAAGAGGAGGAGGAGGUCGUUCCACCGCGCUCAGAAAGGCGGUCGAAGCUUGUCCACGACCCUUCGACCGAACGUGGUAAGGGGGUUGCGACUGCCACUCAGUCGACCAAGCGCCCUCGGACCACCUCUCCGGCGCCGACUGAAAAGGCGCCGAAGCAGCCCAGGGCGGCCUCAUCGAAGCCGACCAAGCUCCUGCCGAAGAUGAAGGUGUCCAUCCCCACCAUAUCAGGGUAAUUGUGUUGCUCAUAUUUUCUUAUUCUUGUGCGAACUUUAUCUUUGGUCGACGCUGAGGUUAGUCGACUGAUCCUUUGGAGUUGCAGUGCUGCUACCUCUGAGACUUCGGCCCGGGCCGAUGACCACGAGAUGGAGGAUGCGGCAACUUCGAACCCAGGUACUGUAUUCUUAACACCGUUUUUAGUCGACUGACUCGCGACCUCUGAUCCUGAUUCUUCUUCGCAGUUCCGCCCCAUACUGUUAUCGAUCUUCCUGACGACGACGAGGAUGAAGAACUGCUGGCACGCAGGAAGAGUCGAAAAAUGCCCGCCAGUAAGGUGCCUCAGGAUGCGACGGCGCCUGAGACUCUGACUGUGGAGGAAGAGAACACCACUCGACACACGGUGUCCUUCGCGAAUCCACUGACGAGUGCUCAGGAGCCCUCCCUCUUCACGACUCACCGCGUCCCAGAGGACCAAGCUGGUGCAGCGAAGGAGGCAAUACGCCAGGCGGGACUCAUGAUGGAGCAGCUGAAGACCAUCCGGGAUGCGAGCCAGGCAGCUUAUGACGCUAGCUCUGCCCUCCAAAGCAAUGUCCAGGUCAGUCGACUGUUGUUUGUUCUGUUGGAUAUGCUACCAAAAACUUUUCUUUUCCGGGAUUUUAUAUUAGUCACCCACUGGGUGUGUUGAAUAAACUCCGUGUUAGCGGGGGCACGCUGAGUGCACCCGCUGGGUGUAGUCCCCAAGGCUAAGGUCGACUGCUGGCAGUCGGCCUUAGGCUUUAUGAUGUCAAUCUUUCUGUCAGUCGACCGGUCGACUGGAUUUCACAAACCGGUGGGGGCACGCUGAGUGCACCCACUGGGUGUAGUCCCCAAGGCUAAGGUCGACUGCUGGCAGUCGGCCUUAGGCUUUAUGAUGUCAAUCUUUCUGUCAGUCGACUGGUCGACUGGAUUUCGCAAACCGGUGGGGGCACGCUGAGGCAGUCGGCCUUAGGCUUUAUGAUGUCAAUCUUUCUGUCAGUCGACCGGUCGACUGGAUUUCACAAACCGGUGGGGGCACGCUGAGUGCACCCACUGGGUGUAGUCCCCGAGACUGUGGUCGACUGCUUGCAGUUGAUCACAGUCUUAGAGAAUGCGUCUUGCACACUGUUGUUUUUUUUUGAGGUCGACUGGUCGACUUUGUCUUCAACAGUAUUAGUGGGGGCACGCUGAGUGCACCCACUGGGUGCAGUCCCCGAGACUACGGUCGAAUGCUUGUAUUCGGCUGUAGUCUUAGAAACGUGUGUUUUUCCCUUUUUCACUCGGAAGUGAGUUACAUUUGACGUUUAGUCGAUUGGUUCUUCGCAGAACUCCUGUGAUCUUAUGGCUCGCUACUCAGAGCUGGAACAAAAGCAUACUCAAGUCGAGCUGAGCUUGAAGCUGGUUCAGGAGAAGCUGACAAAGGCAAAGGAGGAGACCGAAGGUAUGUUUGGUGAGACCCUGACGACUGCUUUUCCCCUUGCUUGUUUCGGCAUCUGAUCUCGCUGUAACUUGCAGGUAAGGUAAGGGAGACCCAGCAGAAGAAAGACCUUGAGCUAGCUGAGAAGAUCAAGCUUGCUGACGAGAAGUUAGCUUCAGUCACCAAGCUCGAACAAGACAAUACCAAUCUGAAAACUGCUCUUGGGAUUGCCAACAAGGAAGUCAGUCGACUGAGAACUGACAAAGCUUCCUUGACCGACCAAGUCAGCAAAUUGACUGAGAAGAAAACUGAACUGGAGGCCUUCCUGAGUGGCCUUGCCAAGAAGCUGUUUCUUAUGCUUGAAGGUAAACCUCCAUGUUUGGCAAAUAUUUCCAAUUGUGGCUUUUUCCAUUCGACUAUCCCCUUGACUUAGUGGUCACCCUUGCAGAAUUUUGUCAAAACCUUGAAGAGGAAACCAGCCGACUGGAGCCAAACCUUGACCCCGUCAAUUCUCCGGUGAACGACGAAGUUGCCAUGGAUGUUUUCCGACUGGAGUCUCGUGUUGCAGCUGUCGUGGACUAUCUCGCAAGGCUGAAGGCCACCACAUCUCGCAUCGACUCGACGCUCUGGCCUGAGGAGACACUUCAGAAUGACCUUGAGUCGCUGAUGGCCCGCUUGAACACGAUCCCUGGUCGAGUGCAGGAGUGGAAGAAGUCCUCGGCUCGGUGUGGUGCAGAUGUCGCUCUGUGUCUGGCCCGAGUCCACUGCAAAGAUGCACGAGAGGAGAAGCUGGCGGCCCUUCGGGUGGCCAAUACCAAGAAGCACGACUUCAGGUCCUUUAUGGAGACUUUCCUUGCAGCUGCCACUCGGAUCGCCGACGGAAUUGACCUUGAUGAAUUUGUUGCACCUUCCAGCCCUCCACAGGAGGGGUAAAAAACUUCUUCUGGCUCGACACUUUAAAUUUGCCUCGGUAUGCCGAGUGGAAUUGUAACCGACAAACCUUAACAGGCUUGACGCCUGAGCACUUUCGGUUCCUUUAGAUAUCGAUUCAAACUUGAAUUUGGCGCUUGAAUAUGAUUGCCUUCGGCUCGGAAUGUCUUUUGCAGGUUCAAAGCAAGGUGCCUGUACCGCAAUCGACUUAUUCUUUAGUCCACUUAGGCGAGCACCGGGCUGCAGCUAAGCCUCCGAGUGAGAGGGUCGCUCUUCACUCGGUAGGAUUUUUGUAACUUAGGCGAGCGCAGGGCUGCAGCUAAGCCCCCGAGUGAGAGGGUUGCUUUCCACUCGGUAAGAUUUUUAUAACUUAGGCGAGCACGACGCUGCAGCUAAGCCUCCGAGUGGAAGGCUGACUUACCACUCGGUAGGAUUUCGAUAACUUAGGCGAACACGAGGCUGCAGCUAAGCCCCCGAGUGAGAGGAUCGCUCUUCACUCGGUAGGAUUUUCACAACUUAGGCGAGUGCUUGGACUGCAGCUAAGCCUCCGAGUNNNNNNNNNNAGUGAGAGGAUUGCUCUUCACUCGGUAGGAUUUUUAUAACUUAGGCGAGCACGAGGUCGCAGCUAAGCCUCCGAGUGAGAGGAUUGCUCUUCACUCGGUAGGAUUUUUAUAACUUAGGCGAGCACGAGGUCGCAGCUAAGCCUCCGAGUGGAAGGCUGGCUUACCACUCGGUAGGAUUUUCACAACUUAGGCGAGUGCUUGGACUGCAGCUAAGCCCCCGAGUGGAAGGCUGGCGUACCACUCGGUAGGAUUUUGAUAAACUUAGGUGAAACGGAUUCGCAGCUAAGCCUCCGAGUGAGAGUCUGGCUCACCACUCGGUAGGAUUUUUACAAACUUAGGCGAAACGGAUUCGCGGCUAAGUCACCCACUGAGGGGGAGUUUUUAUGUGGACAAAAAUAAAAAGUGAUGACACAAUUAUUUCUAAACCCAUGAACUACAGAAGUACUUUAUUGCAACUCAUCCGAGUGAUAAAACUUAAGUGUAAAAUGGGCGGAGUAGCUCCGCGUUCCAAGCUCGGGGCUCGUCGAUAUUAUGCUUGACGUUGUAAAGACGGUACGCCCCGUUGUGGAGAACCUUGGAGACGAUGAAGGGGCCUUCCCAAGAAGGAGCAAGCUUGUGUGGUUUGUGUUGAUGCACUCGGAGAACCAAAUCUCCUUCCUGGAAGGCUCGACCUCUCACAUUUCGGGCGUGGAAACGGCGCAGAUCUUGUUGGUAGAUGGUCGACCGGAUCAGAGCCAUCUCCCUUUCUUCCUCUAAAAGGUCGACUGCGUCCUGCCGCGCUUGUUCAGCUUCUACUUCGUUGUAGAUUUCGACUCGAGGAGCAUUGUGGAGAAGAUCACUCGGCAAGACUGCUUCGGCUCCAUAGACCAAGAAGAAUGGAGUUCUUCCGGUCGACCGAUUGGGCGUGGUCCGCAGUCCCCAGAGUACAGAUGGAAGUUCGUCGACCCAAGCCCCAGCCGCGUGUUUGAGAUCACGCAUCAGUCGAGGUUUCAGUCCCUUGAGAAUCAGUCCAUUAGCUCGCUCUGCUUGUCCAUUCGACUGCGGAUGGGCGACUGAUGCGUAGUCGACCCGUGUGCCCUGGGAGUUGCAGAAGGUUCUGAAUUCCUCUGAGUCAAAGUUCGACCCAUUAUCCGUAAUGAUGCUGUGCGGGACUCCAUAUCUGAAUAUUAGUUCCCUGAUGAAGCUAACAGCAGUACCGGUGUCGAGGCUCUUGAUUGGUUUAGCCUCGAUCCACUUGGUGAACUUGUCGACUGCCACCAGUACAUGCGUGAAGCCACUUCGUCCUGUCCUCAAAGGGCCGACCAUGUCCAGCCCCCAAACUGCAAAAGGCCAGACGAGUGGGAUGGUCUUCAAAGCUGAUGCAGGCUUGUGCGACAUAUUCGAGUAGAACUGACAUCCCUCACACUUAUCCACUAUAUCCUUUGCCAUCUCAUUCGCCUUGGGCCAGUAAAAUCCGGCUCGGUAUGCUUUGGCCACGAUGGUCCGGGAGGACGCAUGAUGACCACAGGUCCCCGAGUGAAUAUCAUUGAGGAUGAGUCGACCUUCUUCUGGUGUUAUGCACUUCUGACCGACUCCAGUCGUGCUCUCUCUGUAUAAUUGUCCUUUGAUGACGGUAAAGGCCUUAGAUCGACGGACAAUCUGUCGAGCCUCUUCCUCAUCCUCCGGAAGCUCUUUCCUCAAGAUAUAUGCGACAUACGGAAUCGUCCAGUCGGGAAUGACUACCAAAACCUCCAUGAUCAAGUCGACCACCGCUGGGAUUUCAACUUCAGUCGGAUCUGUGGCACUCUUGGGCUGCGGAGUUUCUUCGGUGAAAGGAUCUUCUUUGACUGACGGAGUAUGUAUAUGCUCCAAGAACACACCACUCGGAAUGGCUUCUCUCUUGGAACCUAUCUUUGCUAGAUCAUCAGCUGCUUGAUUUUUCAGUCGGGGUAUAUGAUGGAGCUCCAACCCCUCGAACUUUUUCUCCAGCUUCCUCACUGCACUGCAGUAUCCAGUCAUGGCUGGGCUUCUCACGUCCCACUCUUUCAUCACCUGAUUGACCACUAAAUCCGAGUCGCCAUAGACCAUUAGGCGACGGACGCCGAGUGAAAUGGCCAUGCGCAACCCAUAUAAGAGGGCCUCAUAUUCUGCCUCAUUGUUGGAGGAAUCAAAGUGAAUCUGGAGCACAUAUCUGAGCUUAUCUCCUCUGGGGGAAACCAGGACAACCCCAGCACCGGAACCAUUCAACAUCUUAGAACCAUCGAAAAACAUGGUCCAAUGCUCCGAGUGAACUUCAGUCGGCUGCUGCUGUUCGAUCCACUCGGCGAGGAAAUCUGCUAUUGCCUGGGACUUAAUGGCUUUCUUUGCCUCAAACUUGAUAUCAAGGGGAAGAAGUUCAAUCGCCCAUUUGGCCACUCGACCAGUUGCAUCUCUGUUGUGCAAAAUCUCUGAUAGUGGAGCGUCGCUGACGACUGUGAUUGAAUGGUCAGAGAAAUAAUGAGCAACCUUCUUUGUGGUCAUGUAUAUUCCAUACACAAGCUUCUGAUAAUGAGGAUAUCUCUGCUUGGAUGGAGUCAAGACUUCAGACAAAUAAUACACUGGGCGCUGAACUUUGAGAGCUUUUCCUUCUUCUUCCCGCUCGACCGUUAGCACAGUACUGACGACUUGUCUUGUGGCUGUGAUGUAGAGCAACAGAGGCUCUUUGCUGAUUGGAGCAGCAAGCACCGGCUGGGUGGAGAGCAGAGCUUUUAGCUCGGCAAACGCUGCAUCAGCUUCUGGAGUCCACUCGAACUUGUCAGCCUUCUUCAUCAGUCGGUAAAGAGGCAAUGCCUUUUCACCGAGUCGUGAGAUGAAUCGACUUAAUGCGGCCAAGCAUCCAGUAAGCUUCUGGACAUCGUGCACUCGCACAGGGCGUUUCAUUCGGAGAAUAGUGCCAAUCUUUUCUGGGUUGGCGUCGAUUCCCCGUUCGGAAACGAGAAAACCGAGUAACUUGCCACCAGGAACUCCAAAUGUGCACUUUGAUGGAUUGAGCUUGAUAUCAUACCUUCUGAGGUUGGCAAAUGUUUCGGCGAGGUCAGCGAGCAGGUCGGAACCUUUUCGUGACUUGACAACAAUAUCAUCCAUAUAAGCUUCCACAUUCCGACUGAUUUGAGUGAGUAGACACUUCUGGAUCAUUCGCAUAAAUGUGGCUCCGGCAUUCUUGAGGCCGAACGGCAUGGUGAUAUAGCAGAAGCACCCGAAUGGAGUGAUGAAAGCUGUUUUUACUUCAUCGGGCCCAUAUAGACGGAUCUGGUGGUACCCGGAGUAAGCAUCUAAAAAAGACAACCUCUCGCAUCCCGCGGUCGAGUCAACAAUUUGAUCUAUGCGAGGGAGAGGAAAGUGAUCUUUCGGGCAGGCCCGGUUGAUGUGCUUGAAAUCAAUGCACAUUCGGAGCGACUUGUCCUUCUUAGGAACCAUGACGACAUUAGCGAGCCACUCGGAGUGGAAUAUCUCUCGGAUAAAUCCUGCCGCCAACAGUCGAGCCACUUCUUCACCGAUGGCCUUUCUCUUCUGGACGGCGGACCGCCGGAGAUGUUCUUUGACUGGCUUUGCAGACUUGUCGACUCUUAGACGAUGCUCAGCCAGUCCCCUGGGAACACCUGGCAUGUCAGCGGGCUUCCAUGCAAAAAUGUCCCAGUUCUCACGGAGGAACUGGAUGAGCGCUUCUUCCUAUUUUGGGUCGAGUGUUGUGGAGAUGCGGGUCGGAGCUGCUUCGGGGUCGGUCGGGUGAAUGUGAACAGGCUUCGUCUCACCGGACGACUGGAAUGCAGAUUCUAUGGCGGGCUUCUUGGAUCGCAGCAAGUCACUCGGAUCUGCGUUUUGCUUGUAUUCUUCGAACUCGACCGCUGUCACUUGGGAAUCGGCAAUUUUGGAGCCCUUCUGAAAGCACUCCUCUGCCUUUUUCCUAUCACCGGUGACAGUGAUCACACCUUUGGGACCGGGCAUCUUCAAUUUGAGGUACACGUAACAUGGUCGAGCCAUGAACCGUGCAUAGGCUGGUCUCCCCAAAAUGGCAUGAUAUGCACUUUGAAAAUCCACGACCUCAAACGUCAACUUUUCUUUGCGAAAAUGCUUUGAAUCGCCAAACACUACGUCCAAAGCUAUCUGGCCGAGUGACUCGGCCUUCUUCCCUGGUAUAACUCCAUGGAAGCUCAUGUUACUAGUGCUCAGUCGGGACAUCGGAAUGCCCAUACCUUUCAGUGUGUCUGCAUACAGUAAGUUCAGCCCACUUCCACCAUCCAUCAGCACCUUUGUCAGUCGAGUGCCUUCGACAACUGGAUCGACCACCAAAGCUUGCCUCCCGGGGGUGGCAAUAUGAGUCGGGUGAUCAGAUUGGUCGAAUGUGAUGGGUGUUUGAGACCACUUCAGAUAAUUUGCCUUUGCUGGGGCAACCAUGUUCACCUCUCGGUUAAUCACUUUCAGUCGACUUCUGCUUUCCACAUCCGCAAAGAUCAUCAGAGUGGAGUUGAUAUGCGGAUAUCCUCCCUCACUGUCCUCUUUGUCUUCGGCUUUGUCCGACUCCUUCUCCUUGUCCUUAGACUGUUUUCCCUGAAACUGCUGGAUCAGGAGUCGACAUUGGCGAGUGGUGUGCUUUGGGUAAAUGAUAUUCCCCUCUUCAUCUUUCUUCGUGUGAAUAUGACACGGCAUAUCCAUCACGUUGUUCCCUUCUUUAUCCUUUACCUUCUUGGGGUUCCAGGAUCCUUUUGGUUUCCCCUUAGACUUUCCUUGAGUCACGGCCAGAGCCUCUCCAGGAGCUGCCGGUUCAGCCUUCCGCUUCUGUUUCCGACUGGUGUUUCCUUUUUCCGACUGACUCGGCUUGUGCUUGCCGCUUCGGAGUCGGUCUUCUUCUUCGCCGUUGGCAUACUUGGUAGCAAUCUCCAUCAUCCGACUCAAGGUCAUGUCACCUGUUCGACCAAAUUUCAAACUCAGUUCUCUGUUCUUGACACCAUCUUUGAAGGCGCAUACUGCCUGAUGGUCAGAGACAUUUUCCACAGUGUGGUGCAAAGUGAUCCACCUCUGAAUAUACUCUCUGAGAGUCUCAUUGGUUUUCUGCACGCAGACUUGCAACUCUGUCAAUCCCGCUGGUCGCUUGCAAGUCCCUUCGAACGUUCUGACGAACACUCGGGACAGAUCUUCCCAAGUGUAAAUGCUGCUAGGAGGCAAUUGAGUCAACCAUGCCCUGGCAGAACCUUCCAACAUGAGGGGCAAAUGCUUCAUGGCCACCUCGUCGUUCCCACCACCGAUCUGAACUGCCACUCGGUAGUCUUCAAGCCAAGUUUCAGGCUUAGACUCACCAGUGAACUUGCUGACUCCUGUUGCCAACCUGAAAUUGGGGGGGGGGGAUAACUGCGGCUCUGAUAGCUCUGCUGAAACAUUCAGGACCAGAAACAUGUACUCGACUGCUCGUGGGCACAUCUCUGUCGAGUGCGCCUCGAUGGGCUCUGUUCCGGUCGACCAACCCUUGCACGAUAAUGGAUCGCGCGUCGAAGCCUGGCUCUCUGGGGUCAACUGGAACCCUACGCCCUGUACUGUACUGACGCCUAUCAUCUGGCUGCCGAGGAGCGUAAGACCCACCCCUCGGAGGGGAAUAGGGCACUCGACGCCUAUCAUCUCGGUCGAGUCUGUCGCCAUAUUGAUCUCGCCGACUCUCACGCCCUUCGCGCCGCGGAGGCGAUCUGGGGCUGUGAGCCGACUGAACCGUAUUCACAGUGACAGAUCGACUGUGAAUUCUGUUGCGCGACUGAGACACGGCUGAAUUCUGAUCUCCUGCUGCCCGGAGCAGAUCCCUGAUCUGCAGCAAACCUCUGCCAGCCUCUGACUGCGAAGGCUGAAUGGACUCUGCUAUACGGGUCGCAGCUGCUAAAUUCUGAAUUGGGGUUUGAUAUACCUGAGUCGGCGGGAAGAGUUGACGUCGACUGGUGUCGGGAAUUCGUUGCCGCGCGCGCUCGUCGAGUGCUCGCUGAAGGUUCUCCAGUCGAGUGCGCUCGGCCAAAUUGGCCAGACGCGCCUCCUCCAAGGCACGAGCCUCGGGGGUUUCUCCUGCGAUGGGAAUACGCAGGGGAUCCUCGUUCCUGCGGCGAAGCUCUUCUCUUUGCAGAGAGUCGAGUGGCUCGGGCUGGUACUCUUCGUAGCCUCGUGCAGGGUCGCCGCCGUCACCUGCUCCACCACCACGGGCGAAGCCAGGAGGACUGUGGGGCCCGUCGACCAUCAAGAUUUCCGCCGCUGGAUCACUGCUUCCGCACUCGGAUGCAGUCUCUCCGGAGCCAGUCGACUGAUCGAACAAGCCGUAGAGAGAUUCGUUGGGCUCGAUUGCCGCAACUUGUGUAGUGGCCGACUGGCGAGCCACCGCGUGACUCACCCAUCGCUGAAGCCUCGACCGGCCUGAGCGCUUGCGCUGGCGGGAGACCGGGAGGGUGGAAGAUGGAAGAGCCGACCGAUACUGGGUCGAUGAUUGCCGCAGCAGAACGCCGCGGACACAUGCGCGAAAAUGCGUCGCACCGCGGACGGGGAGCGCACCUACGUCGAGUGGAGCCUCCUGGAGCCAUGCGGAGUUGUCGGCGAUGAAGGUGAGAGCGCCGAGACGGAUCUCUUGACCCUCGACCAAAAUUCCAGCAGACACCAUGAUGAAAGUACUCGGAAGAAUCGCAACUUCUCCACAAAAUCGCUAAAACACCUGCCCCACGGUGGGCGCCAACUGUCGUGGUUCUAAGCCUGACAGUAGAGUGGGGGGUAGGUAUGGAGAGGCAAGGUCCUAGCUAUGGAGAGGUUGUAAGCACAAAGGAUGUACGAGUUCAGGCCCUUCUCGGAAGAAGUAACAGCCCUACGUCUCGGAGCCCGGAGGCGGUCGAGUGGAUUAUGAAUGUAUGGAUUACAAGGUGCCCCACCCCUCUACCUGUGGAGGGGGGUGGCUUAUAUAGAGUGCGCCAGGACCCCAGCCAGCCCACGUAGGAGAGGGUUUAAGGUGAGUUAAGUCUGGGGCGUUACUGGUAACGCCCCACAUAAAGUGCCUUUACUAUCAUAAAGUCUACUUAAUUACAGGCCGUUGCGGUGCAGAGUGCCUCUCGACCUCCUGGUGGUCGAGUGAGUCUUCGUGGUCGAGUCCUUCAGGCCAGUCGAGUGAAUCCUCGUUGGUCGACUGGAAGGCGACCUCUUCUAGGGAUGUCCUAGGGUAAGUUACUUGGAACAGGUCCAUGACCCUACCCUAGGUACAUAACCCCAUCAAUGUCCUCAAAAAGCAGAUUCUGAACCGAAACCCUAGGGAAGAGGGUGUUCGGUUCGAGAGGAAAAUGAAUGCUGAUGGUUCCUACUAGAAGCCUGAGCAGUAUCCCAAAACCACAUGGGUUGCUACAAAGGAACCUUCAGUGGAUCCAUCCACCUUAUCUGGAUUUACCUGUGCUAAUCCUAUUAUCAUUGAUGAAUCCUUUGAUGCAAACUAUAAGCUGUUCAAAAAUCAAAAUGGUGAAGUGUUUGCCAGGUAUAUUGGUACUAACUGCAGGAAUGGACCUCCUAUGAAGAAGAUCUGGGUUCCCAAAAGCUGCCUUGAGAAUCUUCCUGUGAAUGUCGUCAUGACACCGCCAGUGAAGAAGACAAACCCCAGACCAAAGGCAUCAUAUGGUCCGACGGCUACUUACGAACACGGGACUCACUUGAGUCACCCUAACGCCAAUGUUUUGCACGGAAAUCAUACUCAAACUCAUGAAUACGAGCGUGUGUCUUCAAACCGCUAUGUUCAUAAAACUAAGAACUUUUCUGCCUAUUCACAUGAGUAUCAUUCACCUCCUGCAAGGCUAUUUGCUAGGGCUUCAAAGCAGAAAUUCUCAGAUGCUGCACUUAGACUCAUUGCUUCUAAGCCACCCCUGAAAAUGUGGGUGGUGAAGAAGAAUUAACUCUCUUUUGCAGAAUGUGGUCUCCAGCAGCAAUCAAUGGCGUCCGAUAUUAUUGCUGGGGACCUAAAACUCACUUGGACGCACGAUAAACUAUCAUUCUAUAUGCUUCACAUCUGAAUUUCUUAUCAGUCAUACUAUGUCCUAACUUUGAUAUGUGUUGUGACUGUCCCUAUAUGUGUCAAAUGCUUAUGCUUCACAACAUACUUGUGACGCCUAUCCUCCUAACUGCACUGUAGGGUACAUCACCAAAAGCUUCAGAGUGGAUUAUGGACAGUGGAUGCACAAAUCAUAUGACUGGUGAUCGAAGUCUUCUCAUGGACUCAACCUUACGUCCAUCCGACAAGAGUCAAAUCACAUUUGUUGACACUGGUAAAAGCAAAGUAUUGGGUCUAGGUAGAGUUGCAAUCUCAAAGGAUCAGCACAUGGAUAAAGUGAUGCUUGUUGAAUCCCUUGGUUUCAACUUAAUGUCUGUCUCAAUGCUUUGUGACUUGAACAUGAUUGUGAUAUUUGGCAAAUAUCGUUGCCUUGUACUAAUGGAAUCUGAAAAAUCUCUAGUCUUUGAAGGGUAUCGAAAAGAUGAUCUAUACAUGGUAGAUUUCUCAGUAGGUCCUCAGCUUGCCGUAUGUCUUAUCACAAAAGCUUCAGAAUGCUGGCUGUGGCAUCGAAGGCUGGGACAUGCUGGCAUGAGGAACUUACACUCGCUCGUCAAGAAGAAGCAUGUGAUUGGCAUCAAAGAUGUCAAGUUCAAGAAGGAUCAUCUGUGUGGUGCCUGUGAAGCUGGAAAGAUGACAAGGGCAAAGCACCCCUCGAAGACAAUCAUGACAACAUCUCAACCCUUCGAGCUGUUACACAUGGACUUAUUUGGACCUACUCACUACUCCACUCUCACAACAACUGCCUGUCUCUAUGGCUUCGUCAUUGUUGAUGACUACUCAAGAUACACAUGGGUUCAUAUAAUUCUGUACAAGACUGAAGUGCAAGAUGUCUUCAGGCGCUUUGCAAAUCGAGCAAUGAUCAACUAUGGUGUGAAGAUCAAGCACAUCAGAAGUGACAAUGGCACUGAAUUCAAGAACACUAGACUUGAUCUGUAUCUGGUUACAAUGGGAAUCACUCAUGAGUUCUUUGCUCCAUACACACCUCAGCAAAAUGGCAUCGUUGAGCCCAAAAAUAGAACCCUCAUUGAGAUGGCUCGAACAAUGCUAGAUGAAUACAAGACACCAAGGAAGUUCUGGCCCGAAGCUAUUGAUACUGCAUGUCACAUCAUCAACCGUGUGUACAUCCAUAAGCUUCUCAACAAAACAUCAUAUGAGCUGCUCACUGGCAAGAAGCCAAACGUUAGUUACUUCAGAGUAUUUGGAGCUAGAUGCUGGAUCAAGGAUCCACAUCACAAGUCAGAAUUUGCACCUAAGGCUCACGAAGGCUUCAUGCUUGGCUAUGGAAAGGAUUCACACUCCUACAGAGUCUUCAACCUUUUUCUCUACAAAAUCGUUGAAACUGUGGAUGUGAAGUUUGAUGAGACCAAUGGUUCACAGAGAGAGUUUCUGCCAAGUACACUAGAUGAAGCUCCUUCAAACGAGUCUAUCAAGCUGAUGGGAACUGGUGAAAUCAUGCCCUCUGAAGCACAGCCUGAAGAGGAACUUAUCAUCUCUGCACCAAAUCAACCUGAAGACAAUGCUCAGACCAAAGACAAUUCUUCCAAUGAUGACAAUGAUCAACCAGAGCAAAAUCUUCGUCCUGUUCAUCCUCGUGUUGCAAAUGAAGUUCAAAUAGAGAAGAUUAUUGACAGCAUCAAUGCACCUGGUCCGCUCACUCGAUCAAGAGCAACACAUCUAGCAAACUUCUAUGGGCACUUUUCAUUUGUGUCGAUAUCAGAACCCAAGAAAGUUGCUGAAGCCUUUAUGGAACCUGAAUGGAUUCAAGCCAUGCAAGAAGAACAUCAAUAGUUCAAGCUGAAUAAAGUUUGGGAACUUGUCAAGCGACCUGACCCUCACAAGCAUAACAUUAUUGGAACAAAAUGGAUAUAUCAAAACAAGCAAGAUGAGCACGGUCAAGUCGUCAGAAACAAAGCUCGUCUUGUGGCUCAAGGUUACACUCAAGUUGAAGAAAUUGACUUCGAUGAAACAUUUGCUCCUGUUGCUAGGCUUGAAGCUAUUCGAAUACUGCUAGCCUACGCAAAUCAUCACAAUAUCUUGCUACAUCAAAUGGAUGUGAAAAGUGCAUUUCUCAAUGGCAAGAUUGAAGAAGAAGUAUAUGUCGCACAACCACCUGGCUUUGAAGAUCCAAAACAUUCUGAUAUGGUGUACAAGCUAAACAAGGCACUCUAUGGCCUCAAACAAGCUCCUCGCGCCUGGUAUGAUACAAUCAAAGACUUCCUGAAGAGUAAAGGCUUCAAACCUGGAUCCCUCGAUCCCACUCUCUUCACGAAGACAUAUGAUGGUGAACUAUUUGUGUGCCAAAUAUAUGUGGAUGACAUAAUCUUCGACUGCACCAACCAGAAGUACAGUGAUGAGUUUGGGUACAUGAUGCAAGAGCAAUAUCAAAUGUCCAUGAUGGGUGAGCUGAAGUUCUUCCUUGGUCUUCAAAUUCGUCAGCAGAAGAAUGGCAUCUUUAUAUCUCAAGAGAAAUACCUCAAGGACUGUCUGAAGAAGUUUGGAAUGGAAGACUGCAAAGGCUACAUGACGCCAAGCCAGCCAAACACCAUCUUGGUCCCGACGACAAUGGUUAAGAGUUCGAUCAAAAGGUAUAUCGCUCCAUGAUUGGUUCUUUGCUUUAUUUAUGUGCAUCUAGGCCAGAUAUUAUGCUUAGUGUUUGCAUGUGUGCUCGAUUCCAAGCGGCACCAAAGGAAUCGCAUCACUUAGUUGUGAAGCGAUUUCUUCGAUAUUUGGCUUACACCCCAACACUCGGAUUAUGGUAUCCCAAGGGCUCAAGAUUCGAUUUGGUUGGAUUCUCGGAUGCUGAUUAUGCUGGUGACAAGGUGGAUCACAAGUCUACAUCUGGCACAUGUCAUUUUCUUGGUCGAUCACUUGUCUGUUGGUCUUCGAAGAAGCAGAACUGUGUAUCACUCUCAACUGCUGAAUCUAAAUACAUUGCUGCUGGAUCUUGUUGUGCUCAGCUUCUAUGGAUGAAGCAAACUCUCAAGGAUUAUGGCAUCAACCUGAAACAAGUACCACUCUUCUGUGACAACGAGAGUGCCAUCAAAAUAGCCAACAAUCCUGUCCAGCACUCGAAGACAAAGCACAUUGAAAUUCGUCAUCACUUUCUCAGAGAUCAUGUUAUGAAGAAAGAUAUAGAUAUCAUGCACGUCAACACUGAAGAGCAACUGGCAGAUAUCUUCACAAAGCCCUUGGAUGAGAAAAGGUUUUGCAAGUUACAGUGUGAGCUAAAUAUCUUGGAAUCCUCGAAUGUCCUGUGAUCAGGCACACAUCCUAACACUUAUGCAUGUUGAUGACUUAGAUCUGCAACACACAAGGUAAUGUAUGUCUUCAAUCAAUGAAGAUUUACACUCUAAGUGUGAAUACAUUAACAUGGAAUUUGACUUCGGAGCACCACGAUAAUUGUGCGCCAUGUCUGGGUCUAAUACUUCCUAUACGGUGGGUAACGCCACCACCAACUUUUCUUGUUUGAAGUGUUUCACUCAAGGCGUUAUAUUGCAAUGACUUCGCAUUUGGUUUGUCUUGAGUUUCAAUUUGUCUUCAUGACUUUCUGCACUAUGAUGAUUUGAUUGUUUUCUAAUAUAUAUACACUAGUGUUCUGUCCUUUACAGCGUUCACUUAUAGCUAUGUCUUCAAGAUUGAAUCUUUUGAACUAAGUGAAUGUGAUCGGAUGCUUCUAUCUCAACACUAUCUGUCCAAAUCAUAUGCAUUCUAUUGAAACUGUCGAAUGUCUUCUCUGCGUCCUUGUCAGCAGAAGGCAAAGAGACAAACAUUAAAUCUGUUUUAAAUGGCUUAUCUUUACUGUUGAAAUCCGGAGAAGCCGGAACAACUCUCCGACAUGCCUGGCGGGCGUGGGAACGUGGGACUACUCUAAGUAUGUUGCAUGCUUGCCACGUGCCUCUCAAAUGCAAACCGCCAGGGGCACCUGCGUAAUUGCGCUGGGUCUCUCACCUACUUAUAAAUACCUGUCCCUUGCGGUAAAGAAAUUCUUCUUCCACCUCUCCACCUCCGUCAAAACCCUAGCGCCAUCGCUAGCUCGCGGCGACGCCGGCGACGAAGCGAUUAGCUGCCGCAACUUCUCCGACGCCGUCCUCACGCCGGCCGCGGACAUCGUCCUCUCCGCCGUCGCCGUAGGUGUCCUCCGUUGCCAAGUUAGCGCACAGUGGGCUGAACUGCUCGGUCUCCUAUUCCUCCAUCUAGCAGUUCGUGUGCGGUAAUUAUAACUCUACCACCUUUUUGAUCUUCAAGAUUCAUCUUGUUUACCAAAAGUAGUUUCUGUCUAUUCAAAGCAAGAUCUAUUUCGUCUGCAUCUCAUACUGCUUAGUCGAUUCACUUAGAUUUCCUAUCUAGGUUGAUUCCUCACUUGUACUUGUUCACGGAUUGGUACAAAUCUGGAACCAACUCAUCUAUAUAAGUGAAUGUCUUCGCAUCAUGAGGUCAAUGUCUUCAAACUGAUUUAUCUUCAAAAUCUUCUGAGAAUGCAUAUGACCUCUUCCCCUUCCCUCGCAUCUCUAAUGCUGUCACAGGUACAUGUCCGUGGGAGAAUCCCUUGGUUCUCAUAGUCUGCAUUCGUUUGCAGAAUACUUACAGCAUCAUAUAAAUUCUCCUGAAGCCAGUUCUUGCUUGACCAGCAAGCGAAAGCCUCUGAAGCCUUUGAACGUUUUGAAGCCUUUCAGUUUGAAAUUCAUGGCUUCAGAAAAAUCUGCAAGGAAGGGUGGCAGACAACGCAGAGAAGGAACAUCCAAAGAUCUGCCUGAAGACUUAGCAGAACUCUACAAGACAGAUCCAGAAGAGAAUUAUCAUCAAAGGAAGACACGAAUCCAAUGGAUUCGGCGCUAUUGGGCUGAACAAUGGUUCAAGUACAAAUUCGUGACCAAGGAAUAUGCAGAGAAGUAUGCUAUCAAAAGUCCUUGGGGCGAUAUUCUCUAUCGAGGCCUUCAACCCAAGAACAGAGCUGAAGCUGUUGAUCAAGGCUUCUAUCCUUGCAUGGUCCGUGGACCUCAGCCUAAGAGUGCCAAUCCCACCUCAUUACUCUGGUGUCGGGAUGAUGCCCUCUUCAAGCGCAACUUCCAGCACGCAAAGGCUUCGGCCAAGGAAAACAAGAAAUCAUUGGGAUUAGACUUCAACCCUGGUCCCUCUGCUCCUCGUGCUGACGGCUCUCGUGAUGCAGAACCAAAUGUCAUUGGCCCCUUCACCAACCUUGACGGCCUCAUCACUUACAUCAUGGUCCAAUGCGCCAAAGUUGAUCAUUCUGAUCAUGAUGUUGAUACUGAUGAAGCCCCUGCUCCUACUCCAAAGGCGCAGAAGCAAAAGAAACUAAAGGAUUCAACCUCAGCUGCACCUCCAAAGACUUCUCAUGCGAAGCCACUGGCCACUGCACCACCUGAAGCCAGUGUGCAAUCUGAAGAUCUGUCUCGUGUCUCCAAGAGAACGGACAAGAAGAAGCAACUUGUUAGACCAUCUGAUCAAAGAGCCUUGACUCCUGCCGCAAUUCUGCGCGAUGAUCCCAUUGAUCUUUCAAGUGAUGAAGAUAUUACUGAUGAUGCCCUUGAGCAAUUGAUCAAAAGCAAAGAAGAAGCAGAAAUCUUCAACAACCUGCCUCUCUUUGAUGUGGCAAUUAUUCACAACUUCAUUGAUGAAUGGUUCGACACCCCCAAUGUUAGUUUUGAUGACUUGCAGCUUCCCAUUGGCCUCAGCGUCGCCUUCAAUGGCGCCAUUGCUUCUGAGCUGGCUAUCGCUCAGCGAAUCGUUGAGCUCAAGAACAAGAUUGAUUUUGAGAAGGCUCAAUUCAAGAAGCAUGUGGCCAGUCUAAGUGUUCAAGACGUCAAAAACUUCAAGGUCAUGAUGCAUGAGCUCAAAAAAGCCUUUCUCAAGAAGCGUCAAGAAGCUCAAGGCUCUCGCGAGCGUAUGAAGCUUUUGGCUGAUAAGUGUGUGCUUGCCUACAAUGAGGCUGAGAAGCGAAAGUCACUUGGUCGUCCUGGCAUUGACCCCAGGAUGGGUGCAAAGAAAAAGAAGAAGCUUCCUACUGACCAGCCUGCACCCUCAAGCCAAGAAGCCCCUCGCAUUGUCUUCCCCAGCAGCAUGACUGGCUCGAAGCCAAAGGUCACAACAACCGCUUCAGAACAGAAGAAGACAAGGGUUGCAGAGGCUGAAGCCAGAAAGAGGAAGAAUACUGAAGCCUCUGAUGCUGCUCCCUCCAAGAAGAAGCGCAAGACAAAGAAAAAUUGGGCUGCUCCCUCAAAGCCCCUCAUGGUUGAACCCAUCUCAAUGGUUCGCCCUGAGUCUGAACAUCAAGAAAGACAGAUUAUAGUCCAUGAGCCUGCUACCACAGAGGCUCAUGUGACUGAAGAUAUUCCAGCAGCUGAACCCAACGCUGCUGAAGACAUUGGUCAAGAUGACAAUGUAGCUGAUGAUGAAGUUCUUCCUCAGAUCGAAAAUGACUUGGUAUCAUCGCCUGUUCAUACGAACAGCGAACUCAUCAUCAUUGGUCGUCCAUUGACGCCAAUUGCUCAGGAUGCAUCGUGGGCUGAUCACCCACAACUACAAGACUCCCCCAGUACUCCCCUACAACAACAACAAGCUACCCCCAACGUGCAAGAAGAGGAUGAAGACGUUCAGGCUCAGCCAACUCCAUCUCCUAAAGUGAAGCCAGCUCUUCGCAGGCUUCGCAGAGGACAAAGGCCUGAAGUCCCUCUGUCGAGCGUUCCAGAAGCAAGAGUGCAACGCUCACCUGUUGCACGGCAAGUAUUUUCUGAACCUGCUCCAACUGUGAAUGUCUCCGAGUCUGAAGCACAUGCUGCUAAAGACAUUCCGGCUGCAUGAGCCGACGAAAAUCAAGAAGAAGUGCGUGUACCAACCCCCCAGUGAUUGAAGAAGAAGCAGUUCAUGAUCUGAACGUGUCUGUGCCCGACCCUCCUAUUCGUCAAGAGGAGGUUGAAAAUGUUGAGGCGGCCACCACCAACGUCAAUACAGCCAGUGACGUGGUCAUGGCUGAUGCUAAUGUGGAGCCUGCACUAACUGUGCCUGAAACCAAUGAGGCCACUGUGCCUGAAGCAAAUGUGGCUACUGAACCUAAAGUCAAUGAAGAUGCUGCACCUGAAGCCAAUGAGGAUGCUGCACCUGAAGCCAAUAUGACAACUGCUCCCGAAGCACCUGUCGUGCAGCCUGCCUCCGAUGUUGCCCCUGCUCCUGUUCUGCCUCCAAGGCCUCACACAAUUGAGCAAGCAUACAGUCAUGGUCAGCUCACUACUGUCCGAUGGCCCGUUCUGGUGCCUCCACCCUCUGCCUCAGGACCGCAAUUUGACUAUCAUGUUGGGCAUAGGCCUCAAGUGCAGAAGCCAAAGCGCAGGUUGCCAAGGUUUCCAGGUACUGCCAACUCCCCCGGGUCCUUCAAUGCUAAUGGCUUCAAAAGCCACAAUACCUUCUUUGACAGCGCCAAGAACCCCUACUCCAAGCCAAGAAUAUCAACAGAUAGGUUCUGGAUCUAUCAGCAGAGAAGCUAUUACUCAUGCGUGUUAUAUGAUCAAGGGCGCAUUUUCCCUCAUAUGCGCCUUGACACUGAAGCCAUGCUGGACUGCCGUGCAUAGAAGAAGCACUUGAUUGCUUUCGAGAUGCUGGUCUGCUCCAUUUUGUGACAGACAAAGAACAUUGGAACGAAGAGCUAUUGCUUCAAUUCUAUGCCACUCUGCACAUUCGCGGUUACUACAGAGACAUCAAGACUUGGGUUCUCGAGUGGAUGACUGGAAAUGUUCAUCAUGAAGCAAAAGCUAUGGAUAUCAUUGAGCUUACAGGGCUAGCCACUCUAGGAGAACUAUAUGAGCCUAACUGUCAGUUACACCGCAAUGCUGUGGAGAGCAUCUUUCAUAAGCCAGAACCCAAUAUGAGCCAGAUGUUGAGCAUGAUGAAGCCUUUGCCAUCUGACACUGAGUAUCCCACACAUUUCUUUGUUGAAGACCUUGAGUAUCUGCCUCGAACCAUAUAUCAUAUCAUCAUGCGAACUCUAUGGCCAGUCAAGGGACACUCAUCAGUGGCCAAGCUUGAAGGAGCUAUGAAGACAUUGGUCUUCUAUAUUCUCAAUGGCAUCAGCUUCAACACUCAGGAAUUCUUCAUAAGGCAACUUGCUGCUUCCGGCUCUGACCUAUUUGGUCUGAAGUUUUAUGCUCCAUGGGUCAUGCGCCUCAUCAAGCGACACUCAUCUGUCAAUUAUCAGCCCUCUGCUCGCAAUCAUAUAAUAUUUCUACCAGAAGUUGAAUGUCAGUUGAUGCUAUAUACCCAGAUCCUGCCAAGAAGCCUCUUUGUCUUCAGAAUGCCGAGCAUCAUAGCUCCACUCAGCCUAUUGAAGGUGUUCAAGCAGCAACCAGAAUCUAUCCACUUGCUGGUAACACUCGUCUGCCUCAUCGAGCACCCACUGAAGCCACUGAAAGCACCAUUGCCCAAAGGCGUCCGAAGCAUUCUCGUGUUCUGAAUGACCGAGAACUUCUUGUGGCCCUUCAUCAGAAACAGGAUAAACAUCACUUUUGGCUCAAGAGACAGAUGCAAAGCCUCUUGAUGGAUGUCAAUCGCAUUCGCAACCUUGCCACCAAGAAUGCCUUUGUUGCUCACAAAACUUGCCGAAGAUCAUGGAAGAGUUUGACCCUGGUCAGUGCUGAAGCGGAUCUUCAAGAUGAUGGCUUCAAUGAACGAUUUUAUUUCGACUCCACUCCACCACGGACUGCUACCCUGCGUCGAACUCCAUCUCUUGAAGACUCUGAAUAUUCCUCCUCCGCGGCAACAGUCAAUGCCAGAGUGAUCGAUGAUGAAGAUGAUGCUACUUCACUGCCUCCAACUGCUGCCCGCAUCGACACUGCACCAAGUUCAUCUGCACCGCCAACCAACGACAAUGACCCAACUGCUUCACCUACUCAUGACGAGUAGAUGCUCUAUGUCUUCAAACCUUUUUGGUCAUUACUGACAAAAGGGGGAGAAGCGUAUGAGUUGAUAGUCUUCAAGCGGGUUCAUAUGGGCGGUUGCAUUAUAUUUUGCUGCGUGCUUACAACUCUUGCAUUUUGAUACAUUUGGUUAUUUGAGUUGUAACACCUAAACCUGAUGGUCGUUUGCUACUUCUGCUACGUGUUUGCUUUACUCUGAUGCGAUGAUAAAUCCCGCAUGUGCGAUGAUAACUUCCGCACUUAGAUCAUUUUGCAGACAUCCAUUUUUCAUUAUGCAUGUCAUUCUACUUGUUAUAUCAGUUCAUGCAUGAUCAAUUAUCUUCAUAAGUUGAAGUGGAUCUCCAUAAAUAAAACCUGCCAUGUGCAUUUGCGUUCCAAAAGAAAAUUACUUAUAUGCACAUCUUCAGGGGGAGCCCUUGCUACUUACGAAGACAAUUCUCUAUCCUUACAAUUUCACAUACUUUAUCCCCGUUGAAAACUUCAACCAGUUUGUCAUCAAUCACCAAAAAGGGGGAGAUUGUAAGUGCAUCUAGUGCCACCCCUAGUUGGUUUUGGAGUAUUGACGACAAAGUUGGUUCAGGGACUAAUGCGUUUGUGAGAAUUGCAGGAUAACGCAGGUUGUGUCCCUCAUUGAUUCGGUUUACCUACCGGAGAUGACCCCUAAAAAUGUAUGAAGACAUUGAAGACAAUGGUGGUAUGAGAAGAUAUUCAUAUUGAAGACUAUGUCAUGAGAAGACAUUACGCGAAGACAAUGGAGCGCGAAGACUGUGUGGUUUCGUCGUUUCCUUUCUUCUUUGUUGAGUCAUAGGAACCGCCGUACUGUUAAGUGGGGUCCAAGUGAACUAAGUCAGAGUGACUGAAGUGAUGCUCAACCCAAAUCCUAUGUCUUCGAGCGAAGACAAUGAGAGCAAAUCUUAUCCAGAGCUGAAUGAGUCAGCUUUGCUUGUAGCCCAAGUAAAGUUGUCGCGUGUGUUUGAAAUCUGACCAUUGGAACACGUGUCAGUUCCUUAGUGACCCAGGGUCAUUUUGGACAAAUCAGGUCGGGUUGCCUAGUGGCUAUAAAUAGCCCACCCCCUACACCAUAAAUUGGUGGCUGCUCAGAGUUUGUGCACGGCUUUUGUCGUUUGAGAGCAACCCACCUCGAAGCAUUUGAGAGAGAGAAAUCCUUGCGAGGACAAAGCCCAAAACACCCAGAGCCAAAGAGUGUUAGGCAUCACUAAAGUCUUUCUGUCUGUGUGACCUGAAGACUUAUUACACUUGAGGACUGUGUAUCCUCCAGCCGGUUAGGUGUCGCGUUCUGAGCAUCCAAGAGUCAUUGUGGAUUGCCGGUGAACGAAGUCUGUGAAGGUUUGGAAGUCUCCCUUGAAGACUUACCAGAGUGAUUGGGCGAGGACUGGGUGUCCUUAGCUCAAGGGGAAUAAGGUGAAGACACGGUCUUCUGAGUUAAAUCUCAGCCUCCCUAACCAGACGUACAGUUGUCACAGCAACUGGAACUGGUCCAACAAAUCCUGUGUCUUCAACAAGCAACUGGUUCUAUCCCUUCCAACCUUACUUAAGUUUGUCUUCAUGAAGUCAUUGCUUAUCUGUAUAUUUGUUUGACUUCAUUGCUUGACUACUAUUGUUGAUUGGCUUCACACUUUCUUCCAUCUUGAUCCUUACUACCUAACUGCUAUUGGUCCUGAGUUUUCACAUCAUUACAUACUUGACUAUGGCAUGUUUAGGGUAGUUUAUCUUCCGCUGCAUAUCAAUUAGGUUGUUUCUGUUGUUUGUCUUCGAAACUUCCGAGUUUUGAAAACUUUCAUAAAAAUCGCCUAUUCACCCCCCCCCCUCUAGUCGAUACUAGCACUUUCACUUUACAAGACAGAUCCUGAAGAGAAUUAUAAUCAGCGCAAGACACGAAUCCAAUGGAUUCGACGAAAUUGGGCUGAACAAUGGUUCAAAUACAAGUUUGUGACCCAGGAAUACGAUGAGAAGAAUGCUAUCAAAAGUCCUUGGGGUGAUAUUCUCUAUCGAGGCCUUCCACCCAAGAACAGAGCAGAAGCUAUUGCACAGGGUUUCUAUCCUUGUAUGGUCCAUGGACCUCAGCCUGAAAAUGCCGACCCAUCGUCAUUGCUCUAGUGUCGUGACGAUAAUCUCUUCAAGUGAAACUUCCGGCACGCAAAAGCAUCGGCCAAGGAAAACAAGAAGUCAUUGGGAUUAGACUUCAACCCUGGUCCCUCUGCUCCCCGUGCUGACGGCUCACGUGAUGCAGAACCCAAUGUCAUCGGUCCUUUCUACAACCUUGAUGGCCUCAUCACUCACAUCUUGGUCCAAGGUGCCAAAGUGGAUCAUUCUGAUGAUGAUGCUGACACUGAUGAAGCCCCAGAUCCUACUACAAAGCCGCAGAAGCCAAAGAAGGCUAAUGCUUCAAGAUCAGCUGCUCCUCCAAAAGCUUCACGUGCGAAGUCACUGGCCACUGCACCUCCUGAAGACAGUGUGCAGUCUGAAGAUCUAUCACGUAUCUCCAAGAAGACGAAGAAGAAAAAGAAAAUCGUCAAAAAUACUGAUCAGACAUUGACUCCUGCUGCCAUUCUACGAGAAGAGCACAUUGAUCUGUCCAGCGAUGAAGAUCUUGCAGAUGAUGCUCUUGAGCAACUGAUCAAGAGCAAGGAAGAAGCAGAGAUCUUCGAUGAUUUGCCUCUCUUUGAUGUGGCAAUCAUCCAUAACUUAAUUGAUGAGUGGUUUGACACCCCAAAUCUCAGCUUUGAAGAUCUGCAACUUCCCAUUGGCCUCAGUGUCUGCUUCAAUGGCGCCAUUGCUUCUGAGCUAGCUCUUGCUCAGCGCAUCGUUGAACUAAAGCACACGAUCGAGUGUGAGAAAGCUUAGUUCAAGAAGCAUGUGGCAAAGCUCAGCGUGCAAGAUGUCAAAAACUUCAAGAUCAUGCUGCACGAGCUCAAAGAAGUCUUUCUCCAGAAGCGCGAAGAAGCUAAAGGCUCUCGUGAUCGUAUGAAGAGUCUGGCUGACAAGUGUGUGCGAGCCUACAAUGAGGCUGAGAAGCGCAAGGCUCUUGGACGUCCUAGCAUUGACCCCAGAAUGGCUGCAAAGAAGAAGAAGCCAUCAACUGACCAAUCUGCACCUUCAAGACAGGAAGGACCUCGCAUAGUCUUCCCAAGCAGCAUGACUGGCUCCAAGCCAAAGGUCAAGUCAACCGCUUCAGAACUGAAGAAGACGAGGACUGCCGAGGCUGAAGCCAGAAAAAGGAAAAAUCCUGAAGCCUAUGAUGUUGCUCCCUCCAAGAAGAAGCGCAAAACGAAGAAGAAUCGGCUGCUCCCAUAGAGCCCUUAGUUGUUGAACCUAUCUUAAUGGUUCGCCCUGCAUCUAAACACCAAGAACGACGGAUGAUAGUUCAUGAGCCUGCUUCCACAGAGGCUCAUGAAGCUGAAGACAUUCCAGCAGUUGAUCCCACCGCUGCUGAAGACAUUGGUCACAAUGACAAUGUUGAAGAUGAUGUAGUUCUUCCUCAGAUCGAACACAACUUGGUAUCAUCGCCCGUUCUCACGAACAGCGAACUCAUCAGCAUUGGUCGUCCUUUGACGCCAAUUGCUCAGGAUGCAUCAUGGGCUGAUCACCCACAACAACAAGACUCCCCGAGUACUCCCCAACAACAACAAGUCACACCACCUGUGCAAAAAGAAGAGGAUGACUUUGAGGCCAAGCCAACUCCAUCUCCAAAGGCGUCGCCAGCAUUACACAGGCUUCGCAAAGGACCAAGGCCUCAAGUCUCUCUUUCGAGCGUUCCAGAAGGAGAAGUGCACCACCAAUCUGUUGCAUGUCAAGUGUUUCCAGAAGCCAAUCUGACUGUGAAUGUCUCCGUGUCUGAAGCCAAAGCUGCUGAAGACAAUCUGGCUGCAUCAGCCGAUGACAACCAAGAAGAAGAACGUGUCCCUACUCCCCCCAUUACUGAAGAAGUUGUUCCUAAAGUGAACGUGCCAGUGCCCGACCCUCCAGCUCAUCAAGUGGAGGUUGAAAAUCUUGAGGCUGCCACCACCAACACAAAUGAAGCCAACGACAUAGUCAUGGCUGAAGCAAAUGUGGAGCCUGCACCAACCAAUGUCCCAGAAGCCAAUGAUGCAACUGCUCCUGAAGCAUCUGUUCUGCAGCCUGACGACUCUGUUAUUGCCACUGCUCUUGUUCCGCCACCAAGGCCCCAUACAAUUGAGCAAGCAUACAACUAUGGUCAGCUGAUCACUAUCAAAUGGCCUGUUCUGGUCCCUCCGCCUAAUGCCUUUGGUCCUCAGUUUGAUUAUCAUGUUGAGCAUAGGCCUCUGGUCCAGAAACCAAAGCCAAGACUACCAAGGUUCCCAGGUACUGCCACCUCUACAGGGUCCUUCAAUGCAAAUGGCUUCAAAGCCCACAACACCUUCUUUGACAGAGCAAAGAACCCCUACUCAAGGCCAAGAAUAUCAUCUGAUCAUUUCUAGAGCUAUCAGCAGCGAAGCUAUUACUCCUGCGUUCUCUAUGAUCAAGGGCGCAUUUUCCCUCAUAUGCGCCUCGACACUGAAGCCAUUGCUGGACUGCCAUGCUUAGAAGAAGCACUUGACUGCUUUCGUGAUGCAGGUCUGCUCAGCUUUGUGACAGACAAAGAACAUUGGAAUGAGGAACUUUUGCUUCAAUUCUAUUCUACCCUCCACAUUCGUGGCUACUACAGGGAUACAAAGACAUGGGUUCUCGAGUAGAUGACAGGAAAUGUUCAUCAUGAAGCCAAAGCUAUUGACGUCAUUGAGCUUACAGGCCUACCCACUCCCGGAGAGCUGUUCGAACCUGAUUGUCAACUCCACCGCAAUGCACUGGAGAGCAUCUUCCAUAAGCCAGAGCCCAACAUGAGCCAGAUGUUGAGCAUGAUGAAGCCUCUGCCACCUGACGCUGAAUACCCAAAGGAGUUCUUUGUUGAUGACCUUGAGUAUCUGCCUCGCACAAUAUAUCACAUCAUCAGGCGAACUCUAUGGCCUAUCAAAGGGCAUUCAUCAGCUGCAAAACUUGAAGGAGCCAUGAAGACAUUGGUCUUUUACAUCCUCAAUGGCAUCAGCUUCAGUACACAAGAAUUCUUCAUCCGGCAACUGGCUGCGUCUGGAUCUGACCUUUUUGGCCUAAAAUUCUAUGCUCCAUGGGUCAUGCGCCUCAUCAACCUACACUCUGCUAUCAACUAUCAGCCCUCUGCUCGCAAUCAUCUAAUCUUUCUACCAGAGGUUGAUAUGUCAAUUGAAGCCAUAUACCCUGAGCCUGCCAAGAAGCCUCUUUGUCUUCAAAAUGCUGAUCACCAAAGCUUCACUCAACCCAUGGAAGGAGUCCAAGCAGUAACUCAUGUCUAUCCAAUGGCUGGGAACACUCGUCUGCCUCACCAUGCGCAAACUGAAGCUACUGAGAGCACAAUUGCCCAAAGGCCUAAGAAGUGCUCUCGCGUCCUAAAUGACCGAGAACUUCUUGUGGCACUGCAUCAGAAACAAGACAAGCAUCACUUCUGGCUCAAGCGACAGAUGCAAAGCCUCUUGGUGGACGUCAAUAGCAUUCGAAAUCUUGCCACCAAGAAUGCUUUUGUCACUCACGAGACCUGUCGGCGAUCAUGGAAGAGUUUGACGUUGCUCAGUGCUGAAGCAGAUCUUCAAGACGGUGGCUUCACUGAAAGAUUCAAGUAUGACUCCACUCCUCCACGGAAUGUUGUCCUACGUCGAACUCCAUCCCUUGAAGACUCUGACUAUUCUUCCUCCGCAGCAACUGUGAAUGCCAAAGUGCUCGAUGAUGAAGACGAUGCUACUUCACCGCCCCCUACUUCUGCAUGCAUCGACACUGCACCAAGUUCGUCUGCGCCGCCAAACAACAACGACAACCCUGCUGCUUCACCUACUCCUCAUGGAAACGAGUAGAUGCUCUAUGUCUUCAAACCUUUUUGGUCCUUACUGACAAAAGGGGGAGAAGCAUAUGAGUUUGAUAGUCUUCAAGCGGUUUCAUAUGGGCGGUUGCUUUAUAUUUUGCCUAGUGUUUACAACUCUCGCUUUUGAUACAUUUGGUUCUUUGAGUUGUAACACUUAAACUCGAUGGUCGUCUGCUACUUAUUUGCUUUUCUGUGAUGCGAUGAUAAAUUCCGCAUGUGCGAUGAUAACUUCCGCACUUAGAUCAUUUUGCAGACGUCCAUUUUUCAUUAUGCACAUCAUUUCAUGCAUGAUGAAUUAUCUUCAUAAGUUGAAGAGGAUCUCCACAAGUACAACCUGCCAUGUGCAUUUGCAUUCCAAAAGCAAAUUACUAAUAUGCACAUCUUCAGGGGGAGCCUUUGCCACUUAUGAAGACAAUACCCUAUCCUUUACAAUUUCACAUACUUUAUCCCCGUUGAAAACUUCAACCAGUUUGUCAUCAAUCACCAAAAAGGGGGAGAUUGUAAGUGCAUCUAGUGCCACCCCUAGUUGGUUUUGGAGUAUUGACGACAAAUUUGGUUGAGGGACUAAUGCGUUUGUGAGAAUUGCAGGAUAACGCAGGUAGUGUCCCUCAUUGAUUCGGUUUACCUACCGGAGAUGACCCCUAAAAAUGUAUGAAGACAUUGACGACAAUGGUGGUAUGUGAAGAUAUUCAUAUUGAAGACUAUGACAUGAGAAGACAUUGAGUGAAGACUAUGGAGCGCGAAGACUGUGUCGUUUCGUUGUUUCCUUUUCUUCUUUGUUGAGUCAUAGGAACCACCAUACUAUUAAGUGGGGUCCAAGUGAAAAAGUCAGAAUGACUGAAGUGAUGCUCAACCCAAAUCCUAUAUCUUCGAGCGAAGACAAUGAGAGCAAAUCUUAUCCAGAGCUGGAUGAGUCAGCUUUGCUUGUAGCCCAAGUAAAGUUGCCGUGUGUGUUUGAAAUCUGACCGUUGGAACACGUGUCAGUUCCUUAGUGACCCAGGGUCAUUUCAUACAUAUCAGGUCGGGUUGCCUAGUGGCUAUAAAUAGCCCACCCGCUACACCAUAAAUUGGUGGCUGCUCAGAGUUAGUACACGGCUUUUGUCGUUUGAGAGCAACCCACCUCGAAGCCUUUGAGAGAGAGAAAUCCUUGCGAGGACAAAGCCCAAACACCCAGAGCCAAAGAGUGUUAGGAAUCACUAAAGUCUUUCUGUCUGCGUGACCUGAAGACUUAUUACACUUGAGGACUGUGAAUCCUCCAGUCGGUUAGGCGUCGCGUUCUGAGCAUCCAAGAGUCAUUGUGGAUCGCCGGUGAACGAAGUCUGUGAAGGUUCGGAAGUCUACCUUGAAGACUUACCAGAGUGAUUGGGCGAGGACUGUGUGUCCUUAGCUCAAGGGGAAUAAGGUGAAGACGUGGUCUUCUGAGUUGAAUCUCAGCCUCCCUAACCAGACGUACAGUUGUCACAGCAACUGGAACAGGUCCAACAAAUCUUGUGUCUUCAACAAGUGACUGGUUCUAUCCUCUCCCUCCCUUUACUUAGUGUUUGUCUUCGUGAAGUCAUUGCCUAUUUGUCGUACCUGUUUGACUUCAUUGCUUGACUACUAUUGUUGGUUGGCUUCAUACUAUCUUCCAUCCUGAUCCUUACUACUAAGCUGCUAUUAGUCUUUGUACUUUCACAUUAUUGCAUACUUGACUAUGGUUUGCUUGUUGUAGUUUAUCUUCCGCUUCAUAUCAAUUAGGUCAUUUCUAUUGUUUGUCUUCCAAACUUCCACGUUUUGAAGACUUUCAUAAAAAUCGCCUAUUCAACCCCCUCUAGUCGAUAACUAGCACUUUCACUCUAUGACACAGUCCUGAUAAUUUGCCUGAUCACGUCAUCAAUUACAUGACCAAGUGCCUCCUUAAUGAAAGUCUAAUAGACUGUGCCAAGGUGGGCUUAAGCCCUUUCUGCGCAACCAAUCCGGCUCCAGCGGUAAGUCGCCAAGCUGAACAAAUCAAUUCCAAUAUUGAUGUUUUACCUAUACUCAAACUUUUGCUGAUUUUCACAGGCUGAUAACAAAUUCUGGAAAGUCAAAUAUGAUCAUGAGGCUGCAAAAAGAGACAGGAAGGCCAGGAGAGCCGCUAGGAGAGCCACCACAAAGAAACAUGGAAAGAAAACCAGUGCUUCUGAGCAGCUUCGGUUAGAUGAUUCUUCUAAGUCGGAGGUAGCCCUUGACUCCCUUGGCUUAAUUUUUAAUCACCUUAUUGAUACUGAUUAUGACCAGGAUGACACGGGCACGAGCCGCGGGGUGGAUGAAGAGGUAACUAUUAUUUCCUCCGACUCAGAGCCUUUGCCGUGCCAAAAACUCUGCCAAGUAACUUGGAAAGUAAGAUUUUCACAUCCUUUUGCUUAUCAAGAUCCUUGAUUUCUUUUGAAGCGACAGAUUCAUGAGAGUUGGAGGCAGACCCAUACCAGCAAAGACACAGAGCUCUCCUCCGGCUUGCCCAAUACACCACGGAAGCGCCGGAACAAGGUCAUCUCCGUCUUAGAUUCCUCUUAUCCUUUGGCAGGUCUCACUCGUCAGCCACUGAACCCUUCUGACUCGAAUUAUCAGGAAACUUCUCCUUCAUCCGGCGACUCAAUUCAAUCCAACUUGCCAGCUUUCAAAGCCGCUCCAGGGUAAUGAUGACUUGCCUAUCUUGUUCUUUGAAUUUUUAUACUUAUACUGACCUUUUGAUCUUUAUGUAAUGGCAAAGCAAAGGUUAGCAAGGCCAACAAGGACAAGCCGGUCGAUGAGCCAACCCUCAAAGAACCGGCACUUCAGACGGUCAUACCGGAAACCUCUGCUACUGAGCCACCACCUGAGCCAGCGUAUGAACCGCCAACCUUAACCGCUGACCUGCCUAGCGAGCAAGCUCUUGAUGACUCGCGUAUGAACCGCCAACCUUAGUCUCAAGCCCAGUCAAGACAAACGACACUCAAGAAGCUGAGGUUGAAAUUACCAAGACCAGUUACAUUGAGCCAGGAAGGCCUGCUGUGCUUGCCAAAUGCACUGCCAAAGAAGAAUUCCUGGAAUGCCGUAAGGUCAGAUUUGACCUUAUGGAUUACUCUCACAUGAGUGCCGGAGAAGUUUUGUCUGGCUAUCUCAGCCAAGUGCACAGUAGCCGUGACGUCGAAAUUGACAUGGUGAAGCAGAUGCACCAUAAAUUUGAGGUAUGAUCUCCUCUUUUCCCUGAAUCAUUCUUAUUACGCCAUCCCCGAAGUCUACUGCUUAAGAUGAAUAUGUUGUAGACUUUAGAAAAACGUCAAACAAUUAUUAACAAUGUCUUUAGAUCAAAAACCUGUAGAAAUCCGGCUUAAUCCGUAGCCCCCAAGGGCCGUUUUAAUCAAAAUGAAUGAGCCGGUCCUUCACAUGCUUGUGUAGAACAUAUUAACUGCAUAGUUUGAACUGCAAUAUGCAUUAGCCCCCAAGUGCCAAGUAGUCUUGCUUGCAAAGUGCUUGGGACUUUAAUUUUGUGAACCGCCAAUCUCAUGAACCGCCACUAUAAAUAUACUUCCGCGGUAGACAUUAGCCCCCAAGUGUCAAGUGCUUUGCUUGCAAAGUGCUUGGGACUUGAAUAUUAUAUGCUCAUAGUCAUGAUUUUAACCCGGCAUUUAUGCAGGUCACCACCAAUCAAUUUCAAUCAGAAAUAUCCGACUUGAAGAACUGCCUGAAAUCACAAGAGACAGAAACCGAAAGGGCCAACUCCAAGUUUGAAUUCAGUGUAUCUGAACAAGAGAAGCUGAAGGCCAACUUUGAGGUGGAAAGAAAAGCUUGGGCUGAUGAAAAGAAGGCCGUAACCCAACAAGCUGACAAGGCAGAGGCGGCUCUUGAAAAGGCAACCAAUGAAUUGUCCGGCUUAAAACGCCACGUGACCCAGAUGGUUAAAGCAAUCUUUGGUAAGUCAUCCUGCAAGUUAUAAAUAUUUGAAACUUUCUAAUGAUCAUAUAAACUGUUAUUAACGCACCUGACAUUGCUAUGCAGGCCUCAGGAGUUCAAAUCUCAGCCAAAAUAUGUUGACAAAGCUGAAGGCGGUUUAUACACUGGUGGAGCAACUCUACACCGGAUCUCAGCUGGCCUUAGCCACCGUGGCCCUGUCUAAUGAAGUUUCCACACUUUUGGCGGAUGUACUAAGGAAACUUUCUGUGCUACCUCAACGGAUCACUGAACUGAAGCGAUCGUCUGUGAGAGCCGGAGCUGUGGCCACAUUAAGCCAGGCCAAAGCUUGGCUUCCGGAACUAGACCCGGCGGACAUCGCUAUUGGUUAUCCAAGCCUAAAACAAGAUGGUACGCCCUUUGAACAGGAAGAUUUUGCUGCUUGUGUGAAGGCAAUACGCCCUGUGGCCACUCUGAUUGCUGAAGAGGCAGAUCUCUCCAAGUACCAGGCGGGUUAUGACACAGAGAACCGGAGGAUUCCGACACCACAGUACACUUUGACAAAUCUGAUUCCACCAAUUCGUAAGCAUAGCUUCGCCCCUGAAGUUGACCCGGCCGGAUUAAUUGAUGAUGAAGCUGAAUUUAAAGCUUUGAGUGGCAUUGACUGGUCGUCAUCAACCUUUCAGGACCGGGAACAAGACGACGAAGUGGAAAGGGUUGAUCCGGAAGCUUCAGGCCAUCAAGAGAAUUGAUCCACCGAACGGCUCAUAUUUGUAGUCUUUGUUAAAAAAACAAUAUUAAUCAUUUUGACUCUGGGAGUCAUGUAAUAGGAGCAGAAAUGAAUUUGCUGUGCCGUGCCUUCGUGCACGUUUUGAUGCUUUAACAAUGUUUAAGCCGCCAUCAUAUCUUUACUCCGUCUUAUGCUUUCCUAUUUUCCUUAUGCAUAAGAAAGCAUGUAAUCUGUCCUGCACAAAGAGAUAGAUCACAGAAAUCCUCGGCGGCUUACCGCAGGGCGGGUCAUAAUUAUCCCAUGUAACUAUAAAUGUGAAAUAUGAGUUAUAAAUAAUCCUGAUGAGAAUCAGAACUUUCAGUAUAACUGUGAUAACAUCAUACCUGAGAUGUCAAAUUUCUACGGCCGAUUUAGAUGACCUGUACAGUAAGGGAGAUGACCUAGUUUAGAAGUCAUGACUUCAAUUGGAGUAUGUCACACGCCUAGCGACUGAUUUUUCGAAGUCAAGCCGGCUCAAACAGAAACCUUAUAUGCCUUAGAACAUGAACACAGGAAAGGUCUCUAGACAAAUCCAAAGAGUGCUUUCAAAAAAGACUUAAGAAAAAAAGAACAGAAAUACAAAUUAAGGCUUCUGAUUCAAAUACGAUCAGUAAACCGUCCCAAAGGGUUAAGCUAGGGUUCCAAUAUGACCAUGUAGCCCAAGUGGCUUUGGCAUUGCGCCGAUCAAGAGGGUACCGACAGCUAUGUUCUCUUUGGUUCGAAUACGACCUAUGUUUGAACAGGAAGCCCCCAAAUGACCUUGAGAAUAUUUAACGACUCUGAUUCGAAUACGAUCUGGGUCGGACCCAAGAGGGGUUAAGCCAUGAUUCGAAUACGAUCAAGAAGCCCCCAAGUAGAUUUUGGCAUUGCGCCAAUCAAGUGGGUACCGACAGCUAUGUUCUCUUUGGUUCGAAUACGACCUAUGUUUGAACAGGAAGCCCCCAAGUGACCUUUAGAAUAUUUAACGACUUUGAAUCGAAUACGGUCAGGGUCGGACCAAAAGGGGUUAAGCUAUGAUUCGAAUACGACCCAGCCCCCAAAUGAUCAAGUUGUUUGAACAACUAUGAUUCGAAUACGAUCAGGAAGCUGUGCCAAAGGAGUUAAGCUAGAUUCGAAUACGAUCAGCCCCCAAUGAUCUUUUUCAAAUUAUGACAAUGAAGACAUCUGAUCUUUGAGGAUGAAAAAGGACAGAGGUCCUGCUUUAUUAUUGAUAAUAUAUACAUCACCAAGAUAUGUACAUCAUGAGAGCCGGUGGCUCAAGUGUAGUAAGGCCGAAGAUGAGCUAUAUUCCACGGUCGGCGGGUCUCCUCCUCCGACUUACGUGAGUCUUUGUGCUCUCGAACAUCGAUAAGGUAGUAUGAUCCAUUGUUCAAAUUCUUGCUGACCACAAAGGGCCCUUCCCAAGGUGGGGAUAACUUGUGUGCAUCAGUCUGAUCCUGGAUGAGCCGGAGCACCAAGUCGCCUUCUUGAAAGGUUCUGGAUUUAACCUAGCGGCUGUGAUAAUACCACAGGUCAUGUUGGUAAAUCGCCGAGCGGGCUGCUGCCAAGUCACGCUUCUCAUCCAACAGGUCAAGUGCCUCCCGACGUGCUUGCUCAUUGUUAGCUUCCAUGUAAGCCGCCACUCGGGGCGAGUCAUGGUGGAUGUCACUAGGAAGAACUGCCUCUGCUCCAUAAACCAUGAAGAAAGGGGUAUAACCCGUAGAUCUAUUGGGGGUAGUACUGAUGCUCCAUAACACUGAUGGUAACUCCUCCACCCAACAAACCGGCGUUCGCUGCAAAGGAACUAGAAGGCGGGGCUUGAUCCCCUUCAAAAUCUCCUGAUUGGCUCUUUCUGCUUGACCAUUGGAUUGGGGGUGAGCCACUGAUGAGACAUCAACCCGGAUAUGCUCACGUUGACAGAACUCCUCCAUAGCCCCCUUGGACAAGUUAGUGCCAUUAUCAGUUAUGAUGCUAUGGGGGAAACCAAAACGGAAAAUCACCUUUUUCAUGAAUUGAACCGCCGUCGCCGCGUCACACUUACUGACCUGCUCUGCUUCCACCCACUUUGUAAACUUAUUGUCGUGAAAAUUUCUAACACCCGUCACGUUUACUGACCAGAUCUUCUGCAUUAGCAUGAGCCGUCGGCCAAUAAAAUCCGUGACGGAAAGCUUUAGCCACAAGGGACUUUGAACCAGCAUGAUGGCCACAAUCUCCUUCAUGAAUCUCAUUAAGAAUCUCUUGGCCUUCCUCAGGAGACACACAACAUUGAAACACCCCAGUGACACUGCGAUGAUGUAACUCGCCAUUGGCAAUCGUCAUUGACUUAGACCGUCAGGUUAUCUGUCUAGCCAAGGUUUCAUGCUCGGGCAAUUCUCCCCGGGUCAUGUAAGACAAAUAUGGCACUGUCCAAUCUGGGAUGACAUGAAGAGCCGCCACCAACUGUGCUUCCGGGUCAGGUACAGCCAAGUCUUCCUCUGUAGGUAACUUGACAGACAGAUUAUGCAAAACAUUCAACAAAGUGUUCGGGGUUACCGGUUUACGCUGAGAUCCAAGCCGGCUUAAAGCAUUAGCCGCCACAUUCUUCCUGCGAUCGAUGUGUUCCACUUGAUAACCCUUGAAGUGUCUAGCAACAGCAUCAACCUCACAGCGAUAAGCCGCCAUGAGAGGGUCUUUGGAAUCCCACUUGCCUGAGACUUGUUGAGCUACCAAAUCUGAGUCGUCGAAGCACCUUACCCGGCUUAAGUUCAUCUCCUUAGCCAUCCCAAGACCAUGGAGAAAGCCCUCAUACUCAGCUGCAUUGUUAGUACAGGGAAACAUCAACCUUAGCACAUAACAAAAUUUAUCACCUCCAGGGGAAGCCAAAACAACUCCAGCCCCCAAGCCUUCCAAUUGCCUGGAUCCAUCGAACUGAAUAGUCUAGUAUGUGUUAUCCGGCUUCUCUUCUGGCGCCUGCAACUCUGUCCAAUCCUUGAUGAAAUCCACCAGUGCUUGAGACUUGAUAGCAGUACGAGGUACAUAUUUUAAACCAUGAGGCCCAAGCUCGAUAACACACUUGGUGACUCAUCCCAUAGCCUCUCUGUUCUGGAUGAUAUCCCCCAAAGGAGCUGAACUGACCACAGUGAUUGGAUGACCCAGGAAAUACUGCUUAAGCUUUCGGCUAGCCAUGAACACCCCAUAAACUAGCUUCUGCCAAUGUGCAUACCUCUGUUUGGACUCAAUAAGCACCUCACUGAUGUAGUAAACCAGCCGUUGAACCGGAUAUUCCUUACCAGUCUCCUUGCGCUCCACCACAAUGGCCACACUAACAACACGUGCGUUAGCAGCCACAUAUAACACCAAUGGCUCCUUACCAAUGGGAGCGGCAAGGACCGGCGGCUCAGCCAGUUGCCUCUUCAAAUCCUCAAAGGCAACGUUAGCAGCAUCACUCCAGACAAAGUCGUCGGUCUUCUUCAACAUUUGAUACAGCGGUAUGGCCUUCUCACCUAACCGGCUUAUGAACCGGCUUAAAGCAGCAAUGCGACCCGCCAAACGCUGAACAUCAUUGAUACACUUGGGUUUUGCCAAAGAUGUGAUAGCCUUGAUCUUCUCCGGGUUUGCCUCAAUGCCUUUGUUAGAAACCAGAAAUCCCAAGAGUUUGCCUGCCGGCACAACAAAGACGCACUUUGCUGGGUUAAGCAUCAUAUUGUAGACCCAGAGGUUAUCAAAGGUCUCCUUGAGAUCAUCUAUCAGUGUUUCCCUCUCUCUGGACUUCACCACAAUAUCAUCCACAUAAGCAUGCACAUUGCGGCCAAUCUGAUUAUGAAGGCAAUUUUGCACACAAUGCAGAUAAGUCGCCUGGGCACUCUUGAGCCCAAAAGGUAUAUAAACAUAGCAGAAGAUUCCAAAGAGAGUAGUGAAUGCCGUCUUUUCCUGGUCCUUAACCGCCAUCUUGAUCUGAUGAUAUCGAGAAUAAGCAUCCAAAAAACCCAAACGCUCACAUCUCGUCGUAGCAUCAAUGAUUUGAUCAAUACACGAGAGAGCAAAGGGAUCAGCCGGACAAGCCUUGUUCAAGUACGUGUAAUCCACACACAUAUGCCAAGUGUCAUUCUUCUGGAGCACUAGCACCAGGUUAGCUAACCACUCUGGAUGAAAUACCUCAAUAAUGAACCCGGCUGCCAAGAGCUGGGCCACCUCCUCGCCAACAGCCUUGCGCCUCUCUUCAUUAAACCACCGAAGAAACUGCUUGACCGGCUUAAACUUCGGAUCAAUGUUGAGAGUGUGCUUAGCGAGUUCUCUCGGUACACCCGGCAUGUCAGAAGGCUUCCAUGCAAAGAUGUCUCGAUUCUCAUGGAUGAACUCGAUGAGCGGGCUUUCCUAUUUGGGAUACAGAUUGGCGUUGAUACUGAACUGCUUAGAUGAAUCGCCAAGAACAAAGUCGACCAUCUUUGCGUCCUUAGCCGAUUUAAAGUUCAUCUCCGGUUCACGCUCUGUGGUGGGCUUCUUCAAGGAUGUCAUGUCUGCCGGGUCAACAUUGUCUUUAUAAUACUUUAACUCUUCUGUAGCACAGACUAACUCAGCAUAACCCGCGUCGCCUUCCUCGCACUCCGGAGCCACCUUCCGACUGCCAUGAACCAUAAUGGUCCCUUUAUGACCCGGCAUCUUCAGCUGCAGAUAAACAUAACACGGCCGUGCCAUGAAUUUGGCGUAAGCCGGUCGCCCAAACAGAGCAUGAUACGGGCUCCUAAUCUUGACCACCUCAAAAGUUAACUUUUUGGCCCUAGAAUCAUACUCAUCUCCAAAGGCUACCUCCAACUCAGUCUUGCCCACUUGGUAUGCCAAUUUACCAGGAACUACACCGUGAAAAACAGUAUUGGACUGCAUAAGAUUUCUCCCGCAUGCCAAACUCCACUGUCCAACCAAUGCGGAACCAACCAGUAACUUGCCGCCCACCAGCAUGGGCCACCACGGUCUUGAUGCCCACCCACACUGCCUCACUGGGAUCACCACCACGAGGCAAAGAGGACGGAGAGAGGAGCGCCAGGAAUCAGGAGUGGCUUGUGCCUCCAACACCGUUGUGGUCGCUGUUCGGACGUGGCAACAGGGGCAUACCAGGCCACCCCUGGCCCGGCCAUGCCCAAAUUGGCCCUGCAAAGCCCCGACUGCCACGUUGCAGCAGGCCGGCGCCAGCGGCCGCCACCAACCACUCCGCCCAAUGCCGCUCCUCCGCUUGCCGGAAACCACACCGUCGACAUGCCCCACCACGCCCCCCGCCUAGACCGAGAUGGGCCCAGAUCUGGGCUGAGCGGGUGUUGCGCCACCCUGCCGCAAAUGUCAGCGCCGCCACCUAGGUGUACUCCAUGGCUCCGCUCUGCCCCGUGUCGGCGUGUCACCAAGAGGGGAAAGGCCAGGGGCCGCCGGUGCCGGUGCCGCUUAGGUGCACCCCACGGCUCCGCUCCGCCCCGCGUCGGCACGCCACCAAGAGGAGAAAGGCCAGGGCCGCCGACGCCAACAUCGCUCGGGCUAGCGAUGACGGCGGGAAGGGAGGAACGAGGGAGGGCUCGAGGGGAGAUGCAACUGAUCACCCGCAAGGGCGACGUGGUCGCGAGAGAGUCCCAUAACAAAUAAUUUGAUAAAACAAAAUACAUACAACAGUAGUAGGAUUUUUGUUUGACACUAUAGAUAUUGAUACUUUUCUUUAAAAAUUUGGUCAAAUAUAUACAUAUUUGAUUUUUAAAAACUAGUAAUACAGUAAAUCUUAUACUCCGUAACAACGGAGGGAGUACUAGUUGGACGCUAAUUCUAGUUCUGACACGCUCCACAUGUCGCGGCGCUUGCGGCAAGAUAGCCAUGCGACAGGUCACUUCGCAAAGAGAGCCAGCUGAGGAAUUGGGCCAAACUGUAAAAAACCACUCCAGAUCUCACAUUCACUAGUCACAGCGACUGCAAUCCUCACCGAUCCCUUUCCCCUCCUCCCCUUCCUAGCCCUCCAACCCUAGAAACCCAUGGCGCCUCUCCGCUCGAGCUCCACUGUGCGAGGCGACAGGCAAGGCGGCGGGUAGAAUCUGCUUCAACACUGGGCCGGCGAGCCGUGGAAGUAGGGCGCGAUGGCACUCAACGCGUCCACCCCCCUCCGUCUCCCCGGCGCUCCCCUUCCUGUGAUCUGCACACUCGGUCCACUGGGUCGCACCAGCCACCGCAGGCUGCUCGGCUGCCCCAACUGCUGUCGUUGAGGAAGGUAAGGGCAGACGUCUUCUUUGUUGCUUCGGUAGGUUAGCACUACAUGAUAAUGCGUGGUAUUCUGUCUGGACAAAGAAAAAUAUCAACUAGUGCUGCUCUGGCAAAAUCGAUCUGUUAAAGUUGGUGGUUUUUAGAGUGGCAAACAUUGUUGUAAUGCUGUUGACGCAAAUUCUACCUCCCAUGGUCCUUUCAGUAUAACAAAUGUACACAAGGGCAGGGAAAAGAGCAUGCUCGUCAUUAUACAGCUAGCUCUCACCUUACCACACCUCACACAUCUGUCAAUUUAACCUUGUUCUCGUAAAAAGGACAAUCUGCAAUCCGCAAUUCAAGUUCUCCAUCUAGCUCAUUUUAGCCUUUUUGCGUGCAAAUGAUGUGCGAGGGUGCAGCCUGUUUCCAUUUUCUCUACUGUGCAUUAUUUUGUUGUUUCUCUACUGGGCAUUAUUAUGACAUCUUGCAUCUUUGUAGACAUUAUCUGACUCACUUCAUCUUUUGAAGAAGGUAAUGGUAAAAUUGUUCUUUUGUUCUUGUGGCAACCUCAGCUAGUUAGUAGUACAUAGUAAUGCCUGGUAUUCUGGAUAAUUAAUUUCUCAACGGCAACGUUUUGUGUGGUAAAUUUUCUUGAGAGAGUGGCAAAUGUUGUGAUGGUGCUGAGUCAAUUUCCUCUUCUCGCAGGCAGAGGCAGAAGCUACCUCAACCUGUUUUGAUCUGCUGAUCAAUGGCCAUGGCAUGAUCCAGGUGGAUGAUGCUCGACCGCUUUGUCUUCCACAGGGGUGACGAGGAAGCAGGUAGUCCCUUCCUAAACGGAUCUUAGGCGCCUUUGAGGGCAAGUUCGCGCACCUCUCUUUGCAAGAAUUUUGACAUCCUCUUCCUCCCUGCCGAGCCCCCGGCCAUCUCCCGCUUCUACAUACGGUGGCCUGACGGUACAAAGUCGGAGGAUGCCAAGGGAACCAAGCUCGUGGCCGCCCACCGUGAUCUGGUUCUCUUCAUGCAAACUUCUUUUGGAAGAUUGGACAAGGACGGUCGCUUACCGAUCAUACAAGACCACUGUAGGACUCAUCCGAGGACAUAUAAAGUGGUCUUGUAUGAUCGGUAAGCGACCGUCCUUGUCCAAUCUUCCAAAAGAAGUUUGCCUGAAGAGAACCAGAUCACCGUGGGCGGCCACGAGCUUGGUUCCCUUGGCAUCCUCCGACUUUAUACCAUCAGGCCACCGCAUGUAGAAGCGGGAGAUGGCCGGGGGCUCGGCAAGGAGGAAGAGGAUGUCGAACUUCUUGCAAAGAGAGGUGCGCGAACUUGCCCUCAAAGGCGCCUCAGAUCCGUCUAGGAAGGGACUGCCCUCUUCCUCGUCACCCCUGUGGAAGACAAAGCGGUCGAGCAUCAUGCACCUGGAUCCAGCAAUGGCCAUUGAUCAGAAGAUUAAAACAGGUUUAGGUAGCUUCCACCUCUGCCUGCGAGAAGAGGGAAUUGACUCAGCACCAUCACAACAUUUGCCACUCUCUCAAGAAAAUUUACCACUCAAAACAUUGCCAUUGAGAAAUUAAUUAUCCAGAAUACCAGGUAUUACUAUGUACUACUACCUAGCUGAGGUUGCCACAAGAACAAAAGAACAAUUUUACCAUUACCUUCUUCACAAGAUGAAGUGAGUCAGAUAAUGUUUACAGAGAUGCAAGAUGUCAUAAUAAUGCCCAGUAGAGAAACAACAAAAUAAUGCACAGUAGAGAAAAUGGAAACAGGCUGCACCCUCGCACAUCAUUUGCACGCAAAAAGGGGCUAAAAUGAGCUAGAUGGAGAACUUGAAUUGCGGAUUGCAGAUUGCCCUUUUUACAAGAACAAGGUUAAAUUGACAGACGUGUGAGGUGUGGUCAGGUGAGAGCUGGCUGUACAAUGACGAGCAUGCUCUUUUCCCUAACCUUGUGUACAUUUGUUAUACUGAAAGGACCAUGGGAGGUAGAAUUUGCAUCAACAGCAUUACAACAACGUUUACCACUCUAAAAACCACCAACUUUAACAGAUCGAUUUUGCCAGAGCAGCACUAGUUGAAAAUUUUCGUCGUCCAGACAGAAUACCAGGCAUUAUCAUGUAGUGCUAACCUACCGGAGCAACAAAAGAAGACGUCUGCCCUUACCUUCCUCAACGACAGCAGUUGGGGCAGCCGAGCAGCCUGCGAUGCCUGGUGCGACCCAACGGACCAAGUGUGCAGAUCACGGGGAGGGGAGCGCCGGGGAGACGGAGGGGGGGUGAAGGGGUCGAGCGCUGUCUCGCCCUGCUUCCGCGGCUCGCCGGCCCGGUUUUGAAGCAGAUUCCAGCCACCGCCUUGCCUGUCGCCUCACACGAUGGAGCUCAAGCGAAGAGGCGCCGCUGGUUUCUAGGGUUCGAGGGAUGGGAAGGGGAGGACGGGAAAGGGAUCGGUGAGGAUCACUAUCGCUGUGAUUAUUGAAUGUGAGAUCUGGAAUGGUUUUUUACAGUUUGGCCCAAUUCCUCAGCUGGCUCUCUUUGCCAAGUGACCCGUCACGUGGCUAUCUUGCCGCAAGCGCCGCGACAUGUGGAGCGUGUCAGAACUAGAAUUAGCAACCAACUAAUGAUCACUCCGUUGUUACGGAGUAUAAGAUUUACUGUAUUACUAGUUUUUAAAAAUCAAAUAUGUAUAUAUUUGACCAAAUUUUUAGAGAAAAGUAUCAAUAUCUAUAGUGUCAAACACAAAUCCUACUACUGCUGUAUGUAUUUUGUUUUAUCAAAUUAUUUGUUAUGGGACCCCCCUCUCUUGCGACCGCGUCGCCCCCGCGGGUGAUCAGCUGCAUCUCCCCUCGAGCCCUCCCCCUUCCUCCCUUCCCGCUGUCGUCGCUAGCCUGAGCGGCGUUGACGCUGGCGGCCCUGGCCUUUCGCCUCUUGGUGGCGCAUCGGUGCGGGGCGGAGCGGGGCCAUGGGUUGCACCUAGGCGGCGCCGGCAUGGACGGCCCCUGGCCUUUCCCCUCUUGGUGACACGCCGACACGAGGCAGAGCGAAGCCAUGGAGUACACCUCGGGGUGGCGCAGAGCCCGCUCGGCCCAGAUCUGGGCCCAUCUCGGUCUACGCGAGGGGCGCGAUGGGGCAUGUCAACGGUGUGGUUUCCGGCAAGCGAAGGAGCGGCGUUGGGCGGAGUGGGUGGUGGCGGCCGCUGGCGCCGGUUUGCUGCAACGUGGUAGUUGGGGCUUUACAGGCCCGAUUUGGGCAUGGCCGGGCCAGGGUGGCCUAGUAUGCCCCUGUUGCCGCGUCCGAAUGGCGCCCGCGGCUGUGUUGGAGGCACAAGCCUCCCGCACAACGACAGUGGAGGUGGUUCCCUCCCGCGCGGCUCCGGUGCUGCGGCUCCUGAUUCCUAGCGCUCCUCUCUCCGUCCUCUUUGCCUCGUGGUGGUGAUCUCAAUGAGGCAGUGUGGGUGGCAUCAAGACCGCGGUGGCCCAUGAUGGUGGGCGGCAAGUUACUGGUUGGUUCCACAUUGGUUGGGCAAUGGAGUUUGGCAUGCGGGAGAAAUCUUAAGCAGUCCAAUACUAUUUUCCACGGCGUAGUUCCUGGUAAAUCGGCAUACGCAGUGGGCAAAAUCGAGUUGGAGGUAGCCUUUGGAGAUGAGUAUGAUUCCAGGGCCGAAAAGUUAACUUUUGAGGUGGUCAAGAUCAGGAGCCUGUAUCAUGCUCUGUUUGGGCAACUAGCUUACGCCAAAUUCAUGGCGCGGCAGUGUUAUGUUUAUCUGUAGCUAAAGAUGUCGGGUCAUAAAGGGACCAUUACGGUUCAUGGCAGUCGGAAGGUGGCUCUGGAGUGCGAGGAAGGCGACGCAGCUUAUGCUGAGUCAGUCUGUGCUACAGAAGAGUUAAAGUAUUAUAAAGACAAUGUUUGACCCGGUAGACAUGACAUCCUUGAAGAAGCCCACCACAGAGCGUGAACCGGAGAUGAAGUUUAAGUCGGCUGAGGAAGCCUAGAUGGUUGACUUUGUUCCUGGCGAUUCAUCUAAGCAGUUCAGUAUCAGUGCCAAUCUGGAUCCCAAAUAGAAAAGCGCGCUCAUUGAGUUCAUCCGUGAGAAUCGGGAGAUCUUUGCAUGGAAGCCUUCUGACAUGCCGGGUGUAUCGAGAGAACUCGCUGAGCAUACUCUCAACAUUGAUCUGAGUUUUUUGGAUGCUUAUUCUCGAUAUCAUCAGAUCAAGAUGGUGGUUAUGGACCAGGAAAAGACGGCUUUCAUUACUCCCUUUGGAGUCUUCUGCUAUGUUUCUAUGCCUUUUGGGCUCAAGAGUGCCCAGGCGACUUAUCUGCGUUGUGUGCAGAAUUGCCUUCAUACUCAGAUUGGCCGUAAUGUGCAUGCUUAUGUGGAUGAUAUUGUGGUGAAGUCCAGAAAGAAGGAAACACUGAUAGAUGAUCUCAAGGAGACCUUUGAUAACCUCCGGGUCUACAAUAUGAUGUUUAACCCGGCAAAGUGCGUCUUUCGUGUGCCGCAGGCAAACUCUUGGGAUUUCUGGUUUCUAACAGAUGCACUGAGGCUAACCCGAAGAAGAUCAAGGUUAUCACCUGUUUCGCAAAACCCAAGUAUAUCAAUGAUGUUCAGCGUUUGGCGGGUCACAUUGGUGCUUUAAGCCGGUUUAUAAGACGGUUAGGUGAGAAGGCCAUACCGCUGUAUCAGAUGUUGAAGAAGACAGACGACUUUGUCUGGAGUGAUGCUGCUAACGUUGCUUUUGAGGAUUUGAAGAGGCAACUGGCUGAGCCGCCGGUCCUUGCUGCUCCCAUUGAUAAGGAGUCAUUGUUGUUAUAUGUGGAUGCUAACGCAUGUGUUGCCAGUGUGGCCUUUGUGGUGGAGUGCAAGGAGACUGGUAAGGAAUAUCUAGUUCAACGGCCGGUUUACUACAUCAAUGAGGUUCUUAUUGAGUCCAAACAGAGGUAUCCACAUUGACAGAAGCUUGUUUAUGGAGUGUUCAUGGCCAACCGAAAGGUUAAGCAGUAUUUCCUGGGUCAUCCCAUCACUGUGGUCAGUUCUGCUCCUUUGGGGGAUAUCAUCUAGAACAGAGAGGCUACAGGACGAGUCGCCAAGUGGGCUAUCGAGCUUGCGCCUCAUGGUUUAAAAUAUGUACCUCGUACUGCUAUCAAGUCUCAAGCACUAGUGGAUUUCAUCAAUGAUUGGACAGAGUUGCAGGCGCCUGAAGAGAAGCCGGAUAACACAUACUGAACUAUUCACUUCAAUGGAUCCAGGCAAUUGGAAGGCUCAGAGGCUGGAGUUCUUUUGGCUUCCCCUCGAGGUGAUAAAUUUUUUAUGUCCUAAGAUUGAUGUUUUCCUGUACUAACAAUGCAGCUGAGUAUGAGGCCUUUCUCCAUGGUCUUCAGAUGGCUAAGGAGAUGAACUUAAGCCAGGUAAGGUGCUUCGGCGACUCAGAUUUGGUAGCUCAAAAAGUCUCAGGCAAGUGGGAUUCCAAAGACCCUCUCAUGGCGGCUUAUCGCCGUGGUUAUCAAGUGGAACACAUCGAUCGCAGGAAGAAUGAGGCGGCUGAUGCUUUAAGCCGGCUUGGAUCUCAGCGUAAACCGGUACCCCCGAACACUUUCUUGAAUGUUUUGCAUAAUCCUUCUAGAUUAUGCAAAAAUGACUUAAUAUCACACAUGUUUCAGAUUUAAUGAAAAUAUGCGCCUAUGCUAUCACAAUAAAAGGAGCAGAAAUAAAAAGCAACCCUUAGGGAACCGCUACAACUAUAUACAUUUGGUACAAAUAAUACAGUCCAUUUAAACGAGACAAAUUUAUUCCAGCAUAUAUCAUAGAAGGGCAAGCACACUCCCUUAAGUUAAUUCAGAACCUCAUCAAGUUGUGACUAUAUUCAUUUUGUAUCUAAGUAGUAGUAGUGAGUACUGAUGCGUUUUUUGGGCCACGACGACAGGUGAGGACGACAUCUACGCAGCAAGUUGGGCCUUUGAGAUUCAUAUAUUUAAUGUAGUGAUUUAUGAAUAUACGUUAGAUACUAAUCGAGAGCUUAGAGAAGACAGCCCUACUAAACAAAGUUAUUUGGUUUGUGCUUUCAGGGAUCGUUGAAACAUACAGAAUGUUGAGGAUUCUGUGCAAGUAGGUGUCAGUUCCAUCGUUGGAUUGCUAUGCUAUGUUCUUCUGUGGAGAAUAGAGUGGCGAGGUGUUAAUCCAUCUGAUGAUCACAUGGAUUUGUUGAGGAGAUGGUCCUGUGAGUUGCUGAAGUUUAGAUUUCGUGUGUGUUCUAUCUAUUUGAUGUGUCAGUCUUGUUAAUUUGCAAACUUGUAUGGGACCCCACUUUCGUUGGGCGCUAAGAGAUAUGGGCUUCUGUACUUUGAUCAACUUGAUAAUGGUGUUUUGAACUUUUAUUUCUAAGUAUCAAUAGUUCACUGAGUUCUUGAAUGGCCAUCUCAGUUAUUAUGACAGUGAUGUCUCUUUUGGUCAAUGCCUCUAUCCCAGUUAUCAUUGAAUAGGGCAUCAGGAAGCAAACCGAGUUCAUCAUCCUGGACAGUCCUCACGCCACUGCCACUGUUAUGUCAGAUUGCAAAGUUUAUUUUUGAUAUAGAUGUAUCAACUGCUUGUCUGCUUUUCUCGGUGUAUGUGAUUGGGCUCUGCUUUUUUAGUAGUGUGGGAGCAAAUUAACAUGCUAGUUUGCUCUGGUUUGACUAAUUACAGAGAGGCUAGUUAAUUCACUGAUAGAUGCACUUGAGAAGCAAGGUGAAACAACGAGGGAUCCGGCUUGCCUGCUCCCUCCCCAUGCUCCCAUCCGUGCUCCCACUUCAUCUUAGGGUUGUCUUUUUUUUUCCUUUCUAAUCUAAUCAUCUCCCCCCCUAAUUUUAAGGGGGUGGGGCCGGGCCUUAUUUUGCUCCAAUUAAAUCAUGCCACAUAUGCGGGAGCACGGAUGGGCACACACACGGGGAGCAGGCAAGUCUCAUCCAAUAACGAGAUGCAUGUCGUGAGAAGAAAAGCUGUUGUAAUGUGGGAGCCAUUGCAUUGAUGGUUUUUUUUCUUAGUUUAGGCAAUUAGCUAGAAUAACUACUAUGCUCUCUUUUUUUGUGUAGGGAAAAAACUAGUAUUUUCUUAGUAAUAUGUAAUAUGUACUCUGGAUCAGCAGCAACAAAAUUAUACUGUAUUUGAUAUGUGUUCUAGAUCAAGUUUUGAAUUAAAUAUGUUAUAAAAAAUAUAUAUGUCCAAAAUGAAAUGUGUAAAUACUAAAAAAGAGUGAGUGAUUGAGUUUUGACAGAUCCGCUGGAUGAAGAGAAGUUUAAUCCCCAGACAGUAGCUUUUUCAGGCAUAAGAGAUUACGAUUUGAGAUUGUAGGACGGGGGUGUCUGCUAGAGAUCCCUUUAGCCAGUAAGUAGUUGUUGUAAAUAAGUGUGCCCCAUUUUGUGCAUUAUGUAUGAAUGAUUGGGGGUCAAAAUCUGCAUGGUAUGGUAUAGUUUUGGUUGCGAGCGUAUAUCUUUUAGUGAACCCUGAAGAAGAAUUCUUGUGUUCUCCAGGACUAACUAGCAGCAUAAGAUGGCUUAAGUUGUCUUUAUCUGAGCCUUAAAUCGAUGAUAAUGUGGGUCCUUUUCUAACAUUCACCUUACAAGAUUUUUUUUCUUCUGAUAAUAAUGCGCGGCAUUGGCUGGCAUGUCGCACGCCAGUAGGGGCCCCUUCCAGCCAAAGGGCGUCUGAAGCAGAGCGCGACUGAGCGUGUGCUUGCCGCUGUGAAAGACUUGUUUGCAUCAUGACAUGCCUCCGGUAAACAGAGGACACGGAGCUUCAGUUUUUUUUUAAAACCUUUUUUUUUCAAUUGGCGUUGACAGGCGUCUCCGAAUCGUAUAAUACUGUCAGAUUCAGACCUAACAAACAAAUUCGAGCGUAUCUCUUGGCUCAAAGAUGACUGCGUCAGGAUGCGCUACUCAUCCACGGACAGUGCAACUUUCCUCGCUCUCAUUCCUGAUCGAGCUCAGACAACAAAUGCUAAGAUUCCGUGGAUUUCAUCAAGGACCCACACACACUAGCAGUUCUACUCCGAAGCUAAAGCUAUGCUAAUUUAGUUGCCUCAAGAAAACUCGAACAACCAAUUUAUGUUCAGGUUCAAAUCCAGUGUUAAAAUAUUUUUGAUGAACACUAGUAGUUUUACCAAGUUAAUUGUGUCACCUUCUCUUCUACUGAUUCGAGUAUUUACAUCGCUCCAAAGUUCCAAACUGAAUAAAAAGGUAACCUCGCUUCUCUAGUUGCCUGCUAGGUGUGUUUUUAGGCACUUUUCCUGUAUGCAUAUGAGAUAUUAUAGAGAUACAGCAUGGUUUAUUUUCGCAUAUGCAGGUAAGAACCAGUGGCGAUCUUUUUGGCGAUCGAUGGUCAUUAUUGGGUUUGGAGCUCUGAAACUAAGCCUAGGAAACGUUAUCCUAAUGUUUGAGCAUCAAUCAGUUUGACUUUAGUUCCAGCUGCCAAGCCAGAGUUGGUUUGGCGUUCCAACCGGCCCAGUUCCAACAAUACAAUUAGGACUGGACGUCUGAGCGAGCUUUUUGGCUCGGCCCGAAGCUCGCUCCAGCUCAGCCCGUUACAGCUCGGCCCGAUACAAUAAACAAGCAAGCCCAGUUGUGAAAAGAGGCCCGAUUCCCGACCUAGCCGAGCCGAGUUUUGCCCGGUUCAACUCGGUGACUCACUCGAGGCCCAGCCCAGUUCCCAUCGGCCACUCUGGCAUUAGGGCACGAGCCCCUCCCUUCCUCCGUUCGGCGCUAUCUCAUCCCUCACCUCACCGCGCCGCAAAAAGUGGACCGAUAGCGACGGGGCGGCGCCUUUCCUCACCACACCGAACGCCGGCGGAUGCGCCUCCCCUGGUUCCUUGCCGAACCCGACGAGCAGGUACUCUCCUUUCUUCCCAUCCCUAUGGCUGGGCGCGCACACGCUCGGCACUCUCGCGCUCCCCUGCACAAGCGCACCGACGGCAAAUGACAUACAUGCUCCCCUGCAUGUAGGAGUCCUACCUACAUGGCUGCACUGCACCUGCGUACACGCGAUGGAGGGAUGGAUGGCUGAAUGCUUCUGUUUGAUUGUGUAGAGUGUAGCCGUCGUCGUCCUCACCAUGCCGGAUGCCAUCGUCGUCCUCGCCACGCCCGACACUGGACGGCGCUCUCAGCACCGAUUGCAGACGCGCCAUGUCAUCGCCGCGUCAGCCGCUGCCUUUCCUGGCUAGCCAAGCAUCCGCCGCCCCGACGAAUGCAAGCACAUACUACAGAGGCGUGUGACACACGAGCUGCCCGGGCUGGACCGAGCCAGAGGCAAAACGAGCCGAGCCACCAGAAACAGGCUCGUUCAACAAACGAGCCGAGCCGAGCUCGGCUCGCUUUAGGCGAGCCAAAGGCUGGCUCGGUCUGAACUUGGCUCGGCUCGGCUCGUGUCCAGCCCUAAAUACAAUGCACUUCAAGAUAACCGCUUUACUAUCUCGGUUUUGCCUUUGCUUGCGUCACCGAAGAUCCUUGCUGUUUUCACUCAUUCCGAAAUAUAAACUUCCGGAAGAAAUUCAACGCUGAAACUAAUAUACCUCGUCUUCUGUCAGAAGACACUGAAAUGUGCAUCUUCUUUCAGGAGUUGUUGACAGAUGAGCGCUGUGUAGCAACUAUGGCAGGUACUCAAUAUUUCUGCACUGUGUACUACGUACUAGCUAUGGAAUGCAGCGUACUAGUAACAACAGAUUGCAAGUCACGGCAGCACAGAGAUGACAUGGGCGGAGGCAGAGCUAGACGCACCUAUGGUCUCCGUCCGUCGUCGUGGAGGUUGACGCCAUGGCUGCGCAGGAUGGCCCGGACAUUGGUGGUGCGUUUACGAUGGUCCUCGACCUUGUGCUCCUCCAAGUAUUCGAGGGAGAAGUGGUCGAUGCGUCUGCUCCUACCCAGAUUACUUACAUACACCAGUGCACGGAUUUCAGAAUCGAAACCAAAAUCAGAUGUGCAAGAGAGGAGUGGGAGGGAGGAGGGGGCUUACCUGAAGGAGGAGGCUUUGCUGCGGACGAGGAGCGCUACGGGGUCACGCGCGACAUGGGCCGCCGAGACCUCGCGCGGCGAGAGCCACCGCCGCCGGUGAAUGCGAGCAGGGUUCGCGAGUGAGCAAGGUGGCCGCUGAGUCCCAGGCCGUUGACGACGGCGCUAGCAGGGAGCGCCACGGCCGCCGCUGAACUGGUCGCUCGCUCGAUCUCCCUCUCGUCUUCUCUUCUCUUCUCGUCUCCUCUGAUGAGGGGAGGGGAGGGGAUGGGAGGGGACGGGGAGAGGCCGGCGGCGAGGUCCAGGGAGACGGGGAGUGGCCGGCGGCGGCGAAGCCCAGGAAGACGGGGAGUGCCCGGCGGCGGCAAUGUGGGAGGGAGCGGAGAGGUCGGGCAGGAACGAAUGAGUUGGGUGGGUGGGUGCGUGUGGGGAUCCAGUUGAUUUCGCUGGGCUAGGAGAGGUCUCCUCGCUGGCAGCUCAUUGGUCAGCCCGGACCUGCCACGGACCCAUGCCCCUCCGCAUCAUAAUCUCAGCCGUUAUUUAUACUAAUAAGACUAGCCACAAUGGAUAGUAACAUGGACUAGUAACAUGUCUACGUUACUACUCUUUGUUACUACCUCUACAAUGAGAAGUAACAUAUAUAUGGUAACAUGCAACACCUCAUUUAUUAGGCUAUAGACUCAUCUUGCUUUGAUAUGUGUGAUGUUACUCAUCUUACUAGUAACUAGCUAUGUUACUACUUCGCUCUCUUUCUUCAUUUAUUGCUUGCCACAUCAUCUAUUUUAUCUAGAUAUGUGUAAUGUUACUACCUAUGUUACUCCCAUUGUGGGUAGUCUAAGUAUGCAAGUGCAACGCACGUCUCGACUUACGAUCAUUAUGUGAAAAUUUAUUUGUGUACGUAAAUGGGUAAUCUGAUAGUAGUAGUAAACUAUUUCAAAUGAAUUGAUGUGUUUGUAAGAUUCAUUUUUCACCUAAAAAGUUAUUGCAUUUUUAUUUGAAACCAUCAGUAGCCUUCUUAUUUCUAUGAAUUUUGAAGAACAUAUUUAGGUACUUAUGUACAAACACUAUUUAAACAUUCUUGUACGAAAAUGAUAUAUAGAUCCAGAACGUUCAAUUUUUUAAGCAUGCCAAUCCGAAUGUUUUCAUGACAAUUUUAGUUCAUGCCAGAUUGGCAAACAUGGCAAUUUUUUAAACAAAAAACAAAAUGAAGAUAAAAUUGCCAUGUUUUAACAAGUAAAAGUUGCCACCUCGCGUCAACUAAAGCUGGCAUAAAAAAACUUUCGGGAUGACAUGCUUAAAAUUCGAACAUUCGAGAUUUUAUCAGGGUCCUCCUUGUAAUAUGAUUAUUUUCUCACAAGUCCUACUUUCCGUAAUCUUCUUUAUGUUCGGACGCCUUUCAACCAACUCUGUUGACUGCCACAGAUCUAUGGAGUAGGGGAACAACCGCUCUGAAGAAAUAUCUAUAUUUAAACAGAAUCAACAAAAAAAAACAUGUGCGGCUCUCAAUUAAAAAUUGUGCGCGUACAAAUACUUAUGGGCCCAUUGCGGAUAAUUAUCUAGUAAUAUAAAAUAUCAACUAAGAGGUCGAGUAAUGUACCCAAAAAAUUCAUGUAACUUGUACUCAAAAUAUAGGCGAACAUAUUUAUCAUGCUGAGCACUUGUGUUGGUAUCAUUUCUUAGCUAGAAAAAAAAUCAAAAUUUGCCAAUCGAGCAUGAUCCAUGUCAUUCUAGUUAAGAUAUAAUCCAAACUUGCCAAUCAAUUAGUUCUUUUUAGCAGAUCAUGUAGCUCAAUGCACACGUGAAGUAAUGAACAAAGAUUUACAAUCAAAUCUUGUCAGACAGAAUGGACGCACCCUAAUACAAUUCACGCAAGCAUUAACAAGACAAACUCUUCUCUUUUCAUCAACAUCUUCACCUCCCCCGACUAUAGUCAACAUCAGUUUAUUCAGUGACCAUGAGCCGAUAUAUUUUGACAAAAAAAACAUAGAACCAAAUUUAAUGGAACUGUAUAUAUUUUAUAUACAACAUGGGCAAGUUUAGUGAACACUGUUAAGAAAAAACUUGCUGCCAAUUACAGAUUGUUCAGACACAAGAGCAGAACAUCUAGUCUUCGCCUUCGAUGGCAACACACCUUUGAGAAUGGGUUGAAAAGGGGGGGGGGGAGAAAAAACAUUAAAUCAAAAAAUAUAUAUGUUUAUCCUUGUAACCAUAAUAAUUCAACAAAAGUAGAAUCAGCUACAUCUGCUUUGUUUAUGAUAUGGAACCUAAUCAGUUUCAAGGUUUGAUCAUAUGCAAAGCAAGCUGUUUGCCAGUUUCAGUUAAAAAAGACAAAAUAAAACGAAGUUUCAGUAGGCUCCCUCACUUGUUGAUGAAAUACAUUGACCAGAAACAGUGACGUAAAAGUGCUUGCGACAUUAUGCUUCUUGCCAUCAUUAUAGUACUUGUUCUUUGGGACAAAAUAGCAGUAUCAUCAGAUGAAACAAUUACCGUCAAUAAAUGAAAUACAUGGGUUAAUAUGAAUUCGAAGCUCAAAACUUCCACCAACCGAAGCAGUGUGCUCAGCUACAUCUGAUGUUGUGUUUUGAAAAGCAAUCAUGUAAUCCAUGGCUCUAUCCUUACUUAAAAGUAAUCUUAGUUUUCUGGCCAGUUUACCUCGAACUAUGUAAGUAUUUCUUAGAACUGGUCAUAUGAGACAUGCAUUCUAUUCUAUGCAAAAUAAAUAAAUGCAGACACCAUGCCGCACUGUCCUCAAAACCCAUUUUGCUAAUCUGCUACCUCUAUGGUUGUGAUCAGCGGAUAAACAUUGUAUAGAACUACAAAAGCACAAAUAGUCAAACAAGUAUGAUUACUACUGUCAUGGUCAUACAUAAAGUACAUGGUUAGAGAACUGAAGUUGUACCUUGCUGCAUCUUGAAGUGCAGUUUGGAUCAUUUUCACGGGGUCAAUGAUACCAUCAUUGAUCAUAUGAACAUACUUCUCUACAGUAACCAAAACGCAAGAGUUAACUACGGAACCUCUAAAGAUUAUAAUGCUGUUGGAGAAAUAUGAAACAAGACAUUUGUAAUGCACUUCAAAAUGAACAGCCAAAACAUGGUUAAAAUGCACAGACCUAUUGUUGCAUCAGAGCCCAAACUAAGAUUGUCUUGUGCCAAGCUUCCCAAUAAAUACGGUGAUCAGGGGAGCCUGAAGAAAAUCAGGAACAAUUAAUAUAUGUAUUAAUAGACCUGAGACAUUAAUGGGAGAGCGCAUACAACAUUUAAUCAGGAUGCAAACAAAGUUACAAGAAAGAAGUGGAGAAAUAUCUUUAAGAUGCUAAAGGAAAAUCUGAUUACGUAGAACAGAGAAUACACAAUAGGAAAAUGACCACAAUUCACUCUCCUGCAAUGUAACAAUAGUGCAUACCCAUCUAUUCCUCCCAAAUCAUUUCAGAAACUAAUGACCAGUCCAAAAAGACAUACAAAUUAUCAUAAAGUCAUCACCAGACUGGCAAUCAGAUAGAAGGGAGAAACGAAUUGGUCAUGCAGCAGACCCUCAGUGGAGAAAAGAAUAUGCAACACACUGGGAUAUGAUUAUGCUGAAAACAAAACAUAAAGGAGAGGUAGUGCUAUCAAGAAUCAUUCUGUGGCGGAGCUAGUUUGAAAAAAAGUGAUGACCAAGGAAGAUUACGUACCCAGCAUUGUACCUUCCCGAUUCCCUAUGACGAGCGUUACAUCGUACUCCUUUGUCGAGCUGCUCAUCGUUGUGCUGCUUGUUGUCAUCUACCUGCGCCUGGCCAUGAUGAAGCACUUUUACAGGCACGCGUGCUUGGAUGGCGUCUCUAGACAAUCGGCCAGUAGCACAGCAGGGUGAUGCGAGGAGGAUGCCGGGAUUACGACCGAAGAAAAAAGUAUCACUGCACCACCAAGAAAAUUAGAAAAUUCACAGAAAAAGGCCAUCAGGCAGACAACAAAGUAGACCUAAACAUAUUUUGAUUAUAAAUAAUGGAGUUUGAGUAGCAUUAACAUAUAGUGGAGUACUUAAAUGUUUUGAAUUGUAGUUAAAUAAAUAGCAAACCUUUCCACUUAUAGUCAAGGUGAAAAUGUACGGAUACAAAUAGGUGAAUUCCCAGAAUGUUGCGCAGAAAUUCUCCUUUGGGAAGGCUAACAAUUUUUAUGUUGCUUCACUUUUAGCUUGUGUCACAAUGACAGGUGGGCUGGUCGAGUAUGUGAUGGUCUUCCUAGAAUCCCAGUCAUCAAGAAAAUCUGAAUGUUCAUCUUGUCGUUUAAUUUGGUCGAUUGUUGAGGCCUGGAUAAAAAGUAUAACUGAAUAAUUAUACACAUCAUGAUUGUAUUCUGAUAUGCUUAUGAGCUAACACAUAUACCUCUCACAUACAUCCAACUAUGGGUCAUCAUCAGGUUCAUGUUCCUGCAAAGGAAUAGGAAAAGCAAUGAGAAAUUUAAUCCGAACAAGGAGAAGAUCAAUAAAAGCUACAGAACAUCAAGAACAGCUAGGCGCCAUGUCAAGAUCCUUAAUAAAAAGCAAACUAUCUUAGUUCAAUAAAUGGCAAUAUGAAAAGCAUACGGAAGCAUUAAUUAAGCCAACAUAUGAUUUCUCCUUCCUGACUCCUUUAUCCUUUCACACUCAGCUCCCUGAGCUCCUCAUCUUUGUUACAUGUAUCUUGAAAAAAUAUUCAUCAUGCAAAAAAAAUAUGUACAAGGGAAUUCCAUUAGCUUUAGGAAAAUUCUAGUACAAGAGAGCUUUUCAGUAGAAGCAGAUUAGUUUUGGAAUCCACACCAUACACAAAUUAAAAUUUAUUUCUAAUAUAUAACUUACAAUCUACGUCAGCGAAACUAUCAACAAAAUAGAAGGACUUUAACCUGCAGCAUCCCAUGUGCAUCCACGCUGCAGCGCCUUCCUCUAAGCCUCUGCUGCUGCAUGAGAUGAAAAAGAGUUAUUUAGAGGGUCAUACACACACCAGAAAUCCUGAAAGCAAAAUUAUCUUUCCAUCCAGCAAUCCUUUCAAGGGAACAUUAGAAGCACAACAUCGGAUGCAGUCGAUCCAUACAUACAAUUUCUGAAUUAAUGUGAACACACAGCAGAACCUUACAGAAAUCUACAAUUUCAUAGAAGCAUGCUAACCAAACACAACAAGGAGGUAAAAGGGAGGCGUCCGAUCUGGGUGUUGACCCAAAAGUUGCGGAAGGCGUCGGCGACCUCCGGCCGGGAACGGCGGGGCUGUGGCUUGGAUAUGCGGUGGCGCUGCGCUCGUGCGGCGGUGUGGCGGCAGGGUUGCCGCUCGGUGAUGCGGCUGCAGGGCAGUCGCGCAUGUUGUUGCCGAUUAGCCGAUAGAACGAAGAACGCUGAGCUCAAGAACGCACGCAACACACGCGAGAGAGGAAAGCCUUUUUGCCGCAGCUAACGACGUCACGUUUUCUGUUUCAUUUCUUUUCCCUUGUCUGUUUACAACUGACUCGUCUACCCUCCCGGUCUGGCCGCUAUGAUCCGCGUUGAUCGCGCCAUCCCACGAUCGCGUCCACAGCGAGAGCCAAAAACGACCAGGAGGGAGAAAACAGAAACAAAAGAAACAGGAGGGCUCGCUACGUGCGCCUCCCCUAGCUACGUGCAUGCUCGGGUCACAUCCGACCCAGCAGGCUUGUUUAUUUUAAACGGAAAAACAAACUAACCUAUCCGACGUGAGCUUACAGCAGGGCUAACAUUUCUCCCCCCUAAGCUCAACGUCCUUUGCCGAUCUCCUUGACUCCAAGUCUCUGACGCUCCUCGAUGAACUUCACACGCCCAAGUGCUUUUGUCAAUGGAUCGGCCACCUGGUCGUCAGAUCCCACAUGAUCAAGCUGCACCUCUCCAUGUUCAACACAAUCUUGGAUGAAAUGGAACUUGACAUCGAUAUGUUUGCUUCGAUCAUGAUGAAUGGUAUUCUUUGCCAGUGCUAUUGCAGAUUUAUUGUCAAUCAAGAGUCUGAAUGCACCAGCUUUUUCUCCCUUCAUUUCAGCGAGCAGACGAUUCAGCCAUAGGCCCUGGCAAGUAGCAGACGCCGCAGCCACGUACUCUGCCUCACAGGAGCUGAUUGCCACAAUCUUUUGCUUUUGGGAAGACCAUGUAACUGGAUUGCUGCCAAGGAAGAAAAUCUGACCAGAUGUGCUCUUACGAUCCUCAACGUCGCCGGCAUGGUCACUGUCACUAUAGCCCAGCAGCUCACUUUUCCCUGAACCACGCCCAUAGCAACACCCAUAGCUCAAAGUACUGCGCACGUACCUAAGUAUCUGCUUCACGGCUGUCCAGUGAGUGACUGUAGGCCUUUCCAUGUAUCUGCUCACUAUUCCAACUGCAUGAGUGAUGUCCGGUCUUGAGUGCACCAGGUACCUUAGGCUACCAAUUAUGCUGCGGUACAGAGAAGGGUCGACAGGUUUUGCAUCGUCAUUCUUCCUCAGUUUGAGCCGACACUCCAUGGGUGUCUGACAUCCAUGGCAGCCUUCCAUUCCAGCAGCUUCAAGAAUUUUCUCUGCAUUGCUCCUCUGACACAGGGUUAUAGAAUCAUUGGAUUGAGUUACCUCGAUGCCCAGAUAGUAGCUCAAGAGACCGAGAUCACUCAUUUUGAACAGCUCUUGCAUUUGAAUUUUGAACUCGUCGAUGGAAGUCUUGCUGGUGCCGGUGAUGAUGAGGUCGUCAACAUACACACCCACUAGCAAAAAUGAGUGUGCAUCACCACGGCGGAGCUGCGCGUGAACCCCAACGUGCUCAUGGUCUCGUCCAGCUUCGCGUACCAGGCCCUCGGAGCUUGCCGCAGCCCGUAGAGCGCCUUCCGAAGCCGAAGAACCUGCUGCUCCUUGCCGGUGGUGACGUACCCCGGUGGCUGCGCCACGUACACUUCCUCGGCGAGGUCACCAUUGAGAAAGGCGGAUUUUACAUCCAUAUGGUGCACCUCCCAGCCGGAGUGUGCGGCGAGCGCGAGAAGAAGCCGCACGGUCUCCAUCCGUGCCACUGGCGCAAAAACUUCCUCAAAGUCCACGCCUUCACGCUGCACAUAACCUUUCGCCACCAGACGCGCCUUGUACUUGACGAUGUUGCCGUCAGGAUCGCGCUUGACGCGGUACACCCACUUCAAGCCAAUGGCUUUGUGACCGGCCGGCAAGUGGGCGAGCUCCCAGGUGCUGUUCUCGCCUAUGGAGUCCAUCUCCGCAUCCAUUGCCGCCUUCCAGGCCCAGUCGCUUAGCACCUCAGUGAUGUCGCGCGGCUCCUCUGCCGUGAGCAAGCAUUGGUCGGGCUCCUCCCAUACAGCCUCAUGUUCUGUCUCGUCGAGAACAUCAGAGAGGCGCCGGUACCGUAUAGGCCCGAAGUCAACGUUGCGCUCAUCAUCAUGUGUGGGCGGCGUGGCCCAACGCAUCUCCCUUGCCGCAGCCGGCGUGCAAGGCUCGGUCUGCGACGUGCCGGGCGCCGAUGCGGCCGGCGUGUCGGCGGAGUUCAGCGGCGACCCCAAUGGUGGCGUAGAGGGUGGUGGUGCCGCGCUCCUUGGUGCAGGCAUAGGCGAGCAGCCCGUGUCCAGCUCGUGCACACCAUGGUCAUUUGCAUAGACCACAGUGAACGUCAUCGGUGCGGGCGCCGUGACCGCGCCCUGUGCAUUCCAAGUCCAUGGCCUGCUCUCCUCAAAUAAAACAUCACGUGUGACUUGUACCUUUUGUGUAGCCGGAUUGUACACAUGAUAGCCCUUGGUUCCUUCCUCGUAGCCUACGAAGAUCAUUGGGGUUGCUCGAUCCGAGAGCUUCGUCACUCCAGGGCCAAGCUUUUUGACAAGCGCCACACACCCAAACACACGUAGGUGCAGCACGCUUGGCUUGUGGCCGUGCCAAGCCUUGCGUCACCCCGUCCAAGCUGCGCGUGGGAGCUCUGUUGAGCAGGUACACCGCGGUCUUCACUGCUUCAGCCCAGAAAUAUGACGGCACGGCCAUGCUUUUGAGCAGGCAACGCGCCAUCUCGACGAUGGUCUGAUUCCGGCGUUCAACCACUGCGUUCUGCUGAGGGGAGGGUGGUCGUGUAGUGUUUGAUGCUCAGCUGCUCGCAGUAUUCUCUGAACUCAAUGGAGUUGAACUCACCGCCCCGGUCAGACCGGAAUGCGCGAAGCCUGCAUUUCCCCUCGUUCUCAGCCAUUGCCUGCACUUUCUUGAAGUUCUGAUGAGCUUCAUCCUUGGAUUUCAGCAACUCCAAUCACAUGUAUCGACUGUAAUCGUCAACUAUCAGCAAGAAAUACUUACUGCCACCCGGUGUGGUUGGUGUGAUUGGCCCACACAAGUCUGUAUGAACAAGCUCAAGGCCUUUCUCUGCUCUGUAUCCGGCCACUUGAGGAAAAGGGGCACGGUGUUGUUUGCCCAAUGCACAACCAUCACAGUACUCCUCGACGCGGUCAGUGACUGGCAUCCCGCGUACCAUUUCCUUGGAAGACAUGGCUCGCAAAGCUCUGAAGUGCAGGUGUCCCAUCCUCGCAUGCGAGCGCCAGGUGACAUCUUCAGUCUUGGUGAGGAGACAGGCUGGGGCGUCAAUGCUCAGUACGCCCGUGUACAAUCUGCUGGUCGCACUACACCAUGACAAAAACUUUGGGGUCACCAUAUCUGCCGGGAAAACUAGCCAAUGGAGGCAGAAAAUCCGCCGGGAAUGAUUUUUGCCGGCAUUUACAGACUGCCCUAGAAAGUCUCGUCGGGAAAGACAAUUCCCGGCAGUUACAAGAAUGCCCGGCAGUUACUCUGACCCACAUGUUAGAAUCUUUACCGGCAGAUAGAACUAUUCCCGGCAUAUAGUUCUUUCCCAGCAGUGUUAUAAUUCAGGGCAGAUAGAAGUAGUUCCCGGCAGUUAUCCCGCCCUUAAUUGUGUACGCUGCUAGCACACAUACCCCCUUCCCAUUCAAAAGCUAAAAUUUAUCUUCACUCCAUUUUGUGCCAUUAGUAUAUAUGUGACACGCAUGCAUAGUAAUUAAAGUUGCAUCACUUAGGCAUAAUAUAUAUGUAUAUCUCAAGGAUCCAUCAUGGUUACAAGCAUAUGUAGGUUCACAAGCCCAGUAUUACAGCACAACAUCCUUCAUGUAAUUCACUAUUCCCAUGCGCACAGAGGCAUACAUAUGUAGGUCAAUAGGUCCAAUAUUGCAUAAUAGAGAAAAGCGCAAAAUACAACAUCUGGUUUCAGCUACAAACAGAUCCCAGCAGAAGAUCCUUCCAGCUCACAAAACACAACUAUUUAAAGUUGUGGAUGCAAGAGAAUUACACCGGUGACCAAUAAAAAAAGAAGCGGCCAAUUAGAUAAGCUGGGAAGAACACAUGUUUCAGAAAUCCACUGCACAACUACUUGCAAGCAAGAGCAGAUCAGAAUUCCACAAGGCACACCCAUAAUGUCUGUUAUGUACUCAUAAGAAUAGAUAAGGCACAUGGUGAUCAUAGUUAAGGUUCUCACUUUGCAAAUCAUCACCAACUUACUUGGAUCAAGGUUUACUUUUCCAAUUUAAUAGAAUAUAAUGAUUAACUUGGAAGUUGCUAUGUUUGUUAUUAGCAAAGAUGGAAAAGCUAUAAUUAUUUUUCAAUAGAAUGGCCCUUGUGAUUAGAAGAAGAAAUUGUAAUUUUAGAUGAACUAAAUAUGGAUCCAUGGUAAUCUAUCUUGAUUGAAAAUUACAAGCUCAGGUAGGCUCUAUUCAGACAGUGUGAGAAUGGCUCUCAGAGAACAAAAAGAAAGAAGAGCGUUGGCCCUAGUCUCUGCUAGCAUUCAUCCCAAACAACCAGGAAAAGUGAGGUCUAAUUUUUUUCAAUAGCUAGUUCAUUGUACACUUUGUCUAGAUGAUAAUGAAAACAGAAUUAGCAAGAAUUCUAGAAUCUGCAAUACCUUCUAGAUGUGGGGACUGCUACCGGCUGUGAUGGUUGCUUCUGCGUAACUUCACAAACAAACUCCAGAACGAGUGAAGCAAAUGGUUUCACAAGGUGAGUAGACCAGCCUUGUAGCAACGUUGCCAACCUGAAGAGGAAAUAAGUCAAUUAACACAUACUCCCUCCGUUCCUAAAUAUUUGUCUUUUUAGAGAUUUCAACAAGUGACUACAUACGGAGUAAAAUGAGUGAAUCUACACUUUAAAAUAUGUCUAUAUACAUCCAUAUGUGGUAGUCCAUUUGAAAUCUCUAAAAAGACAAAUAUUUAGGAACGGAGGGAGUACAUGUAUUGUAGAGGAUUCAUGCAAGAGAGUUCAUGCAGAAAAAAACAAGUGCACCCCAUUUAGGAAAAAUGAAAAGAAGGACAUGCAGAAAAAAAAGUUAAAAUGGAAAAACAAAGGGAAACAGUACUUUUAGUUUGUAUUUCACUUUCCAAGUUAGUUAAGGAGUAAAUCUGGGCCAUUAAAUAUGAUUUAGGGAAGUGAAAACAGUAGAGUACUAGAAGUGCAUGCGAGCACUAUUUAAAGGGUCUAGCUUGCCAUGUACCGGUGGUGAGUUCUUGUUUAGUCAAUUGAAAAAACAAAAAGUCAACAUUUUUUCAUUUGCCGAGCAAAAUUAUCAAACGCACUACACAAGCUUGCAUGAAACUGCAAACAAACAGGUCAUUUUACUAUAUCACCAAGCAGACCAUAAGAAUGGCAGCUCAAACAAGUACAUGUUUUACAAACAAAGUGGUUAUUCUAUAUUAGAACAAUUGUCGGUCAGUGAUUAAGAAAUACAUGUUCGCUCAACCUAAAAGCUGAAGAGCUGAUGUCCAAAUGUGAGUACGUGACUAACUAGACAACAAAUUUUGCUAGCUGAAACUGAACAAGGAUAUGCUGUUUUGGUUUUAUCUGGGAUUUUUUGAACCAUCCAGCAACAGCCUACCUAUGUAUGUACUAGCUGAAGGAGUAGUACUGUUGGGACUUCAGAGUACUCUAGUAGUAUUGGUUUUCGAGAGAUGUCUUUUUUGAAUGACAGCUGAUGUACACUAAAACUGGGUGUCUAAAGCAAGAAAGUUUCAGCUAGGUUUAGAAACAAUUUCUAGUUUUCACACUAACUAUUAUGAAUAAGAAAAUUUCAAACUUUAGAUUUGUGGUACUGAAGCUUAGGCAAUUAGCAAGUUGCAUAGCUAACAGGCUUAGCGUUUGAAGAUGAGCCCUCGUGUCGUCCUAGGCAGGGACAAGGCUUAGUGUUCAUAGAUGAGCCUUCGCGUCGCCCUGGGCGAGGACGAGGCUUAGUGUUUAUAGAUGAGCCCUCCCAUCGCACUGGGCAGGGACAACGCAAGUAGUGCGUUUUCUGUCUAGAGUACAGACGGAUGGUGAAUGGCAGCAAGCAACAAUAAAAACGAGUUUUAUUUUGUAUGCUCGAGGCACAAGAAUCAUUGGGCCUGGAAUGUGAAGCUACAGGAAGUUGCACAUCAGUACAACAAUCCAUCCAACCGAAAACUCCAUCCAGCACUAGCAGGACAACACAAUUUUCAACCCUUGCCUAAAUAUAACCAGCCAACACAAAUCAAUUUUUUUACAAACCUAAAUAAGGCCGUGAAAUCGUAAUUACAAACCGAAGCAACCUUUGACGUAUUCAAAACAUAGUCAAACGAUACCAUACAACGAUAGAACCAAAUUACGAGAUAUUCUAAAUAUAGUCAAACCAUUGGUCGAUAGCACACAACAAUAUAAACGAAUCAAGUCUUCAGUUAAGAUCAAGAAUCUCACCAAAAGAUGCAGUUGGCACUUGUUCAGUUACUGAUGGCUGCAGCUUGAUACCUUCUUCACUUGCCAACCAAGACCUUAAAACUUGUCUUUAAAGUUGAGUUUAUGCCGAUUAGCCUGCAAAGCAGGAAAACGUAAUAAGCAUUGAUGAAGAACAAUCAACAACACAUGUAAUAUUAAUAGAAUAUAUAAGUUAACAAUGUACAACAGUUUAUAUUUGAAUAAGUAAUUUUUCUACAGGCCAAAGCGUCAUGCAAAAGUAAACAUUGGCAAAACAUUACACCGAUAGUGUACAUCACAUAAGUAUUUGUUCAACUAACAAGAACAGCAAGACAAACCUAACUUCUCUAGAUAACCAUCAUAAGGUCACAAACCUUACUUGUGCAAGAUAUGACCAGGAAAUGGCAACUGAUAUACUGUACAUGAGAAGACAGUCAGUAUCAACAACAUAUAAAAUGGGCAAAGGUAGAAGCAUACACCAGCAGUAUUUAUGGCAUGAAAUGCUCUGUUGUAGAUGGAUUUAUAUUUAGCCCAGCAAGAAGUACCACAAACUAGUUAAUGCAUCAUCCAGAUCAUUUAUGAAACUAAAUCAGAAGUACUACAUCAUAUACACUACAUAGCACCUGAUAGGCAUUAACUACGAAUCAUGUUUUGGGCAGUCAUGCAAAUUUUUCCUAGUGGAGGAAAGUUCAAGUUACAAGAAUCUAUUAGACUCAUAGCUCAUAGCCAAAUCUACUAUAUAUGUCGGCACAACAAGACAAUCUUUGCCUGUCCGCGCAAUAAGAACAUGGUUCAAAAAGCAUACCUGUAAAGACCAAGCACGAAUGGAGAACAAAGCUUAGUGGCAGCCUCUAUGUGCGAAUCUGAGAUUGUUGUUGUUGCUGCUGCUUCAGUUAACGAACAUGUGGCAGAGAACAAUCCUGGUAGCACGAACAGACAAUCAAUUAGAUCUUAAUCACGCUGUGCUGUAGUGCGAGGCAAAGCAGGUGACGGGGGUGGCGAGUGGGAUGGGGAGGUGUUGUUGUUGGGGAUCGGGACGACGUUUAGGGUGAUAAGGAGGGGAUGGGGCGGUGUCAUGGUCGGCGAAUGGGGCACCAACGCUGGAUUGGGGGAUACUGGUGCGGCAUGGACGAAGAUGGGGUGCCUGCUGGUUGGGGAAUGCGCGGCGGCGGCUCUGGGAGUGGGAUCCGGGUGUGGUGUGGAUGGGGAUGGGCAGCGGCGUGAGUCGGAGGUGCGAGUGUGUGGGGGGUCGUCGAUGGAGAUUGGGUGGCGGCACGGCUGGGUGGAGGCAUGGAUGGAGGAUGCAGGGGCGUCGGGCGAUGGGUGGGUGACGAAGGGAAUGGAGGCGGCGGUGCCGAGCGGGGCGGGCAAGGAUGGGAGUGAGUCGGCGAGGGCGCUAGGGUUGGCGGAGUCGACGGCGAGAUGUAGUGCGGCGGCUGACAAGGGAGGGAGAGCGGCUGAGGAGAUAUGUUUUUUUUAGUCCAGCUGAGGGGAUAUGUGGAAUUGUGGAGAAGGGGGAAAUUAAGCCCGCGUGGCCGCGGUGGGCUUCGAGUGGCUUCUAAUUUCCAAUCUCCCGCGAGGCUCCUUUUCUUGGGCCUCAAAUUGUUCGUCCCCGCCAGCGUCCUAAAGGGCAGUGCAUUCGCCCUCAAAUGGAUUUCAGGGCAAUUGGGCUGACCCUAAAGAUGCCGGCAGAUGACCUGCCCUUCUAACACUACCAUUGCCGGCAGUUAUCAUGACCUACACAGUCUUUCUCGGCACAUACAGCUUCGUAGGCAGCUAAUUGCCCCUAAUUCCUAAUCAUCCCCGGCAGUUAAUUGCCCCUAAACUUUUAUCAUGGUGUAGUGUCGUCCGUUUGACGCGAGCCAGGAUGCGCCGGCCCGGAUCUUGGAUGGUCAUGAUCCCAUCUUCAAUCCCUAUCCUGCAUCCACCCUCAUCCAACUGCCCUACUGAGAUGAUAUUGCUGCGUAAGCUGGGAAUGUAAUAGACUUCAGAGAGAGCACGUUGAUCACCAUUCUGGCAGCGAAACACAACGGCGCCCCUGCCCUUGAUAGCCACCAGAGAGCCGUCUCCGAAUUUCACUGUGCCGUGUAAACCUUCAUCAAGUGUAGAAAACAUGUUCCUCUCCCCAGUCAUAUGGCUGGACGCCCCUGUAUCAUAGUACCAAAGGCCAUCGGGUGAAGGCAUGGGAAUUACUUUCUCCUCAUUCAAGAACACAGCUUGGGGCGUCACUAGCUCAGGUGUAGAGACGUUGGUGACCACGGCCAUGAGCAGGCCCUGAUCGUGUUCGUCGCGAUCUUCGCGGACGAGGUUAGCCUGUUCCUUCUUCCCUUGUUCUUUUUGCUUCUCCAGCCAUGACCAACAGUCCUUUUCCAGUGUCCGACCUUGCCGCAAUAAUGGCAUUUGCCCUUCUUCUUGCCGCCGCCAGCGCCGCUGUUGCCGGACGCUGGCUUCCCGCCACCGCCGCCGCCCUUGGCUGACGACUUGCCUGGUAACUUGCCCUUUCCGCCGCUGCCGACCGACGAUGAUCCGCCACCGUACUUGUGCUCGCGAGCGGCCCACUCUUCGGCGGUGUACAUGAGCUGGCCGGUGGACUGCUUGGCGUCGUCGAGGUCAUAGUAAUCCUCGCAUGCAGAGAAACGUCCGACGAGAUCCUCAAUGGACAUGGUUUUCAGAUCGAUCAGGGAUUCGAUCGCCAUGGCCAUCGAGCGGUACUUCCGCGGCACCACUCGGAGAAACUUUUGAACGGCCUUGUGCUCGGUGACGGGGUCACCGUAUAGCUCCAGAUCGGCGACGAGGGCAGCGAGACGCAGCCCGAAGUCCUCGACGGACUCCCCGUCUUCGAAGCGGAGAUCCUCGAACUCCCGCCGGCGCACUUGCGCCUUGGCCUCGCGGGCGCGCUCGCUGCUCAUCCGCAUGGUCUUGAUUGUCUCCCACACCAUCUUCGCCGUGUCCUUCGCGGCCAGCACGCGCAGCAUCUCCGGCGGGACGCCGGUGAGGAUGAUCUGCAGCGCGCGCCGGUCGUCGUCCUCGUCGGCGGCGUCGUCGGUCACCGCAGUCCAGACGCGGGCGACCUGCAACUUAACUUGCAUCACCAGCACCCACUCCUGGUAGUUCGUGCGCGUGAGCAUCAUGGACGACCCUGACUCCUCUCGCACGAUGCACUCCACAACGCGGUACUCGCCGCUGCCGCUGCCAGAGAGGCACGCGAGUGGUGCCUUGGAUGUGGGCGUCUUCGACGGCGACCUCGUGCCGCCCUUGUUCUUCCCAUCCGACUCGUCCCCGGACAUGACCACGACGGAUCAAACACCGCCGCUGUGCCAAGGAUCAAACACCUGGGCUCUGAUGCCAAUUGUCGUUGCCGAUUAGCCGAUCGAACGAAGAACGCUGAGCUCAAGAACGCACACAACACACGCGAGAGAGGAAAGCCUUUUUGCCGCAGCUAACGACGCCACAUUUUCUGUUUCAUUCCUUUUCCCUUAUCUAUUUACAACUGACUCGUCUACCCUCCCGGUCUGGCCGCUAUGAUCCGCGUUGAUCGCGCCAUCCCACGAUCGCGUCCACAGCGAGAGCCAAAAACGACCAGGAGGGAGAAAACAGAAACAAAAGAACGGGAGGGCUCGCUACGUGCGCCUCCCCUAGCUACGUGCAUGCUCGGGUCACAUCCGACCCAGCAGGCUUGUUUAUUUUAAACGGAAAAACAAACUAACCUAUCCGACGUGAGCUUACAGCAGGGCUAACAGCGCAGGGCUGCCAACAUGGGGCUAGCAGCAACAGCCUCUGCGUGCCACACUCGCAGCAGAGCUCCGCCUUCAGCACCGCUCGGCCUCCCUUCUCCUGCCCUCAACCGCACCACCUGCUCGUCCGCUGUGACCCUACAGCCGCUGCUCCUAUGUGCUGCACCUGCGCUGCUGCUCCCAGCCGCCGUCGCUGGCGCCCCCUUGAACACCUCUCAAUGGCGAAGACGAAAUCUGGUGAGGAGGGGGAGGAGGAUCACGCCACUUGAGGUCUUGCGAUGGCAAACCGGAUUUACAUCGCACGCUCGAGGAUGAGGGGAUCUGAUUGGGAUUUGUUUCCUCUUUUCGUGCGUGAUUGUUGGGAUCGCGGCCGCAGGUCGUACCGGGACAGCAGAGUUUUCGUCCGCACGAUAAAAUCGCUAAACGCACUUUUGGCUGACAGUUAGGGUAAUCUGGACGGUUAGAUGAAAUUAAGUGAGUCCGAUCGUGGGGCUAUAAUUAAUUAGGAAUGUUAUGUGUAGAUUUGGUUGAGUGCGUUUAGCGAUGUAUACGUUUGUUUAUUUAAUAGUAGUAGAGAUCGGAUGGUAUGCUUCUAUUUUUGGUGUAUUGGGCAUAGGGAACGGUUUGAGGAGAUGACCAAAUCAAAUGGGGUGGGUAGAGAGGCUGGAUUUAAUAGGGUAGACUUCUUCUGAUUAAUUAGCCGGUCUCGAUGAAAAUGCUAACACGAAUUUGUUUAGUGUGUUCUUCGUCCUCUUACUGGUUGAUGAUGUUAGCAUGACUGCAUCGGUUGCCCUUCUCUCCCUUUUUCUCUAGCCCGCUUAGUUUUCAAGAUUUACACAUCCACGUGUUAAUUUGAAAAAACUAUCUUUGCACUAGCUUCUAUCUUUGGUAAAAAUUAAAAUAAAGCUCCUCUCUAGCUGAUCUCAGUCGUCAUCCGCCCACAUCCAACGAGGAAGAGAGCGAGAUGGUUUGGGCCUCUUUUCAAUUUCAUUUGAAGGAACUCACCAUCUGGCAGCGGACCCAAAAAUUUCAGUCUUCCACGGACAUCCCGAGGAUUUAGGAGAACGAUAUUUGGAACGAGUAUGAUGAAGAAAUAACAUGGGAUCCUAUAAAAUUAUGAUUUACAAUGAACAUUUACAUUUAAAUUAUAAUAAGCCCGGCGAUGUGUCAUUUUCUAAUCAUAAGAAAAUCAAUUUCACAAAUGUGAGUGUGAUUUCUACCAUGGAGGAUAGUUAUGCACGCGGCCGUACGUAGCUAUUUCACUUUCUAAGUGUCCGAUUUUGCUUUGUAUCGUUGUCUACUCACUUCACUACCCCUAACCGGCACUUAGCUUUCAGGACUAAGUAUCCCGUGUCUCUUCAUCCCACUGUCCACUUCAUAUCAUUGUUGCAAAAGGUCCACUUGCUUGGUUUAGUGUCUGAAUUGCUAUGCAUCGUAAUCUAAUUCACCUAGUUGUCUCUAACAUUUCAUUUGCCCUGUUACGUGACCAGUGUUCCUUUGUGCCCCUAUUGCUUCUCUCCUCCAAACACUAGGAUACCAUUAUCAUGAAUAGACUGCAUCUAGAUGACUCAAAAAACAUGAACAGAGGGGUUUAGGGAUUCUUUACUUGUCACGAAGGUCGACAUGAUCACCUGCUCGGUGCAGGCGAGGUGGAUGCAGGGCCGGGCCUACAGUGGUGCAAGAAGUGCGGCCCGCACAGGGCCCAGAAAUCUGGGGGGCCCAAAUUUUUACAUAUACAUAGUAUUAAAAAAAAUUAUGCGUUUUGGGCUGCUGGGCGCUGGAGUGGGCUGGACUGCUGGAGUCGAAGCGAGGAGGGCAUCGGAGAGUAUCGAGCGAGCGACCGGCGCUGAACCGGAAUCGGGGAUCGAUCUCCUCCUCGUCCAGUCCUCCUACUCAUCGAUGUCUCGAUCGCUAGUCGCUACAUCCUACAGGAAAGGUCCUUUGAUGAUCCAAGGUGUUCACUUCGCCCUGUGUUGGAGUCUGACUCCUCGUCCCUGGAUCCGAUUGAUCCAAGGUGUGAUGGAGUCUGAUCCCUCGGUCAAAGGUAUUCUGUCCUAGAGACUGGAGUCUGAUCCCUCGCCCCUCGGUCCCUGGAUCGAUCGGAUCACAGCACGACCGGCCGCUGCCGCCAUUGACUUCCUCCGCUCCUCCGUGCUCUCUCAAAUUUGGAUUGAUCGGUGACCCACUCUAGCCUCCAGGUGUUUAGCGAGUCCUUUUCGAUUAACUUCGGUUUCUACUCAUGAUUCCUAUUUUUCUAAUUAAUUAACUAAUAACUAUUGGCAGGGAUCUUCACUUCGUUAGAGAUUGCUUCUUACUUCUCGGUUAAAGAUCACAGGACCCAGAAUUAGGUGAGUUAGACGGUUCGUCUAAAUGGAAAACAUUGAUGCAUGAUAUCCAAUUGAUAUAUGCUACUGUGUAACUUUUAUUUUAUUUUAUUCAUCUUCUUUAUCUUCUUAUAUAAGACAUUAUAUUAUAUNNNNNNNNNNNNNNNNNNNNNNNNNNNNNNNNNNNNNNNNNNNNNNNNNNNNNNNNNNNNNNNNNNNNNNNNNNNNNNNNNNNNNNNNNNNNNNNNNNNNNNNNNNNNNNNNNNNNNNNNNNNNNNNNNNNNNNNNNNNNNNNNNNNNNNNNNNNNNNNNNNNNNNNNNNNNNNNNNNNNNNNNNNNNNNNNNNNNNNNNNNNNNNNNNNNNNNNNNNNNNNNNNNNNNNNNNNNNNNNNNNNNNNNNNNNNNNNNNNNNUUGCUUGUUAAUUCAUUUUUUUGUAACAUAGGGCCCCAUAUUUUUAGUUUCGCACAGGGCCCCAGAUUUUGCCGGCCCGGCCCUGGGUGGAUGGAUGAUCUAUUCUAGUGGUAGCUAGUAGCCGAUCUCCUGGACGUUCCAAUCCCCUCAGUCCUCCACUGGCACUGUCCUGUGACGACAACAAGUAGGCUAGGUCUUCCUGUUGCUGCCACGCACCAUUUGAUUGGAUAGGGUUUUGGAAUAUGGGGAGGAGAGUGAACCUGGCGUGAAUGAAUGAAUCGCGUAGGAGGAGGCUCUCUCCCAUAUCCCUUUAUAUAGCGUUGUGUGCAACAAGGGGACCUAAACCAUAAGUUCGUUUGGGUGCCCCCGAUCAGGGUGGAUUAGUUGUGGUAUAGUUAGUUGGUUUGGUAUGUUCAUGCGUGUGCGUGUAGUUCGAUUCGACCAGAUGAACAUGAGAUAGUGAUUCGUUUUUAUUUUAGCAAAACUCAUUUUGUUUUGAUUGAUGAUUGAUUGAUUGCUCGUGAGGAGACACGCGCGUGACUACCUAGGCAUCUUGCCUCUGACGCGGCGCUACUCUGUGCUUGCUCGAUCGAGCGGCUAUGGCAGGGCCUCUAGGAUCGAGGAGGAGGAGGAGCAGGAGCGUGGCCACCGUCUAGGGCAUCGGCGUGAACACCUUGCAUGCAUGUCGAUCCGUCGUCAUCGCCGUGGCCGUCGCCGUCGCAGGCAGUUUACACCGAGCCCCUGUCCCCGCUGCACAGGCUCAGCUGUACCUGGUCCUAGCUCGGCUGUAAUGGCGCGCACGCGUAGCUAGGCGGUGCCGUGGUUGCCGGCUGCUCCUCGGUCUCUGGCGUAUGAGGACGUUGGAUGGAAUGUCGAUCGCCCUGGAGCGCCCACGUCGGCCGGCUGUUGUGUGCGACCUUACCAAAGAGACCUGCUUCUUGAGCGACGAGCAUCGUCGGAACAAUAUGUGUGCACGCACAAGACAAGAGACAAGAGAGCAGUACUGGAGCUCGUCCAUGGCUGAAAAUAUUUUCUUUUUUACAGAAGCAUCCGUCAUUAGAGCAUCGAGAACCAGAGUGGGCAAAUCGCCCCCUUACACGUCCAUAGACGACGCAUCCACGGAUAGUAGUCGAUCACCCCUCAGAAAUCCGCAUCCACAACUGUGUCCCCCAAAGCAAAUCCUUAAAUCCAUACCAAGAUGCCAUGCAACGUUAAACUUGCACAGGUAGUUGAAUAGACACAUUUCAUCGGAUUACCAAAAGUUGACAUGUUCUACUAAUUAACUAUGCAAGAUAUGACAAUGGAGGAAGUUCAUCCAUGGCCGCCCUUGCCCUUGCCCUUGCCAUCUUUGCUAUGGGAGUUGCGGCCGAAGACGCAAAACGGAUCGGGGCGAAACUUGUCACUGGCGGAGCUGUCCGAUUCGUCGGGUUCCUCCUUCUCCUCUUUUUUUUUUAUUUGGGGGAGGGGGUCCGGCUUUGCUCCCUUGCAAGGGCGUGCACCGUCCUCCUUUACCGCUUCCUGAGGAUGCGACACGAAGGCUUUCUUGUUCCUGUCCAAGCUGGCAUAUGACUCCGCCUCCGCAGCUUGCCAUGCCCUCACCCUCGCACGCCAGUUGGGCCAUGAGGUGUGCCAAUGGGCUUUAGCCGAAGGACGAGGCACCACGGUAGGGAUUGCGGCGUUAGCCGAUGGGCGGUGCACUUGGCUCUGCCGCGGUCAUGUGCCUUGAGCCGCUGGAUACGAACGCCAUUUGCGCGGACGCAAUGGAUUCACGGUGGAGCGGCUUCGAGUGCAGAGUUGCAAGAUUUCCUCCCUGGCCCGACGGAGAGCUAGGUAGCUGGGGGGUCAACUCCUGCUCGUCCCCCUUUGGGAUGAGGUCCUAGUUGACGGAUCUGGAGAUCUCAGAGUUGGAUGCGCGGGUGGCGCGCCACGCCGGAGAAAAGCUUGGGGCUGGAGUGGAGAGUCUAGGGUUUGUUUCGGUAUAUAGGCAUAUAUGUGGGGUUGACGGGCAAUAGCCGAUUUGGCGGACGUGUCCGGACGCCCAACAUAUGGUCUGAUUAUAUAUAGGUUGACUGAUCCAUGCAAUCGUCAUUUUAAAUUAUUAUUUUUUGCGGCGGGGAAUUGAAGGGCCGCAUGCCGACGUGACGUGGAUCGGUUAGUAAUCCGAUUCAAUCGAAUCGAAGUAGUUAAUCCAGGGAAGAGAAGGGAGGGUAGAUCGAUGCGUGCGUGCAUGCAUGCAUGAAGUUAAAGUAGGAGCAAAAUCAAUGGUGGGAUGCAGCAGUGAACGAAGGGAGGGCGAUAUAUAUUGCAUCAUUUGACGGUUAAAUAUGUAUGCAAAAUAGGAACAUAUAUAUUACAUCAUUGGACCCAUGCAUAAUAAUGGCUAAGUGUGUAUACAAAAUAGGAACAUAUAUAUUACAUCAUUUGACCGAUAACAUACGGUUCCUCAGCGGUGUCGUUUUCGUUUUUGAGUCAGCUUCUUUCCCUUCUUGUUCGUCGAAGAAUAAUUGAGCCCCUCAUUGUGACUUUGCCUUUUCCAUGGAGUACGAUUUUUCUUAGGUAAUGUAGUAUUGAUUCUUAUUUUGACGUAUACUUCAUCAUCAUCGUCAUCUUCCCUCAUUGGGUUGCCGUACUGAUCAUAGUCUUCCUCGUUGGCGACUCCAUUCAUUCCUAUGAUGUUCCUUUUGCCUCUCCUCACGACAACACGGCUGGGAUUGCGCGGGUCGGUUAUGAAGAAGCAUUGUGUCACGUGCUUAGCGUGUACCCAUGGCUCGUUUUUUGCGAUAGCGUUCUCGGUAGCGCUCUUGGCGUCGGGUAUAGUCAUGGUAGUGAAAAUCCGGCUUUCUCUUUCGACAUUAUUAGCCCAUCUGACACGGAACAUCAUCGUGUUGUGCAGUCCAGAGUAGUCAAGCUCCCAGAUCUCCUUGACCCUUCCAUAAAAUCGUUCAGUUGCGCCAUUGUCGCUGCCGGUCAUGCAUUCCAUCGUCACCCCUGAGUUCUGAUCAUCACUGUCCAUAUCUUUGGCCUCCGUGUAGAACGUGUAUCCGUUGAUAUCAUAUGCCGGAUAAGUUACGAGGUUGGGCGAGGGGCCAUGUGCUAAGGCGUAUAUGAGCAAUCCGUCCUUAGAGCCCUCCUCCGGGGGAUUAGCAAUAAUAUGCUCUUUGAACCAAUGCAGGAAAGUGGAGUUGUGCUCUCUAGUAACUUCGGGUUCAUCCUGCAUACCCCCCGGUCACAAUACUUCUUUGCGAUAAUUUCUUUGUGCAGUGCCACGAAAGGAUCUACCUCGUCUAGGUGUUGUAGCACUACCAAGUUUGCUCUGUCAAAGUCGUUGCGCCGAUCUGAGUAUGCCACGUGCAGUUCCCUGCGACCGUUGCACUGACCAUCUCCUUCGAUCCUCCCAUCGUGCUUGUUAACGGGCAAACCAACACUAACACCAGGCUGCUGGUCUGCGCCAUAUAGAAAAUUCUCACAGAAAGAGAUGCACUCUUGUGUCAAAUAGCCCUGGACGAUGCUUCCAUCCGGACAGGACAUGUUAUGAACGAAUCCUUUGAUGAUCCCAUUCAUCCUCUCAAACGGCAUCAUGUUGAGGAAUGACGGCCCCAGGUCUAUUAUGUCAUCCAUAAUAUGGACACACAGAUGCAGCAUCACGUCAAAGAACGCGGGCGGGAAGUACAUCUCAAGCUCAUUCAGUAUCACAACGAUCUCUUCCUGUAGCCUUCGGAGCUGCUUCACACUGAUCGACUUUCGAGAGAUGACGUCGAAAAAGUUGCAGAGACCAAUAAGCGUGUCACGGACGGGCUUGUCCAUUAUCCCUCUAAGGGCAACAGGUAGUAUCUGCGUCAUCAUCACCUGACAGUCAUGAGACUUCAUCCCGCUGAACCUUUUCAUGUCUGUGUCUAGAUAUCUGCUUAUCUUGCCAAAGUAAUCGGAACUAACUUUGACUCCGGUAAGGCACUUAAAGAAGGCAUUGAUCUCAGCCUGACUUAAGGUGAAGCAAGAAGGGGGGCAAUAAUCCUCUUUCUUUAUUUUCUUGCCCUUCUUCUCCCGUGCCUCUGUCUCCGUCUCUUUCCCGUCUGACAUUUUACAGGGCGGCAUGUGCAGAUCUUCCCUGAUUUUCAAAUCUUGCAAGUCUUUUCUUGCCUUCAGCCCAUCCUUGGUCUUAUCCGGCAUGUUCAUCAGUGUUGCGAGCAAGCUCUCAAGGACAUUCUUACAGAUAUGCAUUUGAUCAAGGCAAUGAGGUGUAUCGAGUUUGUGCCAGUACUCCAAGUCCCAGAACACAGACCUCGUCUUUCAUACCUUCAGCAGCGGCUCCGGCGCCUUUCUCAUCGUCUUUCCCAGCGCGGGGCACUCCUUCCAGUUUUUCAACAGCUCAUUGAUUUCGGCACCGCUCCGCUUACGUGGAGGUCCUCGAUGCUCAACGUGACCAUUGAAUAGAUCUCCACGGUUUCUCCAUGGGUCGUCCUUUCAAGCCAUCUUCGAUGCCCCAUGUACACGAUUUUCCUAGACCCGCCAUCUUUCCUUGACUUUAGCUGCUGAGACGUCGCAUCAUCCAUGCACAGCGUGCAUCCGCAAUAUCCAUGGCACACCUGGCCUUCCACAUAUCCGUAACCGAGAUAGUCCUGCACUGUCGUGAUCAGCGCGGCUCUCAUGUUGAAAUACUUGCCUUUGCUGGCGUCCCAUGUCUUGGCCGGUGUUUUCCAUAACGUGUCUAACUCCUCUUGAAGUAGCCCCAGAUACAAAUUAAUAUUAUUUCCUGGUUGUUUCGGCCCUUGAAUAAGCAUGCUCAUGUGAAUGUACUUCGAUUUCAUGCACAACCAGGGGGGAGGUUGUACAUCCAUACAAACACGGGCCAUGUGCUUUGGUUGGUGUUCUGGUUGCCAAACGGAUUCAUGCCAUCGGUACACGCGCCAAGCAUGAUGUUCCUUGCAUCACAUUCAAAAUAUCAAUAGAAGCUGUUCAAUGCUCUCCAUUGGCUUCCAUCCUUCACGUGUCUCAGCUUCGGAUCAUCUCCAUCGUCGGGCUUCUUCCUCUCCGCGUGCCAGCGCAUUAGCUUUGCUUCCUUGGGAUCUACAAAAUACCUCUGGAGACGGGGAGUGAUCGGUAAGUACCAUACAACUUUCUGGGGACAUUUCUUCCCGGCCUUCUUGUAUCGAGAAGCAUUGCACACCAGACAGCUUGUUUUUUCCGCGUGCUCCUUCCGAUAAAUUAUGCAAUCGUUGAUGCAUGCAUGGUAUCUAACGUGUGGUAGAUCAAGAGGGCACACGAUCUUCUUGGCGUCAUCAACACUAGUAGGACAUAUAUUACCCGCGGGAAGAACAUCCUUUAGGUACUUGAAAUGGUCAUCGAGGAUAGUGUCGGUCCAUUUGUUUUUAGCCUUCGUCUUCAGGAGUUAGAGUGUGAAACUCAAGUGGGUCACCUCAGGAUUGCAACCAUCAUACAAUGGAGUGUUCGAGUCUACCACCAGUUGCUCCAGCUUAGCCUCCUCUCUAGAAGCAGCUCUCUAAGUACUCGUCUCCUUGCGAAGCAAUGCUUGAACAUGAGGGUCCCGCAUGAUUGAACUUAGUAUCGACGAUCUCUGCUGCGUGGAGUCCAUGUCGUUCUCUCCGCCGCCAUGUUCGGCCCCUUCUCCUCCGCCAUGUCCGGCCCCUCCUCCGCCGCCAUGUCCGGCCUCUUCCCCGCCGCCGUUAUCGAUCAUCUCUUCGUCUUGCCCCGUGUCAUCAUUGCUUGCCCCGUCGGCAUCCUCAACAUCAUCAUCCUCAUCUUCCGUUAUCCACCGAGUAUAGCCAUACAUGAAACCAUUCAUGAGAAGGUCCGCUUCGACACGACCAUAGUCAUAGGGGUCGAGCCAAACUAUUCCUUUGCAUUUUCGACAUGGACAUAAAACCUCUGUCAGGUUAUUUUCUUUCAUGUCCUGCACCGCCGACCGCAACCACCUGUCCACCAUCGUUCCACUGACCAUCAUGAACGUCUGCAUGGUAAUAAUAAAACAAAUUGAUUAUAAAAAUGCGUGCAUGCAUCAAAGUCAUACAAAAAUUCGGCAUGACCUUCCCUAAAAAUAGGACAUAUAUGGAUCUAGAGUUUGCCCGGAAUUCGCCGAAACGGAAAUAAAUCGACAUUUUGGCAAAACAUAGGCAACUCAAAAGCACAAUUUGGUGUCAACUCAUGCCACACACACAAUUUCCAACAACAUAUCACACACACAUAAAGAUAUUUCCAUUUUGCAAAAGCAUGAAAUUUUCAUCACCUCUAUCUCGAGAUCGAGCACACGGUGAUGAGAUGAUGAUGUAGGGAGAUCAAAAGUGCCCAAAGCUCUUCUUGACAAAGAUAGAUCUAGUUAGGAGGCAAAUAGGUCACUUAACUAAAUGCUACAUCUACCUAGCUACCUAAUUUGGGAGGAGACAACUUCAACUAGUGGAGGAGGAAGGAAAAAGAGAAAGAAGAUGCAUUAAUGGAGAUGGUGUAGUUAGGUAGGAGUAAUGAAGAGAGAGAAAGGUAGGUAGAAGAGGGAGAGUAAUGGGGGAGAAGUGUUGAGGAAGAAGAAGAGGGAGAGUGGGAGGAUGUGGGAGGUAGGGGAAAGGGAAGAGAGGAGGGUGAGGGGAGGGGACGGGUGGGGAAAAGGUGGUGGGUUGGUGCGGAUUAGCAGUAGCGUAGGACGUAAAACGCUCUGCUGAUAAGAAAGUAGCAGCAGCGUGCUUUCGGCAGAAGCGCUACUGCUAACCGGGACAAAAAGUGUGUCCGAUUUGAAUAUUAGCAGCAGCGACCUCAGAAAAAGCACGCUACUACUACAUCCAUAGCAGUAGCGCGGCUAGCGGAACUGCGCUGCUACUAAAUGGAGUUUCGAGGUGUCGGUGACAAAACCGGCGGAUCUUGGGUAGGGGGUCCCGAACUGUGCAUCUAGGCGGAUGGUAACAGGAGACAAGGGAAACGAUGUUUUUACCCAAGUUCGGGCCCUCUCGAUGGAGGUAAAACCCUACUCCUGCUUGAUUAAUAUUGAUGAUAUGGGUAGUACAAGAGUAGAUCUACCACGAGAUCAGAGAGGCUAAACCCUAGAAGCUAGCCUAUGGUAUGAUUGUUGUUCGUCCUACAGACUAAAACCCUCUGGUUUAUAUAGACACCGGAGAGGGCUAGGGUUACACAGAGUCGGUUACAAUGGGAGGAGAUCUACAUAUGUAUCGCCAAGCUUGCCUUCCACGCCAAGGAAAGUCCCAUCCGGACACGGGACGAAGUCUUCAAUCUUGUAUCUUCAUAGUCCAAGAGUCCGGCCAAAGGCUAUAGUCCGGCCAUCCGGACACCCCCUAAUCCAGGACUCCCUCAGGGGGCACUGUCGGUCGAUAUUUGUAGCAGCGUGGGUAACACCAAGCGCGCUACUGCUAAACACUUGUCAGUCGUGGGUUUUACACACCUGCGCUACUGCUAAUUAGCAGCAGCGCUCCUUUUUGAGCCGCGCUGCUGCUAAGAUUCUGUGUAUAGGCUUUUCCCUAGUAGUGGGCAGUGCCACAAAUAAAUUGCACUAUCAUUAUCAACUCUGCAUCUUUUGGCUUCAAUAUUAUGAAUAUGUGUAUCACUACUAUCGAGAUUCAAUAAAAAUAGACCACUCUUCAAGGGUGCAUGACCAUAAAAGAUAUUACUCAUAUGAAUAGAACAACCAUUAUUCUCAGAUUUAAAUGAAUAACCGUCUCGCGUCAAACAAGAUCAAGAUAUAAUGUUCAUGCUCAACGCUGACACCAAAUAACAAUUAUUCAGGUCUAAAACUAAUCCCAAAGCUAGAUGUAGAGGUAGCGUGCCGACCGUGAUCACAUCGACUUUGGAACCAUUUCCCACGCGCAUCGUCACUUCGUCCUUAGCCAAUCUUCGCUUAAUCCGUAGUCCAUGUUUCGAGUUGCAAAUAUUAGCAACAGAACCAGUAUCAAAUACCCAGGCACUACUGUGAGCAUUAGUAAGGUACACAUCAAUAACAUGUAUAUCACAUAUACCUUUGUUCACCUUGCCAUCCUUCUUAUCCGCCAAAUACUUGGGGCAGUUUUGCUUCCAGUGACCAGUCCCUUUGCAGUAGAACCACUCAGUCUCAGGCUUAGGUACAGACUUGGGCUUCUUCACUUGAGUAGCAACUUGCUUGCCGUUCUUCUUGAAGUUCCCCUUCUUCCACUUACCCUUUUUCUUAAAACUGGUGGUCUUGUUGACCAUCAACACUUGAUGCUCCUUCUUGAUUUCUACCUCCACAGCCUUUAGCAUCGCGAAGAGCUCAGGAAUUGUCUUAUUCAUCCCUUGCAUAUUAUAGUUCAUCAAGAAGCUCUUGUAGCUUGGUGGUAGUGAUUAAAGAAUUCUGUCAAUGACAUUAUCAUCAGGUGGUUAUUAUACCCAGACAUUUUGAGUAUAUGUUCACUGACAGAACUAUUAUCCUCCAUCUUGCAGCUGUAGAACUUAUUAGAGACUUCAUAUCUCUCAAUCCGGCCAUUUGCUUGAAAUAUUAACUUCAACUCCUGGAACAUCUCAUAUGCUCCAUGACGUUCAAAACAUCGUUGAAGUCCCGGUUCUAAGCCGUAAAGCAUGGCACACUGAACUAUCGAGUAGUCAUUAGCUUUUCUCUGCCAAACGUUCACAACGUCUGGCGUCGCUCCUACAACGGGUCUUGCACCUAGCGGUGCUUCCAGGACGUAAUUCUUCUAUGUAGCAAUGAGGAUAAUCCUCAAGUUACGGACCCAUUCCGUGUAAUUGCUACCAUCAUCUUUCAACUUAGCUUUCUCAAUGAACGCAUUAAAAUUCGACGGAACAACAGCACGGGCCAUCUAUCUACAACAACAUAGACAUGCAAAAUACUAUCAGGUACUAAGUUCAUGAUAAAUUAAAGUUCAGUUAAUCAAAUUACUUAAGAACUCCCACUUAGAUAAACAUCCCUCUAAUCAUCUAAGUGAUCACGUGAUCCAGAUCAACUAAACCAUGUCCGAUCAUCACGUGAGAUGGAGUAGUUUUCAAUGGUGAACAUCACUAUGUUGAUCAUAUCUACUAUAUGAUUCAUGCUCGACCUUUCGGUCUCAGUGUUCCGAGGCCAUAUCUGCAUAUGCUAGGCUCGUCAAGUUUAACUCGAGUAUUCUGCGUGUGCAAAAUAGGCUUGCACCCAUUGUAUGUGAAUGUAGAGCUUAUCACGCCCGAUCAUCACAUGGUGUCUCGGCACGACUAACUUUCGUAAUGGUGCAUACUCAGGGAGAACACUUAUACCUUGAAAUUCAGUGAGAGAUCAUCUUAUAAUUCUACCGUCGAUCUAAGCAAAAUAAGAUGCAUAAAAGAUAAACAUCACAUGCAAUCAAUAUAAGUGAUAUGAUAUGGCCAUCAUCAUCUUGUGCCUUUGAUCUCCAUCUCCAAAGCACCGUCCCGAUCACCAUUGUCACCGGCGCGACACCUUGAUCUCCAUCGUAGCAUCGUUGUCGUCUCGCCAACUAUUGCUUCUAUGACUAUCGCUACCGCUUAGUGAUAAAGUAAAGCAAUCACAUGGCGAUUGCAUUUCUUACAAUAAAGCGACAACCAUAUGGCUCCUGCCAGUUGUCGAUAACUCCGUUACAAAACAUGAUCAUCUCAUACAAUAAAAUUUAGCAUUAUGUCUUGACCAUAUCACAUCACAACAUGCCCUGCAAAAACAAGUUAGACAUCCUCUACUUUGUUGUUGCAAGUUUUACGUGGCUGUUACGGGCUAAGCAAGAACUGUUCUUACCUAUGCAUCAAAACCAAAACGAUAUUGCAUCAAGUAUGUGUUGUUUUAACCUUCACAAGGACCGAGCGCAGCCACAGUCGAUUCAACUAAAGUUGGAGAAACAGACACCCUCCAACCACCUUUGUGCGAAGCACGUCGGUAGAACCAGUCUCGCGUAAGUGUACACAUAAUGUCGGUCCGGGCCGCUUCAUCCAACAAUACCGCCGAAUCAAAGUAUGACAUGCUAGUAAGCAGUAUGACUAGUAUCGCCCACAACUCACUUGUGUUCUCGUGCAUAUAACAUCUACGCACAAACCUGGCUCGGAUGCCACUGUUGGGGAACAUAGUAAUUUCAAAAAAAAAUCCUACGCACACGCAUGAUCAUGGUAAUGCAUAGCAACGAGAGGAGAGAGUGUCGUCCAUGUACCCUCGUAGACCGUAAGUGGAAGCAUUAUGACAACGCGGUUGAUGUAGUCGUACGUCUUCAUGAUCAACCAAUCCUACUACCGAAUGUACGACACCUCCGCGAUCUGCACACGUUCAGCUCGGUGACGUCCCAUGAACUCACGAUCCAGUAGAGCUUUGAGGGAGUGUUCCGUCAGCACGACGGCGUGAUGACGGUGUUGAUGAAGCUACCGACACAGGGCUUCGCCUAAGCACCGCAACGAUAUGACCGAGGUGGAUUAUGGUGGAGGGGGCACCGCACACGGCUAAAGAUCAAUGAUCUCCUUGUGUGUCUUGGCAUGCCCCCUGCCCCCGUAUAUAAAGGAGCAAGGGGGGAGGCGGCCGGCCUAGGAGGAGGGCGCGCCAAGGGAGGAGUCCUACUCCCACCGGGAGUAGGACUCCCAUUUCCUAGUAGGAGUAGGAGAAGGGGGAAGGAAAGGAGGGGAGGGGAAGGAAGGAGGGGGCGCCGCCCCUCCCUCUAGUCCAAUUCAGACUAGGAUUGGGGGGCGUGCGGCCCAGCCAUAGACAGUCCCUCUCUCUCUCUCCCAUAAAGCCCAUUAAGGCCCAUAUACUCCCAGGGGGGUUCUGAUAACCUCCCGGUACUCCAGUAUUUAUCCGGUGACCCCCGGAACCCUUCCGAUGCCCGAAUAUAACCUUCCAAUAUAUCAAUCUUUAUGUCUCGACCAUUUCGAGACUCCUCGUCGUGUCCUUGAUCUCAUCUGGGACUCCAAACAACCUUCGAUACAUCAAAACACAUAUACUCAUAAUACCGAUCAUCACCGAGACAUGUCUCCGGUCAAUAACCAAUAGCGGAACCUAGAUGCUCAUAUUGGCUCCUCUAUAUUCUACGAAGAUCUUUAUCGGUCAAACUGCAUGACAACAUACAUUGUUCCCUUUGUCAUCGGUAUGUUACUUGCCCGAGAUUCGAUCGUCGGUAUCUCAAUACCUAGUUCAAUCUCAUUACUAGCAAGUCUCUUUACUCGUUCUGUAAUGCAUCAUCCCGCAACUAACUCAUUAGUCACAUUGCUUGCAAGGCUUAUAGUGAUGUGCAUUACUGAGAGGGCCCAGAGAUACCUCUCCGUCAAUCGGAGUGACAAAUCCUAAUCUCGAUCUAUGCCAACUCAACAAGUACCAUCGGAGACACCUGUAGAGCACCUUUAUAAUCACCCAGUUACGUUGUGACGUUUGGUAGCACACAAAGUGUUCCUCCGGUAUUCGGGAGUUGCAUAAUCUCAUAGUCAUAGGAACAUGUAUAAGUCAUGAAGAAAGCAAUAGCAACAAACUAAACGAUCAAGUGCUAAGCUAACGGAAUGGUUCAAGUCAAUCACAUCAUUGUCUAAUGAUGUGAUCCCGUUAAUCAAAUGACAACUCAUGUCUAUGGCUAGGAAACUUAACCAUCUUUGAUUGAACGAGCUAGUUAAGUAGAGGCAUAGUAGUGACACUUUGUUUGUCUAUGUAUCCACACAUGUACUAAGUUUCCGUAUAAUAAAAUUCUAUCAUGAAUAAUAAACAUGUAUCAUGGUAUAAGGAAAAAUAAACAAUAACUUUAUUAUUGCCUCUAGGUCAUAUUUCCUUCAUUAAUUUCACAAGAUUCAGCAUUGGUAGUAGGAGCAAUCGGAGUGCUAAUAAAAUCAUUGUUGUUGGUGUUGGAAAAUUCACACAAUUUAGUAUUAUCUUGAGCCAUCGUGACAAGCAAUCAAUCCAACACACAAGCACACAAGAAGCAAGCAAAAAGAGACGAACGGAAGAGGGCGAAGAAAAGGCAAAGGUUUUUGAAAAUCGUUUUAGAAGUGGGGGAGAGGAAAACGAGAGGCGAAUGGCGAAUAAUGUAAUGCAAGGGAGAAGAGUUUAUGAUGGGUACUUGGUAUGGCUUGAGUUGGCGUAGAUCUCCCCAGCAACGGCACCAGAAAUCCUUCUUGCUACCUCUUGAGCUUGUGUUGGUUUUCCCUUGAAGUGGAAAGGGUGAUGCAGCAAAGUAGCGUAAGUAUUUCCCUCAGUUUUGAGAACCAAGGUAUCAAUCCAGUAGGAGACGACGCACAAGUCACCGAAUACCUGCACAAACAAUCAAGAACUUGCAACCAACGCGAUAAAGGGGUUGCCAAUCCCUUCACAGUCACUCGCAAAAGUGAGAUUUGAUAGAGAUAGAUAAACGGUAAAGUAAAUAUUUUUGGUAUUUUUGGUUUAUAGAUUGGAAAGUAAAGAUUGCAAAAUAGUAGAUCGGAAACUAGCAAGAUGUAAACAAGAUUCAGUAAUACGGAAAAGAGACCCGGGGGCCAUAGGUUUCACUAGUGGCUUCUCUCGAGAUAGCAUAUAUUAUGGUGGUUGAACAAAUUACUGCCAAGCAAUUGAUAGAAAAGCGCAAAACUAUGAUGACAUCUAAGGCAAUAAUCAUGAACAUAGGCAUCACGUCCGUGUCAAGUAGAGCGACUCCUGCCUGCAUCUACUACUAUUACUCCACACAUCGACCGCUAUCCAGCAUGCAUCUAGAGUAUUAAGUUCAUAAAAACAGAGUAACGCAUUAAGCAAGAUGACAUGAUGUAGAGGAAUUAACUCAAGCAAUAUGAUGAAAACCCCAUCUUGUUAUCCUCGAUGGAAACAAUACUAUACGUGCCUUGCUGCCCCUACUGUCACUAGAAAAGGACACCGCAAGAUUGAACCCAAAGCUAAGCGCUUCUCUCAUGGCUAUAGAGAUCAAUCUAGUAGGUCAAACUAAACCGAUAAUUCGAAAAGACUUGCAAAGAUAUCAAAUCAUGCAUAUAAGAAUUCAGAGAAGAACCAAAUAAUAUUCAUAGAUAAUCUUGAUCAUAAAUCCACAAUUCAUCGGAUCACGGCAAACACACCGCAAAAGAGUAUUACAUCGAACAGAUCUCCAAGAACAUCGAGGAGAACUUUGUAUUGAGAAUCAAAGAGAGAGAAAAAGCCAUCUAUCUAAUAACUAUGGACCCGAAAGUCUGUGGUAAACUACUCACGCUUCAUCGAAGAGGUAAUGGUGUUGAUGUAGAAGCCCUCCAUGAUCGAAUCCCCCUCUGGCAGAUCGCCGGAAAAGGUCCCAAGAUGGGAUCUCACGGGUACAGAAGGUUGCAGCGGUGGAAAAGUGGUUUCGCGGCUCCCCCUGAUGUUUUUGGGGUAUAAGAGUAUAUAUAGAUGAAGGAACUAGGUCAGGGGUGUUACGAGGGGCCCACAAGGGUGGGGGGCACGCCUAACCACCUUGGGCGUGCCCUCCUGCCUCGUGGCCGCCUUGUUGCCUCUCUGACUUCAUCUCCAAGUCUUCUUGUUUGCUUUCGGUCCAAGAAAGAUCUUCGCAAAGGUUUCAUUCCGUUUGGACUCCGUUUGGUAUUCCUUUUCUGGAAAACUCUAAAAUAGACAAAAAAAUAGAAAUUGCCACUAGACCCUCGGUUAAUAGGUUAGUCCCAAAAAUAAUAUAAAAUAGCUUAUUAAAGCCCAUUAAACAUCCAAAACAGAUAAUAUAAUAGCAUGGAACAAUCAAAAAUUAUAGAUACGUUGGAGAUGUAUCAGUGAGCUCAAGACACUAGGGCGCGCCAGGCCCCCCAGGUGCGACCUGGUGGGUUGUGCUCAGCCCAGCCCACCUCCCGUGCCCCUCUUAUGGUAUUUAGGUCAUUUUGACCUAGAAAAAAUAAGGGAAGGACUUUCGGGACGAAGCGCCGCCGUCUCGAGGCUGAACUUGGCAGGAACACUUUUGCCCUCCGGCGCAGCGAUUCCGCCGGGGGAACUUCCCUCCCGGAGGGGGAAAUCAUCGUCAUCAUCAUCACCAACAACUCUCCCAUCUUGGGAAGGGCAAUCUCCAUCAACAUCUUCAACAGCACCAUCUCCUCUCAAACCCUAGUUCAUCUCUUGUGUUCAAUCUUUGUACCAGAACUGUAGAUUGGUGCUUGCGGGUGACUAGUAGUGUUGAUUACAUCUUGUAGUUGAUUAUUAUAUGGUUUAUUUGGUGGAAAAUUAUAUGUUCAGAUCCAUUAUGCUAUUUAAUACCCCUCCAAUCAUGAGCAUGAUUAUCAUUUGUGAGUAGUUACUUUUGUUCUAGAGGUCACAGGAGAAAUCAUGUUGCAAGUAAUCAUGUGAACUUGAUAUGUGUUCGAUAUUUUGAUGAUAUGUAUGUUGUGAUUCCCUUAGUGGUGUCAUUGAACAUCGACUACAUGACACUUCACUAUAUUUGGGCCUAAGGGAAUGCAUUGUGGAGUAGUUAUUAGAUGAUGUGUUGCGAGAGUAACAGAAGCUUAAACCCUAGCUUCUAUGCUAUUUCGUAAGGGACCGAUUGGAUCCAAAAGUUUAAUGCUAUGGUUAGAAUUUAUUCUUAAUACUUUUCUCGUAGUUGCAGAUGCUUGCGAGGGGGUUAAUCAUAAAUAGGAGGUUUGUUCAAGUAAUAACAACACCUAAGCACCGGUCCACCCACAUACCAAAUUAUCAAAGUAGCAAACACGAAUCGAACCAACAUGAUGAAAGUCACUAGAUGAAAUUCCCGUGUACCCUCAAGAACACUUUGCUUGUCAUAAGAGACCGUUUUGGCCUGUCCUUUGCCACAAAAGGAUUGGGCUACCUUGCUGCACUUCUGUUACUACUACCGUUACUUGCUCGUUACAAAUUAUCUUGCUAUCAAACUACUCUGUUACUUACAAUUUUAGCACUUGUAGACAUUACCUUGCUAAAAACAACUUGUCAUUUCCUUCUGCUCCUUGUUGGGUUCGACACUCUUACUUAUCGAAAAGGCUACAAUUGAUCCCAUAUACUUGUGGGUCAUUAGAGGAUGGACACCACCGACACCCUUCAGGAAGGAAUGACGGCACCCGCAGGCGGCAUCUCGUCAGUGCCGGAUGAACCGGCGGUGUCGUGGAAUUGUCACGUCAGAUGUCCUAGCGUAAGGACUUAGUCAUGGAGCCAUCGCAACUAGGAAGCUUAAGGGGGUUUAACGGGACAAAGGACAUGAGGUUUAUACUCGUUCGACCCCUUGCGGUGAAGGUAAAAGCCUACGAUCUAGUUUUGGGUGGGAUUUCUAAUGACUCGAUAACGAGGGAGCGAAUCCGCUUGACCUAGUUCUCGAUCUGAUGUUACUUGCCCUGAACCACUGCCGGUUCAUCCCUUUAUAUACAGAGGUUGACGCCCAGCGGCUCACAGAGUCCCGGACGGUUCAUAAACAGUGUCCAGCUCGGUCUCUCUCUAUUCUUGUCUUACAAUACAAGUUAUACAUACAUGGCAGUUUAUCUCUACUGGCCUUAAGUCUCCUCUGGGCCUUGGGCCUUUAAGUGAGCCGCCAUCUUCAAGUAUCUUCAGUGGGCUUCGUCAUAAGGUGUGACCUGAACCCUCCCGGGCAGGUCAUGCCUAAUAUUUAUAUCCCCAACAUUAGGCCCCAGCUUGAUUUUAACUGGUUCAUGUCAAUCUUCAACACUUAAGAAAAAUCUUCUGCUCCCUGCUUAUGAAAUUUUUGUAACCCGCCAUGACGUCAUCCUUUGGACCUGUGGUAACCCACCAUGAUGUCAUCUGUCAUAAAUGUAUGUUUUAUCCAACAUACCUCAAUGGAUCUUUAUCUUAAUGACCAUCCCGAAAAUUGAGGCGUCCUUGUAGUUGGAUAAUUAUGUCUUUGGCCUCCUUGUUGUUCGCGCCUGCUCAUCAGUUUUUUUCUUAUAAAUAGACCUGACCAGGUCUUUCCUCAUUCUUCUCCUUUCCUCAUCUUCUUCCUUGCACACCCUACUGCUGCUCGAGCUCCGCCGCCGCCGCCGCGCACCUCGCCUUCGUCGACCUUGGCCGCUACAUCGACCUGAAUCUGUCCAGAGAAUGGCGGCGAGCCUCCGCAGCAGCCCUGCAGCCGUAAGUUUUCCUCUUCCCCUACUUCAGAUCUGCAUUAGGGUUUGCAAGUUCCUUCCAUGUUCUUCGCUGUUCACCUCGGCUUCUUCAUAGUUCUACCACUGCAGCCUCCUUUGAUCCAAAAAGAUUAUAAGACUCAUGCAAUAACUGUUUCGCACUCAUUUUUGAUACUAGCAGAUCCCUUUAUCUUGCAAAGAAGCCUUGUUAGAACUGAUGAACCCAUCCGCAUUUCGUUUUUAGGUCUAGAAUAUUUUCCUUUCUGAACAGCCGGUUGAUCCAAAAUAGUUGCUGCAACUUGUGAAAACUUGUUUAUGCAACACUUAGGCAAAAAAUUGUGUUUACUAGAUCCACCUAGCCAUGGCGACUCUUAUCACCGACUUAAAUGACAAUGCUUAGUUGAUAAUCUUGACCGCCCAUGGCGGCUUAAAUAACUGAAUUGUCAAUGAUGCUUAUGGCGGCUUAAAUAAUCUGACAUAAUUAGUCUUAUACCAUUAGGCCCUUCAUAAGCCACCAUCUUGAAUAUGCACUGAUAUUUCCUCCAGCUUAAAUUUGAACCAGAAAUUUUAUCCUUUCUUAGGCUUCCAUCACAAUGGCCCCUAAGACAAGCACCUCAUGCAACUGGGUCCCGUCCAUUGUCACUGAACAGACCCUUGAAGAUUUUGUGAAACUCGGCUAUCUGCUGAAAAGGGAUGUCAUUUCGUACCGUGCCCCUGACCCAACAGAAGAAAUACCUCAACCCAAGGAGGGGGAAGUGAUCGUCUUGACAGAUCAUAUGAACCGGGGUUUCUCACCACCUGACUCAAAAUUCUUUCGGGAUGUCCUGCAUUUCUUUGAUCUCCGUCCUCAAGACAUCAGACCGAAUUCCGUGUCUAAUAUCUGCAAUUUUCAAGUAUUCAGCGAGGUGUAUCUUGGAGAAGAACCCAACAUGUUACUCUUCAGAGAGUUAUUCUAUUUGAACCGCCAAAAUGAAUGUGCCAGCGGACAGAGCUUGGAACUUGGCGGCAUCUCAAUCCAGCGUCGGAGAGACGUUUUUUCCUUAUGCCAAUCCGCCAAGCCACUCUAAAGACUGGAAUCAAAUGUGGUUUUAUUGUCAAGACACUUCCCCGGCUGAUGAGAAUCCUCUGCCCGGUUUUUGCGCCUUGCGUCUUGAUUCCAAUCAUCCACUGCCUAACAAGAUAUCACCCACCAAACGCAAAACGCUCACCCCCGCCUUGGCCAAAAUCAAAGCUCUUCUGGGGAACGGGUUGAAUGGUAUUGAUUUGGUCGAGGUCUGGCAUGCCUGGCGGAUUAUUCCAUUAAGCCACCGCCCCGGUCUAAUGUGCAACUAUUUAGGCAAGAAAGAUGAUCCUCUGUGUAAGUGCAUCUAGUGCCACCCCUAGUUGGUUUUGGAGUAUUAACGACAAAUUUGGUUGAGGGACUAAUGCGUUUGUGAGAAUUGCAGGAUAACGCAGGUAGUGUCCCUCAUUGAUUCGGUUUACCUACCGGAGAUGACCCCUAAAAAUAUAUGAAGACAUUGACGACAAUGGUGGUAUGUGAAGAUAUUCAUUGAAGACUAUGACAUGAGAAGACAUUGAGUGAAGACUAUGGAGCGCGAAGACUGUGUCAUUUCGUUGUUUCCUUUUUCUUCUUUGUUGAGUCAUAGGAACCACCGUACUGUUAAGUGGGGUCCAAGUGAACAAAGUCAGAAUGACUGAAGUGAUGCUCAACCCAAAUCCUAUAUCUUCGAGCGAAGACAAUGAGAGCAAAUCUUAUCCAGAGCUGGAUGAGUCAGCUUUGCUUGUAGCCCAAGUAAAGUUGCCGUGUGUGUUUGAAAUCUGACCGUUGGAACACGUGUCAGUUCCUUAGUGACCCAGGGUCAUUUCGGACAUAUCAGGUCGGGUUGCCUAGUGGCUAUAAAUAGCCCACCCCCCACACCAUAAAUUGGUGGCUGCUCAGAGUUAGUACACGGCUUUUGUCGUUUGAGAGCAACCCACCUCAAAGCCUUUGAGAGAGAGAAAUCCUUGCGAGGACAAAGCCCAAACACCGAGAGCCAAAGAGUGUUAGGCAUCACUGAAGUCUUUCUGUCUGCAUGACCUGAAGACUUAUUACACUUGAGGACUGUGAAUCCUCCAGCCGGUUAAGCGUCACGUUCUGAGCAUCCAAGAGUCAUUGUGGAUCGCCGGUGAACGAAGUCUGUGAAGGUUCGGAAGUCUACCUUGAAGACUUACCAGAGUGAUUGGGCGAGGACUGUGUGUCCUUAGCUCAAGGGGAAUAGGGUGAAGACGCGGUCUUCUGAGUUGAAUCUCAGCCUCCCUAACCAGACGUACAGUUGUUACAGCAACUGGAACUGGUCCAAAAAAUCAUGUGUCUUCAACAAGUGACUGGUUCUAUCCUCUCCCUCCCUUUACUUAGUGUUUGUCUUCGUGAAGUCAUUGCCUAUUUGUCGUACCUGUUUGACUUCAUCGCUUGACUACUAUCGUUGGUUGGCUUCAUACUAUCUUCCAUCCCGAUCCUUACUACUAAGCUGCUAUUAGUCUUUGUACUUUCACAUUAUUGCAUACUUGACUAUGGUUUUCUUGUUGUAGUUUAUCUUCCGCUGCAUAUCAAUUAGGUCAUUUCUAUUGUUUGUCUUCGAAACUUCCACAUUUUGAAGACUUCCAUAAAAAUCGCCUAUUCAACCCCCCUCUAGUCGAUAACUAGCACUUUCAAUUGGUAUAAGAGCAAGGUACUCCCUUGUUCUGUGUGAUUCGGUUUAACCACCUGGAGUUUUAGCUAUGUCGACUGUAGGGAUAAUCAAAGUCUCUGCUGCUUGCCCUGUGUUCGAUGGAACUGAAUAUCCCUACUGGAAGAAUAAGAUGAGCAUGCAUCUUGAAGCCAUUGAUGUCGACCUCUAGUAUGUCGUCAAGAACGGCGUUGCCAAAACUGGUGAAGGUGUCACCCCUGCUGAUGUCAAGAAGUUCAUUCAACUGGACUCUACUACCAGGAACAUCAUCUGUGGUCAUCUGACCAAAGGACAGUAUGGCCGUGUGAGUGCUUUGGAAACGUCGAAGCUAGUCUGGGACUGGCUAUCCAAGGUCAACGAAGGCGUCUCAACCCAUAGAGAUCAAAGGAUCAGUGUUCUUCGCAACCUCUUCAACCGCUUCAAAAGAAACAACAAUGAAAAUGUCCAGCUCACGUUUGAUCGCCUCACCGACAUCGCAAAUGAGCUUCGUGCUCUCGGCGCCACUGAGAUUACCAAGCAUGAAAUCGUCAAGACACUACUGAGAUCACUUGACAGCUCCUUUGACACCCUUGCCCUCAUGAUACAAGAAUGCCCUGACUUCAAGACACUCGAUCCGUCUGAUAUACUUGAGAGGCUCAACACACAUGAGUUCCAGCUUUCUGAGAAAAGAGAUAUCUAUGGUCCCAACUAUGGCCAAACUCGCGCUUUGGAGGCAAAAGUUGUUUCCUCAUCUGAAGAAGAAUCUGACUGCAGUUUUGAUGAUCCUGAAGACAUUGGAAAGGAACUUGCUAUGCUUGUGAAGAAAUUCCAGAAAUUCACUAAGAAGAAGGGCUUCAGAAAGUCUUCACGAUCUAGCUCAAGAAAUGAUGAAGCUUCCACUCAUGACUACAAGAAGAGAACAUGUCACAAGUGCAAGAAACCUGGACACUAUAUCUCUGAGUGUCCACAGUGGGACAAUGAGGAGAAGAAGAAGAAGAAGAGCAAGGAAUAUGAUUCUGAUGACAAGAAGAAGAAGAAAUCUUCAAAGUCUUCUUCCAAGUCCUCAUCGAAGUCUUCAUCUCAUAAGAAGAGAUCAUCUGGCAAGGCUCGUGCUUUUGUUGGCAAGGAAAUGGAUUCAGAGGAGGAGUCUGCUUCUGAGGAGGCGGAGGUGGAGUCUGAAGAGGAGUCCGACCCUCGCGUUGCAAGUCUGGCUCUAGCCACAGCCUAUGUUGCCAAGUCCAUCUUCAACACUGAAGACAAUGACUUCCACACCAACGCUGAAGCUGAUGACAAAGACGACCCUGCUCCCACCUACUGCUUCAUGGCACGUGGUGCCAAGGUAAAAUCACGUGAUGCUUACUUUCAAACAUCAAGUGAAGAUGUCUCUGAUUAUGAAUCCAAACCCAGCUACAAAACACUUGCUAAAAUUGCAACCAAACAACAAAAAGCUAUGGAACAUACUCAAAAACUGUUAGACAAAAGCGAUGACCUGUUGGACGCGGAAAUGACACAUUCACAGUCCCUAGUUGAAGAAAUAAAAAAUCUUCAUGCUAAGUACCAAGAACUUGAAAGUCGUCAUGAAACGCUCUCAACCACUCAUGAAAAGCUCUCCUAUGAUUAUCUUCAAAGGAAGCAAGAGCUUGAGAAAUUGAGAGCGGCUCAUGAAGAUCUUCAAAAAGAGAAUGAGUCACUUCACGCUCAACAGAUUAGUCCCGCUCAGGAUGGAUUUGAACCACCGUGUCUAAAAUGCCUUGAGCGUGAUAACGCUACCUCUGUUGCUGAAUGUUCCACUGCUGCUACUGUUGCAUUGUCUUUAACUACUGAUGUGGUAACUAACCCCUCUGCGGAGGAUACCACUACUAUUGCUGAUGAAAAUGCUAGGUUGAAGACAUUGCUUGAAACAGGGAUGUAUAAAAGUCUGAAAGGACAUCAGACACUUUGCGAUGUCCUCAAAAAGCAGAUUCUGAACCGAAACCCUAGGAAAGAGGGUGUUGGGUUCGAGAGGAAAAUGAAUGUUGAUGGUUCCUACUGAAAGCCUGAGCAGUAUCCCAAAACCACAUGGGUUGCUGCAAAGGGACCUUCAGUGGAUCCAUCCACCUUAUCUAGCUUUACCUGUGCUAAUCCUGUUAUAAUUGAUGAAUCCCUUGAUGCAAACUAUAAGCUAUUCAAGAAUCAGAAUGGUGAAGUGUUUGCCAGCUAUAUUGGUACUAACUGCAGGAAUGGACCACCUAUGAAGAAUAUCUGGGUUCCCAAAAGCUGUCUUGAGAAUCUUCCAGUGAAUGUGAUCAUGACACCACAUGGGAAGAAGACAAACCCCAGACCUAAGGCAUCAUAUGGUCCAAAGGCUUCAUACAGACAGAGGACUCACCUGAGUCACUCUAACGCCAAUGUUUUGCAGGGAAACCGUCCUCAAACUUAUGAAUAUGAGCGUGUGUCUUCAAACCGCUAUGUUCAUAGAACUGAGAACUUUUCUGCUUAUUCAUAUGAGUAUAAUUCAUCUCCUGCAAGGCUAUUUGCUAGGGCUCCAAAGCCGAAGUUCUCAGAUGCUGCACUUAGACUCAUUGCUUCUAAGCCACCCCUGAAGAUGUGGGUGGUUAAGAAGAAUUAACUUUCAUUUGCAGGGAAGGGUCUCCAGCCGAAAAUCAAAGGCGUCUGAUGCUAUUGCUGGGGACCUAAAACAUCUUGUAGGGCGCAAGAUCAAAUGCCCAAAUGGUCUCACUAUGUAUUUUGUUCCUGAAUUGUUUGCCAUUCAUCCUAUCAGUCCUAAUCUUGAUCCGAGCUUCAAUAAUCCUCUUGCCCGUCAAAUGUUUAUGCUUCACAAUACUCUUGGUGAAGCCUAUCCCCCUAACUGUACUGUAGGGUAUGACACCUCAUGCUUCAGAAUGGAUUAUGGAUAGCGGAUGCACUAAUCAUAUGACUGGUGAUCGAAGUCUUCUCAUGGACUCAACCUUACGUCCAUCAGACAAGAGUCACAUCACAUUUGCUGACACUAGUAAAAGCAAGGUAUUGGGUCUAGGUAAAGUUGCAAUCUCAAAGGAUCAACACAUGGAUAAAGUGAUGCUUGUUGAAUCCCUUGGUUUCAACUUAAUGUCUCUCUCGAUUCUUUGUGACUUGAACAUCAUUCUGCUAUUCGGAAAAUAUCGUUGCCUUGUACCAAUGGAAUCUGACAAGUCUCUAGUCUUUGAAGGGUAUCGGAAAGAUGAUCUAUACAUGGUAGAUUUCUCAGCAGGUCCACAGCUUGCCAUAUGUCUUCUUGCAAAAGCUUUAGAAUGCUGGCUCUCGCAUCGGAGGCUGGGGCAUGCUGGCAUGAGGAACUUACACACACUCACCAAGAAGAAGCAUGUCAUAGGCAUCGAGGGUGUCAAGUUCAAGAAGGAUCAUCUGUGUGGUGCCUACGAAGCUGGAAAGAUGACUAGGGAAAAGCACCCCUCGAAGACAAUCAUGACGACAUCUCAACCCUUCGAGCUGUUACACAUGGACUUAUUUGGCCCUACUCACUACUCUACCCUCACAACAACUGCUUGUCUCUAUGGCUUCGUCAUUGUUGAUGACUACUCAAGAUAUACAUGGGUGCACAUAAUUCUCUACAAGACUGAAGUGCAAGAUGUCUUCAGACGCUUCGCCAAUCGAGCCAUGAACAAUUAUGGUGUCAAGAUCAAGCAUAUCAGAAGUGACAAUGGCACUGAGUUCAAGAACACCGGACUUGAUCUUUAUCUAGAUACAAUAGGAAUCACUCAUGAGUUCUCAGCUCCAUACACACCUCAGCAAAAUGGCAUCGUAGAGCGCAAGAACAGAACCCUCAUUGAGAUGGCUCGAACAAUGCUCGACGAGUACAAGACACCAAGAAAGUUCUGGCCCGAAGCUAUUGAUACAGCAUGUCACGUCAUCAACCGUGUUUACAUCCAUAAGCUUCUGAACAAAACAUCCUAUGAGCUCCUUACUAGCAAGAAGCCAAAUGUCAGCUACUUCAGAGUAUUUGGAGCUAGGUGCUGGAUCAAGGAUCCCCAUCACAAGUCAAAAUUUGCACCUAAAGCUCACGAAGGCUUCAUGCUCGGUUACGAAAAGGACUCGCACUCUUACAGAGUCUUCAACCUCUAUCUCUACAAAAUCGUCGAAACUAAGGACGUGCGAUUUGAUGAAACCAAUGGUUCACAAAGAUAGCUCCUGGCAAGUACACUAGACGAAGCUCCGCCCAGCGAAUCUAUCAAGCUGAUGGGAACUGGUGAAAUCAUGCCUUCUGAAGCACAGCCUGAAGAGGAACUUAUCAUUUGGUCUUCAAAUUCGUCAGCAAAGGAAUGGCAUCUUCAUAUCUCUAGAAAAAUACCUCAAAGAUUGUCUAAAGAAGUUUGGAAUGCAAGAUUGCAAAGGUUACACAACGCCAAUGCCAGCCAAACAGCAUCUGGGUCCCGACGACAAUGGUAAAGAGUUCGAUCAAAAGGUAUACCGCUCCAUGAUUGGUUCCUUACUUUACCUAUGUGCAUCUAGGCCAAAUAUUAUGCUUAGUGUUUGCAUGUGUGCUCGAUUCCAAGCGGCACCAAAGGAAUCGCAUCACUUAGCCGUGAAGCGAAUUCUUCGAUAUUUGGCUUAUACCCCAACACUCGGAUUAUGGUAUCCAAAGGGCUUAAAAUUUGAUCUGGUUGGAUUCUCGGAUGCUGAUUAUCCUGGUGACAAGGUGGAUCGCAAGUAUACAUGAGGCACAUGUCACUUUCUGGGACGAUCACUUGUCUGUUGGUCUUCAAAGAAGCAGAACUGUGUAUCACUCUCAAUUGCUGAAUCUGAAUACAUUGCUGCUGGAUAUUGCUGCGCUCAGCUUCUAUGGAUGAAGCAAACUCUCAAGGACUAUGGCAUCAAUAUGAAACAAGUACCUCUCUUCUGCGACAACGAAAGCGCCAUCAAGAUUGCCAACAAUCCAGUCGAGCACUCGAAGACAAAGCACAUUGAAAUUCGUCAUCACUUUCUCAAAGAUCAUGUCAUGAAGAAAGAUAUUGACAUCAUUCACGUCAACACUGAAGAGCAACUGGCAGAUAUGUUCACAAAGCCCUUGGAUGAGAAAAGGUUUUGCAAGUUACGGUGUGAGCCGAAUAUCUUGGAAUCCUCAAAUGUCCUGUGAUCAGGCACACAUCCUAACACUUAUGCAUGUUGAUGACUUAGAUGUGCAACACACGACGUAAAGUAUAUCUUCAAUCAAUGAAGACUUACAUUCUGAGUGUGAAUACAUUAACGUGGAAUUUGACUUCGGAGCGCCACGAUAAUUGUGCACCGUGUCUGGGUCUAAUACUUCCUAUACGGUGGGUAACGCCACCACCAAAUUUCUCGGUUUGAAGUGUUUCACUCAUGGCGUUAUUUUUGCUAUGUCUUCUCAUUUGGUUUAUCUUCAAUUUCAACUUAUCUUCAUGAUUUUCUUCAUUACGUUGAUUUGAUUGCUUUCUGAUAUAUAUACUAGUGUUCUGUCCUCUACAGCAUUCACUUACAGCUAUGUCUUCCUAGUUGAAUCUUUUGAACUAAGUGAAUGUGAUCGGACCCUAAUCUCUCUAUGCUUUCUAUCUCAAACUCUAUCUGUCCAAAUCAUAUGCAUUAUGUUGAAACUGUCGAAUGUCUUAUGCGUUCUUGUCAGCAAAAGACAUAGAGACAAACAUUAAGUCUGUUUUAAAUGCUUCAUCCUUAUUGUUUCAAAUCCGAAGAAGCCGGAACAACCAUCCGACAAACCUGGCGGGCGUGGGAACAUGGGACAACUCUGAGUAUGUUGCAUGCUUGCCACAUGCCCCUCAGAUGUGAACCGCCAGGGGCACCUGUGUAAUUGCGCUGUGCCGCACACUUCCUUAUAAAUACAUAUCCCCUGCGGUAAACAAAACCUUCUUCCACCUCUCCACCUCGUCAAAACCCUAGCGCCACCGCUAGCUCUCGACGACGCCAGCGACGAACAGCUUAGCUGCCGCGACUUCUCCGACGCCGUCCUCAUGCCGGCCGCGGACAUCGUCCUCUCCGCCGCCAUCGUAGGUGUCCUCCAUCGCCAAGUUAGGGCACGGUGGAUUGAACUACUCGGUCUCUGAUUCAUUCCAUCUAGCAGUUCUUCGUGUGGUAAAUACAACUCUAUUUUUACCAUCUUUUGAUCCUCAAAGAUUCAUCCUAUUUACCAAAAUUGGUUUCUGCCUAUACAAUGUUAGAUCUAUUCUGUCUGCAUCUCAUACUGCCUAGUAUAUUCACUUAAGCUUCAUAUCUAGUUAGAUUCCUCACUUGUACUUAUUCACGGAUUCGUACAAAUUUGGAAUCAACUCUCAACAUAUAAGUGAAUGUCUUCGCAUCAUGAGGUCAAUGUCUUCAAACUGAUUCAUCUUCAAAAUCUUCUGAGAAUGCAUAUGACCUCUUCCCCUUCCCUCGCAUCUGUAAUGCUGUCAUAGGUACAUGUCCAUGGGAGAAUCCCUUGGUUCUCAUAGUCUGCAUUCGUUUGCAGAAUUCUUACAGCAUCACAUUAACUCUCCCGAAGCCAGUUCCUGUUUGUCCAGCAAGCGAAAGCGUUAGAAGCCUUUGAACGUGUUGAAGCCAUUCAGUUUGAAGUUCAUGGCUGCAGAGAAAUCAAUAAGGAAGGGUGGUAGACAACGUCGUGGGGGAACAUCAAGAGAUUUGCAUGAUGACCUCGCAGAGCUUUAUGUAAGUGCAUCUAGUGCCACCCCUAGUUGGUUUUGGAGUAUUGACGACAAAGUUGGUUGAGGGACUAAUGCGUUUGUGAGAAUUGCAGGAUAACGCAGGUUGUGUCCCUCAUUGAUUCGGUUUACCUACCGGAGAUGACCCCUAAAAAUGUAUGAAGACAUUGAAGACAAUGGUGGUAUGAGAAGAUAUUCAUAUUGAAGACUAUGACAUGAGAAGACAUUACGCGAAGACAAUGGAGCGUGAAGACUGUGUGGUUUCGUUGUUUCCUUUCUUCUUUGUUGAGUCAUAGGAACCACUGUACUGUUAAGUGGGGUCCAAGUGAACUAAGUCAGAGUGAUUGGAGUGAUGCUCAACCCAAAUCCUAUGUCUUCGAGCGAAAACAAUGAGAGCAAAUCUUAUCCAGAGCUGGAUGAGUCAGCUUUGCUUGUAGCCCAAGUAAAGUUGUCGCGUGUGUUUGAAAUCUGACCGUUGGAACACGUGUCAGUUCCUUAGUGACCCAGGGUCAUUUUGGACAAAUCAGGUCGGGUUGCCUAGUGGCUAUAAAUAGCCCACCCCCUACACCAUAAAUUGGUGGCUGCUCAGAGUUUGUGCACGGCUUUUGUCAUUUGAGAGCAACCCACCUCGAAGCAUUUGAGAGAGAGAAAUCCUUGCGAGGACAAAGCCCAAAACACCCAGAGCCAAAGAGUGUUAGGCAUCACUGAAGUCUUUCUGUCUGUGUGACCUGAAGACUUAUUACACUUGAGGACUGUGUAUCCUCCAGCCGGUUAGGCGUCGCGUUCUGAGCAUCCAAGAGUCAUUGUGGAUUGCCGGUGAACGAAGUCUGUGAAGGUUUGGAAGUCUCCCUUGAAGACUUACCAGAGUGAUUGGGCGAGGACUGGGUGUCCUUUGCUCAAGGGGAAUAAGGUGAAGACACGGUCUUCUGAGUUAAAUCUCAGCCUCCCUAACCAGACGUACAGUUGUCACAGCAACUGGAACUGGUCCAACAAAUCAUGUGUCUUCAACAAGCAACUGGUUCUAUCCCUUCCAACCUUACUUAAGUUUGUCUUCAUGAAGUCAUUGCUUAUCUGUAUAUCUGUUUGACUUCAUUGCUUGACUACUAUUGUUGAUUGGCUUCACACUUUCUUCCAUCUUGAUCCUUACUACCUAACUGCUAUUGGUCCUAAGUUUUCACAUCAUUACAUACUUGACUAUGGCAUGUUUAGGGUAGUUUAUCUUCCAUUGCAUAUCAAUUAGGUUGUUUCUGUUGUUUGUCUUCGAAACUUCCGAGUUUUGAACACUUUCAUAAAAAUUGCCUAUUCACCCCCCCUCUAGUCGAUACUAGCACUUUCACUUUACAAGACAGAUCCUGAAGAGAAUUAUAAUCAGCGCAAGACACGAAUCUAAUGGAUUCAACGAUAUUGGGCUGAACAAUGGUUCAAAUACAAGUUUGUGACCCAGGAAUACGCUGAGAAGAAUGCUAUCAAAAGUCCUUGGGUGAUAUUCCCUAUCGAGGCCUUCCACCCAAGAACAGAGUUGAAGCUAUUGCACAGGGUUUCUAUCCUUGUAUGGUCCGUGGACCUCAGCCUAAAAAUGCCGACCCAUCAUCAUUGCUCUAGUGUCGUGACGAUAAUCUCUUCAAGUGAAACUUCCGGCACGCAAAGGCAUCGGCCAAGGAAAACAAGAAGUCAUUGGGAUUAGACUUCAACCCUGGUCCCUCUGCUCCCCGUGCUGACGGCUCACAUGAUGCAGAACCCAAUGUCAUCGGUCCUUUCUACAACCUUGAUGGCCUCAUCACUCACAUCUUGGUCCAAGGUGCCAAAGUGGAUCAUUCUGGUGAUGAUGCUGACACUGAUGAAGCCCCAGCUCCUACUACAAAGCCGCAGAAGCCAAAGAAGGCUAAUGCUUCAAGAUCAGCUGCUCCUCCAAAAGCUUCACAUGCGAAGCCACUGGCCACUGCACCUCCUGAAGACAGUGUGCAGUCUGAAGAUCUAUCACGUAUCUCCAAGAAGAUGGAGAAGAAAAAGAAAAUCGUCAAAAAUACUGAUCAGACAUUGACUCCUGCUGCCAUUCUGCGAGAAGAGCACAUUGAUCUGUCCAGCGAUGAAGAUCUUGCAGAUGAUGCUCUUGAGCAACUGAUCAAGAGCAAGGAAGAAGCAGAGAUCUUUAAUGAUUUGCCUCUCUUUGAUGUGGCAAUCAUCCAUAACUUAAUUGAUGAGUGGUUUGACACCCCAAAUCUCAGCUUUGAAGAUCUGCAACUUCCCAUUGGCCUCAGCGUCUCCUUCAAUGGCGCCAUUGCUUCUGAGCUAGCUCUUGCUCAGCGCAUCGUUGAACUAAAGCACACGAUCGACUAUGAGAAAGCUCAGUUCAAGAAGCAUGUGGCAAAGCUCAGCGUGCAAGAUGUCAAAAACUUCAAGAUCAUGCUGCACGAGCUCAAAGAAGCCUUUCUCAAGAAGCGCGAAGAAGCUAAAGGCUCUCGUGAGCGUAUGAAGAGUCUGGCUGACAAGUGUGUGCUAGCCUGCAAUGAAGCUGAGAUGCGCAAGGCUCUUGGUCGUCCUAGCAUUGACCCCAGAAUGGCUGCAAAGAAGAAGAAGCCAUCAACUGACCAAUCUGCACCUUCAAGACAGGAAGAACCUUGCAUAGUCUUCCCAAGCAGCAUGACUGGCUCCAAGCCAAAGGUCAAGUCAACCGCUUCAGAACUGAAGAAGACGAGGACUGCCGAGGCUGAAGCCAGAAAAAGGAAAAAUCCUGAAGCCUAUGAUGUUGCUCCCUCCAAGAAGAAGCGCAAAACCAAGAAGAAUCGGGCUGCUCCCAUAGAGCCCUUAGUUGUUGAACCUAUCUUAAUGGUUCACCCUGCAUCUGAACACCAAGAACGACAGAUGAUAGUUCAUGAGCCUGCUUCCACAGAGGCUCAUGAAGCUGAAGACAUUCCAGCAGUUGAUCCCACCGCUGCUAAAGACAUUGGUCACAAUGACAAUGUUGAAGAUGAUGUAGUUCUUCCUCAGAUCGAACACAACUUGGUAUCAUCGCCCGUUCUCACGAAUAGCGAACUCAUCAGCAUUGGUCGUCCUUUGACGCCAAUUGCUCAGGAUGCAUCAUGGGCUGAUCACCCACAACAACAAGACUCCCCGAGUACUCCCCAACAACAACAAGUCACACCACCUGUGCAAGAAGAAGAGGAUGACUUUGAGGCCAAGCCAACUCCAUCUCCAAAGGCGUCGCCAGCAUUACACAGGCUUCGCAAAGGACCAAGGCCUCAAGUCUCUCUUUCGAGCGUUCCAGAAGCAGAAGUGCACCACCAAUCUGUUGCAUGUCAAGUGUUUCCAAAAGCCAAUCCGACUGUGAAUGUCUCCGUGUCUGAAGCCAAAGCUGCUGAAGACAAUCCGGCUGCAUCAGCCGAUGACAACCAAGAAGAAGAACGUGUCCCUACUCCCCCCAUUACUGAAGAAGUUGUUCCUGAAGCGAACGUGCCAGUGCUCGACCCUCCAGCUCAUCAAGUGGAGGUUGAAAAUCUUGAGGCUGCCACCACCAACAUAAAUGAAGCCAACGACGUAGUCAUGGCUGAAGCAAAUGUGGAGCCUGCACCAACCAAUGUCCCAGAAGCCAAUGAUGCAACUGCUCCUGAAGCAUCUGUUGUGCAGCCUGACGACUCUGUUGUUGCCACUGCUCCUGUUCCGCCACCAAGGCCCCAUACAAUUGAGCAAGCAUACAACUAUGGUCAGCUGAUCACUAUCAAAUGGCCUGUUCUGGUCCCUCCGCCUAAUGCCUCUGGUCCUCAGUUUGAUUAUCAUGUUGAGCAUAGGCCUCUGGUCGAGAAACCAAAGCCAAGACUGCCAAGGUUCCCAGGUACUGCCACCUCUAUAGGGUCCUUCAAUGCAAAUGGCUUCAAAGCCCACAACACCUUCUUUGACAGAGCAAAGAACCCCUACUCAAGGCCAAGAAUAUCAUCUGAUCGUUUCUAGAGCUAUCAGCAGCGAAGCUAUUACUCCUGUGUUCUCUAUGAUCAAGGGCGCAUUUUCCCUCAUAUGCGCCUCGACACUGAAGCCAUUGCUGGACUGCCAUGCUUAGAAGAAGCACUUGACUGCUUUUGUGAUCCAGGUCUGCUCAGCUUUGUGACAGACAAAGCACAUUGGAAUGAGGAACUUUUGCUUCAAUUCUAUUCUACCCUCCACAUUCGUGGCUACUACAGGGAUACAAAGACAUGGGUUCUCGAGUGGAUGACAGGAAAUGUUCAUCAUGAAGCCAAAGCUAUUGACGUCAUUGAGCUUACAGGCCUACCCACUCCCGGAGAGCUGUUCGAACCUGAUUGUCAACUCCACCGCAAUGCACUGGAGAGCAUCUUCCAUAAGCCAGAGCCCAACAUGAGCCAGAUGUUCAGCAUGAUGAAGCCUCUGCCACCUGACACUGAAUACCCAAAGGAGUUCUUUGUUGAUGACCUUGAGUAUCUGCCUCGCACAAUAUAUCACAUCAUCAGGCGAACUCUAUGGCCUAUCAAAGGGUUCAUCAGUUGCAAAACUUGAAGGAGCCAUGAAGACAUUGGUCUUUUACAUCCUCAAUGGCAUCAGCUUCAAUACACAAGAAUUCUUCAUCCGGCAACUAGCUGCGUCUGGAUCUGACCUUUUUGGCCUAAAAUUCUAUGCUCCAUGGGUCAUGCGCCUCAUCAAGCUACACUCUGCUAUCAACUAUCAGCCCUCUGCUCGCAAUCAUCUAAUCUUUCUACCAGAGGUUGAUAUGUCAAUUGAAGCCAUAUACCCUGAGCCUGCCAAGAAGCCUCUUUGUCUUCAAAAUGCUGAUCACCAAAGCUUCACUCAACCCAUGGAAGGAGUCCAAGCAGUAACUCAUGUCUAUCUAAUGGCUGGGAACACUCGUCUGCCUCACCGUGCGCAAACUGAAGCUACUGAGAGCACAAUUGCCCAAAGGCCUAAGAAGCGCUCUCGCGUCCUAAAUGACCGAGAACUUCUUGUGGCACUGCAUCAGAAACAAGACAAGCAUCACUUCUGGCUCAAGCGACAGAUGCAAACCUCUUGGUGGACGUCAAUCGCAUUCGAAAUCUUGCCACCAAGAAUUCUUUUGUCACUCACGAGAAGUGUCGGCGAUCAUGGAAGAGUUUGACGCUGCUCAGUGCUGAAGCAGAUCUUCAAGACGAUGGCUUCACCGAAAGAUUCAAGUAUGACUCCACUCCUCCACGGAAUGCUGUCCUACGUCGAACUCCAUCCCUUGAAGACUCUGACUAUUCUUCCUCUGCAGCAACUAUGAAUGCCAAAGUUCUCGAUGAUGAAGACGAUGCUACUUCACCGCCCCCUACUUCUGCACGCAUCGACACUGCACCAAGUUUGUCUGCGCCGCCAAACAACAACGACAACCCUGCUGCUUCACCUACUCCUCAUGGGAACGAGUAGAUGCUCUAUGUCUUCAAAACUUUUUGGUCCUUACUGACAAAAGGGGGAGAAGCAUAUGAGUUUGAUAGUCUUCAAACGGGUUCAUAUGGGCGGUUGCUUUAUAUUUUGCCUAGUGUUUACAACUCUCGCUUUUGAUACAUUUGGUUCUUUGAGUUGUAACACUUAAACUCGAUGGUCAUCUGCUACUUAUUUGCUUUUCUGUGAUGCGAUGAUAAAUUCCGCAUGUGCGAUGAUAACUUCCGCACUUAGAUCAUUUUGCAGACGUCCAUUUUUCAUUAUGCACAUCAUUUCAUGCAUGAUGAAUUAUCUUCAUAAGUUGAAGAGGAUCUCCACAAGUACAACCUGCCAUGUGCAUUUGCAUUCCAAAAGCAAAUUACUUAUAUGCACAUCUUCAGGGGGAGCCUUUGCCACUUAUGAAGAGAAUACCCUAUCCAUUACAAUUUCACAUACUUUAUCCCCGUUGAAAACUUCAACCAGUUUGUCAUCAAUCACCAAAAAGGGGGAGAUUGUAAGUGCAUCUAGUGCCACCCCUAGUUGGUUUUGGAGUAUUGAUGACAAAUUUGGUUAAGGGACUAAUGCGUUUGUGAGAAUUGCAGUAUAACGCAGGUAGUGUCCCUCAUUGAUUCGGUUUACCUACCGGAGAUGACCCCUAAAAAUGUAUGAAGACAUUGACGACAAUGGUGGUAUGUGAAGAUAUUCAUAUUGAAGACUAUGACAUGAGAAGACAUUAGUGAAGACUAUGGAGCGCGAAGACUGUGUCGUUUCGUUGUUUCCUUUUCUUCUUUGUUGAGUCAUAGGAACCACCAUACUGUUAAGUGGGGUCCGAGUGAACAAAGUCAGAAUGACUGAAGUGAUGCUCAACCCAAAUCCUAUAUCUUUGAGCGAAGACAAUGAGAGCAAAUCUUAUCCAGAGCUGGAUGAGUCAGCUUUGCUUGUAGCCCAAGUAAAGUUGUCGUGUGUAUUUGAAAUCUGACCGUUGGAACACGUGUCAGUUCCUUAGUGACCCAGGGUCAUUUCGAACAUAUCAGGUCGGGUUGCCUAGUGGCUAUAAAUAGCCCACCCCCUACACCAUAAAUUGGUGGCUGCUCAGAGUUAGUACACGGCUUUUGUCGUUUGAGAGCAACCCACCUCGAAGCCGUUGAGAGAGAGAAAUCCUUGCGUGGACAAAGCCCAAACACCUAGAGCCAAAGAGUGUUAGGCAUCACUAAAGUCUUUCUGUCUGCGUGACCUGAAGACUUAUUACACUUGAGGACUGUGAAUCCUCCAGCCGGUUAGGCGUCGCGUUCUGAGCAUCCAAGAGUCAUUGUGGAUCGCCGGUGAACGAAGUCUGUGAAGGUUCGGAAGCCUACCUUGAAGACUUUCCAGAGUGAUUGGGCGAGGACUGUGUGUCCUUAGCUCAAGGGGAAUAAGGUGAAGACGCGGUCUUCUGAGUUGAAUCUCAGCCUCCCUAACCAGACGUACAGUUGUCACAGCAACUGGAACAGGUCCAACAAAUCUUGUGUCUUCAACAAGUGACUGGUUCUAUCCUCUCCCUCCCUUUACUUAGUGUUUGUCUUCGUGAAGUCAUUGCCUAUUUGUCAUACCUGUUUGACUUCAUUGCUUGACUACUAUCGUUGGUUGGCUUCAUACUAUCUUCCAUCCUAAUCCUUACUACUAAGCUGCUAUUAGUCUUUGUACUUUCACAUUAUUGCAUACUUGACUAUGGUUUGCUUGUUGUAGUUUAUCUUCCGCUGCAUAUCAAUUAGGUCAUUUCUAUUGUUUGUCUUCGAAACUUCCACGUUUUGAAGACUUUCAUAAAAAUCGCCUAUUCACCCCCCCUCUAGUCGAUAACUAGCACUUUCACUCUAUGACAGUCCUGAUAAUUUGCCUGAUCACGUCAUCAAUUACAUGACCAAGUGCCUCCUUAAUGAAAGUCUAAUAGACUAUGCCAAGGUGGGCUUAAGCCCUUUCUGCGCAACCAAUCCGGCUCCAGCGGUAAGUCGCCAAGCUAAACAAAUCAUUUCCUAUAUUGAUGUUUUACCUAUACUCAAACUUUUGCUGAUUUUCACAGGCUGAUAACAAAUUCUGGAAAGUCAAAUAUGAUCAUGAGGCUGCAAAAAGAGACUGGAAGGCCAGGAGAGCCGCUAGGAGAGCCACCACAAAGAAACGUGGAAAGAAAACCAGUGCUUCUGAGCAGCUUCGGUUAGAUGAUUCUUCUAAGUCGGAGGUAGCCCUUGACUCCCUUGGCUUAUUUUUUAAUCACCUUAUUGAUACUGAUUAUGAUCAGGAUGACACGGGCACGAGCCGUGGGGUGGAUGAAGAGGUAACUAUUAUUUCCUCCGACUCAGAGCCUUUGCCGUGCCAAAAACUCUGCCAAGUAACUUGGAAAGUAAGAUUUUCACAUCCUUUUGCUUAUCAAGAUCCUCGAUUUCUUUUGAAGCGACAGAUUCAUGAGAGCCGGAGGCAGACCCGUACCAGCAAAGACACAGAGCUCUCCUCCGGCUUGCCCAAUACACCACGGAAGCGCCGGAACAAGGUCAUCUCCGUCUUAGAUUCCUCUUAUCCUUUGGCAGGUCUCACUCGUCAACCACCGAACCCUUCUGACUCGAAUUAUCAAGAAACUUCUCCUUCAUCCGGCGACUCAAUUCAAUCCAACUUGCCAGCUUUCAAAGCCGCUCCAGGGUAAUGAUGACUUGCCUAUCUUAUUCUUUGAAUUUUUAUACUUAUACUGACCUUUUGAUCUUUAUGUAAUGGCAAAGCAAAGGUUAGCAAGGCCAACAAGGACAAGCCGGUCGAUGAGCCAACCCUCAAAGAACCGGCACUUCAGACGGUCAUACCAAAAACCUCUGCUACUAAGCCGCCACCUGAGCCAGCGUAUGAACCGCCAACCUUAGCCGCUGACCCGCCUACCGAGCAAGCUCUUGAUGACCCGCGUAUGAACCGCCAACCUUAGUCUCAAGCCCAGUCAAGACAAACGACCCUUAAGAAGCUGAGGUUGAAAUUACCAAGACCAGUUACAUUGAGCCGGGAAGGCCUGCUGUGCUUGCCAAAUGCACUGCCAAAGAAGAAUUCCUGGAAUGCCGUAAGGUCAGAUUUGACCUUACGGAUUACUCUCACAUGAGUGCCGGAGAAGUUUUGUCUGGCUAUCUCAGCCAAGUGCACAGUAGCCGUGACGUCGAAAUUGACAUGGUGAAGCAGAUGCACCAUAAAUUUGGUAUGAUCUCCUCUUUUCCCUGAAUCAUUCUUAUUACGCCAUCCCCGAAGUCUACUGCUUAAGAUGAAUAUGUUGUAGACUUUAGAAAAACGUCAAACAAGUAUUAACAAUGUCUUUAGAUCAAAAACCUGUAGAAAUCCAGCUUAAUCCGUAGCCCCCAAGGGCCGUUUUAAUCAAAAUGAAUGAGCCGGUCCUUCACAUGCUUGUGUAGAACAUAUUAACUUCAUAGUUUGAACUGCAAUAUGCAUUAGCCCCCAAGUGCCAAGUAGUCUUGCUUGCAAAGUGCUUGGGACUUUAAUUUUGUGAACCGCCAAUCUCAUGAACCGCCACUAUAAAUAUACUUCCGCGGUAGACAUUAGCCCCCAAGUGUCAAGUGCUUUGCUUGCAAAGUGCUUGGGACUUGAAUAUUAUAUGCUCAUAGUCAUGAUUUUAACCCGGCAUUUAUGCAGGUCGCCACCAAUCAAUUUCAAUCAGAAAUAUCUGACUUGAAGAACUGCCUGAAAUCACAAGAGACAGAAACCGAAAGGGCCAACUCCAAGUUUGAAUUCAGUGUAUCUGAACAAGAGAAGUUGAAGGCCAACUUUGAGGUGGAAAGAAAAGCUUGGGCUGAUGAAAAGAAGGCCGGAACCCAACAAGCUGACAAGGCAGAGGCGGCUCUUGAAAAGGUAACCAAUGAAUUGUCCGGCUUAAAACGCCACGUGACCCAGAUGGUUAAAGCAAUCUUUGGUAAGUCAUCCUGCAAGUUAUAAAUAUUUGAAACUUUCUAAUGAUCAUAUAAACUGUUAUUAAUGCACCUGACAUUGCUAUGCAGGCCUCAGGAGUUCAAAUCUCAGCCAAGAUAUGUUGACAAAGCUGAAAGCGGUUUAUACACUGGUGGAGCAACUCUACACCGGAUCUCAGUGGGCCUUAGCCACCGUGGCCCUGUCCAAUGAAGUUUCCACACUUUUGGCGGAUGUACUAAGGAAACUUUCUGUGCUGCCUCAACGGAUCACUGAACUGAAGCGAUCGUCUGUGAGAGCCGGAGCUGUGGCCACACUAAGCCAGGCCAAAGCUUGGCUUCCGAAACUAGACCCGGCGGACAUCGCUAUUGGUUAUCCAAGCCUAAAAGAAGAUGGUACGCCCUUUGAAUAGGAAGAUUUUGCUGCUUGUGUGAAGGCAAUACGCCCUGUGGCCACUCUGAUUGCUGAAGAGGCGGAUCUCUCCAAGUACCAGGCGGGUUAUGACACAGAGAACCGGAGGAUUCUGACACCACAGUACACUUUGACAAAUCUGAUUCCACCAAUUCGUAAGCAUAGCUUCGCCCCUGAAGUUGACCCGACCGGAUUAAUUGAUGAUGAAGCUGAAUUUAAAGCUUUGAGUGGCAUUGACUGGUCGUCAUCAACCUUUCAGGACCGGGAACAAGACGACGAAGUGGAAAGGGUUGAUCUAGAAGCUUCAGGCCAUCAAGAGAAUUGAUCCACCGAACGGCUCAUAUUUGUAGUCUUUGUUGAAAAACCAAUAUUAAUCAUUUUGACUCGGGGAGUCAUGUAAUAGGAGCAGAAAUGACUUUGUUGUGCCGUGCCUUCGUGCAUGUUUUGAUGCUUUAACAAUGUUUAAGCCGCCAUCAUAUCUUUACUCCGUCUUACACUUUCCUAUUUUCCUUAUGCAUAAGAAAGCAUGUAAUCUGUCCUGCACAAAGAGAUAGAUCACAGAAAUCCUCGGUGGCUUACCGCAGGGCGGGUCAUAAUUAUCCCAUGUAACUAUAAAUGUGAAAUAUGAGUUAUAAAUAAUCCUGAUGAGAAUCAGAACUUUCAAUAUAACUGUGACAACAUCAUACCUGAGAUGUCAAAUUUCUACGGCCGAUUUAGAUGACCUGUAUAGUAAGGGUGAUGACCCAGUUUAGAAGUCAUGAUUUCAAUUGGAGUAUGUCACACGCCUGGCGACUGAUUGUUCGAAGUCAAGCCGGCUCAGACAGAAACCUUAUAUGCCUUAGAACAUGAACACAUGAAAGGUCUCUAGACAAAUCCAAAGAGUGCUUUCAAAAAAGACUUAAGCAAAAAGAACAGAAAUACAAAUUAAGGCUUCUGAUUCGAAUACGAUCAGUAAACCGUCCCAAAGGGUUAAGCUAGGGUUCCAAUACGACCAUGUAGUCCCAGUGGCUUUGGCAUUGCGCCGAUCAAGAGGGUACCGACAGCUAUGUUCUCUUUGGUUCGAAUAUGACCUAUGUUUGAACAGGAAGCCCCCAAAUGACCUUGAGAAUAUUUAACGACUCUGAUUCGAAUAUGAUCUCGGUCGGACCCAAGAGGGGUUAAGCUAUGAUUUGAAUACGAUCAAGAAGCCCCCAAGUAGAUUUUGGCAUUGCGCUGAUCAAGUGGGUACCGACAGCUAUGUUCUCUUUGGUUCGAAUACGGCCUAUGUUUGAACAGGAAGCCCCCAAGUGACCUUCAGAAUAUUUAACGACUUUGAUUCGAAUACGAUCAGGAUCGGACAAAAAGGGGUUAAGCUAUGAUUCGAAUACGACCCAGCCCCCAAAUGAUCAAGUUGUUUGAACAACUAUGAUUCGAGUAUGAUCAGGAAGCUGUGCCAAAGGAGUUAAGCUAGAUUCAAAUACGAUCGGCCCCCAAUGAUCUUUUUCAAAUUAUGACAAUGAAGACAUCUGAUCUUUGAGAAUGAAAAAGGACAGAGGUCCUGCUUUAUUAUUGAUAAUAUAUACAUCACCAAGAUAUGUACAUCAUGAGAGCCGGUGGCUCAAGUGUAGUAAGGCCGAAGAUGAGCUAUAUUCCACGGUCGGCGGGUCUCCUCCUCCGACUUACGUGAGUCUUUGUGCUCUCGAACAUCGAUAAGGUAGUAUGAUCCAUUGUUCAAAUUCUUGCUGACCACAAAGGGCCCUUCCCAAGGUGGGGAUAACUUGUGUGCAUCAGUCUGAUCCUGGAUGAGCCGGAGCACCAAGUCGCCUUCUUGAAAGGUUCUGGAUUUAACCCGGCGGCUGUGAUAACACCACAUGUCAUGUUGGUAAAUCGCCGAGCGGGCUGCUGCCAAGUCACGCUUCUCAUCCAACAGGUCAAGUGCCUCUCGACGUGCUUGCUCAUUGUUAGCUUCCACGUAAGCCGCCACUCGGGGCGAGUCAUGGUGGAUGUCAUUAGGAAGAACUACCUCUGCUCCAUAAACCAUGAAGAAAGGGGUAUAACCCGUAGGUCUAUUGGGGGUAGUAUUGAUGCUCCAUAACACUGAUGGUAACUCCUCCACCCAACAAACCGGUGUUCGCUGCAAAGGAACUAGAAGUCAGGGCUUGAUCCCCUUCAAAAUCUCCUGAUUGGCUCUUUCUGCUUGACCAUUGGAUUGGGGGGAGCCACUGAUGAGACAUCAAGCCGGAUAUGCUCACGUUGAUAGAACUCCUCCAUAGCCCCCUUGGACAAGUUAGUGCCAUUAUCAGUUAUGAUGCUAUGGGGGAAACCAAAACGGAAAAUCACCUUUUUCAUGAAUUGAACCGCCGUCGCCGCAUCACACUUACUGUCCGGCUCUGCUUCCACCCACUUUGUAAACUUAUUGUCGUGAAAAUUUCUGACACCCGUCACGUGUACUGACCAGAUCUUCUGCAUUAGCAUGAGCCGUCGGCCAAUAGAAUCCGUGACGGAAAGCUUUAGCCACAAGGGACUUUGAACCAGCAUGAUGGCCACAAUCUCCUUCAUGAAUCUCAUUAAGAAUCUCUUGGCCUUCCUCAGGAGACACACAACAUUGAAACGCCCCAGUGACACUGCGAUGAUGUAACUCGCCAUUGGCAAUCGUCAUUGACUUAGACCGUCAGGUUAUCUGUCUAGCCAAGGUUUCAUGCUCGGGCAAUUCUCCCAGGGUCAUGUAAGCCAAAUAUGGCACUGUCCAAUCUGGGAUGACGUAAGAGCCGCCACCAACUGUGCUUCCGGGUCAGGUACAGCCAAGUCUUCCUCUGUAGGUAACUUGACAGACAGAUUAUGCAAAACAUCCAACAAAGUGUUCAGGGGUACCGGUUUACGCUAAGAUCCAAGCCGGCUUAAAGCAUCAGCCGCCACAUUCUUCCUGCGAUCGAUGUGUUCCACUUGAUAACCCUUGAAGUGUCUAGCAACAGCAUCAACCUCACAUCGAUAAGCUGCCAUGAGAGGGUCUUUGGAAUCCCACUUGCCUGAGACUUGUUGAGCUACCAAACCUGAGUCGCCGAAGCACCUUACCCGGCUUAAGUUCAUCUCCUUAGCCAUCCGAAGACCAUGAAGAAAGCCCUCAUACUCAACUGCAUUGUUAGUACAGGGAAACAUCAACCUUAGCACAUAACAAAAUUUAUCACCUCAAGGGGAAGCCAAAACAACUCCAGCCCCCGAGCCUUCCAAUUGCCUGGAUCCAUCGAACUGAAUAGUCUAGUAUGUGUUAUCCGGCUUCUCUUCAGGCGCCUGCAACUCUGUCCAAUCCUUGAUGAAAUCCACCAGUGCUUGAGACUUGAUAGCAGUACGAGGUACAUAUUUUAAACCAUGAGGCCCAAGCUCGAUAGCGCACUUGGUGACUCGUCCCAUAGCCUCUCUGUUCUAGAUGAUAUCCCCCAAAGGAGCUGAACUGACCACAGUGAUUGGAUGACCCAGGAAAUACUGCUUAAGCUUUCGGCUAGCCAUGAACACCCCAUAAACAAGCUUCUGCCAAUGUGCACCUCACUGAUGUAGUAAACCAGCCGUUGAACCGGAUAUUCCUUACCAGUCUCCUUGCGCUCCACCACAAUGGCCACACUGACAACACGUGCGUUAGCAGCCACAUAUAACACCAAUGGCUCCUUACCAAUGGGAGCGGCAAGGACCGGCGGCUCAGCCAGUUGCCUCUUCAAAUCCUCAAAGGCAACAUUAGCAGCAUCACUCCAGACAAAGUCGUCGGUCUUCUUCAACAUCUGAUACAGCGGUAUGGCCUUCUCACCUAACCGGCUUAUGAACCGGCUUAAAGCAGCAAUGCGACCUGCCAAAUGCUAAACAUCAUUGAUACACUUGGGUUUUGCCAAAGAUGUGAUAGCCUUGAUCUUCUUUGGGUUUGCCUCAAUGCCUUUGUUAGAAACCAGAAAUCCCAAGAGUUUGCCUGCCGGCACAACAAAGACGCACUUUGCUGGGUUAAGCAUCAUAUUGUAGACCCAGAGGUUAUCAAAGGUCUCCUUGAGAUCAUCUAUCAGUGUUUCCCUCUCUCUGGACUUCACCACAAUAUCAUCCACAUAAGCAUGCACAUUGCGGCCAAUCUGAGUAUGAAGGCAAUUUUGCACACAAUGCGGAUAAGUCGCCUGGGCACUCUUGAGCCCAAAAGGUAUAUAAACAUAGCAGAAGGUUCCAAAGAGAGUAGUGAAUGCCGUCUUUUCCUGGUCCUUAACCGCCAUCUUGAUCUGAUGAUAUUGAGAAUAAGCAUCCAAAAAACCCAACCGUAGCAUCAAUGAUUUGAUCAAUACACGAGAGAGCAAAGGGAUCAGCCGGACAAGCCUUGUUCAAGUACGUGUAAUCCACACACAUACGCCAAGUGUCGUUCUUCUGGAGCACUAGCACCAGGUUAGCUAACCACUCUGGAUGAAAUACCUCAAUAAUGAACCCGACUGCCAAGAGCCGGGUCACCUCCUCGCCAACAGCCUUGCGCCUCUCUUCAUUAAACCGCCGAAGAAACUGCUUGACCGGCUUAAACUUCGGAUCAAUGUUGAGAGUGUGCUCAGCGAGUUCUCUCGGUACACCCGGCAUGUCAGAAGGCUUCCAUGUAAAGAUGUAUCGAUUCUCACGGAUGAACUCGAUAAGCGGGCUUUCCAAUUUGGGAUACAGAUUGGCAUUGAUACUGAACUGCUUAGAUGAAUCGCAAAGAACAAAGUCAACCAUCUUUGCGUCCUUAGCCGACUUAAAGGUCAUCUCCGGUUCACGCUCUGUGGUGGGCUUCUUCAAGGAUGUCAUGUCUGCCAGGUCAACAUUGUCUUUAUAAUACUUUAACUCUUCUGUAGCACAGACUGACUCAGCAUAAGCCGCGUCGCCUUCCUCGCACUCUGGAGCCACCUUCCGACUGCCAUGAACCAUAAUGGUCCCUUUAUGACCCGGCAUCUUCAGCUGCAGAUAAACAUAACACGGCCGUGCCAUGAAUUUGGCGUAAGCCGGUCGCCCAAACAGAGCAUGAUACGGGCUCCUGAUCUUGACCACCUCAAAAGUUAACUUUUUGGCCCUAAAAUCAUACUCAUCUCCAAAGGCUACCUCCAACUCAAUCUUGCCCACUUGGUAUGCCAAUUUACCAGGAACUACACCAUGAAAAACAGUAUUGGACUGCAUAAGAUUUCUCCCGCAUGCCAAACUCCACUGUCCAACCAAUGCGGAACCAACCAGUAACUUGCCGCCCACCAGCAUGGGCCACCACGGUCUUGAUGCCCACCCACACUGCCUCACUGGGAUCACCACCACGAGGCAAAGAGGACGGAGAGAGGAGCGCCAGGAAUCAGGAGCGGCAGCACCGGAGCCGCGCGGGAGGGAACCACCUCCACUGCUGUUGUGCGGGAGGUUUGUGCCUCCAACACCGUCGUGGUCGCUGUUCGGACGUGGCAACAGGGGCAUACCAGGCCACCCCUGGCCCGGCCAUGCCCAAAUCGGCCCCGCAAAGCCCCGACUGCCACGUUGCAGCAGGCCGGCGCCAGCGGCCGCCACCACCCACUCCGCCCAAUGCCGCUCCUCCGCUUGCCGGAAACCACACCAUCGACGUGCCCCACCACGCCCCCUGCCUAGACCGAGAUGGGCCCAGAUCUGGGCUGAGCGGGUGCUGCGCCACCCUGCCGCAAAUGUCAGCGCCGCCACCUAGGUGUACUCCAUGGCCCGCUCUGCCUCGUGUCGGCGUGUCACCAAGAGGGGAAAGGCCAGGGGUCGCCGGUGCCGGUGCCGCCUAGGUGCACCCCACGGCUCCGCUCCGCCCCGCGUCGGCACGCCACCAAGAGGAGAAAGGCCAGGGCCGUCGGCGCCAACAUCGCUCGGGCUAGCGAUGACGGCGGGAAGGGAGGAACGAGGGAGGGCUCGAGGGGAGAUGCAGCUGAUCACCCGCAGGGGCGACGUGGUCGCGAGAGAGGGGGUCCCAUAACAAAUAAUUUGAUAAAACAAAAUACAUACAACAGUAGUAGGAUUUGUGUUUGACACUAUAGAUAUUGAUACUUUUCUUUAAAAAUUUGGUCAAAUAUAUAGAUAUUUGAUUUUUAAAAACUAGUAAUACAGUAAAUCUUAUACUUCGUAACAACGGAGGGAGUAUUAGUUGGUCGCUAAUUCUAGUUCUGACACGCUCCACAUGUUGCGGCGCUUGUGGCAAGAUAGCCAGCGACAGGUCACUUUGCAAAGAGAGCCAGCAGAGGAAUUGGGCCAAACUGUAAAAAACCACUCCAGAUCUCACAUUCACUAGUCACAGCGACUGCAAUACUCACCGAUCCCUUUCCCCUCCUCCCCUUCCUAGCCCUCCAACCCUAGAAACCCACGGCGCCUCUCCGCUCGAGCUCCACUAUGCGAGGCGACAGGCAAGGCGGCGGGUAGAAUCUGCUUCAACACCGGGCCGGCGAGCCGCGGAAGUAGGGCGCGAUGGCGCUCGACGCGUCCACCCCCCUCCGUCUCCCCGGCGCUCCCCUUCCCGUGAUCUGCACACUCGGUCCGCUGGGUCGCACCAGCCACCGCAGGCUGCUCGGCUGCCCCAACUGCUGUCGUUGAAGAAGGUAAGGGUAGACGUCUUCUUUUGUUGCUUCGGUAGGUUAGCACUACAUGAUAAUGCGUGGUAUUUUGUCUGGACAAAGAAAAUUUUCAACUAGUGCUGCUCUGGCAAAAUCGAUCUGUUAAAGUUGGUGGUUUUUAGAGUGGCAAACGUUGUUGUAAUGCUGUUGAUGCAAAUUCUACCUCCCAUGGUCCUUUCAGUAUAACAAAUGUGCACAAGGGCAGGGAAAAGAGCAUGCUCGUCAUUAUACAGCUAGCUCUUACCUUACCACACCUCACACAUCUAUCAAUUUAACCUUGUUCUCGUAAAAAGGACAAUCUGCAAUCCGCAAUUCAAGUUCUCCAUCUAGCUCAUUUUAGCCUUUUUGCGUGCCAAUGAUGUGCGAGGGUGCAGCCUGUUUCCAUUUUCUCUACUGUGCAUUAUUUUGUUGUUUCUCUACUGGGCAUUAUUAUGACAUCUUGCAUCUCUGUAGACAUUAUCUGACUCACUUCAUCUUUUGAAGAAGGUAAUGGUAAAAUUGUUCUUUUGUUCUUGUGGCAACCUCAGCUAGUUAGUAGUACAUAGUAAUGCCUGGUAUUCUGGAUAAUUAAUUUUUCAACGGCAAUGUUUUGUGUGGUAAAUUUUCUUAAGAGAGUGGCGAAUUUUGUGAUGGUGCUGAGUCAAUUCCCUCUUCUCGCAGGCAGAGGCAGAAGCUACCUCAACCUGUUUUGAUCUGUUGAUCAAUGGCCAUGGCUGGAUCCAGGUGGAUGAUGCUCGACCGCUUUGUCUUCCACAGGGGUGACGAGGAAGCGGGUAGUCCCUUCCUAAACGGAUCUUAGGCGCCUUUGAGGGCAAGUUCGCGCACCUCUCUUUGCAAGAAUUUUGACAUCCUCUUCCUCCCUGCCGAGCCCCCGGCCAUCUCCCGCUUCUACAUACGGUGGCCUGACGAUACAAAGUCGGAGGAUGCCAAGGGAACCAAGCUCGUGGCCGCCCACCGUGAUCUGGUUCUCUUCAUGCAAACCUCUUUUGGAAGAUUGGACAAGGACGGUCGCUUACCGAUCAUACAAGACCACUUUAUAUGUGUAGCGUCAUGUGAGACUAAGCCGUCCCUGCAGCUCAAACAGCUCCCUAUCUGCAACAAGCCAAUGAUCUUCCCUUUUGGAGAGGGAGAGGAGAAGGCAAUGGCUGAGCAGCGUCUGUUCUUCCCGGACACUGUAGGACUCAUCCGAGGCCAUGGCGAAAGCGUUGAAGCAGAAUUUGCAGUGGCGCAGCUGGCUAUGGUCAGCGAAAUACCUGGCUCGCUCAACAUGGAAGCAGAAGUUUGUGUGUUCCUCUCACUUGUAUCUGGUAAUGAUGGUGAUGGCAAAUGGGAUGUGAGGAAGAUACCAAUCGACCAUAAGGAGGAUGAGCAUAAGGAGUUAUACUAUUGGUCAACUGAUGCUGUCAUCACAUUCAACUCUUGCAUUUGUUGGAUUAGUUAUUACAGAGGUGGUAUGCUAGUUUAUGAUGUACUUGAAGAAAAUCCGCGGAUCUUAUACCUCUGAUUGCCUAUUGUUGACCAUCCUAGAAGUUAAGCUCAAGGCAAAGCAUUCUAUGAGGUGAAUCGUGGUGUGUGCGCCACAAUAGAGCUGAGCAAAAAUGGCUCUGUUCUCAGAUUCACUGAUGUUAUCCGCUCUGAUGGGGAGUCGUUUGGGCCACUUCGGAAAGGUUCUAGUUUCACCAUUCACUCCUAUAUUUUGUCCUCCUUAGAUGGGCCAUGGGAUGAGCAUGUGGCCAUCACAUCUGAAGAGCUGUGGGCUUUAAACAGAUAUAUAGGUCUGCUGUGUGAUAUCCUGAUGUUCCCUCUUGUGAGCAUGCUGAAUUCCAACAUCGCAUACUUUUUGGUCUCAGAGUCUGCCGAAGAAGAAAAAAGCAAGGUUUCUUUGGUCACAAUUCAGUUAAGUACCAAGAAAGUGCUCGUAGUUCAUCCAUAUAUUUUAAGAGAAGAAGGCAGCCCCAGUGGCCCAGAUGCUGACAUGAUCGAGGAAAAGUCUCAUCUCCUAAGGAGUUUCAUUUCCUCCAGGUUUCCCCGCGUACUUAAAACAAGUAUUUCUAUCUUGUAUAUUUAUCUGUCCAUAAAUUAAGUUUUGCUGAAUACUGUUAGUUUUUGCUACAUUCCUGAUCUCAGUGUUGGAUAACCGAAAUAGCUGGUAUUUUUUAUGACAAUAGCAAAGUCCACUGAGCUAAAGUUUAGGAUGUUGCCUUAAAGUUUGUGUUUCUUCUUAAAUUCGUGAACAGGUUGUUGCCUUAGUGUUUUAGAACAAAACUCCAGCCCUCGUUGCCUGGUAUUGUGGAAGAUCAAAAUUAUGAUAACACUGUAUUUUUUUUAGGAAUUUAUCUCAUUGCUAAUACAGAAAGUGAGCAUGUAAAAUUGAAGCCUAAUUAAAAUACUAGUAAAAUAUAGCUCUGUUGCAGCACCAAUUAAUUUGUGUAUUCAUCUUUUGCUACCAUAGAUUAGCUACUACUUGUCAUCCUUGCUACUAUACCAUUUGUCACCAGCUUUUGAGUAUGGUUCAAAGUUUGCACAGCUCAAUACAAGUAGUACAUUUAUCAUUACAUUCCUGUCUGAUGGGAUCCAACACAUUGGUUGGAGCUCCAUCAAAUAUCAUAUUAUCACUCAAGACACCCUCCCUGGCUAGCACUAGCUAAUUGAUGGGCAACGCCAUUCUCCUUCCUAUGCAGAUGUAGAACCUUGAAACCUGAUAAUUGAUUCGAUAGAUGAUUACUUUCCAAGUAGACCCCAUUGAAGGUUGAUCCAUCCUUUUUCUUCCUCACCUAGUCCAAAUCACAAGCAUAGUAACACUGCCAGUGAUCACCGGGAGGUUGGCAAUGGCAAUGAUGCCUCUCACGCCUUUCAUGCAUGCUAGAGCUUCUGUCCUUCCUGCACUAUUGACAUAUACAGACACUGCCAUACUCUGACCAAAUGAUGUUUAAUUAAGAGGAGCGCAACACUGCUCCCAAUGAGCUUUUGCCUGUUUCAGUCACGAAGGUUGUGUCUGUUCAACUUCAGUUCCGGUCCGAACAACCUGUUGAUAGGUCGAUCACUUGCAUUCACAAACUUGAUGGUGUACAUGUUAAUUACUGAUUUGUCUUGAAUAUCCAGGGUCUUGGUGCCAGGGUGUGUGAACUCCAUGCUCUAAUGGUAGCUCUUACUAAACUGGACUGAGGCUUGGGUCGUUGCACCUCCUUUGCCAAAGAUUGUAUCAUUUCGUAAAUGGCAUGCUCUGCACCGGCAAGCAAAUUCAAACACAUCUCUUGGCUCAAAGAUGACUGCAUCAGGAUGUGCUACUCAUCCACGGAUAGUGCAAGUUUCCUCGCUCUCAUUCUUGAUCGAGCUGAGACAACAAAUGCUAAGAUUCCAUGGAUUUCAUCAAGGACCCACACACACCUGCACCACAUGAAUUUAAGCGGCCCGCAAACUCAGGGGACGGUGGAUUUCUAGCAAUUCCCAUUAAAAGUAGCACAAAUUCCAAAAUGUUCGCUAACAAGCCCAAUUGUUCACUAAGUCCUCCAAGACCUGAGACACAACAUUUGAUGGAGAGAACAAGACGGGAUCAAGCAGCUCCAAUUUCUCAGGGAUUGUAUCUCAUCCAUACAAAAGGCCUGACCUUACGACACUCUAGCGCACACUUCACUUGACCCUUGAUCUACAAAUCUUCUUCCUCCAGCAUUUCCUUCCUAAGUCUAGUCACUAACCUCAUUACGCCAGCCAGUGUCUGCAAUACGGUAAGCCAAUGAUAAAUUAGUGAAAAAGCUCCCGCAUGAUCAUUAUGGAAUUAUUCUGCAAGUACAAUGACCCUACAAAUUAGUUGAUUGGCUUUCUAAACAUCAUGGUGAAUUAACACACAUAUAAUGUCACAAGUCACCAUUCUUACAAAAAUAAUAAUGGCGAAUUAAUAAAAAUCUGUUUUCUCAUGCAGACUCGCCCAUAUAUCUCGAGGUUAUUUCAGCAAUGUAUCCAGGUUACCCACGACAAAAAAACAUAGUCCACAUCUUUUAAAUGCGAGACAUGAAAAAGACAUGAAAAAUGAAGAUAACAACAUAGUGAAAUCCCAUCAAUUUCGUGCCUAUGAAUAUUGAAGUAGCCAUACCAAGUGCAUCAAAUGAACUUAAAUAAUAAGGACAUGCAUCAUAUAAUCGGGCUAGCCAAGUUCGACAAAAAGAAAGACAAGCGAACCGCAGGCCAACUCCUUAGCCCAGGAGCGUUCUCCAUGGCCAGGAAACAAAUGUAAAGUGGCUGGUGGUAUGGCACUGUCAAAUACAAACGAUUGGGAAGUAUCUAAGCUUGCCAAUUCUAGAAGGGAGGAUAAAGAAUGCAGGUUCUAGCUUCUCAAGGAUAAUGAUAGAAAGAACUGUUCAGGUUUGUCUGAGAGAUACCAAUGAACAUGGUAAAGAGGUCUUGGGUUGAAUCAGUUGUGCAGGCCCUCCCCACCUAUUAACCGUAAGAGUCCUCAAGUCAUCGGCAAGCCUCUGUGAGGAUCUUAUGCAAAUUAUGAGGAUUGUUUGGUGGGGUGACGAGGAAGACAGAAGAAAAGUCCGUUGGUGGUUGUGGGAAAAACUUACAAAAGUCAGAGCAAUGGACUUAAAUUAAUUGAAUUCCAGGACAGGCUCUGCACUAGAAUACUAAAAGCUCACUGCUACCCAAACAGGGAAGGAACACGUUGACCGUUUGGCAGGGAAUCGAGCAUGGUUCAGAUUCACUGAAAAAUAGUGACAUCUAGUGAAUCGGCUCAGGUAGAAAAGUGAGGCUGUGGAGGGACAAUUGAUUACCACAUGGCAACCUUGAACUCUCUUCCAAUACAUGAUAGUCACGGCUUUGACUGGGUAUCAGACCUCUUCAUCCACUAGAUCGAACGGAGAGAGGCUGCUAUGCAACCUGAUCUGGAAACAAAAGUACCGCCAAAUGUGUGUGUUAUUGCUUGGAAGCUGGCAACGGAUUCUAGAUUCUUUGGCUGUCCAAAGAAACCGAUGGCGGCAGAAUAUGGAUGUUCUCCCUACCUGCAACAUCUGUGGGACAGGGGAGGGAGAUGGAUAUCAUGUUGUAAUGUUGUGUAUGAAAGCAAGGUCCCUGAGAUGUGCCCUUCGGUAAGACUGGAACUUGUAGGCUGACAGAGAGUUGACUCAUAAAGACAGAGGCUGGGCACUUAUGGCUUUGAGCAAACUAAAUGAAGGGGUGUGCACCAAGCUUCUAUUCCUUUGGUGCAGAGCAUGCCAUUUACGAAAUGAUACAAUCUUUGGCAAAGGAGGUGCAACGACCCAAGCCUCAGUCCAUUUUAGUAAGAGCUACCAUUAGAGCAUGGAGUUCACACACCCUGGCACCAAGACCCCGGAUAUUCAAGACAAAUCAGCAACUAACAUGUACACCAUCAGGUCUGUGAAUGAAAGUGAUCGACCUAUCAAUAGGUUGUUCGGACCGGGAUUGAAGUUGAACAGACACAGCCUUCGUGACUGAAACGGGCAAAAGCUCAUUGGGAGCAGUGAUGCGCUCCUCUUCAGGCAACAUCAUUUGGUCAGAGUAUGGCAGUGUCUGUAUAUGUCAAUAGUGCAGGAAGGACAGAAGCUCUAGCAUGCAUGGAAGGCAUGAGAGGCAUCAUUGCCAUUGCCAACCUCCCGGUGAUCACUGGCAAUGUUACUGUGCUUGUGAUUUGGACUAGCUGAGGAAGAAAAUGAUGGAUCAGCCUUCAAGGGGGUCUAGUUGGAAAGUAAUCAUUUGUCGAAUCAACUAUCAGGUUACAAGGUUCUACAGCUGCACAGGGAGGAGAAUGGUGUUGCCCAUCAAUUAGCUAGGGCUAGCCAGGGAAGGUGUCUUGAGUGAUAAUAUGAUAUUUGAUGGAGCUCCAACCAGUGUGCUGGAUCCCAUCAAACAGGAACGUAAUGAUAAAUGUACUACUUGUAUUGAGCUGUGCAAACUUUGAACCAUACUCAAAAGCUGGUGACAAAUGGUGUAGUAGCAAGGAUGACAAGUAAUAGCUAAUCUAUGGUAGCAAAAGAUGAAUACACAAAUUAAUUGGUGCUGCAACAGAGCUACAUUUUACUAGUAUUGUAAUUAGGCUUCAAUUUUACAUGCUCACUUUCUAUAUUAGCAAUGAGAUAAAUUUCUAAAAAAAAUACAAUGUUAUCAUAAUUUUGAUCUUCCACAACACCAGGCAACGAGGGCUGGAGUUUUGUUCUAAAACACUAAGGGAACAACCUAUUCACGAAGUUAAGAGGAAACACAAACUUUAAGGCACCAUCCUAAACUUUAGCUCAGUGGACUUUGCUAUUGUCACAAAAAAUAGCAGCUAUUUCGAUUAUCCAACACUGAGAUCAAUAAUGUAGCAAAAACUAACAGUAUUCAGCAAAACUUAAUUUAUGGACAGAUAAAUAUACAAGAUAGAAAUACCUGUUUUAAGUACGUGGGGAACCUGGAGGAAAUGAAACUCCUUAGAAGAUGAGACUUUUCCUCGAUCAUGUCAGCAUCUGGGCCACUGGGGCUGCCUUCUUCUCUUGAAAUAUAUGGACCAACUACGAGCACCUUCUUGGUACUUAACUGAAUUGUGACCAGAGAAACCUUGCUAUUUUCUUCUUCGGCGGACUCUGAGACCAAAAAGUAUGCGAUGUUGGAAUUCAGCAUGCUCACAAGAGGGAACAUCAGGAUAUCACACGGCAGACCUAUAUAUCUGUUUAAAGCUCAUAGCUCUUCAGAUGUGAUGGUCAUAUGCUCAUCCCAUGGCCCAUCUUAGGAGGAGAAAAUAUAGGAGUGAAUGGUGAAACUAGAACCUUUCCCAAGUGGCCCAAACAGUUCCCCAUCAGAGCGGAUAACAUCAGUGAAUCUGAGAACAGAGCUCUUUUUGCUCAGCUCUAUCAUGGCGCACACACCACAAUUCACCUCAUAGAAUGCUUUGCCUUGAGCUGAACUUCUAGGACGGUCAACAAUAGGAAAUCAGAGGUAUAAGAUCUGGGGCUUUUCUUCAAGUACAUCAUAAACUAGCAUACCACCUCUGUAAUAGUUGAUCCAACAAAUGCAAAAGUUGAAUGUGAUGACAGCAUCAGUUGACCAAUAGUAUAACUCCUUAUGCUCAUCCUCCUUAUGGUCGAUUGGUAUCUUCCUCACAUCCCAUUUGCCAUCACCAUCAUUUCCAGAGACAAGUGAGCGGAACACACAAACUUCUGCUUCCAUCUUGAGCGUGCCAGGUAUUUCGCUGACCAUAGCCAGCUGCGCCACUGCAAAUUCCGCUUCAACGCUUUCGCCAUGGCCUCGGAUGAGUCCUACAGUGUCCAGAAAGAACACACGUUGCUCAGCCACAGCCUUCUCCUCUCCCUCUCCAAAAGGGAAGAUCAUUGGCUUGUUGCAGACAAGGAGCCGUUUGAGCUGCAGGGACGGCUUAGUCUCACACGACGCUACACAGAUAAAGUAGUCUUGUAUGAUCGGUAAGCAACCGUCCAUGCCCAAUCUUCCAAAAGAAGUUAGCCUGAAGAGAACCAGAUCACAGUGGGCGGCCACAAGCUCGGUUCCCUUGGCAUCCUCCGACUUUAUACCAUCAGGCCACCGCAUGUAGAAGCGGGAGAUGGCCGGGGGCUCGGCAAGGAGGAAAAGGAUGCCGAACUUCUUGCAAAGAGAGGUGUGCGAACUUGCCCUCAAAGGCGCCACGGAUCCGUCUAGGAAAGGACUGCCCUCUUCCUCAUCACCCCUGUGGAAGACAAAGCGGUCGAGCAUCAUGCACCUGGAUCCAGCAAUGGCCAUUGAUCAGCAGAUUAAAACAGGUUUAGAUAGCUUCCGCCUCUGCCUGCGAGAAGAGGGAAUUGACUCAGCACCAUCACAACAUUUGCCACUCUCUCAAGAAAAUUUACCACUCAAAACAUUGCCAUUGAGAAAUUAAUUAUCCAGAAUACCAGGUAUUACUAUGUACUACUACCUAGCUGAGGUUGCCACAAGAACAAAAGAACAAUUUUACCAUUACCUUCUUAAAAAGAUGAAGUGAGUCAGAUAAUGUUUACAGAGAUGCAAGAUGUCAUAAUAAUGCCCAUUACAGAAACAACAAAAUAAUGCACAGUAGAGAAAAUGGAAACAGGCUGCACCCUCGCACAUCAUUUGCACGCAAAAAGGGGCUAAAAUGAGCUAGAUGGAGAACUUGAAUUGCGGAUUGCAGAUUGCCCUUUCUACGAGAACAAGGUUAAAUUGACAGAUGUGUGAGGUGUGGUCAGGUGAGAGCUGGCUGUACAAUGACGAGCAUGCUGUUUUCCCUACCCUUGUGUACAUUUGUUAUACUGAAAGGACCAUGGGAGGUAGAAUUUGCAUCAACAGCAUUACAACAACGUUUGCCACUCCAAAAACCACCAACUUUAACAGAUCGAUUUUGCCAGAGCAGCACUAGUUGAAAAUUUUCGUUGUCCAGACAGAAUACCAGGCAUUAUCAUGUACUGCUAACCUACCGGAGCAACAAAAGAAGACGUCUGCCCUUACCUUCCUCAACGGCAGCAGUUGGGGCAGCCGAGCAGCCUGCGGUGGCUGGUGCGACCCAACGGACCAAGUGUGCAGAUCACGGGGAGGGGAGCGCCGGGAAGACAGAGGGGGGUGAAGGGGUCGAGCGUUGUCUCGCCCUGCUUCCGCGGCUCGCCGGCCCGGUGUUGAAGCAGAUUCCACCCACCGCCUUGUCUGUCGCCUCACACGAUGGAGCUCGAGCGAAGAGGCGCCGCGGGUUUCUAGGGUUCGAGGGCUGGGAAGGGGAGGAGGGGAAAGGGAUCGGUGAGGAUCACUGUCGCUGUGACUAGUGAAUGUGAGAUCUGGAAUGGUUUUUUACAAUUUGGCCCAAUUCCUCAGCUGGCUCUCUUUGCCAAGUGACCCGUCGCGUGGCUAUCUUGCCGCAAGCGCCGCGACAUGUGGAGCGUGUCAGAACUAGAAUUAACAACCAACUAAUGCUCACUCCGUUGUUACGGAGUAUAAGAUUUACUGUAUUACUAGUUUUUGAAAAUCAAAUAUGUAUAUAUUUGACCUUAUUUUUAGAGUAAAAUAUCAAUAUCUAUAGUGUCAAACACAAAUCCUACUACUGUUGUAUGUAUUUUGUUUUAUCAAAUUAUUUGUUAUGGGACCCCCUCUCUUGCGACCGCGUCGCCCCCGCGGGUGAUCAGCUGCAUCUCCCCUCGAGCCCUCCCCCUUCCUCCCUUCCCGCUGUCAUCACUAGCCUGAGCGGCGUUGACGCUAGCGGCCCUGGCCUUUCCCCUCUUGGUGGCGCAUCGGCGUGGGGCGGAGCGGGGCCGUGGGUUGCACCUAGGCGGCGCCGGCACGGAUGGCCCCUGGCCUUUCCCCUCUUGGUGACACGCCGACACGAGGCAGAGCGGAGCCAUGGAGUACACCUCGGGGUGGCGCGGCACCCGCUCGGCCCAGAUCUGGGCCCAUCUCGGUCUACGCAGGGGGCGCGAUGGGGCAUGUCAACGGUGUGGUUUCCGGCAAGCGAAGGAGCGGCGUUGGGCGGAGUGGGUGGUGGCGGCCGCUGGCGCCGGUUUGCUGCAACGUGGUAGUUGGGGCUUUGCGGGCCCGAUUUGGGCAUGGCCGGGCCAGGGGUGGCCUAGUAUGCCCCUGUUGCCGUGUCCGAACGGCGACCGCGACUGUGUUGGAGGCACAAGCCUCCCGCACAACGGCAGUGGAGGUGGUUCCCUCCCGCGCGGCUCCGGUGCUGCGGCUCCUGAUUCCUGGCGCUCCUCUCUCCGUCCUCUUUGCCUCGUGGUGGUGAUCUCAAUGAGGUAGUGUGGGUGGCAUCAAGACCGUGGUGGCCCAUGAUGGUGGGCGGCAUGUUACUGGUUGGUUCCACAUUGGUUGGGCACUGGAGUUUGGCAUGCGGGAGAAAUCUUAAGCAGUCCAAUACUAUUUUCCACGGCGUAGUUCCUGGUAAAUCGGCAUACGCAGUGGGCAAGAUCGAGUUGGAGGUAGCCUUUGGAGAUGAGUAUGAUUCCAGGGCCGAAAAGUUAACUUUUGAGGUGGUCAAGAUCAGGAGCCUGUAUCAUGCUCUGUUUGGGCAACUGGCUUACGCCAAAUUCAUGGUGCGGCAAUGUUAUGUUUAUCUGCAGCUAAAGAUGUCGGGUCAUAAAGGGACCAUUACGGUUCAUGGCAGUCGGAAGGUGGCUCUGGAGUGCGAGGAAGGCAACGCAGCUUAUGCUGAGUCAGUCUGUGCUACAGAAGAGUUAAAGUAUUAUAAAGACAAUGUUUGACCCGGCAGACAUGACAUCCUUGAAGAAGCCCACCACAGAGCGUGAACCGGAGAUGAAGUUUAAGUCGGUUGAGGAAGCCUAGAUGGUUGACUUUGUUCCUGGCGAUUCAUCUAAGCAGUUCAGUAUCAGUGCCAAUCUGGAUCCCAAAUAGGAAAGCGCGCUCAUCGAGUUCAUCCGUGAGAAUCGGGACAUCUUUGCAUGGAAGCCUUCUGACAUGCCGGGUGUACCGAGAGAACUCGCUGAGCACACUCUCAACAUUGAUCCGAAGUUUAAGCCGAUCAAGUAGUUUCUUCGGCGGUUUAGCGAAGAAAGGCACAAGGCCAUUGGCGAGGAGGUGGCCCGGCUCUUGGCAUCCGGGUUCAUUAUUGAGGUAUUUCAUCCAGAGUGGUUAGCUAACCCGGUGCUAGUGCUCAAGAAGAACGGCACUUGGCGUAUGUGUGUGGAUUGAUCAAAUCAUUGAUGCUAUGGCGGGAUGUGUGUGGUCCGACUGAUCCCUUUGCUCUCCCUUUGCUCUCCCACGUAUUGAUCAAAUCAUUGAUGCUAUGGCGGGAUGUGAGGUCUGAGUUUUUUGGAUGCUUAUUCUCGAUAUCAUCAGAUCAAGAUGGCGGUUAAGGACCAGGAAAAGACGGCGUUCAUUACUCCCUUUGGAGCCUUCUGCUAUGUUUCUAUGCCUUUUGGGCUCAAGAGUGACUAGGCGACUUAUCUGCGUUGUGUGCAGAAUUGCCUUCAUACUCAGAUUGGCCGUAAUGUGCAUGCUUAUGUGGAUGAUAUUGUGGUGAAGUCCAGAAAGAAGGAAACACUGAUAGAUGAUCUCAAGGAGACCUUUGAUAACAUCCGGGUCUACAAUAUGAUGUUUAACCCAGCAAAGUGCGUCUUUCGUGUGCCCGCAGGCAAACUCUUGGGAUUUCUGCUUUUUAACAGAUGCACUGAGGCUAACCCGAAGAAGAUCAAGGCUAUCACCUCUUUGGCAAAACCCAAGUAUAUCAAUGAUGUUCAGCGUUUGGCGGGUCGCAUUGCUGCUUUAAGCCGGUUUAUAAGACGGUUAGGUGAGAAGGCCAUACCGCUGUAUCAGAUGUUGAAGAAGACAGACGACUUUGUCUGGAGUGAUGCUGCUAACGUUGCCUUUGAGGAUUUGAAGAGGCAACUGGCUGAGCCGCCGGUCCUUGCUGCUCCCAUUGAUAAGGAGUCAUUGCUGUUAUAUGUGGAUGCUAACGCAUGUGUUGCCAGUGUGGCCUUUGUGGUGGAGUGCAAGGAGACUGGUAAGGAAUAUCCAGUUCAACGGUCGGUUUACUACAUCAAUGAGGUUCUUAUUGAGUCCAAACAGAGGUAUCCACAUUGACAGAAGCUUGUUUAUGGAGUGUUCAUGGCCAACCGAAAGCUUAAGCAGUAUUUCCUGGGUCAUCCCAUCACUGUGGUCAGUUCUGCUCCUUUGAGAGAUAUCAUCUAGAACAGAGAGGCUACAGGACGAGUCGCCAAGUGGGCUAUCGAGCUUGCGCCUCAUGGUUUAAAAUAUGUACCUCGUACUGCUAUCAAGUCUCAAGCACUAGUGGAUUUCAUCAAUGAUUGGACAGAGUUGCAGGCGCCUGAAGAGAAGCCGGAUAACACAUACUGAACUAUUCACUUCGAUGGAUCCAGGCAAUUGGAAGGCUCAGGGGCUGGAGUUCUUUUGGCUUCCCCUCGAGGUGAUAAAUUUUUUUAUGUCCUAAGAUUGAUGUUUUCCUGUACUAACAAUGCAGCUGAGUAUGAGGCCUUUCUCCAUGGUCUUCAGAUGGCAAAGGAGAUGAACUUAAGCCAGGUAAGGUGCUUCGGCGACUCAGAUUUGGUAGCUCAAAAAGUCUCAGGCAAGUGGGAUUCCAAAGACCCUCUCAUGGCGGCUUAUCGCCGUGGUUAUCAAGUGGAACACAUCGAUCGCAGGAAGAAUGAGGCGGCUGAUGCUUUAAGACGGCUUGGAUCUCAGCGUAAACCGGUACCCCCGAACACUUUCUUGAAUGUUUUGCAUAAUCCUUCUAGAUUAUGCAAAAAUGACUUAAUAUCACACAUGUUUCAGAUUUAAUGAAAAUAUGCGCCUAUGCUAUCACAAUAAAAGGAGCAGAAAUAAAAAGCAACCCUUAGGGAACCGCUACAACUAUAUACAUUUGGUACAAAUAAUACAGUCCAUUUAAACGAGAAAAAUUUAUUCCAGCAUAUAUCAUAGAAGGGCAAGCACACUCCCUUAAGUUAAUUCAGAACCUCAUCAAGUUGUGACUAUAUUCAUUUUGUAUCUAAGUAGUAGUAGUGAGUACUGAUGCGUUUUUUGGGCCACGACGACAGGUGAGGACGACAUCUACGCAGCAAGUUGGGCCUUUGAGAUUCAUAUAUUUAAUGUAGUGAUUUAUGAAUAUACGUUAGAUACUAAUCGAGAGCUUAGAGAAGACGGCCCUACUAAACAAAGUUAUUUGGUUUGUGCUUUCAGGGAUCGUUGAAACAUACAGAAUGUUGAGGAUUCUGUGCAAGUAGGUGUCAGUUCCAUCGUGGAUUGCUAUGCUAUGUUCUUCUGUGGAGAAUAGAGUGGCGAGGUGUUAAUCCAUCUGAUGAUCACAUGGAUUUGUUGAGUAGAUGGUCCUGUGACUUGCUGAAGUUUAGAUUUCGUGUGUGUUCUAUCUAUUUGAUGUGUCAGUCUUGUUAAUUUGCAAACUUGUAUGGGACCCCAGUUUCGUUGGGCGCUAAGAGAUAUGGGCUUCUGUAGUUUGAUCAACUUGAUAAUGGUGUUUUGAACUUUUAUUUCUAAGUAUCAAUAGUUCACUGAGUUCUUGAAUGGCCAUCUCAGUUAUUAUGACAGUGAUGUCUCUUCUGGUCAAUGCAUCUAUCCCAGUUAUCAUUGAAUAGGGCAUCAGGAAGCAAACCGAGUUCAUCAUCCUGGACAGUCCUCACGCCACUGCCACUGUUAUGUCAGAUUGCAAAGUUUAUUUUUGAUAUAGAUGUAUCAACUGCUUGUCUGCUUUUCUCGGUGUAUGUGAUUGGGCUCUGCUUUUUUAGUAGUAGUGUGGGAGCAAAUUAACAUGCUAGUUUGCUCUGGUUUGACUAAUUAAAAUUGAUGCUAGACUACUACUAUCGAUCACUUACAGAGAGGCUAGUUAAUUCGCUGAUAGAUGCACUUGAGAAGCAAGGUGAAACAACGAGGGAUCCGGCUUGCCUGCUCCCUCCCCAUGUUCCCAUCCGUGCUCCCACUUCAUCUUACGGUGGUAUUUUUUUCUUUUUCCUUUCUAAUCUAAUCAUCUCCCCCUCCUGAUUUUAAGGGAGUGGGGCCGGGCCUUAUUUUGCUCCAAUCAAAUCAUGCCACAUAUGCAAGAGCACGGAUGGGCACACACACGGGGAGCAGGCAAGUCUCGUCCAACAACGAGAUGCAUGUCGUGAGAAGAAAAGCUGUUGUAAUGUGGGAGCCAUUGCAUUGAUGGUUUUUUUUCUUAGUUUAGGCAAUUAGCUAGAAUAACUACUAUGCUCUCUUUUUUUGUGUAGGAAAAAAACUAGUAUUUUCUUAGUAAUAUGUAAUAUGUACUCUGGAUCAGCAGCAACAAAAUUAUACUGUAUUUGAUAUGUGUUCUAGAUCAAGUUUUGAAUUAAAUAUGUUAUAAAAAAUAUAUAUGUCCAAAAUGAAAUGUGUAAAUACUAAAAAAGAGUGAGUGAUUGAGUUUUGACAGAUCCGCUGGAUGAAGAGAAGUUUAAUCCCCAGACAGUAGCUUUUUCAGGCAUAAGAGAUUACGAUUUGAGAUUGUAGGACGGGGGUGUCUGCUAGAGAUCCCUUUAGCCAGUAAGUAGUUGUUGUAAAUAAGUGUGCCCCAUUUUGUGCAUUAUGUAUGAAUGAUUGGGGGUCAAAAUCUGCAUGGUAUGGUAUAGUUUUGGUUGCGAGCGUAUAUCUUUUAGUGAACCCUGAAGAAGAAUUCUUGUGUUCUCCAGGACUAACUAGCAGCAUAAGAUGGCUUAAGUUGUCUUUAUCUGAGCCUUAAAUCGAUGAUAAUGUGGGUCCUUUUCUAACAUUCACCUUACAAGAUUUUUUUUCUUCUGAUAAUAAUGCGCGGCAUUGGCUGGCAUGUCGCACGCCAGUAGGGGCCCCUUCCAGCCAAAGGGCGUCUGAAGCAGAGCGCGACUGAGCGUGUGCUUGCCGCUGUGAAAGACUUGUUUGCAUCAUGACAUGCCUCCGGUAAACAGAGGACACGGAGCUUCAGUUUUUUUUUAAAACCUUUUUUUUUCAAUUGGCGUUGACAGGCGUCUCCGAAUCGUAUAAUACUGUCAGAUUCAGACCUAACAAACAAAUUCGAGCGUAUCUCUUGGCUCAAAGAUGACUGCGUCAGGAUGCGCUACUCAUCCACGGACAGUGCAACUUUCCUCGCUCUCAUUCCUGAUCGAGCUCAGACAACAAAUGCUAAGAUUCCGUGGAUUUCAUCAAGGACCCACACACACUAGCAGUUCUACUCCGAAGCUAAAGCUAUGCUAAUUUAGUUGCCUCAAGAAAACUCGAACAACCAAUUUAUGUUCAGGUUCAAAUCCAGUGUUAAAAUAUUUUUGAUGAACACUAGUAGUUUUACCAAGUUAAUUGUGUCACCUUCUCUUCUACUGAUUCGAGUAUUUACAUCGCUCCAAAGUUCCAAACUGAAUAAAAAGGUAACCUCGCUUCUCUAGUUGCCUGCUAGGUGUGUUUUUAGGCACUUUUCCUGUAUGCAUAUGAGAUAUUAUAGAGAUACAGCAUGGUUUAUUUUCGCAUAUGCAGGUAAGAACCAGUGGCGAUCUUUUUGGCGAUCGAUGGUCAUUAUUGGGUUUGGAGCUCUGAAACUAAGCCUAGGAAACGUUAUCCUAAUGUUUGAGCAUCAAUCAGUUUGACUUUAGUUCCAGCUGCCAAGCCAGAGUUGGUUUGGCGUUCCAACCGGCCCAGUUCCAACAAUACAAUUAGGACUGGACGUCUGAGCGAGCUUUUUGGCUCGGCCCGAAGCUCGCUCCAGCUCAGCCCGUUACAGCUCGGCCCGAUACAAUAAACAAGCAAGCCCAGUUGUGAAAAGAGGCCCGAUUCCCGACCUAGCCGAGCCGAGUUUUGCCCGGUUCAACUCGGUGACUCACUCGAGGCCCAGCCCAGUUCCCAUCGGCCACUCUGGCAUUAGGGCACGAGCCCCUCCCUUCCUCCGUUCGGCGCUAUCUCAUCCCUCACCUCACCGCGCCGCAAAAAGUGGACCGAUAGCGACGGGGCGGCGCCUUUCCUCACCACACCGAACGCCGGCGGAUGCGCCUCCCCUGGUUCCUUGCCGAACCCGACGAGCAGGUACUCUCCUUUCUUCCCAUCCCUAUGGCUGGGCGCGCACACGCUCGGCACUCUCGCGCUCCCCUGCACAAGCGCACCGACGGCAAAUGACAUACAUGCUCCCCUGCAUGUAGGAGUCCUACCUACAUGGCUGCACUGCACCUGCGUACACGCGAUGGAGGGAUGGAUGGCUGAAUGCUUCUGUUUGAUUGUGUAGAGUGUAGCCGUCGUCGUCCUCACCAUGCCGGAUGCCAUCGUCGUCCUCGCCACGCCCGACACUGGACGGCGCUCUCAGCACCGAUUGCAGACGCGCCAUGUCAUCGCCGCGUCAGCCGCUGCCUUUCCUGGCUAGCCAAGCAUCCGCCGCCCCGACGAAUGCAAGCACAUACUACAGAGGCGUGUGACACACGAGCUGCCCGGGCUGGACCGAGCCAGAGGCAAAACGAGCCGAGCCACCAGAAACAGGCUCGUUCAACAAACGAGCCGAGCCGAGCUCGGCUCGCUUUAGGCGAGCCAAAGGCUGGCUCGGUCUGAACUUGGCUCGGCUCGGCUCGUGUCCAGCCCUAAAUACAAUGCACUUCAAGAUAACCGCUUUACUAUCUGGGUUUUGCCUUUGCUUGCGUCACCGAAGAUCCUUGCUGUUUUCACUCAUUCCGAAAUAUAAACUUCCGGAAGAAAUUCAACGCUGAAACUAAUAUACCUCGUCUUCUGUCAGAAGACACUGAAAUGUGCAUCUUCUUUCAAGAGUUGUUGACAAAUGAGCGCUGUGUAGCAACUAUGGCAGGUCCUCAAUAUUUCUGCACUGUGUACUACGUACUAGCUAUGGAAUGCAGCGUACUAGUAACAACAGAUUGCAAGUCACGGCAGCACAGAGAUGACAUGGGCGGAGGCAGAGCUAGACGCACCUAUGGUCUCCGUCCGUCGUCGUGGAGGUUGACGCCAUGGCUGCGCAGGAUGGCCCGGACAUUGGUGGUGCGUUUACCAUGGUCCUCGACCUUGUGCUCCUCCAAGUAUUCGAGGGAGAAGUGGUCGAUGCGUCUGCUCCUACCCAGAUUACUUACAUACACCAGUGCAUGGAUUUCAGAAUCGAAACCAAAAUCAGAUGUGCAAGAGAGGAGUGGGAGGGAGGAGGGGGCUUACCUGAAGGAGGAGGCUUUGCUGCGGACGAGGAGCGCUACGGGGUCACGCGCGACAUGGGCCGCCGAGAGCUCGCGCGGCGAGAGCCACCGCCGCCGGUGAAUGCGAGCAGGGGUCGCGAGUGAGCAAGGUGGCCGCCGAGUCCCAGGCCGUUGACGACGGCGCUAGCAGGGAGCGCCACGGCCGCCGCUGAACUGGUCGCUCGCUCGAUCUCCCUCUCGUCUUCUCUUCUCUUCUCGUCUCCUCUGAUGAGGGGAGGGGAGGGGAUGGGAGGGGAGGGGAGGGGACGGGGAGAGGCCGGCCGCGAGGUCCAGGGAGACGGGGAGUGGCCGGCGGCGGCGAAGUCCAGGAAGACGGGGAGUGCCCGGCGGCGGCAAUGUGGGAGGGAGCGGAGAGGUCGGGCAGGAACGAAUGAGUUGGGUGGGUGGGUGCGUGUGGGGAUCCAGUUGAUUUCGCUGGGCUAGGAGAGAUCUCCUCGCUGGCAGCUCAUUGGUCAACCCGGACCUGCCACGGACCCAUGCCCCUCCGCAUCAUAAUCUCAGCCGUUUAUCUAUACUAAUAAGACUAGCCACAAUGGAUAGUAACAUGGACUAGUAACAUGCCUAUGUUACUACUCUUUGUUACUACCUCUACAAUGAAAAGUAACAUAUGUAUGGUAACAUGCAACACCUCAUUUAUUAGGCUAUAGACUCAUCUUGCUUUGAUAUGUGUGAUGUUACUUAUCUUACUAGUAACUAGCUAUGUUACUACUUCGCUCUCUUUCUUCAUUUAUUGCUUGCCACAUCAUCUAUUUUAUCUAGAUAUGUGUGAUGUUACUACCUAUGUUACUUCCAUUGUGGGUAGUCUAAGUAUGCAAGUGCAACGCACGUCUCGACUUACGAUCAUUAUGUGAAAAUUUAUUUGUGUAUAUAAAUGGGUAAUCUGAUAGUAGUAAUAAAGAACUAUUUCAAAUGAAUUGAUGUGUUUGUAAGAUUCAUUUUUCACCUAAAAAGUUAUUGCAUUCUUAUUUGAAACCAUCAGUAGCCUUCUUAUUUCUAUGAAUUUUGAAGAACAUAUUUAGGUACUUAUGUACAAACACUAUUUAAACAUUCUUGUACGAAAAUGAUAUAUAGAUCCAGAACGUUCAAUUUUUUAGUUAGGAAUGUUAUGUGUAGAUUAGGUUGAGUGCGUUUAGCGAUGUAUACGUUUGUUUGUUUAAUAGUAGUAGAGAUCGGACGGUAUGCUUCUUUUUUUGGUGUAUUGGGCAUACGGAACGGUUUGAGGAGAUGACCAAAUCAAAUGGGGUGGGUAGAGAGGCUGGAUUUAAUAGGGUAGACUUCUUCUGAUUAAUUAGCGGGUCUCGAUGAAAAUGCUAACAUGAAUUAUUUUCUCACAAGUCCUACUUUCCAUAAUCUUCUUUAUGUUCUGACGCCUUUCAACCAACUCUGUUGACUGCCACAGAUCCAUGGAGUAGGGGAACAACCGCUCUGAAGAAAUAUCUAUAUUUAAACAGAAUCAACAAAAAAAAACAUGUGCGGCUUUGAAUUAAAAAUUGUGCGCGUACAAAUUUUUUUGGGCCCGUUGCGGACAAUUAUCUAGUAAUAUAAAAUAUCAACUGAGAGGUCGAGUAAUGUACCCAAAAAAUUCAUGUAACUUGUACUCAAAAUAUAGGCGAACAUAUUUAUCAUGCUGAGCACUUGUGUUGGUAUCAUUUCUUAGCUAGAAAAAAAAUCAAAAUUUGCCAAUCGAGCAUGAUCCAUGUCAUUCUAGUUAAGAUAUAAUCCAAACUUGCCAAUCAAUUAGUUUUUUUUAUCAGAUCAUGUAGCUCAAUGCACACGUGAAGUAAUGAACAAAGAUUUACAAUCAAAUCUUGUCAGACAGAAUGGACGCACCCUAAUACAAUUCACGCAAGCAUUAACAAGACAAACUCUUCUCUUUUCAUCAACAUCUUCACCUCCCCCGACUAUAGUCAACAUCAGUUUAUUCAGUGACCAUGAGCCGAUAUAUUUUGACAAAAAAAAACAUAGAACCAAAUUUAAUGGAACUGUAUAUAUUUUAUAUACAACAUGGGCAAGUUUAGUGAACACUGUUAAGAAAAAACUUGCUGCCAAUUACAGAUUGUUCAGACACAAGAGCAGAACAUCUAGUCUUCGCCUUCGAUGGCAACACACCUUUGAGAAUGGGUUGAAAGGGGGGGGACAUUAAAUCAAAAAAUAUAUAUGUUGAUCCUUGUAACCAUAAUAAUUCAACAAAAGUAGAAUCAGCUACAUCUGCUUUGUUUAUGAUAUGGAACCUAAUCAGUUUCAAGGUUUGAUCAUAUGCAAAGCAAGCUGUUUGCCAGUUUCAGUUAAAAAGACAAAAUAAAAUGAAGUUUCAGUAGGCUCCCUCACUUGUUGAUGAAAUACAUUGACCAGAAAACAGUGACGUAAAAGUGCUUGCGACAUUAUGCUUCUUGCCAUCAUUAUAGUACUUGUUCUUUGGGACAAAAUAGCAGUAUCAUCAGAUGAAACAAUUAUCGUCAAUAAAUGAAAUACAUGGGUUAAUAUGAAUUCGAAGCUCAAAACUUCCACCAACCGAAGCAGUGUGCUCAGCUACAUCUGAUGUUGUGUUUUGAAAAGCAAUCAUGUAAUCCAUGGCUCUAUCCUUACUUAAAAGUAAUCUUAGUUUUCUGGCCAGUUUACCUCGAACUAUGUAAGUAUUUCUUAGAACUGAUCAUAUGAGACAUGCAUUCUAUUCUAUGCAAAAUAAAUAAAUGCAGACACCAUGCCGCACUGUCCUCAAAACCCAUUUUGCUAAUCUGCUACCUCUAUGGUUGUGAUCAGCGGAUAAACAUUGUACAGAACUACAAAAGCACAAAUAGUCAAACAAGUAUGAUUACUACUGUCAUGGUCAUACAUAAAGUACAUGGUUAGAGAACUGAAGUUGUACCUUGCUGCAUCUUGAAGUGCAGUUUGGAUCAUUUUCACGGGGUCAAUGAUACCAUCAUUGAUCAUAUGAACAUACUUCUCUACAGUAACCAAAACGCAAGAGUUAACUACGGAACCUCUAAAGAUUAUAAUGCUGUUGGAGAAAUAUGAAACAAGACAUUUGUAAUGCACUUCAAAAUGAACAGCCAAAACAUGGUUAAAAUGCACAGACCUAUUGUUGCAUCAGAGCCCAAACUAAGAUUGUCUUGUGCCAAGCUUCCCAAUAAAUACGGUGAUCAGGGGAGCCUGCAGAAAAUCAGGAACAAUUAAUAUAUGUAUUAAUAGACCUGAGACAUUAAUGGGAGAGCACAUACAACAUUUAAUCAGGAUGCAAACAAAGUUAUAAGAAAGAAGUGGAGAAAUAUCUUUAAGAUGCUAAAGGAAAAUCUGAUUACGUAGAACAGAGAAUACAUAAUAGGAAAAUGACCACAAUUCACUCUCCUGCAAUGUAACAAUAGUGCAUACACAUCUAUUCCUCCCAAAUCAUUUCAGAAACUAAUGACCAGUCCAAAAAGACAUACAAAUUAUCAUAAAGUCAUCACCAGACUGGCAAUCAGAUAGAAGGGAGAAAUGAAUUGGUCAUGCAGCAGACCCUCAGUGGAGAAAAGAAUAUGCAACACACUGGGAUAUGAUUAUGCUGAAAACAAAACAUAAAGGAGAGGUAGUGCUAUCAAGAAUCAUUCUGUGGCGGAGCUAGUUUGAAAAAAAGUGAUGACCAAGGAAGAUUACGUACCCAGCAUUGUACCUUCCCGAUUCCCUAUGAUGAGCGUUACAUCGUACUCCUCUGUCGAGCUGCUCAUUGUUGUGCUGCUUGUUGUCAUCUACCUGUGCCUGGCCAUGAUGAAGCACUUUUACAGGCACGCGUGCUUGGAUGGCGUCUCUAGACAAUCGGCCAGUAGCACAACAGGAUGAUGUGAGGAGGAUGCCGGGAUUACGACCGAAGAAAAAAGUAUCACUGCACCACCAAGAAAAUUAGAAAUUUCACAGAAAAAGGCCAUCAGGCAGACAACAAAGUAGACCUAAACAUAUUUUGAUUAUAAAUAAUGGAGUUUGAGUAGCAUUAACAUAUAGUGGAGUACUUAAAUGUUUUGAAUUGUAGUUAAAUAAAUAGCAAACCUUUCCACUUAUAGUCAAGGUGAAAAUGUACGGAUACAAAUAGGUGAAUUCCUAGAAUGUUGCGCAGAAAUUCUCCUUUGGGAAGGCUAACAAUUUUUAUGUUGCUUCACUUUUAGCUUGUGUCACAAUGACAGGUGGGCUGGUCGAGUAUGUGAUGGUCUUCCUAGAAUCCCAGUCAUCAAGAAAAUCUGAAUGUUCAUCCUGUCGUUUAAUAUAUAACUUACAAUCUACGUCAGCGAAACUAUCAACAAAAUAGAAGGACUUUAACCUGCAGCAUCCCAUGUGCAUCCAUGCUGCAGCGCCUUCCUCUAAGCCUCUGCUGCUGCAUGAGAUGAAAAAGAGUUAUUUAGAGGGUCAUACACACACCAGAAAUCCUGAAAGCAAAAUUAUCUUUCCAUCCAGCAAUCCUUUCAAGGGAACAUGAGAAGCACAACAUCGGAUGCAGUCGAUCCAUACAUACAAUUUCUGAAUUAAUGUGAACAUACAGCAGAACCUUACAGAAAUCUACAAUUUCAUAGAAGCAUGUUAACCAAACACAACAAGGAGGUAAAAGGGAGGCGUCCGAUCUGGGUGUUGACCCAAAAGUUGCGGAAGGCGUCGGCGACCUCUGGCCGGGAACGGCGGGGCUGUGGCUUGGAUAUGCGGUGGCGCUGCGCUCGUGCGGGGGUGUGGCGGCAGGGUUGCCGCUCGGUGAUGCGGCUGCAGGGCACUCGCGCAUGUUGUUGCCGAUUAGCCGAUCAAACGAAGAACGCUGAGCUCAAGAACGCACGCAACACACACGAGAGAGGAAAGCCUUUUUGCCGCAGCUAACGACGCCACAUUUUCUGUUUCAUUCCUUUUCUCUUAUCUAUUUACAACUGACUCGUCUACCCUCCCGGUCUGGCCGCUAUGAUCCGCGUUGAUCGCGCCAUCCCACGAUCGCGUCCACAGCGAGAGCCAAAAACGACCAGGAGGGAGAAAACAGAAACAAAAGAAACGGGAGGGCUCGCUACGUGCGCCUCCCCUAGCUACGUGCAUGCUCGGGUCACAUCCGACCCAGCAGGCUUAUUUAUUUUAAACGGAAAAACAAACUAACCUAUCCGACGUGAGCUUACAGCAGGGCUAACAUUUCUCCCCCCUAAGCUCAACGUCGUUUUCCGAUCUCCUUGACUCCAAGUCUCUGACGCUGCUCGAUGAACUUCACACGCCCAAGUGCUUUUGUCAAUGGAUCGGCCACCUGGUCGUCAGAUCCCACAUGAUCAAGCUGCACCUCUCCAUGUUCAACACAAUCUCGGAUGAAAUGGAACUUGACAUCGAUAUGUUUGCUUCGAUCAUGAUGAACGGGAUUCUUUGCCAGUGCUAUUGCAGAUUUAUUAUCAAUCAAGAGUCUGAAUGCACCAGCUUUUUCUCCCUUCAUUUCAGCGAGCAGACGAUUCAGCCAUAGGCCCUGGCAAGUAGCAGACGCCGCAGCCUCGUACUCUGCCUCACAGGAGCUGAUUGCCACAAUCUUUUGCUUUUGGGAAGACCAUGUAACUGGAUUGCUGCCAAGGAAGAAAAUCUGACCAGAUGUGCUCUUACGAUCCUCAACGUUGCCGGCAUGGUCACUGUCACUAUAGCCCAGCAGCUCACUUUUCCCUGAACCACGCCCAUAGCAGCAUCCAUAGCUCAAAGUACUGCGCACGUACCUAAGUAUCUGCUUCACGGCUGUCCAGUGAGUGACUGUAGGCCUUUCCAUGUAUCUGCUCACUAUUCCAACUGCAUGAGUGAUGUCCGGUCUUGAGUGCACCAGGUACCUUAGGCUACCAAUUAUGCUGCGGUACAGAGAAGGGUCGACAGGUUUUGCAUCGUCAUUCUUCCUCAGUUUGAGCCGACACUCCAUGGGUGUCUGACAUCCAUGGCAGCCAUCCAUUCCAGCAGCUUCAAGAAUUUUCUCUGCAUAGCUCCUCUGACAAAGGGUUAUAGAAUCAUUGGACUGAGUUACCUCGAUGCCCAGAUAGUAGCUCAAGAGACCGAGAUCACUCAUUUUGAACAGCUCUUGCAUUUGAAUUUUGAACUUGUCGAUGGAAGUCUUGCUGGUGCCGGUGAUGAUGAGGUCGUCAACAUACACACCUACUAGCAAAAAUGAGUGUGCAUCACCACGGCGGAGCUGCGCAUGAACCCCAACGUGCUCAUGGUCUCAUCCAGCUUCGCGUACCAGGCCCUCGGAGCUUGCCGCAGCCCGUAGAGCGCCUUCCGAAGCCGAAGAACCUGCUGCUCCUUGCCGGUGGUGACGUACCCCGGUGGCUGCGCCACGUACACUUCCUCGGCGAGGUCAUCAUUGAGAAAGGCGGAUUUUACAUCCAUAUGGUGCACCUCCCAGCCGGAGUGUGCGGCGAGCGUGAGAAGCAGCCGCACGGUCUCCAUCCGUGCCACUGGCGCAAAAACUUCCUCAAAGUCCACGCCUUCACACUGCACAUAACCUUUCGCCACCAGACGCGCCUUGUACUUGACGAUGUUGCCGUCAGGAUCGCGCUUGACGCGGUACACUCACUUCAAGCCAAUGGCUUUGUGGCCGGCCGGCAAGUGGGCGAGCUCCUAGGUGCUGUUCUCGCCUAUGGAGUCCAUCUCCGCAUCCAUUGUCGCCUUCCAGGCUCUGUCGCUUAGCGCCUCAGUGAUGUCGCGCGGCUCCUCUGCCGUGAGCAAGCAUUGGUCGUGCUCCUCCCAUACAGCCUCAUGUUCUGUCUCGUCGAGAACAUCGGAGAGGCGCCGGUACCGUAUAGGCCCGGAGUCAACGUCGCGCCCAUCAUCAUGUGUGGGCGGCGUGGCCCAACGCAUCUCCCUCGCCGCAGCCGGCGUGCAAGGCUCGGUCUGCGACGUGCCGGGCGCCGAUGCGGCCGGCGUGUCGGCGGAGUUCAGCGGCGACCCCAAUGGUGGCGUAGAGGGUGGUGGUGCCGCGCUCCUUGGUGCAGGCGUAGGCGAGCAGCCCGUGUCCAGCUCGUGCACACCAAGGUCAUUUGCAUAGACCACAGUGAACAUCGUCGGUGCGGGCGCCGUGACCGCGCCCUGUGCAUUCCAAGUCCAUGGCCUGCUCUCCUCAAAUAAAACAUCACGUGUGACUUGUACCUUUUGUGUAGCCGGAUUGUACACACGAUAGCCCUUGGUUCCUUCCUCGUAGCCUACGAAGAUCAUUGGGGUUGAUCGAUCCGAGAGCUUCGUCACUCCAGGGCCAAGCUUUUUGACAUGUGCCACACACCCAAACACACGUAGGUGCAGCACGCUUGGCUUGUGGCCGUGCCAAGCCUUGCGUCACCCCGUCCAAGCUGCGCGUGGGAGCUCUGUUGAGCAGGUACACCGCGGUCUUCACUGCUUCAGCCCAGAAAUAUGACGGCACGGCCAUGCUUUUGAGCAGGCAACGCGCCAUCUCGACGAUGGUCUGAUUCCGGCGUUCAACCACUCCGUUCUGCUGAGGGGAGGGUGGUCGUGUAGUGUUUGAUGCCCAGCUGCUCGCAGUAUUCUCUGAACUCAAUGGAGUUGAACUCACCGCCCCGGUCAGACCGGAAUGCGCGAAGCCUGCAUUUCCCCUCGUUCUCAGCCAUUGCCUGCACUUUCUUGAAGUUCUGAUGAGCUUCAUCCUUGGAUUUCAGCAACUCCAAUCACAUGUAUCGACUGUAAUCGUCAACUAUCAGCAAGAAAUACUUACUGCCACCCGGUGUGGUUGGUGUGAUUGGCCCACACAAGUCUGUAUGAACAAGCUCAAGGCCUUUCUCUGCUCUGUAUCCGGCCACUUGAGGAAAAGGGGCACGGUGCUGUUUGCCCAAUGCACAACCAUCACAGUACUCCUCGACGCGGUCAGUGACUGGCAUCCCGCGUACCAUUUCCUUCGAAGACAUGGCUCGCAAAGCUCUGAAGUGCAGGUGUCCCAUCCUCGCAUGCCAGCGCCAGGUGACAUCUUCGGUCUUGGUGAGGAGACAGGCUAGGGCGUCAAUGCUCAGUACGCCCGUGUACAAUCUGCUCGUCGCACUACACCAUGACAAAAACUUUGGGGUCACCAUAUCUGCCGGGAAAACUAGCCAAUGGAGGCAGAAUAUCCGCCGGGAAUGAUUUUUGCCGGCAUUUACAGACUGCCCUAGAAAGUCUCAUCGGGAAAGACAAUUCCUGGCAGUUACAAGAAUGCCCGGCAGUUACUCUGACCCACAUGUUAGAAUCUUUACCGGCAGAUAGAACUAUUCCCGGCAUAUAGUUCUUUCCCAGCAGUGUUAUAAUUCAGGGCAGAUAGAAGUAGUUCCCGGCAGUUAUCCCGCCCUUAAUUGUGUACGCUGCUAGCACACAGACCCCCUUCCCAUUCAAAAGCUAAAAUUUAUCUUCACUCCAUUUUGUGCCAUUAGUAUAUAUGUGACACGCAUGCAUAGUAAUUAAAGUUGCAUCACUUAGGCAUAAUAUAUAUGUAUAUCUCAAGGAUCCAUCAUGGUUACAAGCAUAUGUAGGUUCACAAGCCCAGUAUUACAGCACAACAUCCUUCAUGUAAUUCACUAUUCCCAUGCGCACAGAGGCAUACAUAUGUAGGUCAAUAGGUCCAAUAUUGCAUAAUAGAGAAAAGCGCAAAAUACAACAUCUGGUUUCAGCUACAAACAGAUCCCAGCAGAAGAUCCUUCCAGCUCACAAAACACAACUAUUUAAAGUUGUGGAUGCAAGAGAAUUACACCGGUGACCUAUAAAAAAAGAAGCGGCCAAUUAGAUAAGCUGGGAAGAACACAUGUUUCAGAAAUCCACUGCACAACUACUUGCAAGCAAGAGCAGAUCAGAAUUCCACAAGGCACACCCAUAAUGUCUGUUAUGUACUCAUAAGAAUAGAUAAGGCACAUGGUGAUCAUAGUUAAGGUUCUCACUUUGCAAAUCAUCACCAACUUACUUGGAUCAAGGUUUACUUUUCCAAUUUAAUAGAAUAUAAUGAUUAACUUGGAAGUUGCUAUGUUUGUUAUUAGCAAAGAUGGAAAAGCUAUAAUUAUUUUUCAAUAGAAUGGCCCUUGUGAUUAGAAGAAGAAAUUGUAAUUUUAGAUGAACUAAAUAUGGAUCCAUGGUAAUCUAUCUUGAUUGAAAAUUACAAGCUCAGGUAGGCUCUAUUCAGACAGUGUGAGAAUGGCUCUCAGAGAACAAAAAGAAAGAAGAGCGUUGGCCCUAGUCUCUGCUAGCAUUCAUCCCAAACAACCAGGAAAAGUGAGGUCUAAUUUUUUUUCAAUAGCUAGUUCAUUGUACACUUUGUCUAGAUGAUAAUGAAAACAGAAUUAGCAAGAAUUCUAGAAUCUGCAAUACCUUCUAGAUGUGGGGACUGCUACCGGCUGUGAUGGUUGCUUCUGCGUAACUUCACAAACAAACUCCAGAACGAGUGAAGCAAAUGGUUUCACAAGGUGAGUAGACCAGCCUUGUAGCAACGUUGCCAACCUGAAGAGGAAAUAAGUCAAUUAACACGUACUCCCUCCAUUCCUAAAUAUUUGUCUUUUUAGAGAUUUCAACAAGUGACUACAUACGGAGUAAAAUGAGUGAAUCUACACUUUAAAAUAUGUCUAUAUACAUCCAUAUGUGGUAGUCCAUUUGAAAUCUCUAAAAAGACAAAUAUUUAGGAACGGAGGGAGUACAUGUAUUGCAGAGGAUUCAUGCAAGAGAGUUCAUGCAGAAAAAAACAAGUGCACCCCAUUUAGGAAAAAUGAAAAGAAGGACAUGCAGAAAAAAAAGUCAAAAUGAAAAAACAAAGGGAAACAGUACUUUUAGUUUGUAUUUCACUUUCCAAGUUAGUUAAGGAGUAAAUCUGGGCCAUUAAAUAUGAUUUAGGGAAGUGAAAACAGUAGAGUACUAGAAGUGCAUGCGAGCACUAUUUAAAGGGUCUAGCUUGCCAUGUACCGGUGGUGUGUUCUUGUUUAGUCAAUUGAAAAAACAAAAAGUCAACAUUUUUUCAUUUGCCGAGCAAAAUUAUCAAACGCACUACACAAGCUUGCAUGAAACUGCAAACAAACAGGUCAUUUUACUAUAUCACCAAGCAGACCAUAAGAAUGGCAGCUCAAACAAGUACAUGUUUUACAAACAAAGUGGUUAUUCUAUAUUAGAACAAUUGUCGGUCAGUGAUUAAGAAAUACAUGUUCGCUCAACCUAAAAGCUGAAGAGCUGAUGUCCAAAUGUGAGUACGUGACUAACUAGACAACAAAUUUUGCUAGCUGAAACUGAACAAGGAUAUGCUGUUUUGGUUUUAUCUGGGAUUUUUUGAACCAUCCAGCAACAGCCUGCCUAUGUAUGUACUAGCUGAAGGAGUAGUACUGUUGGGACUUCAGAGUACUCUAGUAGUAUUGGUUUUCGAGAGAUGUCUUUUUUGAAUGACAGCUGAUGUACACUAAAACUGGGUGUCUAAAGCAAGAAAGUUUCAGCUAGGUUUAGAAACAAUUUCUAGUUUUCACACUAACUAUUGUGAAUAAGAAAAUUCAAAACUUUAGAUUUGUGGUACUGAAGCUUAGGCAAUUAGCAAGUUGCAUAGCUAACAGGCUUAGCGUUUGAAGAUGAGCCCUCGUGUCGUCCUAGGCAGGGACAAGGCUUAGUGUUCAUAGAUGAGCCUUCGCGUCGCCCUGGGCGAGGACGAGACUUAGUGUUUAUAGAUGAGCCCUCCCAUCGCACUGGGCAGGGACAACGCAAGUAGUGCGUUUUCUGUCUAGAGUACAGACGGAUGGUGAAUGGCAGCAAGCAACAAUAAAAACGAGUUUUAUUUUGUAUGCUCGAGGCACAAGAAUCAUUGGGCCUGGAAUGUGAAGCUACAGGAAGUUGCACAGCAGUACAACAAUCCAUCCAACCGAAAACUCCAUCCAGCACUAGCAGGACAACACAAUUUUCAACCCUUGCCUAAAUAUAACCAGCCAACACAAAUCAAUUUUUUUACAAACCUAAAUAAGGCCGUGAAAUCGUAAUUACAAACCGAAGCAACCUUUGACGUAUUCAAAACAUAGUCAAACGAUACCAUACAACGAUAGAACCAAAUUACGAGAUAUUCUAAAUAUAGUCAAACCAUUGGUCGAUAGCACACAACAAUAUAAACAAAUCAAGUCUUCAGUUAAGAUCAAGAAUCUCACCAAAAGAUGCAGUUGGCACUUGUUCAGUUACUGAUGGCUGCAGCUUGAUACCUUCUUCACUUGCCAACCAAGACCUUAAAACUUGUCUUUAAAGUUGAGUUUAUGCCGAUUAGCCUGCAAAGCAGGAAAACGUAAUAAGCAUUGAUGAAGAACAAUCAACAACACAUGUAAUAUUAAUAGAAUAUAUAAGUUAACAAUGUACAACAGUUUAUAUUUGAAUAAGUAAUUUUUCUACAGGCCAAAGCGUCAUGCAAAAGUAAACAUUGGCAAAACAUUACACCGAUAGUGUAUAUCACAUAAGUAUUUGUUCAACUAACAAGAACAGCAAGACAAACCUAACUUCUCUAGAUAAUCAUCAUAAGGUCACAAACCUUACUUGUGCAAGAUAUGACCAGGAAAUGGCAACCGAUAUACUGUACAUGAGAAGACAGUCAGUAUCAACAACAUAUAAAAUGGGCAAAGGUGGAAGCAUACACCAGCAGUAUUUAUGGCAUGAAAUGCUCUGUUGUAGAUGGAUUUAUAUUUAGCCCAGCAAGAAGUACCACAAACUAGUCUAAUGCAUCAUCCAGAUCAUUUAUGAAACUAAAUCAGAAGUACUACAUCAUAUACACUACAUAGCACCUGAUAGGCAUUAACUACGAAUCAUGUUUUGGGCAGUCAUGCAAAUUUUUCCUAGUGGAGGAAAGUUCAAGUUACAAGAAUCUAUUAGACUCAUAGCUCAUAGCCAAAUCUACUAUAUAUGUCGGCACAACAAGACAAUCUUUGCCUGUCCGCGCAAUAAGAACAUGGUUCAAAAAGCAUACCUGUAAAGACCAAGCACGAAUGGAGAACAAAGCUUAGUGGCAGCCUCUAUGUGCGAAUCUGAGAUUGUUGUUGUUGCUGCUGCUUCAGUUAACGAACAUGUGGCAGAGGACAAUCCUGGUAGCACGAACAGACAAUCAAUUAGAUCUUAAUCACGCUGUGCUGUAGUGCGAGGCAAAGCAGGUGACGGGGGUGGCGAGUGGGAUGGGGAGGUGUCGUUGUUGGGGAUCGGGACGGCGUUUAGGGUGAUAAGGAGGGGAUGGGACGGUGUCAUGGUCGGCGAAUGGGGCACCAACGCUGGAUUGGGGGAUACUGGUGCGGCAUGGACGAAGAUGGGGUGCCUGCUGGUUGGGGAAUGCGCGGCGGCGGCUCUGGGAGUGGGAUCCGGGUGUGGUGUGGAUGGGGAUGGGCAGCGGCGUGAGUCGGAGGUNNNNNNNNNNNNNNNNNNNNNNNNNNNNNNNNNNNNNNNNNNNNNNNNNNNNNNNNNNNNNNNNNNNNNNNNNNNNNNNNNNNNNNNNNNNNNNNNNNNNNNNNNNNNNNNNNNNNNNNNNNNNNNNNNNNNNNNNNNNNNNNNNNNNNNNNNNNNNNNNNNNNNNNNNNNNNNNNNNNNNNNNNNNNNNNNNNNNNNNNNNNNNNNNNNNNNNNNNNNNNNNNNNNNNNNNNNNNNNNNNNNNNNNNNNNNNNNNNNNNNNNNNNNNNNNNNNNNNNNNNNNNNNNNNNNNNNNNNNNNNNNNNNNNNNNNNNNNNNNNNNNNNNNNNNNNNNNNNNNNNNNNNNNNNNNNNNNNNNNNNNNNNNNNNNNNNNNNNNNNNNNNNNNNNNNNNNNNNNNNNNNNNNNNNNNNNNNNNNNNNNNNNNNNNNNNNNNNNNNNNNNNNNNNNNNNNNNNNNNNNNNNNNNNNNNNNNNNNNNNNNNNNNNNNNNNNNNNNNNNNNNNNNNNNNNNNNNNNNNNNNNNNNNNNNNNNNNNNNNNNNNNNUGGCGGCACGGCUGGGUGGAGGCAUGGAUGGAGGAUGCAGGGGCGUCGGGCGAUGGGUGGGUGACGAAGGGAAUGGAGGCGGCGGUGCCGAGCGGGGCGGGCAAGGAUGGGAGUGAGUCGGCGAGGGCGCUAGGGUUGGCGGAGUCGACGGCGAGAUGUAGUGCGGCGGCUGACAAGGGAGGGAGAGCGGCUGAGGAGAUAUGUUUUUUUUAGUCCAGCUGAGGGGAUAUGUGGAAUUGUGGAGAAGGGGGAAAUUAAGCCCGCGUGGCCGCGGUGGGCUUCGAGUGGCUUCUAAUUUCCAAUCUCCCGCGAGGCUCCUUUUCUUGGGCCUCAAAUUGUUCGUCCCCGCCAGCGUCCUAAAGGGCAGUGCAUUCGCCCUCAAAUGGAUUUCAGGGCAAUUGGGCUGACCCUAAAGAUGCCGGCAGAUGACCUGCCCUUCUAACACUACCAUUGCCGGCAGUUAUCAUGACCUACACAAUCUUUCUCGGCACAUACAGCUUCGCAGGCAGCUAAUUGCCCCUAAUUCCUAAUCAUCCCCGGCAGUUAAUUGCCCCUAAACUUUUAUCAUGGUGUAGUGUCGUCCGUUUGACGCGAGCUAGGAUGCGCCGGCCCGGAUCUUGGAUGGUCAUGAUCCCAUCUUCAAUCCCUAUCCUGCAUCCACCCUCAUCCAACUGCCCUACUGAGAUGAUAUUGCUGCGUAAGCUGGGAAUGUAAUAGACUUCAGAGAGAGCACGUUGAUCACCAUUCUGGCAGCGAAACACAACGGCGCCCCUGCCCUUGAUAGCCACCAGAGAGCCGUCUCCGAAUUUCACUGUGCCGUGUAAACCUUCAUCAAGUGUAGAAAACAUGUUCCUCUCCCCAGUCAUAUGGCUGGACGCCCCUGUAUCAUAGUACCAAAGGCCAUCGGGUGAAGGCAUGGGAAUUACUUUCUCCUCAUUCAAGAACACAGCUUGGGGCGCCACUAGCUCAGGUGUAGAGACGUUGGUGACCACGGCCAUGAGCAGGCCCUGAUCGUGUUCGUCGCGAUCUUCGCGGACGAGGUUAGCCUGUUCCUUCUUCCCUUGUUCCUUUUGCUUCUCCAGCCAUGACCAACAGUCCUUUUUCCAGUGUCUGACCUUGCCGCAAUAAUGGCAUUUGCCCUUCUUCUUGCCGCCGCCCGCGCCGCUGUUGCCGGACGCUGGCUUCCCGCCACCGCCGCCGCCCUUGGCUGACGACUUGCCUGGUAACUUGCCCUUUCCGCCGCUGCCGACCGACGAUGAUCCGCCACCGUACUUGUGCUCGCGAGCGGCCCACUCUUCGGAGGUGUACAUGAGCUGGCCGGUGGACUGCUUGGCGUCGUCGAGGUCAUAGUAAUCCUCGCAUGCAGAGAAACGUCCGACGAGUUCCUCAAUGGACAUGGUUUUCAGAUCGAUCAGGGAUUCGAUCGCCAUGGCCAUCGGGCGGUACUUCCGCGGCACCUCUCGGAGAAACUUUUGAACGGCCUUGUGCUCGGUGACGGGGUCACCGUAUAGCUCCAGAUCGGCGACGAGGGCAGCGAGACGCAGCCCGAAGUCCUCGACGGACUCCCCGUCUUUGAAGCGGAGAUCCUCGAACUCCCGCCGGCGCACUUGCGCCUUGGCCUCGCGGGCGCGCUCGCUGCCCAUCCGCAUGGUCUUGAUUGUCUCCCACGCCAUCUUCGCCGUGUCCUUCGCGGCCAGCACGCGCAGCAUCUCCGGCGGGACGCCGGUGAGGAUGAUCUGCAGCGCGCGCCGGUCGUCGUCCUCGUCGGCGGCGUCGUCGGUCACCGCAGUCCAGACGCGGGCGACCUGCAACUUAACUUGCAUCACCAGCACCCACUCCUGGUAGUUCGUGCGCGUGAGCAUCAUGGACGACCCCGACUCCUCUCGCACGAUGCGCUCCACAACGCGGUACUCGCCGCUGCCGCUGCCAGAGAGGCGCGCGAGUGGUGCCUUGGAUGAGGGCGUCUUCGACGGCGACCUCGUGCCGCCCUUGUUCUUCCCGUCCGACUCGUCCCCGGACAUGACCACGACGGAUCAAACACCGCCGCUGUGCCAAGGAUCAAACACCCGGGCUCUGAUGCCAAUUGUCGUUGCCGAUUAGCCGAUCGAACGAAGAACACUGAGCUCAAGAACGGACGCAACACACGCAGAGAGGAAAGCCUUUUUGCCACAGCUAACGACGCCACGUUUUCUGUUUCAUUCCUUUUCCCUUAUCUGUUUACAACUGACUCGUCUACCCUCCCGGUCUGGCCGCUAUGAUCCGCGUUGAUCGCGCCAUCCCACGAUCGCGUCCACAGCGAGAGCCAAAAACGACCAGGAGGGAGAAACACAGAAACAAAAGAACGGGAGGGCUCGCUAAGUGCGCCUCCCCUAGCUACGUGCAUGCUCGGGUCACAUCCGACCCAGCAGGCUUGUUUAUUUUAAACGGAAAAACAAACUAACCUAUCCGACGUGAGCUUACAGCAGGGCUAACAGCGCAGGGCUGCCAACAUGGGGCUAGCAGCAACAGCCUCUGCGUGCCACACUCGCAGCAGAGCUCCGCCUUCAGCACCGCUCGGCCUCCCUUCUCCUGCCCUCAACCGCACCACCUGCUCGUCCGCUGUGACCCUACAGCCGCUGCUCCUAUGUGCUGCACCUGUGCUGCUGCUCCCAGCCGCCGGCGCCGGCGCCCCCUUGAACACCUCUCAAUGGCGAAGACGAAAUCUGGUGAGGAGGGGGAGGAGGAUCACACCACUUGAGGUCUUGCGAUCGCAAACCGGAUUUACAUCGCCCGCUCGAGGAUGAGGGGAUCUGAUUGGGAUUUGUUUCCUCUUUUCGUGCGUGAUUGUUGGGAUCGCGGCCGCAGGUCGUACCGGGACAGCAGAGUUUUCGUCCGCACGAUAAAAUCGCUAAACGCACUUUUGGCUGACAGUUAGGGUAAUCUGGACGGUUAGAUGAAAUUAAAUGAGUCCGAUCGUGGGGCUAUAAUUAAUUAGGAAUGUUAUGUGUAGAUUAGGUUGAGUGCGUUUAGCGAUGUAUACGUUUGUUUAUUUAAUAGUAGUAGAGAUCGGACGGUAUGCUUCUAUUUUUAGUGUAUUGGGCAUAGGGAACGGUUGAGGAGAUGACCAAAUCAAAUGGGGUGGGUAGAGAGGCUGGAUUUAAUAGGGUAGACUUCUUCUGAUUAAUUAGCCGGUCUCGAUGAAAAUGCUAACACGAAUUUGUUUAGUGUGUUCUUCGUCCUCUUACUGGUUGAUGAUGUUAGCAUGACUGCAUCGGUUGCCCUUCUCUCCCUUUUUCUCUAGCCCGCUUAGCUUUUCAAGAUUUACACAUCCACGUGUUAAUUUGAAAAAACUAUCUUUGCACUAGCUUCUAUCUUUGGUAAAAAUUAAAAUAACGCUCCUCUCUAGCUGAUCUCAGUCGUCAUCCGCCCACAUCCAACGAGGAAGAGAGCGAGAUGGUUUGGGCCUCUUUUCAAUUUCAUUUGAAGGAACUCACCAUCUGGCAGCGGACCCAAAAAUUUCAGUCUUCCACGGACAUCCUGAGGAUUUAGGAGAACGAUAUUUGGAACGAGUAUGAUGAAGAAAUAACAUGGGAUCCUAUAAAAUUAUGAUUUACAAUGAACAUUUACAUUUAAAUUAUAAUAAGCCCGGCGAUGUGUCAUUUUCUAAUCAUAAGAAAAUCAAUUUCACAAAUGCGAGUGUGAUUUCUACCAUGGAGGAUAGUUAUGCACGCGGCCGUACGUAGCUAUUUCACUUUCUAAGUGUCCGGUUUUGCUUUGUAUCGUUGUCUACUCACUUCACUACCCCUAACCGGCACUUAGCUUUCAGGACUAAGUAUCCCGUGUCUCUUCAUCCCACUGUCCACUUCAUAUCAUUGUUGCAAAAGGUCCACUUGCUUGGUUUAGUGUCUGAAUUGCUAUGCAUCGUAAUCUAAUUCACCUAGUUGUCUCUAACAUUUCAUUUGCCCUGUUACGUGACCAGUGUUCCUUUGUGCCCCUAUUGCUUCUCUCCUCCAAACACUAGGAUACCAUUAUCAUGAAUAGACUGCAUCUAGAUGACUCAAAAAACAUGAACAGAGAGGGUUUAGGGAUUCUUUACUUGUCACGAAGGUCGAUAUGAUCACCUGCUCGGUGCAGGCGAGGUGGAUGCAGGGCCGGGCCUACAGUGGUGCAAGAAGUGCGGCCCGCACAGGGCCCAGAAAUCUGGGGGGCCCAAAUUUUUACAUAUACAUAUUAUUAAAAAAAUUUAUGCGUUUUGGGCUGCUGGGCGCUGGAGUGGGCUGGACUGCUGGAGUCGAAGCGAGGAGGGCAUCGGAGAGUAUCGAGCGAGCGACCGGCGCUAAACCGGAAUCGGGGAUCGAUCUCCUCCUCGUCCAGUCCUCCUACUCAUCGAUGUCUCGAUCGCUAGUCGCUACAUCCUACAGGAAAGGUCCUUUGAUGAUCCAAGGUGUUCACUUCGCCCUGUGUUGGAGUCUGACUCCUCGUCCCUGGAUCCGAUUGAUCCAAGGUGUGAUGGAGUCUGAUCCCUCGGUCAAAGGUAUUACGUCCUGGAGACUGGAGUCUGAUCCCUUGCCCCUCGGUCCCUGGAUCGAUCGGAUCACAGCACGACCGGCCGCUGCCGCCAUUGACUUCCUCCGCUCCUCCGUCCUCUUUCAAAUUUGGAUUGAUCGGUGACCGACUCUAGCCUCCAGGUGUUUAGCGAGUCCUUUUCGAUUAACUUCGGUUUCUCCUCAUAAUUCCUAUUUUUCUAAUUAAUUAACUAAUAACUAUUGGCAGGGAUCUUCACUUCGUUAGAGAUUGCUUCUUACUUCUCGGUUAAAGAUCACAGGACCCAGAAUUAGGUGAGUUAGACGCUUCGUCUAAAUGGAAAACAUUGAUGCAUGAUAUCCAAUUGAUAUAUGCUACUGUGUAACUUUAAUUUUAUUUUAUUCAUCUUCUUUAUCUUCUUAUAUAAGACAUUAUAUUAUAUACAUACANNNNNNNNNNNNNNNNNNNNNNNNNNNNNNNNNNNNNNNNNNNNNNNNNNNNNNNNNNNNNNNNNNNNNNNNNNNNNNNNNNNNNNNNNNNNNNNNNNNNNNNNNNNNNNNNNNNNNNNNNNNNNNNNNNNNNNNNNNNNNNNNNNNNNNNNNNNNNNNNNNNNNNNNNNNNNNNNNNNNNNNNNNNNNNNNNNNNNNNNNNNNNNNNNNNNNNNNNNNNNNNNNNNNNUUCAUUUUUUUGUAACAUAGGGCCCCAUAUUUUUAGUUUCGCACAGGGCCCCGGAUUUUGCCGGCCCGGCCCUGGGUGGAUGGAUGAUCUAUUCUAGUGGUAGCUAGUAGCCGAUCUCCUGGACGUCCCGAUCCCCUCAGUCCUCCACUGGCACUGUCCUGUGACGACGGCGAGUAGGCUAAGUCUUCCCGUUGCUGCCACGCACCAUUUGAUUGGAUAGGGUUUUGGAAUAUGGGGAGGAGAGUGAACCUGGCGUGAAUGAAUGAAUCGCGUAGGACAAGGCUCUCUCCCAUAUCCCUUUAUAUAGCGUUGUGUGCAACAAGGGGACCUAAACCAUAAGUUGGUUUGGGUGCCCCCGAUCAGGGUGGAUUAGUUGUGGUAUAGUUAGUUGGUUUGGUAUGUUCAUGCGUGUGCGUGUAGUUCGAUUCGACCAGAUGAACAUGAGAUAGUGAUUCGUUUUUAUUUUAGCAAAACUCAUUUUGUUUUGAUUGAUGAUUGAUUGAUUGCUCGUGAGGAGACACGCGCGUGACUACCUAGGCAUCUUGCCUCUGACGCGGCGCUACUCUGUGCUUGCUCGAUCGAGCGGCUAUGGCAGGGCCUCUAGGAUCGAGGAGGAGGAGGAGCAGGAGCGUGGCCACCGUCUAGGGCAUCGGCGUGAACACCUUGCAUGCAUGUCGAUCCGUCGUCAUCGCCGUGGCCGUCGCCGUCGCAGGCAGUUUACACCGAGCCCCUGUCCCCGCUGCACAGGCUCAGCUGUACCUGGUCCUAGCUCGGCUGUAAUGGCGCGCACGCGUAGCUAGGCGGUGCCGUGGUUGCCGGCUGCUCCUCGGUCUCUGGCGUAUGAGGACGUUGGAUGGAAUGUCGAUCGCCCUGGAGCGCCCACGUCGGCCGGCUGUUGUGUGCGACCUUACCAAAGAGACCUGCUUCUUGAGCGACGAGCAUCGUCGGAACAAUAUGUGUGCACGCACAAGACAAGAGACAAGAGAGCAGUACUGGAGCUCGUCCAUGGCUGAAAAUAUUUUCUUUUUUACAGAAGCAUCCGUCAUUAGAGCAUCGAGAACCAGAGUGGGCAAAUCGCCCCCCUUACACGUCCAUAGACGACGCAUCCACGGAUAGUAGUCGAUCACCCCUCAGAAAUCCGCAUCCACAACUGUGUCCCCCAAAGCAAAUCCUUAAAUCCAUACCAAGGUGCCAUGCAACGUUAAACUUGCACAGGUAGUUGAAUAGACACAUUUCAUCGGAUUACCAAAAGUUGACAUGUUCUACUAAUUAACUAUGCAAGAUAUGACAAUGGAGGAAGUUCAUCCACGGCCGCCCUUGCCCUUGCCCUUGCCAUCUUUGUUAUGGGAGUUGUGGCCGAAGACGCAAAACGGAUCGGGGCGGAACUUGUCACUGUCGGAGCUGUCCGAUUCGUCGGGCUCCUCCUUCUCCUUUUUUUUAUUUGGGGGAGUGGGUCCGGCUUUGCUCCCUUGCGAGGGCGUGCACCGUCCUCCUUUACCGCUUCCUGAGGAUGCGACACGAAGGCUUUCUUGUUCCUGUCCAAGCUGGCAUAUGACUCCGCCUCCGCAGCUUGCCAUGCCCUCACCCUCGCACGCCAGUUGGGCCAUGAGGUGUGCCAAUGGGCUUUAGCCGAAGGACGAGGCACCACGGUAGGGAUUGCGGCGUUAGCCGAUGGGCGGUGCACUUGGCUCUGCCGUGGUCAUGUGCCUUGAGCCGCUGGAUACGAACGCCAUUUGCGCGGGCGCAAUGGAUUCACGGUGGAGCGGCUUCGAGUGCAGAGUUGCAAGAUUUCCUCCCUGGCCCGAUGGAGAGCUAGGUAGCUGGGGGGUCAACUCCUGCUCGUCCCCCUUUGGGAUGAGGUCCUAGUUGACGGAUCCGGAGAUCUCAGAGUUGGAUGCGCGGGUGGCGCGCCACGCCGGAGAAAAGCUUGGGGCUGGAGUGGAGAGUCUAGGGUUUGUUUCGGUAUAUAGGCAUAUAUGUGGGGUUGACAGGCAAUGGCCGAUUUGGCGGACGUGUCUGGACACCCAACAUAUGGUCUGAUUAUAUAUAGGUUGACUGAUCCAUGCAAUCGUCAUUUUAAAUUAUUAUUUUUUGCGGCGGGGAAUUGAAGGGCUGCAUGCCGACGUGACGUGGAUCGGUCAGUAAUCCAAUUCAAUUGAAUCGAAGUAGUUAAUCCAGGGAAGAGAAGGGAGGGUAGAUCGAUGCGUGCGUGCAUGCAUGCAUGAAGUUGAAGUAGGAGCAAAAUCAAUGGUGGGAUGCAGCAGUGAACGAAAGGAGGGCGAUAUAUAUUGCAUCAUUUGACGGUUAAAUAUGUAUGCAAAAUAGGAACAUAUAUAUUACAUCAUUGGACCCAUGCAUAAUAAUGGCUAAGUGUGUAUACAAAAUAGGAACAUAUAUAUUACAUCAUUUGACCGAUAACAUACAGUUCCUCAGCAUUGUCGUUUUCGUUUUUGAGUCAGCUUCUUUCCCUUCUUGUUUGUCGAAGAAUAAUUGAGCCCCUCAUUGUGACUUUGCCUUUUCCAUGGAGUAUGAUUUUUCUUAGGUAAUGUAGUAUUGAUUCUUAUUUUGACGUAUACUUCAUCAUCAUCGUCAUCUUCCCUGAUUGGGUUGCCGUACUGAUCAUAGUCUUCCUCGUUGGCGACUCCAUCCAUUCCAAUGAUGUUCCUUUUUCCUCUCCUCACGACAACGCGGCUGGGAUUGCGCGGGUCGGUUAUGAAGAAGCAUUGUGUCACGUGCUUAGGGUGUACCCAUGGCUCGUUUUUUGCGAUAGCGUUCACGAUAGCGCUCUUGGCGCCGGGUAUAGUCAUGGUAGUGAAAAUCCGGCUUUCUCUUUCGACAUUAUUAGCCCAUCUGACACGGAACAUCGUCGUGUUGUGCAGUCCAGAGUAGUCAAGCUCCCAGAUCUCCUCGACCCUUCCAUAAAAUCGUUCAGUUGCGCCGUUGCCGCUGCCGGUCAUGCAUUCCAUCGUCACCCCUGAGUUCCGAUCAUCACUGUCCAUAUCUUUGGCCUCCGUGUAGAACGUGUAUCCGUUGAUAUCAUAUGCCUGAUAGGUUACGAGGUUGGGCGAGGGGCCAUGUGCUAAGGCGUAUAUGAGCAAUCCGUCCUUAGAGCCCUCCUCCGGGGGAUUAGCAAUAAUAUGCUCUUUGAACCAAUGCAGGAAAGUGGAGUUGUGCUCUCUAGUAACUUCGGCGUUCAUCCUGCAUACCCCCCGGUCACGAUACUUCUUUGCGAUAAUUUCUUUGUGCAGUGCCACGAAAGGAUCUACCUCGUCUAGGUGUUGUAGCACUACCAAGUUUGCUCUGUCAAAGUCGUUGCGUCGAUCUGAGUAUGCCACGUGCAGUUCCCUGCGACCGUUGCAGUGACCAUCUCCUUCGAUCCUCCCAUCGUGCUUGUUAACGGGCAAACCAACACUAACACCAGGCUGCUGGUCUGCGCCAUAUAGAAAAUUCUCACAGAAAGAGAUGCACUCUUUGUCAAAUAGCCCUGGACGAUGCUUCCAUCCGGACGGGACAUGUUACAAACGAAUCCUUUGAUGAUCCCAUUCAUCCUCUCAAACGGCAUCAUGUUGUGCAGGAAUGACGACCCCAGGUCUAUUAUGUCAUCCACAAUAUGGACACAAAGAUGCACCAUCACGUCAAAGAACGCGGGCGGGAAGUACAUCUCAAGCUCAUUCAGUAUCACAACAAUCUCUUCCUGUAGCCUUCGGAGCUGCUUCACACUGAUCGACUUUCGAGAGAUGAGAUCGAAAAAGUUGCAGAGACCAAUAAGCGUGUCACGGAUGGGCUUGUCCAUUAUCCCUCUAAGGGCAACAGGUAGUAUCUGCGUCAUCAUCACCUGACAGUCAUGAGACUUCAUCCCGCUGAACCUUUUCUUGUCCGUGUCUAGAUAUCUGCUUAUCUUGCCACAGUAAUCGGAACUAACUUUGACUCCGGUAAGGCACUUAAAGAAGGCAUUGAUCUCAGCCUGACUUAAGGUGAAGCAAGAAGGGGGGCAAUAAUCCUCUUUCUUUAUUUUCUUGCCCUUCUUCUCCCGUGCCUCCGUCUCCAUCUCUGUCUCGUCUGACAUUUUACGGGGCGGCAUGUGGAGAUCUUCCUUGAUUUUCAAAUCUUGCAAGUCUUUUCUUGCCUUCGGCCCAUCCUUGGUCUUAUCCGGCAUGUUCAUCAGUGUUGCGAGCAAGCUCUCAAGGACAUUCUUACAUAUAUGCAUUUGAUCAAGGCAAUGAGGUGUAUGGAGUUUGUGCCAGUACUCCAAGUCCCAGAACACAGACCUCGUCUUCCAUACCUUCAGCAGCGGCUCCGAUGCCUUUCUCAUUGUCUUUCCCGACGCGGGUCACUCCUUCCAGUUUUUCAACAGCUCAUCGAUUUCGGCACCGCUCCGCUUACGUGGAGGUCCUCGAUGCUCAGCGUGACCAUUGACUAGAUCUCCACGGUUUCUCCAUGGGUCGUCCUUUCAAGCCAUCUUCGAUGCCCCAUGUACACGAUUUUCCCAGACCCGCCAUCUUUCCUUGACGUUAGCUGCUGAGACGUCAUAUCAUCCAUGCACCGCGUGCAUCCGCAAUAUCCAUGGCACACCUGGCCUGCCACAUAUCCGUAACCGAGAUAGUGCAGCACCGUCGUGAUCAGCGCAACUCUCAUAUUGAAAUACUCGCCUUUGCCGGCGUCCCAUGUCUUGGCCGGUGUUUUCCAUAACGUGUCUAACUCCUCUUGAAGUAGCCCCAGAUACAAAUUAAUAUUAUUUCCUGGUUGUUUCGGCCCUUGAAUAAGCAUGCUCAUGUGAAUGUAUUUCGAUUUCAUGCACAACCAGGGGGGAGGUUGUACAUCCAUACAAACACGGGCCAUGUGCUUUGGUUGGUGUUCUGGUUGCCAAACGGAUUCAUGCCAUCGGUACACGCACCGAGCAUGAUGUUCCUUGCAUCACAUUCAAUAUACCGAUAGAAGCUGUUCAAAGCUCUCCACUAGCUUCCAUCCUUCACGUGUCUCAGCUUCGGAUCAUCUCCAUCGUCGGGCUUCUUCCUCUCUGCGUGCCAGUGCAUUAGCUUUGCUUCCUUGGGAUCUACAAAAUACCUCUGGAGACGGGGAGUGAUCGGUAAGUACCAUACAACUUUCUGGGGACAUUUCUUCCCGGCCUUCUUGUAUCGAGAAGCAUUGCACACCGGACAACUUGUUUUUUCCGCGUGCUCCUUCCGAUAAAUUAUGCAAUCGUUGAUGCAUGCAUGGUAUCUAACGUGUGGCAGAUCAAGAGGGCACACGAUCUUCUUGGCCUCAUCAACACUAGUAGGACAUAUAUUACCCGCGGGAAGAACAUCCUUUAGGUACUUGAAAUGGUCAUCGAGGAUAGUGUCGGUCCAUUUGUUUUUAGCCUUCGUCUUCAGGAGUUGGAGCGUGAAACUCAAGUGGGUCACAUCAGGAUUGCAACCAUCAUACAAUGGAGUGUUCGAGUCUACCACCAAUUGCUCCAGCUUAGCCUCCUCUCUAGAAGUAGCUCUCUCAGUACUCGUCUCUUUGCGAAGCAAUGCUUGAACAUGAGGGUCCCGCACGAUUGAACUUAGUAUCGACGAACUCUGCUGCAUGGAGUCAAUGUCGUUCUCUCCGCCGCCAUGUCCGGCCCCUUCUCCUCCGCCAUGUCCGGCCCCUUCUCCGCCACCAUGUCCAGCCUCUUCCCCGCCGCCAUUAUCGAUCAUCUCUUCGUCUUGCCCCGUGUCAUCAUUGCCUGCCCCGUCGGCAUCCUCAACAUCAUCAUCCUCAUCUUCAGUUAUCCAUCGAGUAUAGCCAUCCAUUAAACCAUUCAUGAGAAGGUCCGCUUCGACACGACCAUCGUCAUAGGGGUCGAGCCAAACUAUUCCUUUGCAUUUUCGACACGGACAUAAAACCUCUUUCAGGUUAUUUUCUUUCAUGUCCUGCACCGCCGACCGCAACCACCUGUCCACCAUCGUUCCACUGACCAUCAUGAACGUCUGCACGGUAAUAAUAAAACAAAUUGAUUAUAAAAAUGCAUGCAUGCAUCAAAGUCAUACAAAAAUUCGGCAUGACCUUCCCUAAAAAUAGGACAUAUAUGGAUCUAGAGUUUGUCCGGGAUUCGCCGAAAUGGAAAUAAAUCGACAUUUUGGCAAAACAUAGGCAACUCAAAAGCACAAUCUGGCGUCAAGUCAUGCCACACACACAAUUUCCACAAACAUAUCACACACACAUAAACAUAUUUCCAUUUUGCAAAAGCAUGAAAUUUUCAUCACCUCUAUCUCGAGAUCGAGCACACGGUGCUGAUAUGAUGACGUAGGGAGAUCAAAAGUGCCCAAAGCUCUUCUUGACAAACAUAGAUCUAGUUAGGGGGCAAAUAGGUCACUUAACUAAAUGCUACAUCUACCUAGCUACCUAAUUUGGGAGGAGACAACUUCAACUAGAGGAGGGGGAAGGAAAAAGAGAAAUGAGAUGCAUUAAUGGAGAUGGUGUAGUUAGGUAGGAGUAAUGAAGAGAGAGAAAGGUAGGUAGUGUUGGAAAUAUGCCCUAGAGGCAAUAAUAAAAGUUUUAUUAUUAUAUUUCUUUGUUCAUGAUAAUAGUCUUUUAUUCAUGCUAUAACUGUAUUAUCCGGAAAUCGUAAUACAUGUGUGAAUACAUAGACCACAAUAUGUCCCUAGUGAGCCUCUAGUUGACUAGCUCGUUGUGAUCAACAGAUAGUCAUGGUUUCCUGGCUAUGGACAUUGGAUGUCGUUGAUAACGGGAUCACAUCAUUAGGAGAAUGAUGUGAUGGAGAAGACCCAAUCCUAAGCCUAGCAUAGAGAUCGUGUAGUUCGUAUGCUAAAGCUUUUCUAAUGUCAAGUAUCUUCUCCUUAGACCAUGAGAUUGUGCAACUCCCGGAUACCGUAGGAAUGCUUUGGAUGUACCAAACGUCACAACGUAACUGGGUGGCUAUAAAGGUGCAUUACAAGUAUCUCCGAAAGUGUCUGUUGGGUUGGCACGAAUCGAGACUGGGAUUUGUCACUCCGUGUAAACGGAGAGGUAUCUCUGGGCCCACUCGGUAGGACAUCAUCAUAAUGUGCACAAUGUGACCAAGGGGUUGAUCACGGGAUGAUGUGUUACGGAACGUGUAAAGAGACUUGCCGGUAACGAGAUUGAACAAGGUAUCGGUAUACCGACGAUCGAAUCUCGGGCAAGUAUAAUACCGCUAGACAAAGGGAUUUGUAUACGGGAUCGAUUGAGUCCUUGACAUCGUGGUUCAUCCGAUGAGAUCAUCGUGGAACAUGUGGGAGCCAACAUGGGUAUCUAGAUCCCGCUGUUGGUUAUUGACCGGAGAACGUCUCGGUCAUGUCUACAUGGUUCCCGAACCCGUAGGGUCUACACACUUAAGGUUCGAUGAUGCUAGGGUUAUAAAGGAAGUUUGUAUGUGGUUACCGAAUGUUGUUCGGAGUCCCGGAUGAGAUCCCGGAUGUCACGAGGAGUUCCGGAAUGGUCCGGAGGUAAGGAUUUAUAUAUGGGAAGUCCUGUUUUGGUCACCGGAAAAGUUUCGGGUUUUAUCGGUAACGUACCGGGACCACCGGGAGGGUCCCGGGGGUCCACCAAGUGGGGCCACCGGCCCCGGAGGGCUGCAUUGGCCAAGUGUGGGAGGGGACCAGCCCCAGGUGGGCUGGUGCGCCCCCCACCAAGGCCUAAGGCGCCUAGGGCUGGGGGAAACCCUAAAGGGGGGCGCCUCCCUUGCCUUGGGGGGCAAGGCAACCCCCCUGGCCGCCGCCCCCUCCUCAGAUUGGACCUGAGGGGGGCGGCCUCCCUCUCCCUUGCCCCUAUAUAUAUGUGGGGGGUGGGAGGGCAGCCGUACCACAAGUUCUGGCGCAGCCCUUCCCCUCUCCCAAGUCCUCCUCUCUCGCGGUGCUUGGCGAAGCCCUGCAGGAUUGCCACGCUCCACCACCACCACGCCAUUGUGCUGCUGCUGGAUGGAGUCUUCCUCAACCUCUCCCUCUCUCCUUGCUGGAUCAAGGCGUGGGAGACGUCACUGGGCUGUAUGUGUGUUGAACGCGGAGGUGCCCUCCGUUCGGCACUAGGAUCUCCGGUGAUUUGGAUCACGACGAGUACGACUCCUUCAACCCUGUUCUCUUGAACGCUUCCGCUUAGCGAUCUACAAGGGUAUGUAGAUGCACUCUCCUUCCCCUUGUUGCUGGUUUCUCCAUAGAUAGAUCUUGGUGACAUGUAGAAAAAUUUUGAAUUUCUGCUACGUUCCCCAACAGAAGUGGCAUCAUGAGCUAGGUCUAUUGCGUAGAUUCUUUGCACGAGUAGAACACAAAGUAGUUGUGGGCGUUGAUUUUGUUCAAUAUGCUUACCGUUACUAGUCCAAUCUUGUUUCGACGGUAUUGUGGGAUGAAGCGGCCCGGACCGACCUUACACAUACUCUUACGUGAGACAGGUUCCACCGACUGACAUGCACUUGGUGCAUAAGGUGGCUAGCGGGUGCCAGUCUCUCCCACUUUAGUCGGAACGGAUUCGAUGAAAAGGGUCCUUAUGAAGGGUAAAUAGCAAUUGGCAUAUCACGUUGUGGUUUUGCGUAGGUAAGAAACGUUCUUGCUAGAAACCCAUAGCAGCCACGUAAAACAUGCAAACAACAAUUAGAGGACGUCUAACUUGUUUUUGCAGGGUAUGCUAUGUGAUGUGAUAUGGCCAAGAAGAAUGUGAUGAAUGAUAUGUGAUGUAUGAGAUUGAUCAUGUUCUUGUAAUAGGAUUCAUGACUUGCAUGUCGAUGAGUAUGACAACCGGCAGGAGCCAUAGGAGUUGUCUUAAAUUUAUUGUAUGACCUGCGUGUCAUUGAACAACGCCAUGUAAUUACUUUACUUUAUUGCUAACUGGUAGCCAUAGUAGUAGAAGUAAUAGUUGGCGAGACAACUUCAUGAAGACACGAUGAUGGAGAUCAUGAUGAUGGAGAUCAUGGUGUCAUGCCGGUGACGAUGAUGAUCAUGGAGCCCCGAAGAUGGAGAUCAAAAGGAGCAAAAUGAUAUUGGCCAUAUCAUAUCACUAUUUGAUUGCAUGUGAUGUUUAUCAUGUUUAUGCAUCUUGUUUACUUAGAACGACGGUAGUAAAUAAGAUGAUCCCUUACAACAAUUUCAAGAAGUGUUCUCCCCUAACUGUGCACCGUUGCUACAGUUCGUCGCUUUGAAGCACCACGUGAUGAUCGGGUGUGAUAGAUCCUUACGUUCACAUACAACGGGUGUAAGACAGAUUUACACAUGCAAUACACUUAGGGUUAGCUUGACGAGCCUAGCAUGUACAGACAUGGCCUCGGAACACGGAGACUGAAAGGUCGAGCAUGAGUCGUAUAGUAGAUACGAUCAACAUGAAGAUGUUCACCGAUGAUGACUAGUCCGUCUCACGUGAUGAUCGGACACGACCUAGUUGACUCGGAUGAUGUAAUCACUUAGAUGACCAGAGGGAUGUCUAUCUGAGUGGGAGUUCAUAAGAUGAACUUAAUUAUCCUGAACAUAGUCAAAAGAUCUUUGCAAAUUAUGUCGUAAGCUCGCGCUUUAGUUCCACUGUUUAGAUAUGUUCCUAGAGAAAAUAUAGUUGAAAGUUGACAGUAGCGAUUAUGCGGACAGUAGAAAGCUUAUGUCCUUAAUGCACCGCUCAGUGUGCUGAACCCCAAACGUCGUUUGUGGAUGUUGCGAACAUCGGACAUACAAGUUUUGAUAACUACGUGAUAGUUCAUUUAAACGGUUUAGAGUUGAGGCACCAAAGACGUUUUUUCGAAACGUCACGGAACAUAUGAGAUGUUUUCGAGGGCUGAAAUUGGGAUUUCAGGCACGUGCCCACAUCAAGAGGUAUGAGACCUCCGACGAUUUUCUUAGCCUGCAAACUAACGGAGAAAAGCUCAAUCGUUGAGCUUGUGCUCAGAUUGUCUGAGUGCAACAAUCACUUGAAUCAAGUGGGAGUUGAUCUUCCAGAUGAGAUAGUAAUGUUUCUCCAAAGUCAUUGCCACCAAGCUGCUAGAGCUUCGUGAUGAACUAUAACAUAUCAGGGAUAGAUAUGAUGAUCCUUGAGGUAUUCGCGAUGUUUGACACCGCGAAAGUAGAAAUCAAGAAGGAGCAUCAAUUGUUGAUGGUUGGUGAAACCACUAGUUUCAAGAAGGGCAAGGGCAAGAAGGUAUACUUCAUGAAACGGCAAAUCAGCUGCUGCUCUAGUGAAGAAACCCAAGGUUGAACCCAAACCCGAGACUAAGUGCUUCUUUGAUAAGGGGAACAGUCACUAGCACUACUAGGAAAAUGGCUAUAGAUGGGAUUGACACUAAUGGCGCAUCAGAAAGAUGGUGCGCCAUUAGUAUAUACUAAUGGCGCACCACAAUCUAAUGCGCCAUUAGAGUUUAAACAACUAAUGGCGCACCAUGCUACGGGUGCGCCAUUAGUAUCAAAUUUUUUUUUAACUAGUGCGCCUGUCCAAACAUACUAAUGGCGCAUCCCGGCAAAGUGCACCAUUAGUAGUUGUAACUACUAAUGGCGCACUAGGCAGCAGGUGCGCCAUUAGUAUAGAAUUUUUUUUUUUGAACUAGUGCGCCUAUCCAAACAUACUAAUGGCGCAUCCUGCCCAAGUGCGCCAUUAGUAGUUGUAACUACUAAUGGCGCACCAGGCAGUGGGUGCGCCAUUAGUAUAGGAUUUUUUUUUGAACUAGUGCGCCUAUCCAAACAUACUAAUGGCGCAUCCUGCCCAAGUGCGCCAUUAGUAGUUGUAAGUACUAAUGGCGCACCAUGCAAGAGGUGCGCCAUUAGUAAGUGGGCAGCAACAAGAUAUUUGGGACAGCCUCUCCUACCCACACACUCACUUUCUCCCCACUUCAUUCUCUCCACCUCCUCCUUGUCUCGGGUGCCUCCUCUUUUUCACCUCAUUUCCACCAUAGAUUCAUUCAAAUUAAGUGGUUAAAUUACCUUGUUUUAAUAGGUAAGUAAGGGGGGAAGCUAUAUUUAGGUUGUUCUCCUUACAACAAUGUGCACAUGCACUUUUUACGGCCUAGCUAGAUCUAUGUAUGUUCGUGGUGUUGCAUAUGUUUGUGGUGUUGCAUAUGUGUUUGUGUUUGGAGGUGUACCGGUAUUUGAUAUGCGAUAGUUGUCAAUAUUUUGCCGGAAUGUUGAUUCAUUUCCGUUUCGGCGAGAAUUUUGGCAUUAAGCAUUCUUUUUGGUCCUAUUUUUAGGGAAGGUCAUGCCAAAUUUUUGUUUGGUUCUAAAAUAUCAUUUUGCUCUACCCCGCAGGCGACCAUGGUCCGCACGAUGACCGAAGGCAUCGUGAAUAGGUUUUUGAGGUCCGCGAAGGCCGAGAUGCUUCAAAAGAACGAGACGGAGAUAAGAUGUCCGUGUCGAAGAUGCAAGCUGAAGAGCCUUAUUGCGGACCCGGAUUCCGGGCAGGUGCGGGACCACCUGCUGUUGCGUGGUUUCAUGGAUGGCUAUCGGUGGCAAGGUGAUGAAGAUGACUACGAAGUCGUCCAUGCGGGCCGGGCAAGAAAUGAGGAAGGGCAGCAAGACAACCACCGCGGCUCGGGCGGGCGAGAAGACGAAGAAUCCCCAGGAGAUGAUCACGACUGUGAUGCUGUACACAGUCAUCAUGUAGAAGAUGCAGGACAUGAUGAUGAGGAAGAUGCCGGAGCAGGCGACGGGCAUGAUCAUGAAGAUGAUGAUGCCGGCGGAGCAGACGACGCUGGACCAUCGAUGGGCUGGGUGCAGGACCCUCAUAUUCAAGAGCUGCUUCUCAAGCAGACGGAUAACGCAAGAGCUGCCGCUCGAGAGAAAGCCAAGAUGGAUCAACUUGAGUUAGACGCGGUUACUCCAUUGUAUGAAGGAUGCAGGCCCGAGGAUACCCGCCUGAAAGUAACGCUCAUGGCCCUGGAGAUGAAGGUAAAACACAAAAUGACCGACGCAUGCUUCGACGAGAACAUGUCAUUCUGGCACGAACGUCUUCCCAAGGGGAACAAGUGCCCGACCAGUUUGGAGGAGGCGAAGAAAAUCGUGUGUCCUCUGGAUUUACCGCACGUGAAAUACCAUGUGUGCAUGAACAAUUGCAUCAUUUAUCGGGACGAGCACGCGGAGUCUACAAUAUGUCCGGUGUGCGGUGUCACUCGAUACAAGAAGAGGAAGAAAGCUCCUCGAAAAGUGGUGUGGUACUUUCCGAUCACUCCUCGUCUGCAGCGGUAUUUUGCGGAUCCUAAGGUAGCAAAGCUCCUACGUUGGCACGCAGAUAGGGAGGAGAAGAAGCGAGAAGAUGACGCAAAUGAUCCGGAGAUAGAUAAAAAAGACAAGAUGCUGAGUCACCCUAAGGAUGCGAGCCAGUGGCAAGCAUUGAACUUCGAAUACCCAGAAUUUGGGAACGAUCCAAGGAACAUCGUGCUGGGCGCGAGCACCGAUGGAGUCAAUCCAUUUGGCAGCCAGAGAAGCACACAUAGCACCUGGCCUGUGUUUGUGUGGAUGUACAACCUUCCCCCCUGGUUGUGCAUGAAGAGGAAGUACAUUCACAUGAGUAUGCUAAUUGAAGGGCCGAAACAACCAGGGAACGACAUCAAUCUGUAUCUGAGGCUGCUGAAAGAGGAGCUUGACACGCUGUGGAAAACGCCAGCAAAUACGUGGGACGCCGCAGAGAAAGAAUAUUUCCCUAUGAGAGCCGCACUGCUCACGACGGUGCACGACUAUCUCGGUUACGGAUAUCUUGCGGGGCAGGUAGUCCACGGAUUUUCUGGAUGCGUAAGGUGCAUGGAUGACACAACGUAUCGCCAGCUAGAUAGAGAUCCCGGGUCUUCGAAAACCGUGUUCAUGGGACAUCGAAGGUGGCUUCGCGACGAUGACCCGUGGAGGAAACGCAAGGAUCUGUUCGAUGGUGAAACCGAACCCCGAAAAUGCCCGUGUACGAGGAGCGGCGAGGAAAUAGACAAGCUGUUGAAAAAUUGGAAAGACUGCCCACUGCCGGGAAAGAAGCAAAAGGCGCCAGAGCCGGGAAAGAAGCGAAAGGCGCCAGAGCNNNNNNNNNNNNNNNNNNNNNNNNNNNNNNNNNNNNNNNNNNNNNNNNNNNNNNNNNNNNNNNNNNNNNNNNNNNNNNNNNNNNNNNNNNNNNNNNNNNNNNNNNNNNNNNNNNNNNNNNNNNNNNNNNNNNNNNNNNNNNNNNNNNNNNNNNNNNNNNNNNNNNNNNNNNNNNNNNNNNNNNNNNNNNNNNNNNNNNNNNNNNNNNNNNNNNNNNNNNNNNNNNNNNNNNNNNNNNNNNNNNNNNNNNNNNNNNNNNNNNNNNNNNNNNNNNNNNNNNNNNNNNNNNNNNNNNNNNNNNNNNNNNNNNNNNNNNNNNNNNNNNNNNNNNNNNNNNNNNNNNNNNNNNNNNNNNNNNNNNNNNNNNNNNNNNNNNNNNNNNNNNNNNNNNNNNNNNNNNNNNNNNNNNNNNNNNNNNNNNNNNNNNNNNNNNNNNNNNNNNNNNNNNNNNNNNNNNNNNNNNNNNNNNNNNNNNNNNNNNNNNNNNNNNNNNNNNNNNNNNNNNNNNNNNNNNNNNNNNNNNNNNNNNNNNNNNNNNNNNNNNNNNNNNNNNNNNNNNNNNNNNNNNNNNNNNNNNNNNNNNNNNNNNNNNNNNNNNNNNNNNNNNNNNNNNNNNNNNNNNNNNNNNNNNNNNNNNNNNNNNNNNNNNNNNNNNNNNNNNNNNNNNNNNNNNNNNNNNNNNNNNNNNNNNNNNNNNNNNNNNNNNNNNNNNNNNNNNNNNNNNNNNNNNNNNNNNNNNNNNNNNNNNNNNNNNNNNNNNNNNNNNNNNNNNNNNNNNNNNNNNNNNNNNNNNNNNNNNNNNNNNNNNNNNNNNNNNNNNNNNNNNNNNNNNNNNNNNNNNNNNNNNNNNNNNNNNNNNNNNNNNNNNNNNNNNNNNNNNNNNNNNNNNNNNNNNNNNNNNNNNNNNNNNNNNNNNNNNNNNNNNNNNNNNNNNNNNNNNNNNNNNNNNNNNNNNNNNNNNNNNNNNNNNNNNNNNNNNNNNNNNNNNNNNNNNNNNNNNNNNNNNNNNNNNNNNNNNNNNNNNNNNNNNNNNNNNNNNNNNNNNNNNNNNNNNNNNNNNNNNNNNNNNNNNNNNNNNNNNNNNNNNNNNNNNNNNNNNNNNNNNNNNNNNNNNNNNNNNNNNNNNNNNNNNNNNNNNNNNNNNNNNNNNNNNNNNNNNNNNNNNNNNNNNNNNNNNNNNNNNNNNNNNNNNNNNNNNNNNNNNNNNNNNNNNNNNNNNNNNNNNNNNNNNNNNNNNNNNNNNNNNNNNNNNNNNNNNNNNNNNNNNNNNNNNNNNNNNNNNNNNNNNNNNNNNNNNNNNNNNNNNNNNNNNNNNNNNNNNNNNNNNNNNNNNNNNNNNNNNNNNNNNNNNNNNNNNNNNNNNNNNNNNNNNNNNNNNNNNNNNNNNNNNNNNNNNNNNNNNNNNNNNNNNNNNNNNNNNNNNNNNNNNNNNNNNNNNNNNNNNNNNNNNNNNNNNNNNNNNNNNNNNNNNNNNNNNNNNNNNNNNNNNNNNNNNNNNNNNNNNNNNNNNNNNNNNNNNNNNNNNNNNNNNNNNNNNNNNNNNNNNNNNNNNNNNNNNNNNNNNNNNNNNNNNNNNNNNNNNNNNNNNNNNNNNNNNNNNNNNNNNNNNNNNNNNNNNNNNNNNNNNNNNNNNNNNNNNNNNNNNNNNNNNNNNNNNNNNNNNNNNNNNNNNNNNNNNNNNNNNNNNNNNNNNNNNNNNNNNNNNNNNNNNNNNNNNNNNNNNNNNNNNNNNNNNNNNNNNNNNNNNNNNNNNNNNNNNNNNNNNNNNNNNNNNNNNNNNNNNNNNNNNNNNNNNNNNNNNNNNNNNNNNNNNNNNNNNNNNNNNNNNNNNNNNNNNNNNNNNNNNNNNNNNNNNNNNNNNNNNNNNNNNNNNNNNNNNNNNNNNNNNNNNNNNNNNNNNNNNNNNNNNNNNNNNNNNNNNNNNNNNNNNNNNNNNNNNNNNNNNNNNNNNNNNNNNNNNNNNNNNNNNNNNNNNNNNNNNNNNNNNNNNNNNNNNNNNNNNNNNNNNNNNNNNNNNNNNNNNNNNNNNNNNNNNNNNNNNNNNNNNNNNNNNNNNNNNNNNNNNNNNNNNNNNNNNNNNNNNNNNNNNNNNNNNNNNNNNNNNNNNNNNNNNNNNNNNNNNNNNNNNNNNNNNNNNNNNNNNNNNNNNNNNNNNNNNNNNNNNNNNNNNNNNNNNNNNNNNNNNNNNNNNNNNNNNNNNNNNNNNNNNNNNNNNAUAAGUAUCAAACAGCUUUUUAAAUGCUAAAAAAAAAUUUGUGGAGCCCACCUCGAUCCCCCUCCAUCUCGACCGCUAUCCCACCUCGCCAGAUCCGGUCCCCCUCGGCGCCGAGCACCCCUCAAGUCCACCGGCCGCCGCCGCCGACCCACCGCACCCUCGAUUCCCCUACCCAACCGCCGCCGCCGACCCCCCGCACCCCGCGCACCGUCUUAUAAAAAAAUAAGUAUCAAACAGCUUUUUAAAUGCUACCGUCUUAUAAAAAAAUAUUACUAUUAUUAUUUAAACAAGUUUGAACAUAUUUAAACAUAAAUAAGUAUCAAACAGCUUAUUAAAUGAUAAAAAAAAAUUUGUGGAGCCUGGGAGUUGAACCCAGGACCUCCUGGUGUGAGAACUGGCUACUGACCAGUCGAGCUAGUAGAGUGGGCUUGACGUGGAUAGGUUCUGGUAGUACAUAACCUUUUGGCUCGAGUUGAAAUAAAAAAAAGUACUAAUGGCGCACCACGGUGAGAUGCGCCAUUAGUAUGGACAUGCUAAUGGCGCACCACGGUGAGGUGCGCCAUUAGUAUUGUGGCCCGAUCCCCCUUCGCCCGAUCCCCCCUUCGCCCGAUCCCCCCUUCCCUCUCCCCCUCGCCAGUUCUCUCCCUCUCGAUCCACCGCCGCCGCCGCCGCUGCCCUCGCCCUCGCCCUCGCCCUCGCCCUCGCCCUCUCCCUCCCUCGCCCUCUCCUCGCCGCCCGGACGCCGCCCGGACGCCGCGCCGACGCCGCCUCGACCCCGCCCCNNNNNNNNNNGCCGCCCGGACACCGCCCCGGACGCCGCCCCGACCCCGCCGCCCGGACGCUGCCCCGCCGCCCCGACGCCGCCUCGACCCCUGCCUCUCUACGAGGAGGUAACCCUAACCCCACCCGCGCACGUGGUGAUCUAAGGUUAUAGGGUAUAGAUCCUUUGAUCCGUGCUUGGUAUGGAAAUGUUGCUCUCCGAUCUCCUUAGGGCGAUUCUAUGACUUGCUUGUGGUGUUUGGUAAUUUAGUGCAACUCUGCCUGCUCAUAUCUGGAGUAUGAAGAAAAUUGGGUGAUUUUGUGCAGUCCUUUAGCUUGCUGUAGACUUGUAGAUAUGUAGCGAAAGCAAGUAGGGUUUGGUAUGUGAGUUUUGUAGCUUUUAUUAUGAUACAUUCUUUAAACAUGUGCUAUGGUUUACCUGUUAUUAGCAUCCGUAGCGGGAAUGGUUGCCGAUCUCUGUUGGACACACUCGGAUGGCAGUUCGGUGUGUGCAUCAAAUAACUGUAUCCAUUUUAGUUCUGCUUGCUCUGAUUAAAGUGGAAAGUACUGCCGUUAUCUUAUAUGUUGUUCUGUUAGGAUUGAAUACAACAAGAGACAUGCCCAUUUCUGUUAUAGUACCCCUGAAUAAAAUGGUAAAUACUGCAGUUAUCAUAUACAAUCUCUCAGGAGUGAAUACCACAAGAAGCACAUUUUUGUUAAUAUCCCCUGCUUCCUGAUGUAUUUGUUUCUUGGUAAAAGUGAACUUCCAAUGAAUAUUUUUGUGCUGGAGCAGGCUGGAGGGGUAUUCGGCUGUGCACAUUUAAUUAUAGUAUCUGGUGGAGAUACCCUGUUCAAGGACAGGGGGGCGGGGGUGUGAACUUUGUGAAAUCCUGUCCUAUUGAUGACUUUGCAAACUUAUCAGGAGGUGGUGUUAGGAAAUCUAAAUAGUUUAAACUAUAUAGGAAGACAUUUAUAGGUUAGAAACAAUCUGUUCUACUUCUGCAGAUUAUCUAGAUAAGUGAUGAAGUUUACUUAGUAUAGUAUUUUUUUUCUGUCACUUCUUUAUCUACCAAAAGUGUGAACCCAUGGUAUGAGCCACUAAUGCAAGCAUCGUCAUUCUUUUCUGAGUUUGUCUAAUUCACAUCUAAAUGUUUUCUAAGGAUGUCACAUCUAAGCUCCCACAAAUAACGUAGCAACAAGGAACAAAAAAAAGUUGGGGCAAAAAAAAAUACACCACAAACAUAGUGGACACAAGGUUAGACGUGACAUAAAUGUGUCCUAGACAGACCCUUCUUUUCUUAGUGAAACAUCAACUUUCCAAAGACAAUAUUCCAAACUGGACAGUUGAUACAUAGAGCUAUUUUACUUUAACAUUUAAAGUGUGGCUGCAAAUCUGGGAUGCAGGAGGUGAAAAUUCAUUGUCUAAUCUGUUUCUCAGUUUCCUCUUUCAGAAACGAGAGAUUUUUCAAGACCUUGCUCCACUGCUGUGGCACUCCUUUGGCACUGUUGCUGCACUGCUCCAGGUAGGUUACAGUUAUUGCACUGUUCUAAAUUCAGUCGCAAUGGCAAGAGUACAUAUGUACUUGUGCAGUUCUUGUUAUUUAAGUAAGGGUGGUUGUCCAUGGUACUGAGCGCUGCUGUUUCUAUGCCAAGUAUUAAAUAUUUCCAUUGUUUAUUGUUAAAAAGCUUUCCUCAUUUUGGUGACUUUAUAGAAUAAGUAAAUCUUAACUAGCAGUGGUUAAUAAUUAAGUCUUCUUCUUUUUCCUUUGCAGCUCACAUCCCACUGUACCUGUACCCGUUCCUGAAUACUACCAGCAAGACAAGACCUUUUGAGUACUUGAGGCUUACCAGCUUGGGUGUUAUUGGUGCUCUUGUGAAGGUAAAUUAAAACUAGAUACUUAUGCAAACUAGGAAUGGAUGGUCCAUAUAGAUUUUUGCUUUAAAUGGUGAGAGGGUUGAACCAGAGGGGAAAAUAGUGAUGGGGAUUGGCUGUAUCCUUUCUUUUUUUUGUAGACUAUAUCUUGUUCUUUUGGUAUUCUCAUUCCAGUAAUCCAGUCAUUUUAAUCAAAUGGACUGGUUGGGAUUGGAUCCCAGGAAUCUCAACAGGAACUGUUAUUUUUGAAGCAAACAGGCUAAUGAUUUGUUAGAAAUUAUAUUGUUUCUUCUUUUGGAUAUCCGAUUCUGAUAUGUCAGAAACACAACAUAUCAAAAGUUAGCAAUGACCAAACUGGCAUGUAACAGAGACACUAUAAAAGAUAGCCAACAUCCAGUUAGGCCAACAUAACAGUGAACAAAACUACUGUUAAUCAGCUCAGUUCUAGUGCUGUUGGAUUUUUCUCGAUUGUAUUCUUGCAGUUUUGAAAAUUCAGUUCAUUCGGUUACUGAAAAUUCAGUUAAUUCAGUUAGGCACACAAAUUUCAGAACUUUUGUGUGCCCUAGUACUUGGUGUUUGUAGAAAACCAGGAGUGUCAAUGGGACUAGAAUUCACUUGUUCUUAUCUGGGUUUGUAAAACUUGUUCAUGUACUGAACUACUAAUGCCUUGUGAUGCUCUGAAUUACUUGUGAUCACAUUGAGAAAGACUUGUAAAGAUGAUGAUCAUCUUUAACAGAAAACAAUUUGUGAUGAUUUUGCUAGUUUGCUGGAUUAUCUGGGUUAUGUCUCCGACCAUCGUGUCGUGAUGAUUUUGCAGGUACCCCGAGAGGCCCUUGAGUUUGCCGGAAUGUCGAUUAACUUCCGUUCCGGCAAAUUUGGGUACUCCAUAUGUCCUAUUUUCAGCAAAGGUCAUGCUGAAAUUUUCCGUGAAUUUUAGCAUGACUUUGCUAAAAAUAGGACAUAUGGGGUACUUGUGACUAAUGCAUGGGCCGGGGUAUCUUAGUAGUUAAUUAAGUAGGAUCAAGUGCCCCGGCGUACUUGUGACUAAUGCAUGGCUUUUAGGGUGCCUCGGUGUCGAUAAAAACCGAAAUGAUGAAAAGUUAGGCUUUUAGGGUGCCUUGGCGUCGAAAAACCCUCAAUGAUAAAAGCUUAGAUUUUAGGAUGCCUCGGUGUCGACAAACCCUAAAUGAUGAGACCAUGAUCUUGUUCCUUGACAAUAACCAACUUUUUGACCAAACUUUGUUUCUAUUUAGAGAGAAACAUGGCCCACAACGAUGAGGCUGGGGGUUCGGGCGGCAAGGCAUUCUGGGAACUGUCCCAGGAGAUGGAGGAACAACCUCACUUGUAUGAGGCCGCCGCCUUCCCCACCGAUCCUGAGACCACGGAUGGUGCCGCUGAGGAUGACCACACUGAUGCCACCACUGAUGGUGCCGCCGAGGAUGCCACCACUGAUGAUGGCGGCGCACGCACAGAUAGCAGCCAGCCGAAGAGGCAACGGAAGGACCGGCGCCCGAUCGUGCUCCGCACCCUCAAGGAGGAAGUUACUGAAGUGGACUCCAACGGGAAUCCAACGGCGCCCGAACGAAUAGUCAAGGGGUACUCGCUUCAGCUCGGGUGCAUUGUCCGGAGCACCGUCUCGAUCAACACCGAGAACCUGAGGCAUCCUGACCGGGGGAAUUUGCGCCACCUCCUCUUCACGAAGCUGCACGAACGAUACAAGUUCCCCGCUGAAUUCGAAAACACAAGCCUCAAAGGGAAUAAAGUGAACAAUGCUGCCCUCACGAAGAUGAGCAAGGCCCUGUCUACUUGGAAAAGCAAUGUGAAGAGAAUGAUCGAGAAAGGUGAGAGUUAUGAGAAGAUCAAGGAGAAAAAUCCUUCGAUCACCGAAGAUGACUACAACGACUUGAAGAUCAAUUGCUCGAGCACCGCAAGCUCCCAAUCAAGUGAGUGGGGGAAACAAAUGCGGGAGCUGAACAUAGGGGAACACACACUCGGUCCCGGCGGUUACAGAGUGGCGGAGCCUAUAUGGGACAAGGAGGAGGCGGACCGUGCCGAGCAAGGCCUACCGCCCCUCUUCGAUAAAUACGGUGACAAGCAGACCAGGAACUUUGUUAGGGCCCGGUACAAGAAGGACCCGAAAACAAAGGAGCUUACCACGGAUCCAAAGACCAGGCAGCUUGAGCUUGUUCUGGUAAGGAAUACACCCCCGCGUAAUUAGCUCCAUAUGGUUGCAUUCUAAUUAAUGAAGCCGAAUUUCUAAAUGGUUCACAUUCCUUCCGCAGGCGACUGAAAGCAGUAGCGCGGGGUCGACUCAGAGCAACCCUUGGGACACCACUCUAAAUAGGGGGUUGAAUAUAAUGAAGAACAAGGAUAAGCUCAGUAAGCCGACAUCAGCUGGUCGUGUGGCCGGCAAAGGCUUGUCGACAAAAUGGGGGUCAUACUAUACCGCUGGUGUGCGGAAGGAGAAAAAGACCAGCUCGGAAAGCCAGGCGCGAGAGGUUCAAGAACUCAAGGCACACGUGGCGCGGAUUCCGGAGAUUGUCCAAGAGCAAGUGGAACAACGACUCGGAGCGACGAUCACCGCCCUUGUGCCUACCUUGAUCUCGGGGUUGAGUGCGUGGAUUGCGGGCGGCCAACAGGGGCCGCCCCCGAUUCCUAGCUUCACGGCCAGCAACUCGCAUAAUGCGAUGGCGGGGCCAUUGGUGCCUCCGGCGGAGGCGGCAUUGGUGUCUCCGAUGCCGGCACGGGAGCUUAAUGCACCCGGGUGUACGCCAGCCGGCACCUCUUCAGCAAGCGGCCACUCCGUCAACUGCACGCCCGCCGUUGGCGGUGCCUCGACAUUAGCCGAGCUCGACGCCAUCAUCACGGUAACUAAUUAAGCCUCUCUCGGCCGAGGACUUCAUCUCCUUGCCUUUGACUGGGCAUCCCUGACGCCCUACAUGUUUUCGCAGGGCGCCGCCGACGUUCCGUGCAGUCUCCUCCACUUCGUGAACAACGAGUUGGUCGAUGUCGCCAAGGGCAAAAUCGUUCAACCGGGCAACCCCUUGUUCCACGGUACCCAGAUGCCACCCAACUUGUUUAGGGUUCAACUGGUUCGGGUGCUGCCAGGCUGCGACGACUUGUUACCUCCGAUUCGACCCGUCGGGGCCGACGAUGAUGACGUGAUGACCCUCAGCGCCUGCCUGAGCUGGCCCCUGCUUUGGCCGAAGAGCCAAAUUCGUUUGGGGGCGGGGGACACCACCCCAAAGACAACACCGCCAGUCGUGCCGGCGCCAAGUCGGCCCCAUGGCAAGACCGCCGUAACGGUGCCGGACAUCCCUAUGCCACUGGAUCCAAACAUGCAUAUGGCACAGGAUCAGAACGACGACGACGACGACGAUGAUACAUUUGGCAACGUCGAUCAGUACUUUGCCGAGCAUGGGUACGAUGGCGACUUCAUGGGGCCUCCUUCUCAAGAACCAAACCCAACAAAAGACGUGUGCGAUCUAGCUCGUACCGCGGAGAAGCCAAGUUGCAACAGGCGCCGUCUGGCGUUCAGCUCUCAGGAGACGCCUCCAGCUGCCGACUUCACCGAUCCUCAAAUAGGCGAGGUGCGAAAUAUUAUCAGCCCCAACACACUCAAGAAGGAGGUCUGUGAGCAGAACUCGGUCCCAUUACAGGAGAAGAAGAAGGCACGCAAAAGAAAGACUAAGAAGGGUGCGAGCCAGCCGGCACCGAGUACGAUCCGUGCUCAGGACGGGCCACCUUCACCGCAGGAUAUCUCGAGGAGGGUGCAUGUGGCGGGUAGGGCGAUGCUACCACCAAAUAUGCUCAAUGCUGCAACCGGUGCUAUGCGGAGUCUGCACGACAGUGUUCUUUCUUUGGAGAAGCGGCGUCUCAGAGAGAAGGAUGUGGCAUAACCGGUUUUCGUGGCCAAGGUGCCAGAGGGCAAGGGCUUUGUGGAUGGCGACAUCGGGGGUACGAUCGUCCUGUGGUUUGAUGACAUCUUUGCUAUGUUUAACCUUCAUCCGCCGCACUACACCUUCGUUCGGCUAUUUUCGCUGAGUAUGAAGAUGCGGAUCAUUCGCGACAAGACCCCGGACAUCGUGAUAGUCGACCCCUUCUACAUGCGUGCCAAGAUCUUGGGCAGCGCUGGGGACCGGCAAGUCGCGAGUUCUUACCUCGAAGGCGUCAUUCUGGCAAACCAAGAUAAGGAUAACUUCCUCGUGCCUUACUUUCCCGAGUAAGUCCUCCCCUCAACCGGCCCGUAACAUAUGAAUUCUUACUUUUCGAUCGUUUUUCUUUUAACAUUCCGUGUUUUCUGCAGUGACACACGUUGCACGCUCAUCCUCCUAAGCCCCAAAUAUUCCAUGGCCACGUAUUUCGACCUGGACCGUCAGUCGAACGUAGACUACACAAAUGUCAAGAAGGUUCUUGAUGAUGUUCUCCCCGGCUACGCCCAAUCUGGAGGCACCUUCACCAGGCCUAUUCGUAAGUACGGCAAGCACGUGUUCUCCCACAAUACGACGUUCUGCUGCGUCAAGCAGCCGCCUGGCGGUCAGAAGGGUGCCUACUACGCCAUCCAUCACAUGCGGGCGAUCGUACGGGACCAUCAUCAACUUCUGGUACCGAGUAAACUCCAAGAUUGGGCCGCGAGCGUGUCGGCAAUCCAGGACGCGGACCUCCGACAAGAAUUCUUUCGCAUCCAGUCGGAGUUUGCGGAAAUCAUCCAUCAAGAUGUCCUUCGUACCUCGGGGCAGUUCUACCUCAGAAAUCAACCGUCCAACAGUGACAUCGACACAAUGCUACAAAUGCAGGAUGACAACGCCCGUUCUUUCAUGACUCCCACGAUAGACGGCGGCUUCAUCCACGCUCCGGUCCCUUGAGUCGAGUUGUCUAGUUCUGAAACAUCGAUUGGCUCAUGUUGUAAUUAAACUUUAAUGAACUUGUAGUAUGUCUCUUUGGUUUUGAGAGUCGUUCAACUUAGAUGUAAUCGAUGCUAUUAAUGUCUUGCUUUUCUCUUCCGAUUGUUCUGUUGCAUAAUUAUAUAUUGCUUAUGUAUUGUCUGUGAAUUGGUACUAACGUUUCGUUUGGCUAGUGCAUAGUGAUGCCGACGUAUGUCGUGUACAAGGGUAAGGUUCCCGGAGUCUACGAUGACCGGGAGGAGUGUCGGAGACAGGUUCACCGAUUCAGCGGUAACAGUUACAAAGAGUACACCACUAGGGCCGAGGCCGAAUCUAGAUACGCCCGCUAUCUAGCGGGAGAGGGGAGGGAGCGUUGGAGGAACCGGAUGAAGACGAGUUUCAUCGUGAUGAUGCUCAUCGUGAUGACCGCAGCUCUCUUCUAUGUGAUGGUAGUUUAGAUGAUCGAUAUCGACUUGUAAUGCGAAGACAAACUCGCUACUCGCGGUCUCGAGACUUGUAAUAUAAUGUUCUAUCUUUGUUCGGUCUUUUUAAUUCGGAGACUAAUAUGAUGAAUUGUAUUCAGAGACUAAUAUGAUGAAUUGUAUUCAAAGACUAAUCUUCUAUUGUAUUUGAUGAAUCUAUUGUUGAUGUGUGCUGUCUAUAUUUUGUCAAAUUAUACAUUUUGUAACCUGUGCAAAAAGCAGAAAAUAAAAAAAUAAAAAAAAACCUAAUAUUCAUACUAAUGGCGCAUCACACGACAGUGCGCCAUUAGUAUGACAGUGCAUACUAAUGGCGCAUCACCGGGUAGUGCGCCAUUAGUAUGCUGCGGUUACUAAUGGCGCAUCCAGAGGUGGUGCGCCAUUAGUAUGCCAAAGCACCUGGGUAUACAUGCCAACUGGGAGGCAUACUAAUGGCGCACCCUCGCAUAUACUAAUGGCGCACCAGGUGGUGCGCCAUUAGUAUACCAGAUACUAAUGGCGCACCAGCUGGUGCGCCAUUAGUAAAAAUUACUAAUGGCGUGCUAUCAAUGGCGCACCAGUGAUGCGCCAUUAAUGGCCAUAUUAGGUGCGCCAUUAGUAGUGGUAUUUCUAGUAGUGUAGAGAGGAAUUACCCUAGAUACUUGGUAGAUGAGAAGGCUGGCAAGGUCGAUAGAAGUAUAUUGGAUAUACAUUAUGUUAAUGUGUACUUUACUAGUACUCCUAGUAGCACCAGGGUAUUAAGAUACCGGUUCGGUUGCUAAGUGUUAGUAACUCGAAAUCAAAAGAGCUACGGAAUAAACGGAGACUAGCUAAAGGUGAGCUGAUGAUAUGUGUUGGAAGUAUUUCCAAGUUCGAUGUGAUCAAACAUCGCACGCUCCCUCUACCAUCAAGAUUAGUAUUAAACCUGAAUGAUUGUCAUUUGGUGUUUGCGUUGAGCAUAGACAUGAUUGGAUUAUGUCUAUCGCAAUACGGUUAUUCAUUUAAGGAGAAUAAUGGUUACUCUGUUUAUUUGAAUAAUACCUUCAAUGGUCUUGCACCUGAAACGAAUGGUUUAUAAAAUCUCGAUCGUAGUGAUACACAUUUUCAUGCCAAAAGAUAUAAGAUAGUAAUGAUAAUACCACUUACUUGUGGCACUGCCAUGUAAGUCAUACUGGUAUAAAAUGCAUGAAGAAGCUCCAUGUUGAUGGAUCUUUGGACUCACUCGUUUUUGAAAAGUUUGAGACAUGCGAACCAUGUCUAUUGGUGUAUACGCAUGAAGAAACUCCAUGCAGAUGGAUCGUUUGGACUCACUUGAUUUUGAAUCACUUGAGAUAUGCAAAUCAUACCACAUGGGCAAGAUGACUGAAAGCCUCGUUUUCAGUAAGAUGGACCAAGACAGCAACUUGUUGGAAGUAACACAUUUUGAUGUGUGCAGUCCAAUGAGUGCUGAGGCAUGCAGUGAAUAUCGUUAUGUUCUUACUUCACAGAUGAUUCGAGUAGAUGUUGAGUAUAUUUACUUGAUGAAACAAAAGUCUGAAUUAUUGAAUGGUUCAAGUAAUUUCAGAGUGAAGUUGAAGAUCAUCAUGACAAGAGGAUAAAAUGUCUAUGAUAUGAUCAUAGAGAUGAGUAUCUGAGUUACGAGCUUUGGCACGCAAUUAAGACAUUGUGGAAAUUGUUUCACAAUUAAUACCGCCUGGAACACCAUAGUGUGAUGGUGUGUCCGAACAUCAUAGUUGCACCCUAUUGGAUAUGGUCCGUACCAUGAUGUCUCUUAUCGAAUUACCACUAUCGUUCAUGGGUUAGGCAUUAGAGACAACCGCACUCACUUUAAUAGGGCACCACGUAAUUCCGUUGAGACGACACCGUUUGAACUAUGGUUUGGAGAAACCUAAGUUGUCGUUUCUUGAAAAGUUUGGGGCUGCGAAGCUUAUGUGAAAAAGUUUCAGGUUGAUAAGCUCGAACCCAAAGCGGAUAAAAUGCAUCUUCAUAGGACACCCAAAAACAGUUGGGUAUACCUCCUAAUUCAGAUCCUAAAGCAAUAGGGAUUGUUUCCAUAAUCGGGUCCUUUCUCGAGGAAAGGUUUCUCUCGAAAGAAUUGAGUGGGAGGAUGGUGGAGACUUGAUGAGGUUAUUGAACUGUCACUUCAACAAGUGUGUAGCAGGGCACAGGAAGUUGUUCCUGUGGCACCUACACCAAUUGAAGUAGAAGCUUAUGAUAGUGAUCAUGAAGUUUCGGAUCAAGUCACUACCGAACCUCGUAGGGUGACAAGGAUACGUACUACUUCAGAGUGGCACAGUAAUCCUGUCUUGAAGGUCAUGUUGCUAGACAACAAUGAACCUACGAGCUAUGGAGAAGCGAUGGUGGGCCCAAAUUCCGACAAAUGGUUAGAAGCCAUGAAAUCCGAGAUAGGAUCCAUGUAUCAGAACAAAGCAUGGACUUUGGUGGACUUGCCCGAUGAUCGGCAAGCCAUUGAGAUAAAUGGAUCUUUAAGAAGAAGACGGACGUGGAUGGUAAUGUCACCAUCUAUGAAGCUCGACUUGUGACGAAGAGUUUUUCACAAGUUCAAGGAGUUGACUACGAUGAGAUUUUCUCAUCCGUAGCGAUGCUUAAAGUCCGUCGGAUUCAUGUUAGCAUUAGCUGCAUUUAUGAAAUCUGGUAGAUGGAUGACAAAACGAGUUUCCUUACCAGUCUUCGUAAGGAAAGGUUGUAUGUGAUACAAUCAGAAAAGGUUUUGUCGAUCAUAAGGAUGCUGAAAGGUAUGCUAGCUCCAGCGAUCCUUCUAAGGACUGGAGUAAGCAUCUCGGAGUUGGAAUGUACGCUUUGAUAAGAUGAUCAAAGAUUUUGGGUUUAUACAAAGUUUAUGAGAAACUUGUAUUUCCAAAGAAGUGAGUGGGAGCACUAUAGACUUUCUGAUGAGUAUAUGUUGUUGACAUAUUGAUGAUCAGAAAUGAUGUAGAAUUUCUGGAAUGCAUAUAGGGUUAUUUGAAAAGGUGUUUUUCAAGUGAAAACCUGGAUUAAGCUACUUGAACAUUGAGCAUCAAGAUCUAUGAGGAUAGAUCAAAAACGCUUAAUGAUACUUUCAAAUGAGCAUAUACCUUGACAUGAUCUUGAAGGUGUUCAAGAUGGAUCAGUCAUAGAAGGAGUUCUUGCCUGAGAUGUAAGGUAUGAAGUUAAGACUUAAAGCUCGACCACGGCAGAAAAGAGAGAAAGGACGAAGGUCGUCCCUUAUGCUAUAGACGUAGGCUCUACAGUAUGCUAUGCUGUGUACCGCACCUGAUGUGUGCCUUGCUACAUAUCUGGCAAGAGAGUACAAAGGUGAUCAAGGAGUGGAUCACCAGAUAGCGGUCAAAAUUAUCCUUAGAAGAAUAAGGAUAUGUUUCUCGAUUAUGGAGGUGAUAAAGAGUUCGGCGUAAAGGGUUACGUUGAUGCAAGCUUUAACACCUAUCCGAGUGACUCUGAGGCAAACCGGAUACGUAUAGUGGAGCAACCAUUUGGAAUAGCUCCAAGUGGAGCGUGGAAGCAGCAUUUACAAUAUGACCUAGAGAUUUGCGAAGUACAUACGGAUCUGAAUGUUGCAGACCCGUUGACUAAAACCUCUCUCACAAGCAGAACAUGAUCAAACCCCAGAUCUCAUUGAGUCUUAAUCACAUGAUGAUGUGAACUAGUUUAGUGACACUAGUAAACUCUUUGGAUGUUGGUCACAUGGUGAUGUGACCUGUCAGUGUUAAUCACAUGGUGAUGUAAACUAGAUUAUUGACUCUAGUGCAAGUGGGAGACUGUUGGAAAUAUGCCCUAGAGGCAAUAAUAAAAGUGUUAUUAUUAUAUUUCUUUGUUCAUGAUAAUAGUCUUUUAUUCAUGCUAUAACUGUAUUAUUCGGAAAUCGUAAUACACGUGUGAAUACAUAGACCACAAUAUGUCCCUAGUGAGCCUCUAGUUGACUAGCUCGUUGUGAUCAACAGAUAGUCAUGGUUUCCUGGCUAUGGACAUUGGAUGUCGUUGAUAACGGGAUCACAUCAUUAGGAGAAUGAUGUGAUGGACAAGACCCAAUCCUAAGCCUAGCAUAGAGAUCGUGUAGUUCGUAUGCUAAAGCUUUUCUAAUAUCAAGUAUCUUUUCCGUAGACCAUGAGAUUGUGCAACUCCCGGAUACUGUAGGAAUGCUUUGGGUGUACCAAACGUCACAACGUAACUGGGUGGCUAUAAAGGUGCAUUACAGGUAUCUCCGAAAGUGUCUGCUGGGUUGGCACGAAUCGAGACUGGGAUUUGUCACUCCGUGUAAAUGGAGAGGUAUCUCUAGGCCCACUCGGUAGGACAUCAUCAUAAUGUGCACAAUGUGACCAAGGGGUUGAUCAUGGGAUGAUGUGUUACGGAAAGAGUAAAGAGACUUGCCGGUAACGAGAUUGAACAAGGUAUCGGUAUACCGACGAUCGAAUCUCGGGCAAGUAUAAUACCGCUAGACAAAGGGAUUUGUAUAUGGGAUCGAUUGACUCCUUGACAUCGUGGUUCAUCCGAUGAGAUCAUCGUGGAACAUGUGGGAGCCAACAUGGGUAUCCAGAUCCCGCUGUUGGUUAUUGACCGGAGAACGUCUCGGUCAUGUCUACAUGGUUCCCGAACCCGUAGGGUCUACACACUUAAGGUUCGAUGAUGCUAGGGUUAUAAAGGAAGUUUGUAUGUGGUUACCGAAUGUUGUUCGGAGUCCCGGAUGAGAUCCCGGACGUCACGAGGAGUUCCAGAAUGGUCUGGAGGUAAAGAUUUAUAUAUGGGAAGUCCUGUUUUGGUCACCGGAAAAGUUUCGGGUUUUAUCGGUAACGUACCGGGACCACCGGGAGGGUCCCGGGGGUCCACCAAGUGGGGCCACCGGCCCCGGAGGGCUGCAUGGGCCAAGUGUGGGAGGGGACCAGCCCCAGGUGGGCUGGUGCGCCCCCCACCAAGGCCCAAGGCGCCUAGGGAUGGGGGAAACCCUAAAGGGGGGCGCCUCCCUUGCCUUGGGGGGCAAGGCAACCCCCCUGGCCGCCGCCCCCUCCUCAGAUUGGAUCUGAGGGGGCCGGCCUCCCUCUCCCUUGCCCCUAUAUAUAUGUGGGGGGUGGGAGGGCAGCCGUACCACAAGUUCUAGCGCAGCCCUUCCCCUCUCCCAAGUCCUCCUCCUCUCUCGCGGUGCUUGGCGAAGCCCUGCAUGAUUGCCACGCUCCUCCACCACCACCACGCCGUUGUGCUGCUGCUGGAUGGAGUCUUCCUCAACCUCUCCCUCUCUCCUUGCUGGAUCAAGGCGUGGGAGACGUCACCGGGCUAUACGUGUGUUGAACGCGGAGGUGCCCUCCGUUCGGCACUAGGAUCUCCGGUGAUUUGGAUCACGACGAGUACGGCUCCUUCAACCCCGUUCUCUUGAACGCUUCCGCUUAGCGAUCUACAAGGAUAUGUAGAUGCACUCUCCUUCCCCUCGUUGCUGGUUUCUCCAUAGAUAGAUCUUGGUGACACGUAGGAAAAUUUUGAAUUUCUGCUACGUUCCCCAACAGGUAGAAGAGGGAGAGUAAUGGGGGAGAAGUGUUGAGAAGAAGAAGAGUGAGAGUGGGAGGAUGUGGGAGGCAGGGGAAAGGGAAGAGAGGAGGGGGAGGGAAGGGGACGGGUGGGGAAAAGGUGGUGGGUUGGUGCGGAUUAGCAGUAGCGCAGGACGUAAAACGCGCUGCUGAUAAGAAAGUAGCAGCAGCGCGCUUUCGGCAGAAGCGCUACUUUUAACCGGGACAAAAAGUGUGUCCGAUUUGAAAAUUAGCAGCAGCAACCUCAGAAAAAGUGCGCUACUACUACAUCCAUAGCAGUAGCGCGGCUAGCGGAACCGCGCUGCUACUAAAUGGAGUUUGGGGGUGUCGGUGUCAAAACCGGCGGAUCUCGGGUAGGGGGUCCCGAACUGUGCGUCUAGGCGGAUGGUAACAGGAGACAAGGGAAACGAUGUUUUUACCGAGGUUCGGGCCCUCUCGAUGGAGGUAAAACCCUACUCCUGCUUGCAAACAACUUCCUUAUGGUUUAUAAACUAAUGUCUACCGCGGACGUAUAUUUAUAGUGGCGGUUCAUGAGCUUGGCGGUUCACAAAAUUAAAGUCCCAAGCACUUUGCAAGCAAGACUACUUGGCACUUGGGGGCUAAUGCAUAUUGCAGUUCAAACUAUGCAGUUAAUAUGUUCUACACAAGCAUGUGAAGGACCAGCUCAUUCAUUUUGAUUAAAACAGCCCUUGGGGGCUACGGAGGGCUACGGAUUAAGCCGGAUUUCUACAGGUUUUUGAUCUAAAGACAUUGUUAAUACUUGUUUGACGUUUUUAUAAAGUCUACAACAUAUUCAUCAUAUGCAGUAGACUUCGGGGAUGGCGCAAUAAGAAUGAUUCAGGGAAAAGAGGAGAUCAUACCUCAAAUUUAUGGUGCAUCUGCUUCACCAUGUCGGUUUCGACGUCACGGCUACUGUGCACUUGGCUGAGAUAGCCAACCAAAACUUCUCCGACACUCACGUGAGAGUAAUCCGUAAGGUCAAAUCUGACCUUACGACAUUCCAGGAAUUCUUCUUUGGCAGUGCAUUUGGCAAGCACAGCAGACCAUCCCGGCUCAAUGUAAUUGGUCUUGGUAAUUUCAACCUCAGCUUCUUGAGGGUCGUUUGUCUUGACUGGGCUUGAGACUAAGGUUGGCGGUUCAUACGCGGGUCAUCAAUAGCUUGCUCGGUAGGCGGGUCAGCGGCUAAGGUUGGCGGUUCAUACGCUGGCUCAGGUGGUGGCUCAGUAGCAGAGGUUUCCGGUAUGACCGUCUGAAGUGCCGGUUCUUUGAGGGUUGGCUCAUCGACCGGCUUGUCCUUGUUGGCCUUGCUAACCUUUACUUUGCCAUUACAUAAAGAUCAAAAGGUUAGUAUAAGUAUAAAAAUUCAAAGAACAAGCUAGGAAAGUCAUCAUUACCCUGGAGCGUCUUUGAAAGCUGGCAAGUUGGAUUGAAUUGAGUCACCGGAUGAAGGAGAAGUUUCCUGAUAAUUCGAGUCAGAAGGGUUCAGUGGCUGACAAGUGAGACCUGCCAAAGGAUAAGAGGAAUCUAAGACGGAGAUGACCUUGUUCCGGCGCUUCCGUGGUGUAUUGGGCAAGCCGGAGGAGAGCUCUGUGUCUUUGCUGGUACGGGUCUGCCUCCGACUCUCAUGAAUUUGUCGCUUCAAAAGAAAUUGAGGAUCUUGAUAAGCAAAACGAUGUGAAAAUCUUACUUUACAAGUUACUUGGCGGAGUUUUUGGCGCGGCAAAGGCUCUGAGUCGGAGGAAAUAAUAGUUACCUCUUCAUCCACCCCGCGGCUCGUGCCCGUGUCAUCCUGAUCAUAAUCAGUAUCAAUAAGGUGAUUAAAAAAUAAGCCAAGGGAGUCAAGGGCUACCUCCGACUUAGAAGAAUCAUCUAACCGAAGCUACUCAGAAGCACUGGGUUUCUUUCCACGUUUCUUUGUGGUGGCUCUCCUAGCGGCUCUCCUGGCCUUCCUGUCUCUUUUCGCGGCCUCAUGAUCAUAUUUGACUUUCCAGAAUUUGUUAUCAGCUUGUGAAAAUCAACAAAAGUUUGAUUAUAGAUAAAACAUAAAUAUUGGAAAUGAUUUGUUCAGCUUGGCGACUUACCGCUGGAGCCAGAUUGGUUGCGCAGAAAGGGCUUAAGCCCACCUUGGCGCAGUCUAUUAGGCUUUCAUUAAGGAGGCACUUGGUCAUGUCAUGUCGGAGGGGUAUUAAACAGCAUAAUGGAUCUGAACAUAUAAUUUUCCACCAAAUAAACCAUAUAAUAAUCAACUACAAGAUGUAAUCAACACUACUAGUCACCCGCAAGCACCAAUCUACAGUUCCGGUACAAAGAUUGAACACAAGAGAUGAACUAGGGUUUGAGAGGAGAUGGUGCUGUUGAAGAUGUUGAUGGAGAUUGCCCUUCCCAAGAUGGGAGAGUUGUUGGUGAUGAUGAUGACGAUGAUUUCCCCCUCCGGGAGGGAAGUUCCCCCGGCGGAAUCGCUGCGCCGAAGGGCAAAAGUAUUCCUGCCAAGUUCAGCCUCGAGACGGCGGCCCUUCGUCCCGAAAGUCCUUCCCUUAUUUUUUCUAGGUCAAAAUGACCUAAAUACCAGAAGAGAGGCACGGGAGGUGGGCUGGGCUGAGCACAACCCACCAGGUUGCGCCUGGGGGGCCUGGCGCGCCCUGGUGUCUUGAGCUCACUGAUACAUCUCCAACGUAUCUAUAAUUUUUGAUUGUUCCAUGCUAUUAUAUUAUCUAUUUUGGAUGUUUAAUGGGCUUUAAUAAGCUAUUUUACAUUAUUUUUGGGACUAACCUAUUAACCGAGGGUCUAGUGGCAAUUUCUAUUUUUUUGUCUAUUUUAGAGUUUUGCAGAAAAGGAAUACCAAACGGAGUCCAAACGGAAUGAAACCUUUGCGAAGAUCUUUCUUGGACCGAAAGCAAACAAGAAGACUUGGAGAUGAAGUCAGAGAGGCAACAAGGCGGCCACGAGGCAGGAGGGCGCGCCCAAGGCGGUUAGGCAUGCCCCCACCCUUGUGGGUCCCUCGUAACACCCCUGACUUAGUUCCUUCGUCUAUAUAUAUUCUUAUACCCCAAAAACAUCAGGGGGAGCCGCGAAAUCACUUUUCCACUGCUGCAACCUUCUGUACCCGUGAGAUCCCAUCUUGGGACCUUUUCCGGCGAUCUGCCAGAGGGGGAUUCGAUCAUGGAGGGCUUCUACAUCAACACCCACUACUAGGGAAAAGCCUAUACACAGAAUCUUACCAGCAGCGCUCCUCAAAAUACCACGCUACUACUAUUUAGCAGACGCGCAUUUCACCAAAACCCGCUGCUGAAAGGAAAAUAGCAGUAGCGCGUCCACCACAAACCGCGCUACUGCUAUAAUUGCAAUGACCUCGCCCCCCCGCUAGUUAUAGCAGUAGCGCUCUGUACAGAACAGCGCUACUGCUACAGAAGUUAGCAGUAGCGCGCUUCUAGGAAAACCGCUACUGCUAAGAUCAACCCACAAGUUUAGUCCCACCUCGCUCCGUGAACAGGGUGUUUACCACCUUAAAUUUGUUAUUUCCGAAACUACCACAACCAGUUGGUCUUCACUGAACUCAAAAAGAUCAUUGAUAGCCAAUGUAUUUUUGCAUUGAUGUAUUUUUUGUAUAGUUACACUUAGCAGUAGCGGUUUAUACGCAAAGCGCUACUGCUAUUCAGAUUAGCUGUAGCAUGUUUUGGCAAACGCGCUACAACUAUCCCUACCUUAUCCCCACGCGCACGACCGGCCCUCACUCACACUGAUCUCACUCUCGCCCGCGUGCCGAUAACCGUCGUCGUGCGUCGCCGCCGCCGCCGCCUUCGUCCGUCCGCCGCCGAGGUACUCCCCUCCUUCCGUCCCUCCUUCCUCCUCCUCCCUCCUCCCUCCGCCUGCGGCCGCCCCUCCCUCCUCCUCCGCCGCCCUCCUCCCUCCGCCUGCGGCCGCCCCUCCUCCCUCCUCCGUCGGCAGCCCUCCUCCCACCGCCCUCGACCUCGCCGCCCCUAGCUACCUCUCUGUCGCCCCCACCCCCUGCCACUAGUUAGUACUAGAUUUAGUAGUAGUAGAUGUUAAUUUAGGGUUCAUAGCUAGUACUAGAUGUUGCUUAGUUAGUACUAGAUUUUUAGUAGUAGUAGUGGUAGUUGAACUACUUUAGUUGUAGUUGAACUAGUUUAUUAAGUAAAUUAAUAAACUACUUGAACUAGUUGAAUUAAUAGAACUAAUGUAUUUUUAGUAAGAUAAUUAAUAUAACUAGUUGAACUACUUUAUUUUUACGAACUAGUUUUUUUCUAUUUAUAGUAAGUUUAUAUUUAUUAAGAACUAGUUGAAUUAAUAAAACUAGUUGAACAUGUCAUAUUUGUUGUUAUUUUUUAGUUUAAGCAAUUAUUCAGGAUGUAUUAGUGAUAACUUAUAUGGUUUCAGGUGACCACCGUCGUCCCCGUCACCGACCCCCUCCGACAUCCCCGCCGUCGUCCCAGUCACCGACCCCCUCCGACAUGGAGGUGAGACCAGCCAAAUAUCCUUGUAUAUCUUGUGUUGUUGCUCAAAUAGGAUAUGUGGUUGCCCAAGUGGCCGUUCAUGUUCAAUUUACAUAUCUGAGUGGCCUAUGUUUUGCCGGAGUGUUGAUUAAUUUCCCUUCGGCAAAUUUCAGGCGCUCGAUAUGUCCUUUUUUAGCAAAGGUCAUGCCGGAUUUUUUCGUGAAUUCUGGCAUGACUUGUGCUAGAAUAUGUACAAGUUUAAUCUUUGAAUUAUGAUUGUAGGAAAUGUCGUACUCGGUCGACGACAGUCUCCCGGGGGAGUGUAGCUGGUGCCACGACGAUCGAGGUAUGUGCGACAGGUUCGUUCGGCUGGACGAAGAUCGGCGCUUCAGCAUUAAGCUCGAGGAGACCUUCGAUUGUGAAACGGUACGCAACAACGACAAGUGUUUUUUUUGUAAUUAAGCAUGACUUCAACUAUUUCAACGUCUAAUUUUCAUAUUUUACAAUUAGACUAGCUUAUCCCAUGCCAUGCAAGACACUAUGUCUUGGAGAGGAUGGGUUUUGAAGACCAUGAAAAUUUCGAAACAAAGAAAAUACACCUAAGGACCCAUCAUGAUAAGGAUUUUGAAGUAAAUCUGUGCAAUGCUCAGAGCGUAACCCAUUUUGGUUGCCAAAAUUGGGAAGCACUUUGCAAAAUGUAUGGUUUUUAUGAGGGUAUGAUUGUCACCAUGGAUCUUGGUGAUCCUAACAUCGAGCAAGACAAUAUGGACAUUUGGGUCCUUGUUGAUACGCUUCCGAUUGUACCGCUAUGUGAGUUUCUCAAGCAUAGUUAUUAACUAAUUUAUAUUGUUUAUUUAAAAAUAGUUGAUAGCUUAUUUCCAUUGAUAGCUUAUUUUGAUUCUUCAAAGACUGUGCGGAAGAUGGUAGAUAAAACCCACUACACCGAUGGCACCGAAUUAACGUAUAAGGAGAAAAAUCAUCUGAUCACAUUUUGUACUCUUCUUGAGAAUUACAAUAACUAUUAUCGAACUCCUCCAAAUUAUGGUGAAUACGUGCCACUAGUGCAUGUGUUGAACCACGGUAACUUCUCUGGAGAUACCUUGGUAAGAUUUUUUACUAUUACGACAUCCGUGCAUCUUUGGCAUACUUCUAAAACUAGUACAUCAUUUCUAACUACGAUGUUGUUAUUAUGUUUUUCAACAGAAACUCCCGAUGGAUUGUGUGCCUCAUCUGAUGUCUCUGCAUGGUCGCCUCUUAGUUCUGAACAUACUGCCAGGUAAAUCUACGGAGGUCACCUGUGCAUAUCGGAUUUCUAAAACCCGUGAACACAUGUUCAUCAAAGAAUGGAAGAAAUGUAUGGACAUUCGCAAGGAGGUUCUUGGAAGUAACAUUUAGCGAAAGGCAAGAAUUGGAGACAGGCUAAUCUCCAUUCUCCAUAAUGGAGAGUCAGGGGCUAUCUUGUUUUUUGCUAUUUUACUUUAGAAAAUGUAGUAGGUCUUAAUCGAAUGUAAUAGGUCCUAUGAGGUACAAUAUGUUUAUUAUGUGGUAAUGUGUUAGAGUUGAUAAUGAUGAUCUUGAGGAGGUGUUAUGUGAUGUCAAUGAUGAAAACAAUGAUCUUGAGGAGGUGUUAUAUGACAAUGAUGUAUUAUGAUGAUAAGUUGUUAAUGAUAUGAUGAUGAUGAUGAUAUUAUUAUAUCAUUCGGUGAAAGAACCGCGGAUUAGUUUCAAGUGGAUGGACAUCCACUUGAAACUAGUCCACGGUUCUUUCACCCCAUGAUGUAAUAACUCAUUAUUAUGUAAAAACAAUCUCUAAAUUCCUGUUGUAUGAAAACUUGUGUAAAGGUGUAUGAAUACAACAUGAAAUAAAAAAGAAAUAAAAUACUAAAUAACAGUAGUAGCGCGGGAGAGGAGAAGCGCUACUACUAAUUACCAGUAGCGCUGUCCUGAAGGAGCGCUACUACUAAGUCAAUUUACCAGUAGCGUGGGUCGAGGCGCGCUAUUGCUAAGCAUUAGCUGUAGCGCCUUAUCAGUAGCGCUCCUGCCCGCGCUACUGAUAGGCCAAAAACCCGCGCUGUUGCUAGGCUUUUUCCUAGUAGUGACCAUUACCUCUUCGAUGAAGCGUGAGUAGCUUACCACAGACUUUGGAGUCCAUGGUUAUUAGCUGGCUUUUUCUCUCUCUUUGAUUCUCAAUACAAAGUUCUCCUCGAUGUUCUUGGAGAUCUGUUCGAUGUAAUACUCUUUUGCGGUGUGUUUGCCGAGAUCUGAUGAAUUGUGGAUUUAUGAUCAAGAUUAUCUAUGAAUAUUAUUUGGUUCUUCUCUGAAUUCUUAUAUGCAUGAUUUGAUAUCUUUGCAAGUCUUUUCGAAUUAUCGGUUUAGUUUGACCUACUAGAUUGAUCUCUAUAGCCAUGAGAGAAGCGCUUAGCUUUGGGUUCAAUCUUGUGGUGUCCUUUUCCAGUGACAGUAGGGGCAGCAAGGCACGUAUAGUAUUGUUGCCAUCGAGGAUAACAAGAUGGGGUUUUCAUCAUAUUGCUUGAGUUAAUUCCUCUACAUCAUGUCAUCUUGCUUAAUGUGUUACUCCGUUUUUAUGAACUUAAUACUCUAGAUGCAUGCUGGAUAGCGGUCGAUGUGUGGAGUAAUAGUAGUAGAUGCAGGCAGGAGUCGCUCUACUUGACACGGACGUGAUGCCUAUGUUCAUGAUUAUUGCCUUAGAUGUCAUCAUAAUUAUGCGCUUUUCUAUCAAUUGCUUGGCAGUAAUUUGUUCAACCACUGUAAUAUAUGCUAUCUCGAGAGAAGCCACUAGUGAAACCUAUGGCCCCCGGGUCUCUUUUCCAUAUUACUGAAUCACGUUUACAUCUUGCUAGUUUCCGAUCUACUAUUUUGCAAUCUUUACUUUCCAAUCUAUAAACCAAAAAUACCAAAAAUAUUUACUUUACCGUUUAUCUAUCUCUAUCAGAUCUCACUUUUGCGAGUGACCGUGAAGGAUUGACAACCCCUUUAUCGCGUUGGUUGCAAGUUCUUGAUUGCUUGUGCAGGCAUUCAGUGACUUGUGCGUCGUCUCCUGCUGGAUUGAUACCUUGGUUCUCAAAACUGAGGGAAAUACUUACGCUACUUUGCUGCAUCACCCUUUCCACUUCAAGGGAAAACCAACACAAGCUCAAGAGGUAGCAAGAAGGAUUUCUGGUGCCGUUGCCGGGGAGAUCUACGCCAACUCAAGCCAUACCAAGUACCCAUCAUAAACUCUUCUCCCUUGCAUUACAUUAUUCGCCAUUUGCCUCUCGUUUUCCUCUCCCCCACUUCUAAAACGAUUUUAAAAAACCUUUGCCUUUUCUUCGCCCCUCUUCCGUUCGUCUCUUUUCGCUUGCUUCUUGUGUGCUUGUGUGUUGGAUUGAUUGCUUGUCACGAUGGCUCAAGAUAAUACUAAAUUGUGUGAAUUUUCCAACACCAACAACAAUGAUUUUAUUAGCACUCCGAUUGCUCCUACUACCAAUGCUAAAUCUUGUGAAAUUAAUGAAGGAAAUAUGCCCUAGAGGCAAUAAUAAAGUUAUUAUUUAUUUUUCCUUAUACCAUGAUACAUGUUUAUUAUUCAUGAUAGAAUUUUAUUAUACGGAAACUUAGUACAUGUGUGGAUACAUAGACAAACAAAGUGUCACUACUAUGCCUCUACUGAACUAGCUCGUUCAAUCAAAGAUGGUUAAGUUUCCUAGCCAUAGACAUGACUUGUCAUUUGAUUAACGGGAUCACAUCAUUAGAUAAUGAUGUGAUUGACUUGACCCAUUCCAUUAGCUUAGCACUUGAUCAUUUAGUUUGUUGCUAUUGCUUUCUUCAUGACUUAUACAUGUUACUAUGACUAUGAGAUUAUGCAACUCCCGAAUACCGGAGGAACACUUUGUGUGCUACCAAAUGUCACAACAUAACUGGGUGAUUAUAAAGGUGCUCUACAGGUGUCUCUGAUUGUCGGAGAGGUAUCUCUAGGCCCUCUCGGUAAUGCACAUCGCUAUAAGCCUUGCAAGCAAUGUGAAUAAUGAGUUAGUUGCGGGAUGAUGCAUUACAGAACGAGUAAAGAGACUUGCCAGUAACGAGAUUGAACUAGGUAUUGAGAUACCAACGAUCGAAUCUCGGGCAAGUAACAUACCGAUGACAAAGGGAACAAUGUAUGUUGUCAUGCAGUUUGACCGAUAAAGAUCUUCGUAGAAUAUAGAUGAGCAAAUAUGAGCAUCCAGGUUCCACUAUUGGUUAUUAACCGGAGACAUGUCUCGGUCAUGUCUACAUAGUUCUCGAACCCGUAGGGUCCGCACGCUUAACGUUCGGUGAUGAUCGGUAUUAUGAGUACAUGUGUUUUGAUGUAUCGAAGGUUGUUUGGAGUCCCGGAUGAGACCAAGGACAUGACGAGGAGUCUCGAAAUGGUCGAGACAUAAAGAUUGAUAUAUUGGAAGGUUAUAUUCGGGCAUCGGAAGGGUUCUGGGGGUCACUGGAUAAAUACCGGAGUACCGGGAGGUUAUCGGAACCCCCCUGGGAGUAUAUGGGCCUUAAUGGGCUUUAUAGGAAAGAGAGAGGGACUGGCUAGGGCUGGGCCACACGCCCCCCAAGCCUAGUCCGAAUUGGACUAGGGGGAGGGACUCCUUAAUGCCCCCACAAGCCCCCUCCUUCCUUCCCCUCACCUCCUUUCCUUCCCCCUUCUCCUACUCCUACUAGGAAAUGGGAGUCCUACUCCCGGUGGGAGUAGGACUCCUCCCUUGGCGCACCCUCCUCCUAGGCCGGCCGCCUCCCCCCUUGCUCCUUUAUAUACGGGGGCAGGGGGCACCCCAAGACACACAAGGAGAUCAUUGAUCUUUAGCCAUGUGCGGUGCCCCCUCCACCAUAAUCCACCUUGGUCAUAUCGUUGCGGUGCUUAGGCGAAGCCCUGUCUCGGUAGCUUCAUCAACACCGUCAUCACGCCGUCGUGCUGACGGAACUCUCCCUCGAAGCUCUACUGGAUCGUGAGUUCAUGGGACGUCACCGAGCUGAACGUGUGCAAAUCGCGGAGGUGUCGACGAGGGUACAUGGACGACACUCUCCCCUCUCGUUGCUAUGCAUUACCAUGAUCUUGCGUGUGCGUAGGAAUUUUUUUGAAAUUACUAUGUUCCCCAACAGUGGCAUCCGAGCCAGGUUUGUGCGUAGAUGUUAUAUGCACGAGUAGAACACAAGUGAGUUGUGGGCGAUACUAGUCAUACUGUUUACCAGCAUAUCAUACUUUGAUUCGGCGGUAUUGUUGGAUGAAGCGGCCCGGACCGACAUUACGCGUACGCUUACGCGAGACUGGUUCUACCGACGUGCUUCGCACAAAGGUGGCUGGAGGGUGUCUGUUUCUCCAACUUUAGUUGAAUCGAGUGUGGCUGCGCUCGCUCCUUGUGAAGGUUAAAACAACACAUACUUGACGCAAUAUCGUUUUGGUUUUGAUGCGUAGGUAAGAACAGUUCUUGCUUAGCCCUUAGCAGCCACGUAAAACUUGCAACAACAAAGUAGAGGAUGUCUAACUUGUUUUUGCAGGGCAUGUUGUGAUGUGAUAUGGUCAAGACAUGAUGCUAAAUUUUAUUGUAUGAGAUGAUCAUGUUUUGUAACGGAGUUAUCGGCAACUGGCAGGAGCCAUAUGGUUGUCGCUUUAUUGUAAGAAAUGCAAUCGCCAUGUGAUUGAUUUACUUUAUCACUAAGCAGUAGCGAUAGUCGCAGAAGCAAUAGUUGGCGAGAUGACAACGAUGCUACGAUGGAGAUCAAGGUGUCGCACCGGUGACAAUGGUGAUCAUGAUGGUGCUUUGGAGAUGGAGAUCAAAGGCACAAGAUGAUGAUGGCCAUAUCAUAUCACUUAUAUUGAUUGCAUGUGAUGUAUAUCUUUUAUGCAUCUUAUUUUGCUUAGAUCGACGGCAGCAUUAUAAGAUGAUCUCUCACUGAAUUUCAAGGUAUAAGUGUUCUCCCUGAGUAUGCACCAUUGCGAAAGUUCGUCGUGCCGAGACACCACGUGAUGAUCUGGCGUGAUAAGCUCUACAUUCACAUACAAUGGGUGCAAGCCAGUUUUGCACACGCAGAAUACUCGAGUUAAACUUUACGAGCCUAGCAUAUGCAGAUAUGGUCUCGGAACACUGAGACCGAAAGGUCGAGCAUGAAUCAUAUAGUAGAUAUGAUCAACAUAGUGAUGUUCACCAUUGAAAACUACUCCAUCUCACGUGAUGAUCGGACAUGAUUUAGUUGAUCUGGAUCACGUGAUCACUUAGAUGAUUAGAGGGAUGUUUAUCUAAGUGGGAGUUCUUAAGUAAUUUGAUUAAUUGAACUUUAAUUUAUCAUGAACUUAGUACCUGAUACUAUUUUGCAUGUCUAUGUUGUUGUAGAUAGAUGGCCCGUGCUGUUGUUCUGUCGAAUUUUAAUGCGUUCCUUGAGAAAGCUAAGUUGAAAGAUGAUGGUAGCAAUUACACGGACUGGGUCCGUAACUUGAGGAUUAUCCUCAUUGCUACACAGAAGAAUUACGUCCUGGAAGCACCGCUAGGUGCAAGACCCGCUGCAGGAGCUACGCCAGACGUUGUGAACGUUUGGCAGAGAAAAGCUGAUGACUACUCGAUAGUUCAGUGUGCCAUGCUUUACGGCUUAGAACCGGGACUUCAACGAUGUUUUGAACGUCAUGGAGCAUAUGAGAUGUUCCAGGAGUUGAAGUUAAUAUUUCAAGCAAAUGGCCGGAUUGAGAGAUAUGAAGUCUGUAAUAAGUUCUACAGCUGCAAGAUGGAGGAUAAUAGUUCUGUCAGUGAACAUAUACUCAAAAUGUCUGGGUAUAAUAACCACCUGAUGAUAAUGUCAUUGACAGAAUUCUUUAAUCACUACCACCAAGCUACAAGAGCUUCUUGAUGAACUAUAAUAUGCAAGGGAUAAAUAAGACAAUUCCCGAGCUCUUCGCGAUUCUAAAGGCUGUGGAGGUAGAAAUCAAGAAGGAGCAUCAAGUGUUGAUGGUCAACAAGACCACCAGUUUUAAGAAAAAGGGUAAAGGGAAGAAGGGGAACUUCAAGAAGAACGGCAAGCAAGUUGCUGCUCAAGUGAAGAAGCCCAAGUCUGGACCUAAGCCUGAGACUGAGUGUUUCUACUGCAAAGGGACUGGUCACUGGAAGCGAAACUGCCCCAAGUAUUUGGCGGAUAAGAAGGAUGGCAAGGUGAACAAAGGUAUAUGUGAUAUACAUGUUAUUGAUGUGUACCUUACUAAUGCUCACAAUAGUGCCUGGGUAUUUGAUACUGGUUCUGUUGCUAAUAUUUGCAACUCGAAACGUGGACUACGGAUUAAGCGAAGAUUAGCUAAGGACGAAGUGACGAUGCGCGUGGGAAAUGGUUCCAAAGUCGAUGUGAUCACGGUCGGCACGCUACCUCUACAUCUAGCUUUGGGAUUAGUUUUAGACCUGAAUAAUUGUUAUUUGGUGCCAACGUUGAGCAUGAACAUUAUAUCUUGAUCUUGUUUGACGCGAGACGGUUAUUCAUUUAAAUCUGAGAAUAAUGGUUGUUCUAUUUAUAUGAGACCCCCUCUUGGGACUUUAAAAAUCCUACUCCAUUAUUCUACCCUACUCUUGGGACUUCAAUUCUGUUUUUCGUGUGUUGUUUGCUUAUUUCAAUGCAUCUAUGGCUAGUAAAUUAGUUUAUAAACCAUAAGGAAGUUGGAAUACAGUGGGUUUAACACCAAAUUAAAUAAAGAAUGAUUUCAUUGCAGUACCUUAUGUGGUGGUUUUGUUUUCUUUCACUGACGGAGCUUAUAAGAUUUCCUGUUGAGUAUUGUGUUGUGAAGUUUUCAAGUUUUGGGUAAAGCUUUUAUGGACUAUGGAAUAAAGGGUGGCAAGAGACUAAGCUUCGGGAUUCCCAAGGCACCCCAAGAUAUUCAAGGAUAGCCAAAAGCCUAAGCUUGGGGAUGCCCUGGGAAGGCAUCCCCUCUUUCGUCUUCGUUCAUUGGUAACUUUACUUGGAGCUAUAUUUUUAUUCGCUACAUGAUAUGUGUUUUGCUUGGAGCGUCGUGUAUUAUAUUAGUCUUUGAUUUUUAGUUUACCACAAUCAUCCUUGUUGUACACACCUUUUUGGGAGAAGCCUAUUUGAUUAGAAUUUGCUAGAAUUCUCUAUGUGCUUCACUUAUAUCUUUUGAGCUUCAUAGUUUUUGCUCUAGUGCUUCACUUAUAUCUUUUAGAGCACAGUGGUGUCUUAAUUUUGAAGAAAUUUCUAGUCUCUCAUGCUUCACUUAUAUUAUUUUGAGAGUGUUUUAGAGCAGCAUGGUAUUUGCUUUAGUCAUCAAGUUGGUCCUAGAAUGGUAGGCAUCCAAGUUGGGUAUAAUAAAAACUAUCAUAUAGGAAGUGAAUUGGAUGCUAUGGUCAACUUGAUACUUGAUAAUUGUUUUGACAUAUGGAGGUAGUGAUAUUAAAGUCAUGCUAGUUGGGUGAUUAUGAAUUUAAAGAAUGCUUGUGUUGAAGUUAGUAAGUCCCGUAGCAUGCACGUCUGGUUAAAGUUGUGUAACAAAUUUGAAACAUGAAGUGUACCUGGCUUGUGCAUCCUUAUGAGUGGCGGUCGGGGACGAGCGAUGGUCUUUUCCUACCAAUCUAUCCCCCUAGGAGCAUGCGCGUAGUACUUGAUUUUUUUGACGACUUCUAAAUUUUUGCAAUAAGUAUAUGAGUUCUUUUGACUAAUGUUGAGUCCAUGGAUUAUACGCACUUUUACCUUUCCGCCUUUGCUAGCCUCUUCAGUACCAUGCAUUGUCCUUUCUCACCUUGAGAGUUGGUGCAAACAUCGCCGGUGCAUCCAAACCACGUGAUAUGAUACACUCUAUCACACAUAAACCUCCUUAUAUCUUCCUCAAAACAGCCACCAUACCUACCUAUUAUGGCAUUUCCAUAGCCAUUCCGAGAUAUAUUGCCAUGCAACUUUCCACUGUUCCGUUCAUCAUCAUCAUGACAUACUUUAGUUUUGUCAUAUUGCCAUUAAAUUAUCAUGUAGUUGACAUCAUAUUUGUGGCAAAGCCACCAUGCAUUAUUUUUCAUACAUGUCACUCUUGAUUCAUUGCACCAUCCCGGUACACCGCCGGAGGCAUUCAUAUAGAGUCAUAUUUUGUUCUAGUUUCGAGUUGUAAUUCUUAUGUUGUAAUCAAUAGAAGUGUGAUGAUCAUCAUUAUUAGAACAUUGCCCAACGAAAAAAAAAGGAAGAAAGGCCAAAAAGAAAAAGAAAAAAGAAAGGCCCAAAAAGAAAAAAAGGAGGGGGAAGAAAAAAUGGGGAAAAAGAAAAAAAGAAAAAAAAGAAUAAAUAAAUAAAUAAGGGCAAUGUUACUAUCUCUUUUUCCACACUUGUGCUUCAAAGUAGCACCUUGUUCUCCAUGUAGUGAGUCUCAUAUAUUGUCCUUCAAAGUAACACCAUGUUUUCAUAUAGUGAGUCUCAUAAGUUGUCUUUUUCAUACUAGUGGGAAUUUUUCAUUAUAGAACUUGGCUUGUAUAUUCCUACGAUGUGCUUCCUCAAAUGCCCUAGGUCUUCGUGAGCAAGAAAGUUGGAUGCACAGCCGCUAGUGUUGAGCAUUCAUUUAUAGCUCUAGUGCAUCCGUUGCCUGGCAAUCCCUACUCCUCAUGUUGACAUCAAUUGAUGGGCAUCUCCAUAGCCCGUUGAUUAUCCUCGUCAAUGUGAUACUAUCUCCUUUUUUGUCUUCUCCACACAAUCCCCAUCAUCAUAUUCUAUUCCACCCAUAGUGCUAUAUCCAUGGCUCAUGCUCAUGUAUUGCGUGAAGGUUGAAAAAGUUUGAGAUUAUUGAAGUAUGAAACAAUUGCUUGGCUUGUCAUCGGGGGUGUAGAAGUUGGGAACAUCUUUGUGUGACAAAAAUGAAGCAUAGCCUAACUAUAUGAUUUUGUAGGGAUGAACUUUCUUUUGCCAUGUUAUUUUGAGAAGACAUGAUUACUUUGAUUAGUAUGCUUGAAGUGUUACUAUUUCUUUUAUCAAUAUGAACUUUGAUCUGAACAUUCAUGCGACAAUAAAGAGAAUUACAUUAUGAAUUAUGCUAGGUAGCAUUCCACAUCAAAAAUUCUCUUUUUAUCAUUUACCUACUCGAGGACGACCAUUAAUUAAGCUUGGGGAUGCCUGAUACGUCUCCAACAUAUCUAUAAUUUUUUAUUGUUCCAUGCUAUUGUAUUACCCCUUUUGGAUGUUUAUGGGCUUUAUUUUACACAUUUAUAUCAUUUUUGGGACUAACCUACUAACCGGAGGCCCAGCCCAUAUUGCUGUUUUUUUGCCUAUUUCAGUAUCUCGAAGAAAAGGAAUAUCAAAUAGAGUCCAAAUGGAAUGAAACCUUCGGGAGCGUGAUUUUUGGAACGAACAUGAUCCGGAGAGCUUGGAGCGCAAGUCAAGAAGUUGCCGAGGAAGCCACGAGAUAGGAGGCCACCCCCCCCCCUGUAGGGCGCACCCCCUGUCUCGUGGGCCCCUCGGGCGGCCACCGACGUACUUCUCCUCCUAUAUAUACCUACAUACCCCGAAAACAUCCAGGAGAACCACGAAACACAAUUUCCACCGCCGUAACCUUCUGUAUCCGCGAGAUCUCAUCUUGGAGCCUUCACUGGCACUCUGCCGGAGGGGGAAUCGACCAUGGAGGGCUUCUACAUCAACAUAUUUGCCCCUCUGAUGAGUUGUGAGUAGUUUACCACAGACCUACAGGUCCAUCGUUAUUAGCUAGAUGGCUUCUUCUCUCUUUUUGGAUCUCAAUACAAUGUUCUCCCACUCUCUUGUGGAGAUCAAUUCGAUGUAAACUCUUUUUGUGGUGAGUUUGUCGAGAUCCGAUGAAUUGUGGGUUUAUGAUCAAGUUUAUCUAUGAAUAAUAUUUGAAUCUUCUCUGAAUUCUUUUAUGUAUGAUUGAGUUAUCCUUGCAAGUCUCUUCGAAUUAUCAGUUUGGUUUGGCCUACUAGAUUGGUCUUUCUGCCAUGGGAGAAGUGCUUAUCUUUGGGUUCAAUCUUGCGGUGUCCUUACCCAGUGACAGAAAGGGUUGCAAGGCACGUAUUGUAUUGUUGCCAUCGAGGAUAACAAGAUGGGGUUUAUAUCAUAUUGCAUGAGUUUAUGCCUCUACAUCAUGUCAUCUUGCUUAAUGCGUUACUCUGAUCUUAUGAACUUAAUACUCUAGAUGCAGCCAGGAGUCGGUCGAUGUGUGGAGUAAUAGUAGUAGAUGCAGGCUGGAGUCAGUCUACUUGUUAUGGACGUGAUGCCUAUAUACAUGAUCAUGCCUAGAUAAUCUCAUAACUAUGCGCUUUUCUAUCAAUUGCUCGACAGUAAUUUGUUCACCCACCAUAAUACGUAUGCUAUCUUGAGAGAAGCCUCUAGUGAAACCUAUGGCCCUGGGUCUAUCUCUUAUCAUAUUUGCUUUCAAUCCACUUUUAUUUGCAUCUUUACUUUUUGCAUCUAUAUUAUAAAAUACCAAAAAUAUUUUUUUCUUAUCAUACUAUCUUUAUUAGAUCUCACUUUCGCAAGUGGCCGUGAAGGGAUUGACAAACCCUUUAUUGCAUUGGUUGCGAGUUCUCAGUUUGUUUGUGUAGGUGCGUGGGACUUUUGAGGAGCCUCCUACUGGAUUGAUACCUUGGUUCUCAAAACUGAGGGAAAUACUUACGCUACACUUGCUGCAUCACCCUCUCCUCUUCAAGGAAAACCAACGCAAGCUCAAGACGUAGCAAGAAGGAUUUCUGGCGCCGUUGCCGGGGAGGUCUUCUCUCAAGUCAAGACAUACCAAGUACCCAUCACAAACCCAUCUCCCUCGCAUUUACAUUAUUUGCCAUUUGCCUCUUGUUUUCCUCUCCCCACUUCACCCUUGCCGUUUUAUUCGCCCUCUCUUUCCCAAUCUCCUCUCUCUUUUUCGCUUGCCCUUUUUCUGUUUGCUUGUGUGUUGGAUUGCUUGUUGCCAUGGCACAAGAUAAUACCAAAUUGUGUGAUUUCUCGAAUACCAAUAAUAAUGAUUUCCUUAGCACUCCGAUUGCUCCUCUUAAUGAUGUUGAGUCUUGUGAAAUCAAUGCUGCCUUGCUGAAUCUUGUUAUGAAAGAUCAAUUUGCCGGCCUUCCUAGUGAAGAUGCCCCUACUCAUCUAAACAAUUUUGUUGAUUUGUGUGAUAUGCAAAAUAAGAAAGAUACGGAUACCAAUAUUGUCAAAUUGAAGUUAUUUCUGUUUUCACUUAGAGAUCGUGCUAAAGUUUGGUUUUCGUCUUUGCCUAAAAAUAGUAUUGAUUCUUGGAACAAGUGCAAAGAUGAUUUUAUCUCUAAGUAUUUUCCUCCCUCUAAGAUCAUCACUCUUAGGAACGAUAUUAUGAAUUUUAAACAACUUGAUCAUGACCAUGUUGCCCAAUCUUGGGAAAGAAUGAAAUUGAUGCUUCGCAAUUGCCCUACUCAUGGUUUGAAUUUAUGGAUGAUCAUACAAAAAUUUUAUGCCGGUUUGAACUUUCCUUCUAGAAAUCUCUUAGGUUCGGCCGCGGGAGGCACCUUUAUGGAAAUCACAUUAGGAGAUGCUACAAAACUUCUUGAUAAUAUUAUGGCUAAUUAUUCUCAAUGGCACACCGAAAGAUCUUCUAGUAAAAAAGUGCAUGCUAUAGAAGAAAUCAAUGUUUUGAGUGAAAAGAUAGAUGAACUUAUGAAGAUGUUUGCUACUAAAAAUACUCCUCUUGAUCCUAAUGAUAUGACUUUGUCUUCUUUGAUUGAGAAUAAUAAUGAAUCUAUGGAUGUGAAUUUUGUUGGUAGGAAUAGUUUUGGAAACAAUGCUUAUAGAGGAAACUUUAAUGCUAGACCGUUCCCUAGUAAUUACUCUAAUAAUUAUGGAAAUUCCUACAAUAAUUCUUAUGGUAAUUUUAAUAAGAUGCCCUCUGAUUUUGAGAAUAGUGUGAAAGAAUUUAUGAUUUCUCAAAAGAAUUUUAAUGCUUUGCUUGAAGAAAUAUUGCUCAAAGUUGAUGAUUUGGCUAGGAACAUUGAUAGACUUUCGCUUGACGUUGAUUCUCUUAAAAUUAGAUCUUCCCCUCCUAAGCUUUAUAUCAAUGAGUCUCUCAGAGUAAUGCGAAUUUCCAUUGACGAGUGCAAGGAAAGAACCACUAGAUUGCGUGCUAAAAAAGAAAGCUUUAUAAAAGCGUGUUCUUAUAGUUUCCGUGAAAAUAAUGAUGAGGAUCUUAAAGUUAUUAAUGCGUCUCUGAUUAGAUCUAUGUUUUGCAAUAUGAAUUUUGAUGAUUAUGGGACUGAUGAUGAAUCAACUUUGCCUAGAAGGCGUCCCAAGAAUUCGGAGUCUUUAGAUCUUAAUGCUAAAUUUGGUAAAAGUGAGAUUGGAGAAUCCUCAACUUCUAAUAAUGUUGAACCCACUAUCUCGGAUUUCAAGGAAUUUGACUAUGAUAAUUGCUCUUUAAAAGGUUGUAUUUCCUUGUUCCAAUCCGUUGUUAAUUCUCCUCAUGCUUAUAGUCAAAACAAAGCUUUUACCAAACAUAUUGUUGAUGCCUUGAUGCAAUCUUAUGAUGAAAAACUUAAUUUGGAAGUUUCUAUACCUAGAAAACUUAAUGAUGAGUGGGAACCUACUAUAAAUAUCAGAAUUAAAGAUUAUGAGUGUUUUGCUUUGUGUGAUUUGGGUGCUAGUGUUUCCACGAUUCCGAAAACUUUAUGUGAUAUUCUAGGUUUCCAUGAUCUUGAAGAUUGCUCUUUAAAUUUGCACCUUGCAGAUUCCACCAUUACAAAACCUAUGGGAAGGAUCAAUGAUGUUCUUAUUGUUGCAAAUAGAAAUUUUGUGCCCAUAGAUUUUAUCGUUUUUGAUAUAGAUUGCAAUCCUUCUUGUCCUAUUAUUCUUGGUAGACCUUUCCUUAGAACGAUUGGUGCGAUUAUUGAUAUGAAGGAAGGGAACAUUAGAUUCCAAUUUCCCUUAAAGAAAGACAUGGAGCACUUUCCAAGAAAGAAAGUCAAAUUACCUUAUGAAUCUAUCAUGCAUGCUACUUAUGAAUUUAGUGCCAAAGAUGGCACUCGUUAGAUCUAUCUUUGCUUUUAUGCCUAGAUAGGGGUGUUAAACGAUAGCGCAAGUUGGGAGGCAACCCAAUUUUCUUUAUGUUUUUUUGUUUUUGCUCCUGUUUAUUAAUAAAUCUUGCAUAUACCUUCUGUUUAGAUGUGUUUUUAUCUUUUAAUUAGUGUUUGUGCCAAGUAGAACCUAUAGGAUAAACCACGAUGAUAGUUGAUUUGAUUCUGCUGAAAAACAGAAACUUUGCGCUCACGAGAACAAAUUAAAUAAAUCACAGAAACGUGCUUUUGCUUUGAUUCUUUUUUCUUCUGAUCAAUAAACAAAUUUUCUAGUACGUCCUAUUUUGGUAGGAAUUUUAGAGUUACAGAAGUUUGCGUUAGUUACAGAUUGUUACAGACUGUUCUGUUUUUGACAGUUUCUGUUUUUCGUGUGUUGUUUGCUAAUUUCAAUGCAUCUAUGGCUAGUAAAUUAGUUUAUAAACCAUAAGGAAGUUGUAAUACAGUGGGUUUAACACCAAAUUAAAUAAAUAAUAAGUUCAUUGCAGUACCUCAUGUGGUGGUUUUGUUUUCUUUCACUAACGGAGCUUAUAAGAUUUCCUGUUGAGUUUUGUGUUGUGAAGUUUUCAAGUUUUGGGUAAAGCUUUUAUGGACUAUGGAAUAAAGGGUGGCAAGAGCCUAAGCUUGGGGAUGCCCAAGUCAAACCAAGAUAUUCAAUGAUAGAAAAAAGCCUAAGCUUGGGGAUGCCCCGGGAAGGCAUCCCCUCUUUCGUCUUCGUUCAUUGAUAACUUUACUUGGAGCUAUAUUUUUAUCCGCUACAUGAUAUGUGUUUUGCUUGGAGCGUCGUGUAUUAUAUUAGUCUUUGAUUUUUAGUUUACCACAAUCAUCCUUGCUGUACACCCCUUUUUGGGAGAAGCCUAUUUGAUUAGAAUUUGCUAGAAUUCUCUAUGUGCUUCACUUAUAUCUUUUGAGCUUCAUAGUUUUUGCUCUAGUGCUUCACUUAUAUCUUUUAGAGCACGGUGGUGUCUUAAUUUUGAAGAAAUUUCUAGUCUCUCAUGCUUCACUUAUAUUAUUUUGAGAGUGUUUUAGAGCAGCAUGGUAUUUUCUUUAGUCAUAAAGUUGGUCCUAGAAUGGUAGGCAUCCAAGUUGGGUAUAAUAAAAACUAUCAUAUAGGAAGUGAAUUGGAUGCUAUGGUCAACUUGAUACUUGAUAAUUGUUUUGACAUAUGGAGGUAGUGAUAUUAAAGUCAUGCUAGUUGGGUGAUUAUGAAUUUAAAGAAUGCUUGUGUUGAAGUUAGUAAGCCCCGUAGCAUGCACGUCUGGUUAAAGUUGUGUAACAAAUUUGAAACAUGAAGUGUACCUGGCUUGUGCAUCCUUAUGAGUGGCGGUCGGGGACGAGCGAUGGUCUUUUCCUACCAAUCUAUCCCCCUAGGAGCAUGCGCGUAGUACUUGAUUUUUUUUGAUGACUUCUAAAUUUUUGCAAUAAGUAUAUGAGUUCUUUUGACUAAUGUUGAGUCCAUGGAUUAUACGCACUUUUACCUUUCCGCCUUUGCUAGCCUCUUCGGUACCAUGCAUUGUCCUUUGUCACCUUGAGAGUUGGUGCAAACUUCGCCGGCGCAUCCAAACCCCGUGAUAUGAUACACUCUAUCACACAUAAACCUCCUUAUAUCUUCCUCAAAACAGCCACCAUACCUACCUAUUAUGGCAUUUCCAUAGCCAUUCCGAGAUAUAUUGCCAUGCAACUUUCCACCGUUCCGUUCAUCAUCAUCAUGACAUACUUUAGUUUUGUCAUAUUGCCAUUGCAUUAUCAUGUAGUUGACAUCGUAUUUGUGGCAAAGCCACCAUGCAUUAUUUUUCAAACAUGUCACUCUUGAUUCAUUGCACCAUCCCGGUACACUGCCGGAGGCAUUCAUAUAGAGUCAUAUUUUGUUCUAGUUUCGAGUUGUAAUUCUUAUGUUGUAAUCAAUAGAAGUGUGAUGAUCAUCAUUAUUAGAACAUUGCCCAAAGAAAACAAAAAGGAAGAAAGGCCAAAAAGAAAAAGAAAAAAGAAAGGCCCAAAAAGAAAAAAAGGGGGAAAAAGAAAAAACGAGGUGAAAAAAGAAAAAAGAGAAUAAAUAAAUAAAAAUGGCAAUGUUACUAUCUCUUUUUCCACACUUGUGCUUCAAAGUAGCACCUUGUUCUCCAUGUAGUGAGUCUCAUAUAUUGUGCUUCAAAGUAGCACCAUGUUUUUCAUAUAGUGAGUCUCAGAAGUUGUCUUUUUCAUACUAGUGGGAAUUUUUCAUUAUAGAACUUGGCUUGUAUGUUCCUACGAUGGGCUUCCUCAAAUGCCCUUGGUCUUCGUGAGCAAGCAAGUAGGAUGCACACCCACUAGUUUUCUUUUGUUGAGCAUUCAUUUAUAGCUCUAGUGCAUCUGUUGCCUGGCAAUCCCUACUCCUCAUGUUGACAUCAAUUGAUGGGCAUCUCCAGAGCCCGUUGAUUAUCCUCGUCAAUGUGAGACUUUCUCCUUUUUUGUCUUCUCCACACAAUCCCCAUCAUCAUAUUCUAUUCCACCCAUAGUGCUAUAUCCAUGGCUCACGCUCAUGUAUUGCGUGAAGGUUGAAAAAGUUUGAGAUUAUUUAAGUAUGAAACAAUUGCUUGGCUUGUCAUCGGGGGUGUAGAAGUUGGGAACAUCUUUGUGUGACAAAAAUGAAGCAUAGCCUAACUAUAUGAUUUUGUAGGGAUGAACUUUCUUUUGCCAUGUUAUUUUGAGAAGACAUCAUUACUUUGAUUAGUAUGCUUGAAGUGUUACUAUUUCUUUUAUCAAUAUGAACUUUUAUUUUUUAUUCAUUUGGACCUGAACAUUCAUGCCACAAUAAAGAAAAUUACAUUAUGAAUUAUGCUAGGUAGCAUUCCACAUCAAAAAUUCUCUUUUUAUCAUUUACCUACUCGAGGACGAGCAAGAAUUAAGCUUGGGGAUGCUUGAUACGUCUCCAACGUAUCUAUAAUUUUUUAUUGUUCCAUGCUAUUAUAUUACCCCUUUUGGAUGUUUAUGGGCUUUAUUUACACAUUUAUAUCAUUUUUGGGACUAGCCUACUAACCGGAGGCCCAGCCCAUAUUGCUGUUUUUUUUGCCUAUUUCAGUAUUUCGAAGAAAAGGAAUAUCAAACAGAGUCCAAACGGAAUGAAACCUUCGGGAGCGUGAUUUUUGGAACGAACGUGAUCCGGAGAGCUUGGAGUGCAAGUCAAGAAGCUGCCGAGGAAGCCACGAGAUAGGAGGCUCCCCCCUGUAGGGCGCGCCCCCUGUCUCGUGGGCCCCUCGGGCGGCCACCAACGUACUUCUCCUCCUAUAUAUACCUACGUACCCCAAAAACAUCCAGGAGCGCCACAAAACACAAUUUCCACCACCGUAACCUUCUGUAUCCGCGAGAUCUCAUCUUGGAGCCUUCGUCGGCACUCUGCCGGAGGGGGAAUCGACCACGGAGGGCUUCUACAUCAACAUCUUUGCCCCUCCGAUGGGUUGUGAGUAGUUUACCACAGACCUACGGGUCCUUAGUUAUUAGCUAGAUGGCUUCUUCUCUCUUUUUGGAUCUCAAUACAAUGUUCUCCCCCUCUCUUGUGGAGAUCAACUCGAUGUAAACUCUUUUUGCGGUGUGUUUGUUGAGAUUCGAUGAAUUGUGGGUUUAUGAUCAAGUAUAUCUAUGAAUAAUAUUUGAAUCUUCUCUGAAUUCUUUUAUGUAUGAUUGAGUUAUCUUUGCAAGUCUCUUUGAAUUACCAGUUUGGUUUGGCCUACUAGGUUGGUCUUUCUUGCCAUGGGAGAAGUGCUUAGCUUUGGCUUCAAUCUUGCGGUGUCCUUACCUAGUGACAGAAAGGGUUGCAAGGCACGUAUUGUAUUGUUGCCAUCGAGGAUAACAAGAUGGGGUUUAUAUCAUAUUGCAUGAGUUUAUCCCUCUACAUCAUGUCAUCUUGCUUAAUGCAUUACUCUGUUCUUAUGAACUUAAUACUCUAGAUGCAGGCAUGAGUCGGUCGAUGUGUGGAGUAAUAGUAGUAGAUGCAGGCAGGAGUCGGUCUACUUGUUAUGGACGUGAUGCCUAUAUACAUGAUCAUGCCUAGAUAAUCUCAUAACUAUGCGCUUUUCUAUCAAUUGCUCGACAGUAAUUUGUUCACCCACCGUAAUACUUAUGCUAUCUUGAGAGAAGCCUCUAGUGAAACCUAUGGCCCCCGGGUCUAUCUUUUAUCAUAUUUGCUUUCAAUCUACUUUUAUUUGCAUCUUUACUUUUUGCAUCUAUAUUAUAAAAUACCAAAAAUAUAUUUAUCUUAUCAUACUAUCUUUAUUAGAUCUCACUUUUGCAGGUGGCCGUGAAGGGAUUGACAACCCCUUUAUUGCGUUGGUUGCGAGUUCUCAGUUUGUUUGUGUAGGUGCGUGGGACAUUUGAGGAGCCUCCUACUAGAUUGAUACCAUGGUUCUCAAAACUGAGGGAAAUACUUACGCUACACUUGCUGCAUCACCCUCUCCUCUUCGAGGAAAACCAACGCAAGCUCAAGACGUAGCAUUGUUGUACAUGUAGACCCGUGGUACCCAUCUGAAAUCUUGUUGUGCCAUGUAGUUUUCCGCGCUUUGUAUGCUUUCACUGCUGCUUUGUCUUGAACUGAUAUGAUUUGAACCGUGUCUCUAUUAUGAUUUGGCAAGACAAUGUAGUGAGCAUAGGACAUAGAUAUAUGUAUGUUUGAUGCUUUUAUUAUGUACUAGUACUUGGUAAUAGAAUACUUGGUAGUUUAAUCAUGUCCACCUUACUAAUGAACUAGUUCACCGAAAUGAGUUUCAUAUACUAGUACAUGCUAAACCUAUUAUGUGUGUGCUUGUCUAUUCUUUUAGAAUGCUGACAGAAUAUUGGGGAAGAGUGCCUUACUAAGCAAUGGUAAAGGAAGUAAUGCAGAUAAGGUUCAGGAUCGUGAGACAUCCUUGUUGGUCUCCAACAAAGCUGAUAAAACAGCUAAGACUAUCUUGAAGACAGUGAGACAACCCCAAAGUCUUGUCUUUGUUUAGUGUUCGAGUUACUGGCCACUACCGCUUGCACAAGCUAUUCACACUCACUGUCUUAAUCAGUUCGGUUUCUUGAGUCUCAACUACAAGCUGAAAGACAUCGAUCAGCUGUGUUGCGACCAGAAGCGGAAGGACUGCGGAAGUCCCUGGAGCAUUCAGAUGCAUACUUUCUGGUGCAGCAGCAAGCGUUGGAGGAUUUUAGCGCCAAACAGGACAAAGCUAAUAAGCUUGCUAAGCUUACUGCCAGCAUGGUGGAUACCCAGGAUAACAUUUCUUGAGCUCUUCUGAAGUUGUUUCAGUUAUGGACUUGUUUUGUUGCCUCGUUUAUUUGCACUGGUGGCCAAUUUUGACCGCCAGUGUAUGUAAUAUGCUGCUUUGUUCCCUAUAUUUGCACUGGUGGCAAACUUUGAUGCCCAGUGGAUGUAAUAUGUGUAAUAGCUAUAAUAGGCUAGCGUUAGUUGCUUGCUUAUCUAUUACCUUAUUGUCUUGUUUAGUUUUUUGCUUGUAGUCACUUCAGUUAUUUUUCUGCGUUUACUAGUGGCCACAAUAACCUAUUUUUUGGUAACUAGGCCACAAUAGUCAUGGCAACACACAGACUGUAACCAUGGGCCUCCUACAGGCGUAGGAUCCGUGGUCCUUCUAUGGGCCGUAGGAUACAUGGGCCUUCUACGGGCCGUAGGAUCCAUGGACUUUCUACGGACCGUAUGAUCCAUGGGCCUUCUAUGGGCUGUAGGAUCCAUUGGUCUUCUACGGGACGUAGGAUCCAUGGGCCUUCUAUGGGGCGUAUAAUCAUUUCGCAAAACAUGGUCCAUACUAUUCAUGGACCAUAACAGGCCGUUAAUAGGCCGCAUUUCAUAACACUAUGAAAACAGCCCAGCGGGUUAACGGGCCACAAACGGGCCGAAUGUAACCACAGGCUGAAUUUGUCCCACAAACGGAACAGGCCAAUAACGGACUGUAACUAACCGAAUUCUAGAAAUGAGCCCAAGAAUAAAUGGGCCCUUAGAAGGCCAAAAGUUAACACGGGCUGGAAACGGCCAACGGAAAAUGGGUCGUUAAUGGGUAUAAAGCGAUACCCUAUUCACUAUGGGUCAGUUUCAUCGCGAGCCUUUAAUGGGCCGAGAGUUACAGAGGGCCUCAUAUGGGCCGAAAGACAUCAGGGGCCAUACAUGGGCCGGAAGUUACAACGGGCUGGAAUCAUAUUGGACGGCCCAGAUGAAGGUAUUGGGCUUAAUUCUGAUAGGCCGUAACGGGUCGGGAGUUAGCGGGCCAUAAAUGGGCUAUAUACGAACAGGCCGUUAACAGGCUUUCCGUGGUCCGACCCGUUACCUUUUGACCAAGUCAAACGGGCCGGCCUUUUUCACCGGAAUGGGCCUCUGUUGGGCCGUGCUGUUGGGGAACGUUGCAGAAAACAAAAAAUUUCCUACUCGUUUCACCAAGAUCAUCUAGGAGUUCAUCUAGCAACGAGUGAAUAGAUGCAUCUACAUACCUUGUAGAUCGCGAGCGGAAGCGUUCAAAGAACGGGGAUGAUGUAGUCGAAUACGACGUGAUUCGAAUCACCGGAGAUCCUAGCACCGAACGGACGGCACCUCCGCUUUCAACACACAUACGGAACAGCCACGUCUCCUCCUUCUUGAUCCAGCAAGGGAGGGAGGAGAGGUUGAGGGAGAUGGCACCAGCAGCAGCACGACGGCGUGGUGUUGAUGGAGCUGCAGUACUCCAGCAGAGCUUCACUAAGCGCUAUGGAGUUGGAGGAGGUGUUGGGGAGGGAGAAGGAGGCAACCUAAGGCCAAGGACUCAAGGUAUGAAGUCCCUCCUCUCCCCCACUAUAUAUAGGGAUGCCAAGGGAGGUUGGCCGGCCCUAGGAGAUCCAAUCUCCUAGGGGGUGCGGCGGCCAAGGGGGGUUUCCCUCCCCCCCAAGGCACCUAGGAGGUGCCUUCCACUAGUAGGACUCCUCCCCCUUGGAAACCCUAGGCGCAUGGGCCUAGUGGGGCUGGUGCCCUUGGCCCAAGCAGGCCAAGGCGCACCCCCUACAGCCCAUGUGGCCCCCGGGGAUGGGUGGCCCCACCCGGUGGGCCCCCGGGACCCCUCCGGUGGUCCCGGUACAAUACCGAUAACCCCGAAACUUGUCCCGAUGCCCGAAACAGGACUUCCCAUAUAUAAAUCUUUACCUCCGGACCAUUCCGGAACUCCUCGUGACGUCCGGGAUCUCAUCCGGGACUCCGAACAACAUUCGGGUUACUGCAUAUACAUAUCCCUAAAACCCUAGCGUAACUGAACCUUAAGUGUGUAGACCCUACGGGUUCGGGAGACAUGUAGACAUGACCGAGACGACUCUCCGGUCAAUAACCAACAGCGGGAUCUGGAUACCCAUGUUGGCUCCCACAUGCUCCACGAUGAUCUCAUCGGAUGAACCACGAUGUCGAGGAUUCUAUCAACCCCGUAUGCUAUUCCCUUUGUCUAUCGAUAUGUUACUUGCCCGAGAUUCGAUCGUCGGUAUCCCAAUACCUCGUUCAAUCUCGUUACCGGCAAGUCACUUUACUCGUACCGUAAUGCAUGAUCCCGUGACCAGACACUUGGUCACUCUGAGCUCAUUAUGAUGAUGCAUUACCGAGUGGGCCCAGUGAUACCUCUCCGUCAUACGGAGUGACAAAUCCCAGUCUUGAUCCAUGUCACCCAACAGACACUUUCGGAGAUACCCGUAGUCUACCUUUAUAGUCACCCAGUUACGUUGUGACGUUUGGCAUACCCAAAGCACUCCUACGGUAUCCGGGAGUUACACGAUCUCAUGGUCUAAGGAAAAGGUACUUUGACAUUGGAAAACUCUAGCAAACGAACUAUACGAUCUUGUGCUAUGUUUAGGAUUGGGUCUUGUCCAUCACAUCAUUCUCCCAAUGAUGUGAUCUCGUUAUCAAUGACAUCCAGUGUCCAUAGUCAGGAAACCAUGACUAUCUGUUGAUCAACGAGCUAGUCAACUAGAGGCUCACUAGGGACAUGUUGGUGUCUGUUAUUCACACAUGUAUUACGAUUUCCGGAUAAUACAAUUAUAGCAUGAAUAAAGACAAUUAUCAUGAACAAGGAAAUAUAAUAAUAAUGCUUUUAUUAUUGCCUCUAGGGCAUAUUUCCAACAGUCUCCCACUUGCACUAGAGUCAAUAAUCUAGUUACAUUGUGAUGAAUCGAACACCCAUGGAAUUCUGGUGUUGAUCAUGUUUUGCUCUAGGGAGAGGUUUAGUCAACGGAUCUGCUACAUUCAGGUCCGUAUGUACUUUACAAAUCUCUAUGUCUCCAUCUUGAACAUUUUCACGAAUGGAGUUGAAGCGACGCUUGAUAUGCCUUGUCUUCUUGUGAAACCUGGGCUCCUUGGCAAGUGCAAUAGCUCCAGUGUUGUCACAGAAGAGCUUGAUCGGCCCCGACGCAUUGGGUAUGACUCCUAGGUCGGUUAUGAACUCCUUCACCCAUAUUGCUUCAUGUGCUGCCUCCGAGGCUGCCAUGUACUCCGCUUCACAUGUAGAUCCCGCCACGACACUUUGCUUGCAACUGCACCAGCUUACUGCCCCACCAUUCAAAAUAUACACGUAUCCGGUUUGUGACUUAGAGUCAUCCAGAUCUGUGUCGAAGCUAGCGUCGACGUAACCCUUUACGACGAGCUCUUCGUCACCUCCAUAAACGAGAAACAUUUCCUUAGUCCUUUUCAGGUACUUCAGGAUAUUCUUGACCGCUGUCCAGUGUUCCUUGCCGGGAUUACUUUGGUACCUUCCUACCAAACUGACGGCAAGGUUAACAUCAGGUCUGGUACACAGCAUGGCAUACAUAAUAGAACCUAUGGCUGAGGCAUAGGGGAUGACGCUCAUCUCUUCUAUAUCUUCUGCCGUGGUCGGACAUUGAGCUGAGCUCAAUUUCACACCUUGCAACAUAGGCAAGAACCCCUUCUUGGAUUGAUCCAUAUUGAACUUCUUCAAUAUCUUAUCAAGGUAUGCGCUUUGUGAAAGACCUAUGAGGCGUCUCGAUCUAUCUCUAUAGAUUUUGAUGCCUAAUAUAUAAGCAGCUUCUCCAAGGUCCUUCAUUGAAAAACUUUUAUUCAAGUAGGCCUUGAUGCUGUCCAAGAGUUCUAUAUCAUUUCCCAUCAAAAGUAUGUCAUCUACAUAUAAUAUGAGAAAUGCUACAGAGCUCCCACUCACUUUCUUGUAAACGCAGGCUUCUCCAUAAGUCUGUGUAAACCCAAACGCUUUGAUCAUCUCAUCAAAGCGAAUGUUCCAACUCCGAGAUGCUUGCACCAGCCCAUAAAUCGAGCGUUGGAGCUUCCACACUUUGUCAGCAUUCUUAGGAUCGACAAAACCUUCCGGCUGCAUCAUAUACAAUUCUUCCUUAAGGAAACCAUUAAGGAAUGCCGUUUUGACGUCCAUUUGCCAUAUUUCGUAAUCAUAGAAUGCGGCAAUUGCUAACAUGAUUCGGACGGACUUCAGCUUCGCUACCGGUGAGAAAGUCUCAUCGUAGUCAACCCCUUGAACUUGUCGAUAACCCUUAGCGACAAGCCGAGCUUUAUAGAUGGUCACAUUACCAUCCGCGUCUGUCUUCCUCUUAAAGAUCCAUUUAUUUUCUAUGGCUCGCCGCUCAACGGGCAAGUCAGUCAAAGUCCAUACUUUGUUUUCAUACAUGGAUCCUAUCUCGGAUUUCAUGGCUUCCAGCCAUUUGUCGGAAUCUGGUCCCGCCAUCGCUUCCUCAUAGUUUGAAGGUUCACCGUUGUCUAACAACAUGAUUUCCAAGACAGGGUUGCCGUACCACUCUGGUGCGGAACGUGUCCUUGUGGACCUUCGAAUUUCAGUAGGAACUUGAUCAGAAGUAUCUUGAUCAUUAUCAUUAACUUCCUCUCUAGUCGGUGCUGGCACCUUAGGAACAUUUUCUUGAGUUGCGCCAUUUUCCGGUUCAAGAGGUAAUACUUCAUCAAGCUCUACUUUCCUCCCACUUACUUCUUUCGAGAGAAACUCUUUCUCCAGAAAGGACCCAUUCUUGGCAACAAAGAUCUUGCCUUCGGAUCUGAGGUAGAAGGUGUACCCAAUAGUUUCUUUUGGGUAUCCUAUGAAGACGCAUUUUUCCGAUUUGGGUUCGAGCUUUUCAGGUUGAAGUUUCUUGACAUAAGCAUCGCAUCCCCAAACUUUUAGAAACGACAGCUUAGGUUUCUUCCCAAACCAUAAUUCAUACGGUGUCGUCUUAACGGAUUUCGACGGAGCCCUAUUUAAAGUGAAUGCGGCAGUCUCUAAAGCAUAGCCCCAGAAGGAAAGCGGUAAAUCGGUAAGAGACAUCAUAGAUCGCACCAUAUCUAACAGAGUGCGAUUACGACGUUCGGACACACCAUUACGCUGAGGUGUUCCAGGCGGCGUGAGUUGUGAAACUAUUCCACAUUUUCUUAAGUGUGCCCCAAACUCGUGACUCAAGUAUUCUCCUCGACGAUCUGAUCGUAGAAACUUGAUUUUCCUGUCACGUUGAUUUUCAACCUCACUCUGAAAUUCCUUGAACUUUUCAAAGGUUUCAGACUUGUGUUUCAUUAAGUAGAUAUACCCAUACCUACUUAAAUCAUCAGUGAGGGUGAGAACAUAACGAUAGCCACCGCGAGCCUCAACACUCAUCGGACCGCACACAUCAGUAUGUAUGAUUUCCAAUAAGUCGGUUGCUUGCUCCAUUGUUCCUGAGAACGGAGUCUUGGUCAUUUUACCCAUAAGGCAUGGUUCGCACGUGUCAAAUGAUUUAUAAUCAAGAGACUCUAAAAGUCCAUCAGCAUGGAGCUUCUUCAUGCGUUUAACACCUAUGUGACCAAGGCGGCAGUGCCACAAGUAUGUGGGACUAUCAUUAUCAACCUUACUUCUUUUGGUACUCACAUUAUGAAUAUGUGUAGCAUCACGUUCGAGAUUCAUAAGGAAUAAACCAUUCACCAUAGGAGCAGGACCAUAAAACAUAUCUCUCAUAAAAAUGGAACAACCAUUAUUCUCAGAUUUAAAAGAGUAGCCAUCUCGUAUUAAACGAGAUCCCGAUACAAUGUUCAUGCUCAAAGCUGGCACUAAAUAACAAUUAUUAAGGUUUAAAACUAAUCCCGAAGGGAGAUGCAGAGGUAGCGUGCCGACGGCGAUCACAUUGACCUUGGAACCAUUCCCGACGCGCAUCGUCACCUCGUCCUUUGCCAGUUUCCGCUUAUUCCGCAGCCCCUGCUUUGAGUUACAAAUGUGAGCAACUGCACCGGUAUCAAAUACCCAGGAGCUACUACGGGCACUGGUAAGGUACACAUCAAUUACAUGUAUAUCACAUAUACCUUUUGUUUUGCCGGCCUUCUUAUCCGCUAAGUACUUAGGGCAGUUCCGCUUCCAGUGACCGCUUCCCUUGCAAUAAAAGCACUCAGUCUCGGGCUUGGGUCCAUUCUUUGGCUUCUUCCCAGCAGCUUGCUUGCCGGGCGCGGCAACCUCCUUGCCGUCCUUCUUGAAGUUCUUUUUACCCUUGCCUUUCUUGAACUUAGUGGUUUUAUUGACCAUCAACACUUGAUGUUCCUUUCUGACUUCUACCUCUGCUGAUUUCAGCAUAGCAAAUACUUCAGGAAUGGUCUUUUCCAUCCCCUGCAUAUUGAAGUUCAUCACAAAGCUCUUGUAGCUUGGUGGAAGCGACUGGAGGAUUCUGUCAAUGACCGCAUCAUCCGGGAGAUUAACUCCCAGCUGAGUCAAGCGGUUAUGCAACCCAGACAUAGUGAGUAUGUGCUCACUGACAGAACUGUUUUCCUCCAUCUUACAGCUAAAGAAUUUGUCGGAGACUUCAUAUCUCUCGACCCGGGCAUGAGCUUGGAAAACCAUUUUCAGCUCUUCGAACAUCUCAUAUGCUCCAUGUCUCUCAAAACGCUUUUGGAGCCCCGGCUCUAGACUGUAAAGCAUGCCGCACUGAACGAGGGAGUAGUCAUCGAAACGUGCCUGCCAAGCGUUCAUAACAUCUUGUUCUGCAGGGAGAACGGGUGCGUCACCAAGCGGUGCUUGUAGGACAUAAUCUUUCUUGGCAGCUAUGAGGAUGAUCCUCAGGUUCCGGACCCAGUCCGUAUAGUUGCUGCCAUCGUCUUUCAGCUUAGUUUUCUCUAGGAACGCGUUGAAGUUGAGGACUACGUUGGCCAUUUGAUCUACAAGACAUAUUGCAAAGAUUUUAGACUAAGUUCAUGAUAAUUAAGUUCAACUAAUCAAAUUAUUAGUGAACUCCCACUUAGAUUAGACAUCCCUCUAGUCAUCUAAGUAUUACAUGAUCCGAGUUAAACUAGACCGUGUCCGAUCAUCACGUGAGACGGACUAGUCAACAUCGGUGAACAUCUUCAUGUUGAUCGUAUCUUCUAUACGACUCAUGCUCGACCUUUCGGUCUUCUGUGUUCCGAGGCCAUGUCUGUACAUGCUAGGCUCGUCAAGUCAACCUAAGUGUUUGCAUGUAUAAAUCUGUCUUACACCCGUUGUAUGUGAACGUCUGAAUAAAACACCCGAUCAUCACGUGGUGUUUUGAAACAGCGAACUGUCGCAACGGUGCACAGUUAGGGGGAACACUUCUUGAAUUUAUUAUGAGGGAUCAUCUUAUUUACUACCGUCGUUCUAAGUAAACAAGAUGCAAAACAUGAUAAACAUCACAUGCAAUCAAAUAAUAAACGUGACAUGAUAUGGCCAAUAUCACAUAGCUCCUUUGAUCUCCAUCUUGGGGCUCCAUGAUCAUCUUGUCACCGGCUUGACACCAUGAUCUCCAUCAUCAUGAUCUUCAUCAUCGUGUCUCCAUGAAGUUGCUCGCCAACUAUUACUUCUACUACUAUGGCUAACGCGUUUAGCAAUAAAGUAAAGUAAUUUACAUGGCGUUUCUUGAUGACACGCAGGUCAUAUAAAAGAAUAAAGACAACUCCUAUGGCUCCUGCCGGUUGUCAUACUCAUCGACAUGCAAGUCGUGAAUCCUAUUACAAUAGCAUGAACAUCUCAUACAUCACAUAUAGAUCAUUCAUCAUUCAUCACAACUUUGGCCAUAUCAUAUCACAAACCACUUGCUGCAAAAACAAGUUAGACGUCCUCUAAUUGUUGUUGCAAGUUUUACGUGGCUGAAUUAGGGUUCUAGCAAGAACGUCUUCUUACCUACGUUAAAGCCACAACGUGAUUUGUCAACUUCUAUUUACCCUUCAUAAGGACCCUGUUCAUCGAUUCCGCUCCAACUAAAGUAGGAGAGAUAGACACCCGCCAGCCACCUUAUGCAACUAGUGCAUGUUAGUUGGUGGAACCGGUCUCACGUAAGCGUACGUGUAAGGUUGGUCCGGGCCGCUUCAUCCCACAAUACCGCUGAAGCAAGAAAGGACUAGUAACGGCAAGAAAGUUGACAAAUCUACGCCCACAACAAAUUGUGUUCUACUCGCGCAAGAAGAACUACGCAUAGACCUAGCUCAUGAUGCCACUGUUGGGGAACGUUGCAGAAAACAAAAAUUUUCCUACUCGUUUCACCAAGAUCAUCUAGGAGUUCAUCUAGCAACGAGUGAAUAGAUGCAUCUACAUACCUUGUAGAUCGCGAGCGGAAGCGUUCAAAGAACGGGGAUGAUGUAGUCGAACACGACGUGAUUCGAAUCACCGGAGAUCCUAGCACCGAACGGACGGCACCUCCGCGUUCAACACACGUACGGAACAGCCACGUCUCCUCCUUCUUGAUCCAGCAAGGGAGGGAGGAGAGGUUGAGGGAGAUGGCACCAGCAGCAGCACGACGGCGUGGUGUUGAUGGAGCUGCAGUACUCCAGCAGAGCUUCGCUAAGCGCUAUGGAGUUGGAGGAGGUGUUGGGGAGGGAGAAGGAGGCAACCUAAGGCCAAGGACUCAAGGUAUGAAGUCCCUCCUCUCCCCCACUAUAUAUAGGGAUGCCAAGGGGGGUUGGCCGGCCCUAGGAGAUCCAAUCUCCUAGGGGGUGCAGCGGCCAAGGGGGGUUUCCCUCCCCCCCAAGGCACCUAGGAGGUGCCUUCCACUAGUAGGACUCCUCCCCCUUGGAAACCCUAGGCGCAUGGGCCUAGUGGGGCUGGUGCCCUUGGCCCAAGCAGGCCAAGGCGCACCCCCUACAGCCCAUGUGGCCCCCGGGGAUGGGUGGCCCCACCCGGUGGGCCCCCGGGACCCCUCCGGUGGUCCCGGUACAAUACCGAUAACCCCGAAACUUGUCCCGAUGCCCGAAACAGGACUUCCCAUAUAUAAAUCUUUACCUCCGGACCAUUCCGGAACUCCUCGUGACGUCCGGGAUCUCAUCCGGGACUCCGAACAACAUUCGGGUUACUGCAUAUACAUAUCCCUACAACCCUAGCGUAACUGAACCUUAAGUGUGUAGACCCUACGGGUUCGGGAGACAUGUAGACAUGACCGAGACGACUCUCCGGUCAAUAACCAACAGCGGGAUCUGGAUACCCAUGUUGGCUCCCACAUGCUCCACGAUGAUCUCAUUGGAUGAACCACGAUGUCGAGGAUUCUAUCAACCCCGUAUGCUAUUCCCUUUGUCUAUCGAUAUGUUACUUGCCCGAGAUUCGAUCGUCGGUAUCCCAAUACCUCGUUCAAUCUCGUUACCGGCAAGUCACUUUACUCGUACCGUAAUGCAUGAUCCCGUGACCAGACACUUGGUCACUCUGAGCUCAUUAUGAUGAUGCAUUACCGAGUGGGCCCAGUGAUACCUCUCCGUCAUACGGAGUGACAAAUCCCAGUCUUGAUCCAUGUCACCCAACAGACACUUUCGGAGAUACCCGUAGUCUACCUUUAUAGUCACCCAGUUACGUUGUGACGUUUGGCAUACCCAAAGCACUCCUACGGUAUCCGGGAGUUACACGAUCUCAUGGUCUAAGGAAAAGAUACUUUGACAUUGCAAAACUCUAGCAAACGAACUAUACGAUCUUGUGCUAUGUUUAGGAUUGGGUCUCGUCCAUCACAUCAUUCUCCCAAUGAUGUGAUCUCGUUAUCAAUGACAUCCAGUGUCCAUAGUCAGGAAACCAUGACUAUCUGUUGAUCAACGAGCUAGUCAACUAGAGGCUCACUAGGGACAUGUUGGUGUCUGUUAUUCACACAUGUAUUACGAUUUCCGGAUAAUACAAUUAUAGCAUGAAUAAAGACAAUUAUCAUGAACAAGGAAAUAUAAUAAUAAUGCUUUUAUUAUUGCCUCUAGGGCAUAUUUCCAACACGUGCCACGUGUCGAUGUAUCAUAGGCGCCUCCUGUCUAAUGAGUGGAUGACAUCUGUCCCAACGGUGUGGCGACACGUGUUUCCUCCAGCCAAUGAUGAUUUUACACGUGGAAAGUCCCCAUUGGUCCGGGCUGUUAAUGAGUUAUCGGAUCCAAAACCGGACCCGAUAGCUUAACGGCAUUCCGUUACGGUGGAUGCUACGCGUCGGUCACCCUUGACGAAAGCACUUCUGUGACGCGCGAUUUAUUGUCAUGGAAGUGGACACUUCCAUGAUGAUAAUUUUGGUAAUGUCAUGGAACACUUCUACGACAGCACAUGUAUGACUAUCUUGAUUCUGUCAUAAAAUCGUCAUGGAUGUACAUGCAUGACAGAAAAUGUGACCUAUUGUGACAAACACGUAUCAUCACGGAAGUGUAUUGUUUUUGUAGUGCAUAUAGGUUUAGUAUUAAUUGUUUGCCUUCAAAGCCCUCGUGUUUCGAAGACUUCAUAAAAAUCGCCUAUUCACCCCCGCUUCUAGUCGAUAGCUAGCACUUUGAAGAUGUAAAAUCGAAUAUAUAAAAAUUUACAUCUCCGAAAAGUGUUUUUUGCAUCUACAAAAAAGGUCAACUCCAAAAUAUGAUGCAAAACAAAAAUGUAAAAGAGUAACUCCAAUAAAAGAUGCAAACUAGAUAUGCAAAACUGGACACUGGCAGCGCGGUUGCUGUUGAGCCGCACAAAUUGAAAUAAAACAUCUCAAAAUCUACUUACAAAUCUCACAUGUUCACAAUAUCAAAUUAUUACAUAAUUCAUCAAAUCCACAAGAUCAAAUGCAUCACACAUAUAACGUAGUUUUGAACAAUACAAAAAACAAAUAAAUGAAACUAGGCGGCUCUUUCGCCAUGAUAAUUUGAAAACUCUUCCAACAAAUCCUUCUGAAGUUGACUGUGCUUUGACUUCUUUCCCUUGUGCAUCGCCACUAGAAUAGCAGUGUCCUCUUCUUCGUUCAAAUCAAAUUCCUCAUCCAACGAGGAAUCGUCCAUGAAAGAGGAGUCACACAAGCUCAUCUACAAUGCGGAAAAUCAUCGUCAAACUAACUCUCCAACCCCAAUAAAAACCCGUCAAGUUUCAUCUCUUUUUUACCUUGGGGAUUUUCGUCGAACACCUUGCUUGCGGGGUGGAAGAAAUCAGCCGAAUGCGGGUUGGGCAUCCGUUCGGUGGCGGUGGGUGCGGGCGGCGGCGGCUGCUUGACAAAGAAGAAGGCAGGAGCUCAGCACUGUGGGCGGCCGGCUUCGUGUUGCCGGAAGAACGGCUGAGGCUCACGGCCGUCAGGCAGGCGGCAUGGUGUGCCUCCUCUAACUCCGGCGGGGGGUCUAGGCUAGGAAGAAGCCUAGCCCAUCCUAAACUUUGUCGGGGAAGGCAUUCAGGCCAACCAGACCGCCGGAGAUGCUUUGAUUCGGCGGCUGCGGGCAGGCAAGGCAGGCGGCGGGGGACGGGGGGUCGCCGCGGGCCCGGCGUGUUGGGAACGCGGUAAUUUCAAAAAAAAUCCUAUGAUCACGCAAGAUCUAUCUAGGUGAUGCAUAGCAACAAGAGGGGAGAGUGUGUACACGUACCCUCGUAGACCGAAAGCGGAAGCAUUAUGACAAUGCGGUUGAUGUAGUCGUACGUCUUCACAAUCCGACCAAUCCUAGCACCAAAGAUACGGCACCUCCGCAAUCUGCACACGUUCAGCUCGGUGACGUCCCAUGAACUCUAGAUCUAGCUGAGGUCGAGGGAGAGUUUUGUCAUCACGUCGGUGUGUUGACGGUGAUGAUGAAGUUACCGGCGCAGGGCUUCGCAUAAGCACUACGACGACAUGACCGAGGUGGAAAUCUAUGGAUGGGCACCGCAGACGGCUAAAAGAUCAACUUGAUCAACUUGUGUGUCUAUUGGGUGCCCCCCUCCCCCAUAUAUAAAGGAGGAGAUGGGAGGCCAGCCGACCCUCCUUGGUGCACACCCAAGAGGGGAAUCCUACUAGGACUCCAAGUCCUAGUAGGUUUCCACCUAAAGGGAAAGAGGGGAAUCUUGCUGUUGAGCUGCCCCCCACCCCUUCCUUGUCCUAUUCAGCUCAAGGGGGAGGGGCUCGCGGCCUGCCCUGGCCGCCCCUCUCUCUCUCCACUAAGGCCCAUCGAGGCCCAUUAGUUCCCCUGGGGGUUCCGAUAACCCUCCGGCAUUCCAGUUUUAUCCGAAACUUCUCCGGAACAUUUUUGGUGUUUGAAUAUAGUCAUCCAAUAUACAAAUCUUUAUGUCUCGACCAUUUUGAGACUCCUCGUCAUGUCCGUGAUCACAUCCAGGACUCCGAACAACCUUCAGUACAUCAUAUCACAUAAACUCAUAAUACAAAUUGUCAUCGAACUUUAAGCAUGAGGACCCUACGGGUUCGAGAACUAUGUAGACAUGAACGAGACACGUCUCCGGUCAGUAACCAAUAGCGGAACCUGGAUGCUCAUAUUGGUUCCUACAUAUUCUAUGAAGAUAUUUAUCGGUCAAACCGCAUAACAACAUACGUUGUUCCCUUUGUCAUCGGUAUGUUACUUGCCCGAGAUUAGAUCGUCGGUUUCUCAAUACCUAGUUCAAUCUCGUUACCGGAAAGUCUCUUUACUCGUUACAUAAUACUUCAUCCCGCAACUAACUCAUUAGUUACAAUGCUUGCAAGGCUUAUAGUGAUGAGUAUUACCGAGAGGGCCCAGAGAUACUUCUCCAAAACACGGAGUGACAAAUCCUAAUCUCGAUCUAUGCCAACCCAACAAACACCUUUGGAGACACCUGUAGAGCACCUUUAUAAUCACCCAUUUAUGUUUUGACGUUUUGUAGCACACAAAGUGUUCCUCCGGUAUUCGGGAGUUGCAUAAUCUCAUAGUCUGAGGAACUUGUAUAAGUCAUGAAGAAAGAAGUAGCAAUGAAACUGACACGAUCAUAAUGCUAAGCUAACGGAUGGGUCAUGUCCAUCACAUCAUUCUCCUAAUGAUGUGAUCCCAUUCAUCAAAUGAUAACUCAUGUCUAUGGUUAGGAAACUUAACCAUCUUUGAUUAACGAGCUAGUCAAGUAGAGGCAUACUAGGGACUAUAUGUUUUGUCUAUGUAUUCACACAUGUACUAAGUUUCCGGUUAAUACAAUUCUAGCAUGAAUAAUAAACAUUUAUCAUGAAUUAAGGAAAUAAAAAAUAACUUUAUUAUUGCCUCUAUGGCAGCUCCCGCUUGCACUAGAGUCAAUAAUCUAGAUUAUAUAGUAAUGAUUCUAACACCCAUGGAGCUUUGGUGUUGAUCAUGUUUUGCUUGUGGAAGAGGCUUAGUCAAUGGGUCUGCAACAUUCUGAUCCAUGUGUAUCUUGCAAGUAUCUAUGUCCCCCUCCGACACUUGAUGACGGAUGGAAUUGAAGCGUCUCUUGAUGUGCUUGGUUCUCUUGUGAAAUCUAGAUUCCUUUGCCAAGGAAAUUGCACCAGUAUUGUCACAAAAGAUUCCCAUUGGACCCAAUGCACUAGGUAUGACACCUAGAUCGGAUAUGAAUUCCUUCAUCCAAACUCCUUCAUUUGCUGCUUUCGAAUUAGCAAUGUACUCUGCUUCACACGUAGAUCCCGCCACGAUGCUCUGCUUGGAACUGCACCAACUGAUAGCUCCUCCAUUUAAUAAAAAUACGUAUCCAGUUUGUGACUUAGAGUCAUUCGGAUUAGUGUCAAAGCUUGCAUCGACGUAACCGUUUACGACGAGCUCCUUUUCACCUCCAUAAACGAGAAACAUAUCCUUAGUCCUCUUCAGGUAUUUCAGGAUGUUCUUAACCGCUGUCUAGUGCUCCACUCUGGGAUUACUUUGGUACCUCCCUGCUAUGCUUAUAGCAAGGCAUACAUCAGGUCUGGUACACAGCAUUGCAUACAUGAUAGAACCUAUGGAUGAAGCAUAGGGAAUGACUUUCAUUUUCUCUCUAUCUUCUGUAGUGGUCGAGCAUUGAGUCUGACUCAACUUCAUACCUUGUAACACAGGCAAGAAUCCUUUAUUUCACUGAUCAAUUUUGAACUUCUUCAAAACUUUAUCAAGGUAUGUGCUUUGUGAAUGUCCAAUUAAGCGUCUUGAUCUAUCUCUAUAGAUCUUGAUGCCCAAUAUGUAAGCAGCUUCUCCGAGGUCUUUCAUAGAAAAACUCUUAUUCAGGUAUCCCUUUAUGCUAUCCAGAAAUUCUAUAUCAUUUCCAAUCAACAAUAUGUCAUCCGCAUAUAAUAUCAGAAAUGCUACAGAGCUCCCACUCACUUUCUUGUAAAUACAAGCUUCUACAAAAAUCUGUAUAAAACCAUAUGCUUUGAUCACACUAUCAAAGCGUUUAUUCCAACUCCGAGAGGCUUGCACCAGUCCAUAAAUGGAUCGCUGGAGCUUGCACACUUUGUUAGCACCCUUUGGAUCAACAAAACCUUCUGGUUGCAUCAUAUACAACUCUCUUCCAGAAAUCCAUUCAGGAAUGCAGUUUUGACAUCCACUUGCCAAAUUUCAUAAUCAUAAAAUGCAGCAAUUGCUAACAUGAUUCGGAUAGACUUAAGCAUCGCUACGGGUGAGAAAGUCUCAUUGUAGUCAACUCCUUGAACUUGUCAAAAACCUUUCGCAACAAGUCGAGCUUUGAAAACAGUAACAUUACCGUCUGUGUCGGUCUUCUUCUUAAAAAUCCAUUUAUUUUCUAUGGCUUGCCGAUCAUCGGGCAAGUCCACCAAAGUCCACACUUUGUUCUCAUACAUGGAUUCCAUCUGAGAUUUCAUGGCCUCAAGCCAUUUUGUGGAAUUUGGGCUCAUCAUCGCUUCCUCAUAGUUCGUAGGUUCAUCAUGGUCUAGUAACAUGACCUCCAGAACAGGACUAUCGUACCACUCUGGUGUGGAUCUUAGUCUGGAAGACCUACGUGGUUCGGUAGUAACUUGAUCUGAAGUUUCAUGAUCAUCAUUAACUUCCUCAUACAUACUAGUGCUGAUCAUUGAGCAAGUCAAUCAAAGUCCAUACUUUGUUCUCAUACAUGGAUCAUAUCUCGGAUUUUAUGGCCUCAAGCCAUUUCGUGGAAUCUGGGCUCAUCAUCGCUUCCUCAUAGUUCGUAGGUUCAUCAUGGUCUAGUAACAUGGCUUCCAGAACAUGAUUACCGUACCACUCUGGUGCGGAUCUUACUCUGGAAGACCUACGAGGUUUGGUAGCAACUUGAUCUGAAAUUUCAUGAUCAUCAUCAUUAACUUCCUCACUAAUUGGUGUAGGAAUCACUGGAACUGAUUUCUGUGAUGCACUACUUUCCAAUAAGGGAGAAGGUACAAUUACCUCAUCAAGUUCUACUUUCCUCCCACUCACUUCUUUCGAGAGAAACUCCUUCUCUAGAAAGAAUCAAUUCUUAGCAACGAAUGUUUUGCCUUUUGGAUUUGUGAUAGAAGGAGUACCCAACAGUUUCCUUUGGGUAUUCUAUGAAGACACACUUCUCCGAUUUGGGUUCGAGCUUAUCAGGUUGAAAACCUUUUUCAUAUAAGCAUCAUAACUCCAAACUUUAAGAAACGACAGCUUAGGUUUACUGCUAAACCAUAGUGUAUACGAUGUCGUCUCAACGGAUUUAGAUGGUGCCCUUUUAACGUGAAUGCAACUGUCUCUAAUGCAUAACCCCAAAACAAUAGUGGUAAAUCAGUAAGAGACAUCAUAGAUCGCACCAUAUCAAUAAAGUGUGGUUAUGACGUUCGGACACACCAUAACGUUGUGGUGUUCCAGGUGGCGUGAGCUGUGAAACUAUUCCACAUAGUUUUAAUUGAAGACCAAACUCAUAACUCAAAUAUUCGUCUCCGCGAUCAGAUCGCAGAAACUUUAUUUUCUUGUUACGAUGAUUUUUCCACUUCACUCUAAAAUUCUUUGAACAUUUCAACUAUUUCAGACUUAUGUUUCAUCAAGUAGAUAUACCCAUAUCUCCUCAAAUCAUCUUGUGAAGGUCAGAAAAUAACGAUACUUGCCACGAGCAUCAACACUCAUUGGAUCGCAUACAUCGGUAUGUAUUAUUUCCAAUAAGUCAGUAGCUUGUUCCAUUGUUCUGGAGAACGGAGUUUUAGUCAUCUUGCCCAAAAGGCACGGUUCGCAAGCAUCAAAUGAUUCAUAACCAAGUGAUUCCAAAAAUCCAUCUUUAUGGAGUUUCUUCAUGCGCUUUACACCGAUAUGACCCAAACGGCAGUGCCACAAAUAAGUUGCACUAUCAUUAUUAGCUUUGCAUCUUUUGGCAUCAAUAUUAUGAAUAUGUGUAUCACUACGAUCGAGAUCCAACCAACUAUGUUCAUUGGGUGUAUGACCUUUUGAAGGUCUUAUUCAUGUAAAUAGAAUAACAAUUUAUUCUCUAACUUUAAAUGAAUAACCGUAUCACAAUAAACAUGAUCAAAUCAUAUUCAUGCUAAAUGCAAACGCUAAAUAACAUUUAUUUAGGUUUAACACUUAUCCCGAAAGUUUAGGGAGUGUGCGAUGAUGAUCAUAUCAAUCUUGGAACUACUUCCAACACUCAUCGUCACUUCCCCUUCAACUAGUCUCUGUUUAUUCUGUAACUCCUGUUUCGAGUUACUAAUCUUAGCAACCGAACAAGUAUCAAAUACUCAGGGGCUACUAUAAACACUAGUAAGGCACACAUCAAUAAUCUGUAUAUCAAAUAUACCCUUGUUCACUUUGCCAUCCUUCUUAUCCACCACAUAUUCAGGGCAUUUCCGCUUCCAGUGACCAUUUCCUUUGCAGUGUAAACACUCAGUUUCAGGCUAUGGUCCAGCUUUGGGCUUCUUCACAGGAGUGACAACUUGCUUGUCUUUCCACUUGAAGUUCCUUUUCUUUCCCUUUGCCCUUCUCUUGAAACUAGUGGUCUUGUCAAUCAUCAACACUUGAUGCUCUUUCUUGAUUUCUACCUUCGUCGAUUUCAACAACACGAAGAGCUCGGGAAUCGUUUUCGUCAUCCCUUGCAUACUAUACUUCAUCACGAAGUUCUAGUAUCUUAGUGAUGGUGACUAGAGAAUUCUGCCAAUCACUAUCUUAUCUGGAAGAUUAACUCCCACUUGAUUCAAGCGAUUGAAGUACCCAGACAAUCUGAGCACAUGCUCACUAGUUGAGCGAUUCUCCUCCAUCUUUUAGCUAUAGAACUUGUUGGAGACUUCAUAUCUCUCAACUCGGGUAUUUGCUGGAAAUAUUAACUUCAACUCCUGGAACAUCUCAUAUGGUCCAUGACGUUCAAAACGUCUUUGAAGUCCCGAUUCUAAGCCGUUAAGCAUGGUGCACUAAACUAUCAAGUAGUCAUCAUAUUGAGCUAGCCAGACGUUCAUAAUGUCUGCAUCUGCUCCUGCAAUAGGUCUGUCACCUAGCGGUGCAUUAAGGACAUAAUUCUUCUGUGUAGCAAUGAGGAUAAACCUCAGAUCAUGGAUCCAAUCCGCAUCAUUGCUACUAACAUUUUUCAACACAAUUUUCUCUAGGAACAUAUCAAAAAAUAAACAUAUGAAAGCAACAAUGCGAGCUAUUGAUCUACAACAUAAUUUGCAAGAUACUACCAGGACUAAGUUCAUGAUAAAUUUAAGUUCAAUUAAUCAUAUUACUUAAGAACUCCCACUUAGACAGACAUCUCUCUAGUCAUCUAAGUGAUCACGUGAUCCAAAUCAACUAAACCAUGUCCGAUCAUCACGCGAGAUGGAGUAGUUUCAAUGGUGAACAUCACUAUGUUGAUCAUAUCUACUAUAUGAUUCACGCUCGACCUUUCGGUCUCCGUGUUCCGAGGCCAUAUCUGUAUAUGCUAGGCUCGUCAAGUUUAACCCGAGUAUUCCGCGUGUGCAACUAUUUUGCACCCGUUGUAUUUGAACGUAGAGCCUAUCACACCCGAUCAUCACGUGGUGUCUCAGCACGAAGAACUUUCGCAACGGUGCAUACUCAGGGAGAACACUUCUUGAUAAUUAGUGAGAGAUCAUCUUAAAAUGCUACCGUCAAACAAAACAGAAUAAGAUGUAUAACAGAUAAACAUCAUAUGCAAUCAAAAUAUGUGACAUGAUAUGGCCAUGAUCAUCUUGCGCCUUUGAUCUCCAUCUCCAAAGUACUGUCAUGAUCUCUAUCGUCAUCGGCAUGACACCAUGAUCUUCAUCAUCUUGAUCUAUAUCAAUGUGUCGUCACAUGGUCGUCUCGCCAACUAUUGCUCUUGCAACUAUUGCUAUCGCAUAGCGAUAAAGUAAAGCAAUUAUUUGGCACUUGCAUCUUAUGCAACAAAGAGACAACCAUAGGGCUUCUUCCAGUUGCCGAUAACUUCAACAAAACAUGAUCAUCUCAUACAACAACUUAUAUCUCAUCACGUCUUGACCAGAUCACAUCACAACAUGCCCUGCAAAAACAAGUUAGACGUCCUCUACUUUGUUGUUGCAAAUUUUACGUGGCUGCUACGGGCUGAGCAAGAACCGUUCUUACCUACGCAUCAAAACCACAACGAUAGUUCGUCAAGUUAGUGUUGUUUUAACCUUCGCAAGGACCGGGCGUAGCCACACUCGAUUCAGCUAAAAUGAGAGAGACAGACACCCGCCGGCCACCUUUAAGCACGAGUGCUCGUAACGGUGAAACCAGUCUCGCGUAAGCGUACGCGUAAUGUCGGUCCGGGCUGCUUCAUCUCACAAUACCGCUGAACCAAAGUAUGACAUGCUGGUAAGCAGUAUGACUUGUAUCACCCACAACUCACUUGUGUUCUACUCAUGCAUAUAACAUCAACGCAGAAAACCUAGUCUCGGAUGCCACUGUUGGGGAACGUAGUAAUUUCAAAAUUUUCCUACGCACACGCAAGAUCAUGGUGAUGAUAUAGCAACGAGAGGGGAGAGUGUUCGUCUACGUACCCUCGUAGACCGUAAGCGGAAGUGUUAGCACAACGCGGUUGAUGUAGUCGUACGUCUUCACGAUCCGACCGAUCCAAGCACCGAACAUACGGGGCCUCCGAGUUCAUCAGAUGUUCAGCUCGAUGACGAUCUCCGGACCUCCGAUCCAGCAAAGGCUCCGGAGAUGAGUUCCGUCAGCACGACGGCAUGGGGACGAUGAUGAUGUUCUACCGGCGCAGGGCUUCGCCUAAACUCCGCGACAAUAUGACCGAGGUGGAAUAUGGUGGAAGGGGGCACCGCACACGGCUAAGGAACGAUCCGUAGAUCAACUUGUGCUGUUGUGCCUAGAGGUGCCCCCCUGCCCCCGUAUAUAAAGGAGCCAGGGGGAGGGGUUCGGCCGGCCAGGAGGGGCGCGCCAGGAGGAGUCCUCCUCCCACCGGGAGUAGGACUCCCCCCCCCCUUCCUUGUUGGAGUAGGAGAGAAGGAAAGAGGGGGAGAGGAGGAAGGAAAAGGUGGCUGCACCCCUUGUCCAAUUCGGACCAGAGGGGGGCUGCGCCCCUCCUUCCUUUCGGCCUCUCUCCUCUAUUCCCGUAUGGCCCAAUAAGGCCCAUAUACUCCCCGGUGAAUUCCCGUAACUCUCCGGUACUCCGAAAAAUAUCCGAAUGACUCGGAACCUUUCCGAACUCCGAAUAUAGUCGUCCAAUAUAUCGAUCUUUACGUCUCGACCAUUUCGAGACUCCUCGUCAUGUCCCAAAUCUCAUCCGGGACUCCGAACUCCUUCAGUACAUAAAAACUCAUAAACUCAUAAUAAAACUGUCAUCGAAACCUUAAGCGUGCGGACCCUACGGGUUCGAGAACAAUGUAGACAUGACCUAGAACUAUUCUCGGUCAAUAACCAAUAGUGGAACCUGGAUGCUCAUAUUGGCUCCCACAUAUUCUACGAAGAUCUUUAUCGGUCAAACCGCAUAACAACAUACGUUGUUCCCUUUGUCAUCGGUAUGUUACUUGCCCGAGAUUCGAUCGUCGGUAUCCAAUACCUAGUUCAAUCUCGUUACCGGCAAGUCUCUUUACUCGUUACAUAAUGCAUCAUCCCGCAACUAACUCAUUAGUCACAUUGCUUGCAAGGCUUAUAGUGAUGUGCAUUACCGAGGGGGCCCAGAGAUACCUCUCCGACAAUCGGAGUGACAAAACCUAAUCUAGAAAUACGCCAACCCAACAUGUACCUUUGGAGACACCUAUAGUACUCCUUUAUAAUCACCCAGUUACGUUGUGACAUUUGGUAGCACCCAAAGUGUUCCUCCGGUAAAUGGGAGUUGCAUAAUCUCAUAGUUACAGGAACAUGUAUAAGUCAUGAAGAAAGCAAUAGCAACAUACUAAACGAUCAAGUGCGAGGCUAACGGAAUGGGUCAUGUCAAUCACAUCAUUCUCCUAAUGAUGUGAUCCCGUUAAUCAAAUGACAACACAUGUCUAUGGUUAGGAAACAUAACCAUCUUUGAUUAACAAGCUAGUCAAGUAGAGGCAUACUAGUGACACUAUGUUUGUCUAUGUAUUCACACAUGUAUUAUGUUUCCGGUUAAUACAAUUCUAGCAUGAAUAAUAAACAUUUAUUACGAUAUAAGGAAAUAAAUAAUAACUUUAUUAUUGCCUCUAGGGCAUAUUUCCUUCACGAGAUUCAAUAAACCAUUCAUUUUAGGUGCAAGACCAUUGAAGGUAUUAUUAAAAUGAACAGAGUAACUAUUAUUCUCCUUCAAUGAAUGACCAUAUUGCGAUAGACAUAAUCCAAUCAUGCCUAUGCUCAAUGCAAACACCAAUAACAAUUAUUUAGGUUUAACACCAAUCUCGAUGGUAGAGGGAGUGUGCGAUGCUUGAUCACAUCAAGCUUGGAAAUACUUCCAACACAUAUUGUCACCUCGCCUUUAGCUAGUCUCCGUUUAUUCUGUAGCCUUUUAUUUCGAGUUACUAACACUUAGCAACCGAACCAGUAUCUAUUACCAUGGUGCUACUAGGAGUACUAGUAAAGUACACAUUAAUAUAAUGUAUAUGCAAUAUACUUUUGUCGACCUUGCCAGCCUUCUCAUCUAUUAAGUAUCUAGGGUGGUUCUGCUUCAGUGACCGUUCCCCUUAUUACAGAAGCACUUAGUCUCGGGUUUGGGUUCAACCUUUGGUUUCUUCACUAGAGCAGCAGCUGAUUUGCCGUUUCAUGAAGUAUCCCUUCUUGCCCUUGCCCUUCUUGAAACUAGUGGUUUCACUAACCAUCAACAAUUGAUGCUCCUUCUUGAUUUCUACUUUCGUGGUGUCAAACAUUGCGAAUAUUUCAAGGAUCAUCAUAUCUAUCCCUGAUAUGUUAUAGUUCAUCACGAAGCUCUAGUAGCUUGGUGGCAAUGACUUUGGAGAAAUAUCACUAUCUCAUCUGGAAGAUUAACUUCACUCGAUUCAAGUGAUUGUUGUACCCAGACAAUCUGAGUACAAGCUCAACGAUUGAGCUUUUCUCCCUUAGUUUGUAGGCUUAAGAAACUUGUCAGAGGUCUCAUACCUCUUGAUGUGGGCACUAGCCUGAAAUCCCAAUUUCAGUCCUUGGAACAUCUCAUAUGUUCCGCGACAUUUCAAAAAUGCCUUUGAUGCCUCAAUUCUAAACCGUUUAACAUUAUGCAUUGAACUAUCACAUAGUCAUCAAAACGUGUAUGUCAGAUGUUCGCAACAUCCACAGACGACGUUCGAGGUUUAGCACACCGAGUGGUGCAUCAAGGACAUAAGCCUUAUGCGUAGCAACGAGGACAAUCCUCAAUUUACGGACCUAGUCUGCAUAAUUGCUACUAUCAACUUUCAACUAAAUUUUCUCUAGGAACAUAUGUAAAACAGUAGAACUAAAGCGUACAUGACAAUUAAGUUCAUCUAAUCAAAUUAUUUAGUGAACUCCCAGUCAGAUAGACAUCCCUCUAGUCAUCUAAGUGAUACAUGAUCCGAGUCAACUAGGCCAUGUCCGAUCAUCACGUGAGAUGGACUAGUCAUCAUCGGUGAACAUCUUCAUGUUGAUCGUAUCUUCUAUACGACUCAUGUUCGACCUUUCGGUCUUCCGUGUUCCGAGGCCAUGUCUGUACAUGCUAGGCUCGUCAAGUCAACCUAAGUGUGUUGCGUGUGUAAAUCUGGCUUACACCCGUUGUAUUCGAACGUUAGAAUCUAUGACACCCGAUCAUCACGUGGUGCUUCGAAACAAUGAACCUUCGCAACGGUGCACAGUUAGGGGGAACACUUUUUCUUGACAUUAUAGCGAGGGAUCAUCUUAUUUAAGCUACCGUCGUUCUAAGCAAAUAAGAUGUAAACCAUGAUAAACAUCACAUGCAAUCAAAUAGUGACAUGAUAUGGCCAAUAUCAUUUUGCUCCUUUUGAUCUCCAUCUUCGGGGCUCCAUGAUCAUCAUCGUCACCGGCAUGACACCAUGAUCUCCAUCAUCAUGAUCUCCAUCAUCGUGUCUCCUUGAAGUUGUCUCUCCAACUAUUACUUCUACUACUAUGGCUAACGGCUUAGCAAUAAAGUAAAGUAAUUACAUGGCGUUGUUCAAUGACACGCAGGUCAUACAAUAAAUUAAGACAACUCCUAUGGCUCCUGCCGGUUGUCAUACUCAUCGACAUGCAAGUCGUGAUUACUGUUACAAGAACAUGAUCAAUCUCAUACAUCAUAUAUCAUUCAUCACAUUCUUUUGGCCAUAUCACAUCACAUAGCAUACCUUGCAAAAACAAGUUAGACGUCCCCUAAUUGUUGUUUGCAUGUUUUACGUGGCUGCUAUGGGUUUCUAGCAAGAACGUUUCUUACCUAUGCAAAAACCACAACGUGAUAUGCCAAUUUCUAUUUACCCUUCAUAAGGACCCUUUUCAUCGAAUCCGAUCCGACUAAGGUGGGAGAGACAGUCACCCGCUAGCCACCUUAUGCAACUAGUGCAUGUCAGUCGGUGGAACCUGUCUCACGUAAGAGUACGUGUAAGGUCGGUCCAGGCCGCUUCAUCCCACGAUAUCGCCGAAUUAAGAUAAGACUAGUAAUGGCAAGUAAAUUGACAAUAUCGAAUCCCACAACUGCUUUGUGUUCUACUCGUGCAUAGAAACUACGCAUAGACCUAGCUCAUGAUGCCACUGUUGGGGAUCGUAGCAGAAAUUUAAAAUUUUCUACGCAUCACCAAGAUCAAUCUAUGGAGUAAUCUAGCAACGAGGGGAAGGAGAGUGCAUCUACAUACCCUUGUAGAUCGCUAAGGGAAGUGUUGCAAGAACGCGGAUGAAGGAGUCGUACUCGUAGCGGUUCAGAUCGCGGUUGAUUCCGAUCUAAGCACCGAACAACGGUGCCUCCGUGUUCAACACACGUGCAGCCCGAUGACGUCUCUCGUGCCUUGAUCCAGCAAGGGGAGAGGGAGAGGUUGGGGAAGACUCUGUCCAGCUGCAGCACGACGGCGUGGUGGUGGUGGAGGAGCGUGGCACUCCAACAGGGCUUCGCCAAGCACUGCGAGAGACGAGGAGGGAGAGAGGUAGGGCUGCGCCAAGAGAGAGGAAAACUCAUGUGUUGGCAGCCCCAAAACCUCAAGUAUAUAUAGGGGAAGGGGAGGGGCUGCGCUCCCAUCUAGGGUUCCCUCCCUAGGGGUGGCGGCAGCCCCAAAACCCAUCUAGGGUGCGGUCAAGGGGGGGGGGAAGAGAGGGGGGCACCCUAGGGUGGGCCUUAAGGCCCAUCUGGACCUAGGGUUUGCCCCCUCCCACUCUCCCUGCGCCUUGGGCCUUGGUGGUGGGGGGGCGCACCAGCCCACCAGGGGCUGGUCCCCUCCCACACUUAGCCCACGCAGCCCUCAGGGGCCGGUGGCCCCACCUGGUGGACCCCCAGGACCCUCCUGAUGGUCCCAGUACAUUACCGAUAGCACCCGAAACUUUUCUGGUGACCAAAACAGGAGUUCCCAUAUAUAAAUCUUUACCUCCGGACUAUUCCGGAACUCCUCUUGACGUCCGGGAUCUCAUCUGGGACUCCGAACAACAUUCGGUAACCACAUACAUCUAUUCCCUAUAACCCUAGUGUCAUCAAACCUUAAGUGUGUAGACCCUACGGGUUCGGGAACUACGUGGACAUGACCGAGACAACUCUCCGGCCAAUAACCAACAGCGGGAUCUGGAUACCCAUGUUGGCUCCCACAUGUUCCACGAUGAUCUCAUCGGAUGAACCACGAUGUCAAGGAUUCAAUCAAUCCCGUAUACAAUUCCCUUUGUCUAGCGGUAUAGUACUUACCCGAGAUUCGAUCGUCGGUAUCUCCAUACCUUGUUCAAUCUCGUUACUGGCAAGUCUCUUUACUCGUUCCGUAACACAUCAUCCCGUGAUCAACUCCUUGGUCACAUUGCGCAUAUCAUGAUGUCCUACCGAGUGGGCCCAGAGAUACCUCUCCGUCACACGGAGUGACAAAUCCCAGUCUCGAUUCGUGCCAACCCAACAGACACUUUCGGAGAUACCCGUAGUGUACCUUUAUAGCCACCCAGUUACGUUGUGACGUUUGGUACACCCAAAGCAUUCCUACGGUAUCCGGGAGUUGCAAAAUCUCAUGGUCUAAGGAAAUGAUACUUGACAUUAGAAAAGCUUUAGCAUACGAACUACACGAUCUUUGUGCUAGGCUUAGGAUUGGGUCUUGUCCAUCACAUCAUUCUCCUAAUGAUGUGAUCCCGUUAUCAACAACAUCCAAUGUCCAUGGUCAGGAAACCGUAACCAUCUAUAGAUCAACGAGCUAGUCAACUAGAGGCUUACUAAGGACAUGGUGUUGUCUAUGUACCCACACAUGUAUCUGAGUUUCCUAUCAAUACAAUUAUAGCAUGGAUAAUAAACGAUUAUCAUGAACAAGGAAAUAUAAUAAUAAUUACUAAUUUAUUAUUGCCUCUAGAGCAUAUUUCCAACAAAUCUGGGUUCCCAAAAGUUGCCUUGACAAUCUUCAGGUAAAUGUCCUCAUGACAAUACCUAUGAAGAAAAGGAACUCCAGAUCAAAUUCUUCAUAUGAACCAAAUUCUUCAUAUGGAUCCAAGUCCUCAUACGGACCAAAUUCCUCACGUGGAUCAAAUUCCUCAAAAGGAUCAAAGUCCUCAUAUGAUCAUCAUCGUACUAACCCUUCUGUUUCGCAGGGUAGAGCUAAGGGCUAUGAAUAUGUCAUUAUUCUUCAAAUCAUUAUGUUCAUAAGUCCUGGAAGAAUUUCUCUGCUUAUUCAUAUGCUUAACCUAACCCCUCUUAUGUGAAACAAAGUGGACUGGCGUCUAUGCCACCUUUCUCAUAUGGUGCUCGCAGAGUGAUGAAUUCUUUGCCACCCCUCCAGAUGUGGAAGGUGAAGAAAAAGAACUAAUCUCUUAUGUAGGGUCAGGUCUCCAGUCGUGCUCAAAAUGACUGAAGAAUUUGCUGGAGACCUGAACGGUGCCUGAAAGGACGCAGGCUGAUCAUGAAGAAAUGAAUUGUCAUUUCUCAUGUCCUCAUACUGAAUUAUCUGUGCUAUUUCUUGAUGAAAUUGAACUGAUGAUAUUGAUGUCAUAUUCUUCACUGAUAAAGUAUAUGAGUUCGUAAGUUGCACUAAUUCAUCUGCAGGAUGAUCAGCCCAAAGCCAAUGAGUGGAUCCUCGAUAGUGGAUGUACAAAUCACAUGACUGGUGACAAAAAUCUAUUGAUGGAUGCUCCCUUAUCACCAUCACAUCUGAAGCAUAUCAUCUUCGCUGAAAAAGGCAAAAGUCAGGUAUUGGAUCUAGGUAAGGUUGCGAUCUCAAAGGAUCGACACAUGGACAAGGUCAUGCUUGUCGAGUCCUUAGGAUACAACCUCAUGUCUGUCUCAAUGCUUUGUGAUCUUGAUAUGGUUGUUGUCUUUGGAAGAUAUUGUUGUGUUGUGAUCAUGGAAGCUGACCAUUCCAAAGUCUUCGAAGGCUUUAGGAGAGGAAAUCUGUAUAUCGUUCAUUUCUCUACAGGACCACAGCCUAUCGUGUGCUUACUUGCGAAAGCUUCAGAAGGUUGGCUAUGGCAUCGAUGACUUGGUCAUGCUGGCAUGAGGAACCUGCACACGCUCGCGAAGAAGAAGCAUGUCAUUGGCAUUGAGAAUGUCAAAUUCCUCAAGGAUCACUUAUGCGGAGCUUGUGAAGCUGGGAAGAUGACAAAGGCCAAGCAUCCAGCGAAGACUAUCAUGACUACCACUCGACCAUUUGAAUUGCUUCGCAUGGAUCUCUUCGGUCCUAAUCAUUAUUCUGCUAUGACAAAUGAUGCAUCUCUAUAUGGCUUUGUUAUUGUUGAUGAUUAUUCUCGUUACACAUGGGUACACAUUGUCACUUACAAACAUGAAGUGCAGGAAGUCUUCAAAUGAUUUUCCUCGAGGGCUUCAACCAACUUUGGUGUGAAGUUCAAACACAUCAGAAGUGACAAAUGGGACUGAGUUCAAAAAUUCCGGUCUAGAUGGCUAUCUUGAUGAACUUGGUAUUACUCAUGAGUUAUCUGCUCCUUAUACUCCUCAGCAGAAUGGCGUCGUGGAGCGCAAGAACAGAACCCUCGCUGAAAUGGCUCGCACUAUGCUUGAUGAAUACAAGACACCUCGUCGGUUCUGGAUUGAUGCAAUUGAUACUGCUUGCGACAUCAUCAACAGAGUAUAUCUUCACAAAUUCUUCAAGAAGACUGCCUAUGAACUCCUCACUGACAAGAAACCCAAUGUAAGUUACUUCAAAGUCAUCGGUGCUAAAUGUUGGAUUAGAGAUCCACAUCACAAUUCUAAAUUUGCACCGAAAGCACAUGAGGGUUUGAUGCUUGGUUACGAAAAGGACUCGCACACCUAUAGAGUCUUCAACAACGUUCUUCACAAGGUUGUUGAAACUGUAGAUGUGCGGUUCGAUGAAACUAAUGGCUCGCAAAGAGAGCACCUGCCUUCUGUGAUAGAUGAACCAGCACCUGAGGAUUCUAUCAAGUUCAAGGCCACUGAGGAUGUCAUUCCUUCUGAAGAAUCUACUUAAGAAUUCAUUCCAGAACGUGAUGAACAUCGAACUAGCGCACCUGAAGAAAAUGGUGCUGGGGAAAAUGCUCCUAAAGAAUACGCGGAUCAAAUUCCUCGAAGACAACCCGCUCAUCCUCGUAUUGCAAAUGAAUUGCAAGUCGAGAAGAUCAUCGAUGACAUUCAUGCACCAGGUCCUCUCACACGCUCAAAAGCUUCACAUUUAUCUAACUUUUGUGGGCACUUUGCUUUUGUCUCUAUCACAAAGCCCACUAAGGUAGAUGAAGCAUUUCUGGAGCCUGAGUGGAUUCAAGCUAUGCAAGAAGAAUUACAUCAGUUCGAGCUCAACAACGUCUGGGAACUGGUCAAACGUCGAGAUCCUCGCAAGCACAACAUUAUUGGCACAAAAUGGAUCUACCGCAACAAGCAAGAUGAAAAUGGCCUUGUGGUGAGGAAUAAGGCACGGCUUGUAGCUCAAGGCUACACACAGGUUAAAGGAAUUGAUUUCGAUGAAACUUUUGCACCUGUUGCUAGACUUGAGGCUAUUCGCAUGUUACUUGCUUACGCUAACCAUAAUAAUAUCACUUUAUAUCAACUGGAUGUGAAAAGUGCAUUCCUCAAUGGUAAGCUUGAGGAAGAAGUAUAUGUUGCUCAACACCUAGGUUUUGAAGAUCCAAAGAAUCCCGACAAAGUCUUCAGACUCAACAAGGCCAUGUAUGGCCUCAAGCAAGCCCCUCGGGCGUGGUAUGACACUUUGAAGGAAUUCUUCAUGAAGAAAGGCUUCAAACCCGGUUCACGCGACCCAACUCUUUUCACUAAAUCUUAUGAUGGUGAAUUGUUUGUGUGCCAAAUAUAUGUUGAUGAUAUUAUCUUUGGCUAUACUGACCAACGCUAUAGUGAUGAAUUUGCCUAUAUGAUGAGUGAAGAAAAUCGAAUGUCUAUGAUGGGAGAGUUGAAAUUCUUUUUAGGUCUUCAAAUUCGUCAACAGCGCAAUGGAAUAUUCAUAUCUCAGGAGAAAUACCUCAAGGACGUAUUGAGGAAAUUCGGCAUGCAAGAUUGCAAAGGGGUCAAAAUUCCAAUGCCCACAAAUGGCCAUCUAUGCACUGAUGAAAAUGGUGAAGACUUCGAUCAAAAGGUAUACUACUCCAUGAUUGCCUCUUAAUUGUACCUAUGUGCAUCUAGGGCGGAUAUUAUGCUUAGUGUUUGCAUGUGUGCUCGAUUUCAAGCUACACCGAAGGAAUCACACCAUAAGGCUGUGAAGCAUAUUCUUUGAUACUUAGCUCACACACCAACACUUGGAUUAUGGUAUCCCAAGGGCUCUUCAUUUGAUCUCAUUGGAUAUUCAGACUCUGACUAUGCUAGCAAUCGCGUGGACCGCAAGUCAACAUCUGGUACAUGUCAUUUCCUCGGACGAUCUUUGGUCUGUUGGUCCUCGAAGAAACAGAACUGCGUAUCUCUCUCCACUGCAGAAGCUGAGUACAUUGCUGUUGGAUCGUGUUGUGCUCAAUUACUUUGGAUGAAGCAAACACUCAAGGACUAUGGCAUCAACGUGAAGAAUGUGCCUCUCUACUGCGACAAUGAGAGUGCUAUCAAAAUUGCUCAUAACCCAGUUCAGCACUCGAAGACAAAGCACAUCCAGAUUUGUCAUCAUUUUCUUCGUGAUCAUGUGUUGAAGGGCGAUAUCUCCAUCGACCACGCUAGCACUGAAGAUCAGCUGGUCGAUAUCUUCACUAAGCCCUUGGAUGAGAAGAGAUUUAGCAAGUUGUGGUGUGAGCUAAAUAUCCUAGAAUCUUCAAAUGUUCUCCGAAAUGGACACACAUCCUAACACUUAUGCUGACUUGAUGACUUAGAUGCGCAAUACACAUAGUAACGUUUUUCUUCAAUCAAUGAAGACUAACCCUCUAAGUGUGAAGAAAUUAAUGAAGAAAUUGACUCUCAGAGCCCGACGACAAUUGUAUGCGGUGUCUGAAGAAAACUUUCUUAUACGGUGGGUUACGCCACCACAAACGUUGAAAAUCUUCAAUUUGAGUUUUUCCUCAGUUUUGAAAUUCCUCAAUUUUUCAAAGUCUUCAACUUGCAAUGUCUUCACUAUUUUCGUCGUUUGUCCUCAUUUGAAUAUAUAUAUAUAUAUGUGUGUGUGUGUGUGUGUGUGUGUGUGUGUGUGUGUGUGAGAGAGAGUUUUAUGUCCUCUACAGCAUUCACUUAUUGCUAAUCCUUCAAGUUGACAGUUUCCGCUAAGUGAAUGUGAUCGGACCCUUCCCCAUCUAUGCGUAACUCAAUCUAAUCUUUUCACAAAUUCUUCAUAUGCGUUCUGAUUUGAAACUUGUUCAAAAUCUUCACUGUGUCCUUGACAGCUGAAGAAAUUGCGAACGGUAACUUAAAACUUAUCUUAUCUAAAUUUUCGGCUUUGCCGCUCAAACUGUUCCGCUUCUCACGACAAAUACUUAUCUAUUCUCCCACGAUCCUACACGAUCAUCACCUCACAGUAUGUGGGUGACACGUGUCAUGUGAAUGGGAAAAGUCAGGGGCACAUUCAUCCGAAAUCCUCGGGCGCACAGUUUUUCACUACCUCUAUAAAUACCCCUACCUUCUCCUCACUUCAUUUUUACUCCGCCCGACAUCUCUCUCCCGCUCGAGCUUCCCAAACCCUAGCGUCACCGCUACUUCAUCGUCGCCGGUGAGGAAGAGCUUCAUUGCCUCGACCUCGUCGCCAUCGUACUCGCGCCGGUUGCGGAUUUCUUCACUCCGCGGCCGCCGUAGACGUCUUCCUUUGCCGAGUUUGGGCGUGGAAGAUCUGAACGUACAAACUUCACCUCAACGCUUCCCAAUUCGUCGUGUUCUGCACUUCGGGUAAUUAAAAGUUGCUUUUAUUGCCCUCUUUGAUUCAUGUGUUUUCCUAAAAAUCUUCAAAGGUGUUUAUUCUUCAAAUCUUCACACACUAAAGCACCUCACAUGUUAUCUGUUCUUGAUUCGUUUCUCUAAGCAAUGAUUUUCUUCAAGAUUCCUCAAUUGUGUGGAUUUUCAAAUCUGCACAACUCUGGAACCUAAGACAAAGAACGCUUAGUGAAAUUCCUCAAGACUCAUCUGGUCAAAUUCCUCAAAACCUAUUCUUUUUUAAAAACCUUCUGAGAACGCAUAUGACCUCUCCAAAUUCCUCGCAACUAUACUCUGUUGACAGGUACAAAUGUCCGCUGCUGAAUCACUAGGUUCUCAUUAACUUAACUCAUUUGCGGCGUUCCUCGAAGAAAAAUUGCAUACCUCUUCAGAAACUUCAGUUGUUCAUAUUCCUCAGCUGAACAAAAUGGCUGACAAGAAGCCACAGAAGGGAGCAAAAAGGCCUGAGGUCAACACAGUGUUUGAAAUCCCUGCGGAUAUUUAUGUUGGAUACUGCACUCCUGAUGAGGCCAAGUUUGGCAAGGAGGACAAGAAUCAGCGCAAGGUGCGCAUACAACGAAUUGAGAGGAGAUGGGCACGAGAAUGGAGGGAGUACAGGUAUGUUACUCCCAAGUACAUGAAGAAAUUCACGCUCAACCUUACAUGCUCAAGACCUCCAUUGAGACCUGGCCAACUGGCGGAUCCCACCAGCCUCAAGCGCGGUGAGGACUAUGCUACUGAAUGGGCUAGGCGCUCGGCCAAACUAGCCAAGCAAGCAAAAGAAGCAGUGAGGAAAUUCAAUGAAGAUUCUGCUGCUACUGCUAACACUGCUGAGGCCUCUGGUAGUAAGCCCAGGAAGGCUAUUCCAAAGAAGUCUGCCCACAAGUCUAGUGCUUCUCGUUCAAUGCACUCACGGCCAAGCUCCUCAGCAAUGCCCUCACGGCCAGCAUCUUCAAAGCCCUCACGGCCAAUUCCUCAGUCUGCUCCUCCUCCUCCUCCGACAAAGUUUUCAGUUGCUCCGACAAAAUCUUUGGCACCUGUGCAUCUUGCCACGUGCCAAAGGACUCAAGGCUUUUCUAUUGCCUCAGGAGCAUCUGCAAGCUCCUCAGCUGCUCGACCUUCCUCAGCUGGUCCCUCACUACUGAAGAAAAAGGCCACUGCUGGAUGAGGUCUUCGACCAAGUCCUCACAAGAAGCAAGUCGCUUUCCAAGUGCCCUCUGAUGAUGAUGAGGCAGAUGAUGAUGAACUUGCUGAAAUCAUCAGAGACAGGCAAGCCAAGGCCGCUAGAGCCAAAGGCAGCAAUGUGCCACUACUUCUGGAUACCAAGAUGAUCCUCGAUUUCAUUGACUUAUGGCACAAGGACCCCGCUACACCUUUGCCGGAGAUGAACCCCACUCCUGGUCAAAGUCAUGUUCUCACUCACUUCAUUGAGGAAGAAAAGUGGAAAUAUGAAGAAGGAUGAAGGCUGAAGAAAGCGCAAUACAAGAAAUAGCGCUACCUCAAGGACAAUGUCCUCACUCUUACCCCUGAACAACUCAUUGUUGUAAAGGCUGAAAUCAAGCAAUUAAGUGAUGAUUUCAAUCGGUAUCAUGCUGAUUGGAAGGGAGCAAAGGUUCGGUUCGUCAAUUUGACGAAGACUUUCUCUUCAACUGCCUCUGCACCGGUGCAUGUUGAAAUUUCUCAGGCUGAAGAAUCUGCCCAGCCCACUAAAGAACAUGCCAGCACCACUGAUGUCAGUACGGCUGCUGAAGAAAAUGUGAGUACCAGGGCUGAUGACUCCAUUCCAGCCGCUGAAGAUAUUGCCAGGGCAUCCACUAGUGGUGCGCCUAAAGAAAGUGAACAAGUCAGGGCAACUACAACAGUUGCGCCUGAAGAAAAUGCACCUCCUGCGCCUACACCAACUUCGAUCCUUCCAUCUGCAUUAGAUGUGAAGAAGACCAAGGCUGCGGAGCGUGCAGCGAUGAAAAAGAGGAAGGCAUCAACCUCUUCAAAUUCAUCAGCUCCGAAGAAGACGAAGACUCUGAUCAGUUCAAUUGACAAUCCAAUUGAUGUCGUUCCUGUCUCAUCAAUGCCAUCAAAGGACCUUGUUCCUUUCGGUGAAGAAUAUGUGAUUCCUGAUGAAUCAGAUGAAGAAACUCCUUCUGCUGCUUCGACAGAGCAGUUGGACGAAGAAAUUGAAGUGGAUGAGAUCCCUUCAACCCCAGUCAUUUCCUCACAUUUGCCCCAGUUUACUGCUGAAGAGGCAGGUGUUGAAGAAGUUGAAGAGGAGGAUGUGGACAUUGGCUGUACCACUCCUGUGCUCAAUGAUGAAUUUUGGGACAGUCAACAUCCCAACUCUCCAAUGUUCACUCCCCUUCAAGCUAUUCCUCAGUCCCCUGCCGCCACUGAAGUACAAAUGGGAUCUGAAGAACCUCAUGCAACCCCAAGUGCUCAUGAAGAAAUUCCAGCCACUAGUGCUGAAGAAAUUGUCAAUGAAGGAUUGAUGACCUAGGCUGAAGCUGCUGAAGAGCCUGAAAUUCCUCAGCCUGAGGAACCUGAGAUUGUGAUUCCUGAAAUAGUGCUGCAAUUGACUGACACUCCUCGGCCCAAGCCAAAGGAUCCCUUCUCCAAGAAGCAAAAAUUCAAGGCUGAUGAUUUCUUUGGCGAGCACGUAUUCUUCACGGAAUUCAACCCCUAUGACAAUGCUCGUCUUAGAAGGAAGCGUUUCUGGACUGCCAGCCAGGCCAACUUCUAUUCCUCAGUGCUCUUCAACAAGGACAAAGUCUUCGAUCACGAGCAUAUUCCUCAUGUGGACAUGGAAUCCAUGCCUUGCUUCUCUCAAGUCCUCAGCAUGAUUCAUGACGCUGGCUUGCUCAAUUUCUGCUCAGACAUAGUUGAUUGGAAUGAAGAGCUUAUUCUUCAGUUCUACGCAACUUUGCAUAUCACAGGCGAUGCUGCUGACGUCAACUCGUGGGUGUUGGACUGGAUGACUGAAAAUACUCAUUACAAGGCACCAACCUCUGAAUUGGUUCGUGCCUUACCUAUCAGUCCUCCACCUGACGGCGCUCGCUGUCUGUAUGAUGAACCUGAACUUACUGAUCACUAUAUGCAGGUGCUCAUGAAGCCGCUGAAGCCAGGACAAGCUCCAAAGACCAAAUUCCUCGUGAAGGAAUUGUUCUAUGUGCCCAGAACCAUCUACCGCAUUCUAACGAAGACCAUGAGUCCCAUCAAAGGCCAUGACUCAUCCGAUGAAGAAAUUAUCGGAAUGAUGAAGAAUAUGCUUUUCAAUAUCAUGCAUGGCAUCCCCAUAAAUUAUCACGAUUUCUUCAUGAGGACUCUGGCGAAUGUUGCACUUUCACCAUUUGAGCUGAAGCCUUACGCGUCGUGGAUCAUGAGAUUCCUCAGAACAAGGUCUUCACUCAAAUACAAGGCAGAUUUUCAGAAUCACCUCAGCUACAAGCCCCCUAUUGAAGUCCUCAAGCGGACAAUUUCCUCAUCUGAUGAGAAGGGCAGGUCACCAGCUGUGAUUGAUGAAGGCACUCGUCCAUUGGAUGGUCAGUUCCACAAAGUUGCAUCCUACUCCACCAAUGAUGACUCUGCCACACGUGAUUCUGCUGCCAGAUGCUCCAAAGUCAAGUCCUCAAGCUACUGCUCCUCGUGUGAUGACGGAUCGUGAACUGCUUAUAAGUCUUCACCAGAAAGUCGAUCGAAAUCACAAGUGGGUUAAGCGUCAGUUUGGUUCUAUUCUUCACAACAUGACUUUCACACAUACUGCAGUGAAGAAAAACCACUACUACCUCCAUGAAGUGUUUGAUCGCACCUGGGCUAUUCUGUCACAUCUAUAUGGUGAAGAAGAUCUGAAGCAAAUGGGCUUCAAGGAAGACUUUGACUGGUCUGCUCCUCCUCCGAAGAGAUACAAGCAGGUCAAGGUUCCUCCCUUGGUGGCCAGCUCAUAUUCUUCAUCGCGCAACAUGGACGAGCAUGAAGACUUGGACGACACUGCAGCAGGCCCUACAACGACUCAAGACCCUGAAAAUGCUGGAGCUCCUCCAUCAUCAUGAGAUUCUUCAGGGGCGUUAGUCCUCAGUUUCAACCCUUUUGGUCAUUCGAUGACAAAGCGGGAGAAAUUUGAGUUAAUCUUCAAGCGGGUCUAUAUAUGGGUGUUUUUUUGCUAAGUUACAACUCUCGUUCUUCUGAUGACUUUGCUGGAUCGAGGUGUAAUAUUAAACUCUAUGGUGGCUUGAUACUUUUUCUAUGUUCUUCUGCGUGCUUAUUCCUCAUUAAUGUUAAUGCACACAUGUUGAAUUACAUGAAUCACCAUAUUUCAUCAUGCAUUUCAAAUUCUUCAUAUUAUAUAUCAAAUGUGUGUAUGAAUUACAAAAUAUAGGGAGAGAGAUCUCCAUGAUUAUACUCUUCAAGUGUGCAUUGCUUCAAAAGCAAAUUCCUCAGUAUGCACAUCUUCAGGGGGGGUUCUUCUAUAUCUUGCAAUCAAAUUCCUCAAUAUCAGUAUUUACACUUCAUACAAUUCUCCCCAUUGAAAACUUAACCUAUAUUGUCAUCAAUCACAAAAAAGGGGGAGAUUGUAAGUGCAUCUAGUGCUCCUUAGUGAUUUUGGUGUAUUGAAGACUUAUAGGUUAAGGGACUGAUGCGUUUGUGAGUGUACACAGGUAUAUAAGUCAAUGAGGAGUUUGAUAUUUACAGAGAAAGUCGACCCCUAAAAAUGAAGUUCUUCGACUGAAGACUUUGGAUUUCUAAAGACUUUCUGAAGACUUUGAAAGUGAAGAAAUUGGUGUGACCUUCAAGACUUGGUAUUCAUUCGAGGAACAUGAAGCGUGAAGACUUUUGUUUUUAUAGUUUCAUUUUCUCUUUCUUGAGUCAUAGGAAACGCCGUACUGUUAAAGGGGGUCGAAGAAAUACUAAGGAAAAAUUUCCAUGUGAUGCUCAACUCAAAAUCCUACACCUACCAAUCCCUUCGAGUGAAGCCAUUGGAAAUCUCAUACAGCUCUGUCAUAUUCUUCAGUGACAGAGAAGAAGUUCUUCUGGUCUCUGAGGAAUUUGUUCUGACUGAGGAGUUAGGAAUUCACCAGUGUGAAUUGCCUACACAGUGAGGAACAUGAUAGCCCUGAGGUAUUUGAGAGUCAAAUAUCCCGACCGUUGUUAUGCUACGUGCCAGUUGUCCCAAAAUAUCUACCCACCUAACGGUCAUAUCAGACAAGGGCAUUUAUGUCUUAUCAUGUCGGGCUGCUCCCUAGGCUAUAAAUAGCCGCCCCCUACAACCACUAGCUAGAUGGCUGCUCUGAGAGAAACUGACACUUGUCAUUUGAGAGUAACCCAUCCUCCGAGGACUUUGAGCGAAAAUCAUCAAGUGAGGAAAUCCCAAACCCAAACCUACAAACCCCCAAGUGAUUGAGCAUCACUGAAGAGAUUGAUCCUGUGUGGAUCCGACGCUUGUUUCCUCUGAAGACUGUGCUUCUUCCAGACGGUUAGGCGUCAAGGUCUAGAGCAUCCAAGAGGAAUUGUGGAUCGCCGAGUGACUGAGUUUGUGAAGGUUCGGAAGUCACCUGAAGACUUACCACGAGUGAUUGGGCGAGGUCUGUGUGACCUUAGCUCAAGAAGAAUAUGGUGAGGACCGUGUGUCCGGUACUGGGUGUCCUCGAGUUUGAAUACUCAGCCGCUCCAACCAGAUGUACAACUGAGACAGCAGUUGGAACUGGUCUACCAAAUCAUUGUCUUCACCGAGCUAACUGGUUCUAUUUCCUCAACUCUUCCAUUUCCUCAUGUAUGUUGUUGUGUGCCUGUUCAUAUCUGUUUGAAGACUUUUGACUGAAGACUUUCUCAAUUUCCUCAGUUCAAUUUCUUCAGUCUGUCUGUCUUCAUCUUGUGUUAUCCUCUACACUUUCUGUACUCUGUGCUUGUCUUCAUUUCAUCAUGAUGACUGUGCUUGUGUUCUGUUAUGUUCCUUUCUGAGUACUUAUUCCGCUGCAAGUAGUUCUUCAUUUAGGAAUUUCCUCACCAGCAAAUUCCUCAGUGAAGAAUUCAUAAAAAUCGCCUAUUCACCCCCCCCUCUAGUCGAUAUAAUGCACUUUCAUGUUGAUGCUCAACGCUGGCACCAAAUAACAAUUAUUCAGGUCUAAAACUAAUCCUGAAGGUAGAUGUAGAGGUAGCGUGCCGACCGCGGUCACAUCGACUUUGGAACCAUUUCCCACGCGCAUCGUCACCUCGUCCUUACCCAAUCUUCGCUUGCUCCGUAGCCCUUGUUUCGAGUUGCAAAUAUGAGCAACAGAACUAGUAUCAAAUACCCAAGCACUACUGCAAGCAUUAGUUAAGUACACAUCAAUAACAUGUAUAUCAAAUAUACCUUUCACUUUGCCAUCCUUCUUAUCCGCCAAAUACUUGGGGCAGCUCUGCUUCCAGUGACCAGUCCCUUUGCAGUAGAAGCACUCAGUUUCAGGCUUAGGUCCAGACUUGGGUUUCUUCUCUUGAGCAGCAACCUUUGCCGUUCUUCUUGAAGUUCCCCUUCUUCCCUUUGCCCUUUUUCUUAAAACUAGUGGUCUUGUUGACCAUCAACACUUGAUGCUCCUUUUUUUAUUUCUAUCUCCGCAACCUUUAGCAUUGCAAAGAGCUCGGGAAUAGUCUUGUUCAUCCCUUGCAUAUUAUAGUUCAUCAAGAAGCUCUUGUAGCUUGGUGGCAGUGAUUGAAGAACUCUGUCAAUGACACUAUCAUCAGGAAGAUUAACUCCCAGUUGAGUCAAGUGGUUGUGGUACCCAGACAUUCUGAGUAUAUGUUCACUGACAAAACUAUUCUCCUCCAUUUUACAGAUGUAGAACUUAUUGGAGACUUCAUAUCUCUCAAUCUGGGCAUUUGCUUGAAAUAUUAACUUCAACUCCUGAAACAUCUCAUAUGCUCCAUGACGGUCAAAAUGUCGUUGAAGUCCUGGUUCUAAGUCGUUGAAGUCCUGGUUCUUAACGUCAUCAGUAGUAUCUACAGCAGGCCUGGCACCCAACCGUGCUUCCAGGACGUAAUUCUUUUGUGCAGCAAUGAGGAUCAUCCUCAAGUUACGGACCCAGUCCGUGUAGUUGCUGCCAUCAUCUUUCAACUUAGCUUUCUCUAGGAACGCAUUGAAAUUCAAAGGAACGGUAGCACGGGCCAUUGAUCUACAACAACAUAGACAUGCAAAAUACUAUCAGGUACUAAGUUCAUGAUAAAUUAAAGUUCAAUUAAUCAUAUUACUUAAGAACUCCCACUUAGAUAGACAUCCCUCUAAUCAUCUAAGUGAUCACGUGAUCUAAAUCAACUAAACCAUGUCUGAUCAUCAUGUGAUAUGGAGUAGUUUUCAAUGGUGAACAUCACUAUGUUGAUCAUAUCUAUUACAUGAUUCAUGUUCGACCUUUCGGUCUCAGUGUUCCGAGGCCAUAUUUGCAUAUGCUAGGCUCGUGAAGUUUAACUAAGGUAUUCUGCGUGUGCAAAACUGGCUUGCACCCGUUGUAUGUGAACGUAGAGCUUAUCACACCCGAUCAUCACGUGGUGUCUCAGCACGACGAACUGUAGCAACGGUGCAUACUCAGGGAGAACACUUGUGCCUUGAAAUUUAGUAAGCGAUCAUCUUAUAAUGCUAUACGAAGCAAAAUAAGAUGCAUAAAAGAUAAACAUCACAUGCAAUCAAAAUAUGUGACAUGAUAUGGCCAUCAUCAUCUUGUGCUCAUGAUCUCCAUCACCGAAGCAUUGUCACACUAGUAGAAAAAGCACCUAAUACGAGACACAUUAGUGCCGGUUCGGUUUUGAGCCGGCACUAAUGUGUCCAUUAGUGCCGGUUCCAACGGCUAGCCGGCCGUUCUCAUUAGUACCGGUUCGUGGCGAACCUAUAGUACCGGUUCGUGCCACGAACUGGCACUAAAGAGGGUGGUGGCAGGGUGUUGUCAGUCUGGGGCCCGCCCAGCACCUUUAGUACCGGUUCGUGGAACGAACCGGUACUAAAGGUCGACGUACAUAAACCCUUCGUCCACCCAAGCCACUCUGUUCUUCCCCUUUCCCCUCACUUCUCCUCUGUUCUUCCCCUUUCCCCUCGAGCUCCUCACAAAUUUUUCCCAAAAUUUGUCAAGAUGUGAAGGCCCCCGUCCAUUCAAAUGAUCACAAAGGUUAGCAACUUUGUCCUUUCAACUCUCAUUGCUAGAUUGGCUCUUGCAAUGCUUUGUAUAGUGAUUAAUUUGGGAGGAAUUAUAUUUGCUAGUAUUUGAUUUAUAUGCAAUUUGAGGUCAGAAAUAACACUUAGUUUGCAUAUGUAGGUGUGGUUUACUUAGUGCCUUCUAAAUCUCCGUCGUAACCACCGUCGAUCGCCCGCACCGCCCGUCGCCGGCACCACCUUGUGGUGAGGCUCUUGUUCAUGAAUGUUUUACAUUACCAAAUUGAUGUUUGUGUGAUUUGGAUAUAUAGUUACUCGUAUAAUUAUCUUACCCGUGCGUUGUUUGUUAUACAUAGUGCCAUGGUUUUGAUAUCCGUCCCCGUCGGCCCUCGUCCUUGUUAUGAUUCGGAUGUGGUAUAUUCUCUUUUAAAACUAGUUGUUGCAUUUCGUGUUUAUGACAAAUUAUGCCCAUCAAGUUGGCAUAGAUAUUUUUAUCUAGGAGGUAUGUGAACCGGAAAUUCCAACCCACCCUAUUGUCGAGAGGUUAAAUUUAGUUAAAAGAGAAAACGAGUAUUUGAAAGAAAAAUUGAAAAGAAUUGAGGGGGAGAAGAUGGAAUUGGAGUUGCAUGUUGCCGAUGUCGUCGAUGAUCACAAGAUCAAGAUGGAGAAAAUGAGGUUGAAGAUUAGAAAGAUUAUAAAAUAUGCCAUUGAUAGUGUGGCUUGGUAUCAUUAUGCUGUUGGAUCAAUUGUUACCUUAGUUGCGAUCUUCAUCGCAUUCGUUGUUGCAUUUAAAUUCUUUAGCUAGAGAGUUAUUUGUAUGUUGCAUUUAAUUAAGUGCUGUAUAUGAACUUUAUGUAUGAACUUUAUGUAUGAACUUGUAUUAAUUUGGUCUAUUUGGUGUUGUGUACUGAAGAUGAGCCGACAAUGGAUGUAUGAUGACCGAUGCUCUCCCGAGUUCAUUAAUGGUGUGCAUACUUUUCUGCGGGCCGCUGAGGCAAACAAGCGGGCGGAUGGUUUUAUGCCUUGUCCAUGUGCUGGCUGUAAGAAUGGUCACAGUUACUCUACAGAAAAAACCAUUCACAUCCACCUAUUUAAGUCCGGUUUCAUGCCCCACUAUAAUGUUUGGACCAAGCACGGAGAAAUAGGGGUUAUGAUGGAAGACAAUGAAGAAGAAGAGGACGACGCCGGCUAUCCUGGCCAUGGGUUCCCUGAAUACGAUGAUACAACAAUGGGGGAAGAAGCUGAGCCGGCAAUGCGUGAAGAAGCUGAAGAAGAGGCAUCAGAUGAGCCCGCUGAUGAUCUAGGUCGGGCCAUUGCCGAUGCAAAGAGAAACUGCGCAAGUGAUCUGGAGAGGACGAAGUUGCAGCGCAUGUUAGAGGAUCACAAGAAAUUGUUGUACCCGAAUUGCGAAGCUGACAAAAAAAAGUUGGGCACCACACUUGAAUUGAUGCAAUGGAAGGCAGAGAAUGGUGGAUCUGACAAGGGAUUUGGAAAGUUGCUGGUAAUGAUAAAGAAUAUGCUUACAAAGGACAAUGAAUUGCCCGAGAGUACGUAUGAAGCAAAGAAGGCUUUCUGCCCUCUAGGGUUAGAGGUGCAAAAGAUACAUGCAUGCCCUAAUGACUGCAUCCUCUACCGCGGUGAGUACGAGGAUUAGAACACUUGCCCGGUAUGCGGUGCAUUGUGUUAUAAGAUCUGCCGCGAUGACCCUGGUGAUGUCGAGGGCGAGCGCCCCAGGAAGAAGAUUCCUGCCAAGGUGAUGUGGUAUGCUCCUAUAAUACCACGGUUGAAACGUUUGUUCCAAAACAAAGAGCAUGUGAAGGCGAUGCGAUGGCACGCAGAAGAUCGUAAGAAAGGCGGAAAGUUGAGAGUACCCGCUGACGGUUCACAGUGGAGAAAAAUCGAGAGAAAGUACUGGGAGGAGUUUGCAGGUGACCCAAGGAACGUAUGGUUUGGUCUAAGCGCAGAUGGCAUUAAUCCUUUUGGGGAGCAGAGCAGCAACCAUAGCACUUGGCCUGUGACUCUAUGUUUGUAUAACCUUCCUUCUUGGUUGUGCACGAAGCAGAAGUUCAGUAUGAUGCCAGUGCUCAUCCAAGGCCCUAAGCAACCCGGCAACGACAUUGAUGUGUACCUAAGGCCAUUAGUUGAAGAACUAUUACAACUGUGGAAUGGAACAGGUGUACGUGCGUGGGAUGAGCACGGACAGGAAGAAUUUGACCUAAAGGCGUUGCUGUUCGUGACCAUCAAUGAUUGGCCUGCUCUCAGUAACCUUUUAGGACAGACAAACAAGGGAUACCGUGGAUGCACGCAUUGUUUGGAUGAUACCGACAGUACAUAUUUGGAUAGUUGUAGGAAGAAUGUGUACCUGGGACAUCGUCGAUUUCUUCCGACAAGGCAUCCCGUAAGAAAGAAAGGCAAGCAUUUCAAAGGUGAGGCGGAUCACCGGACGAAGCCUCACCACCGUACUGGUGCUGAUGUACAUGAUAUGGUAAAGGAUUUGGAGGUAAUCUUUGGAAAGGGUCCUGGCGGAAAACCUGUUCCGAAGGACGCUGACGGACGCGCACCCAUGUGGAAGCAGAAAUCUAUAUUUUGGGACCUGCCAUAUUGGAAAGACCUAGAGGUCCGCUCCGCAAUCGACGUGAUGCACGUGACGAAGAAUCUUUGCGUGACCCUGCUUGGCUUUUUGGGCGUGUAUGGGAAGACAAAAGAUACACCAGAGGCACGGGAGGACCAGCAACGUAUGCACGGAAAAGACGACAUACAUCAGGGUCAGGCCAGCUACACUCUUACCAAAGAAGAGAAGGAAAUCUUCUUUGAAUGCCUGCUCAGCAUGAAGGUACCGUCUGGCUUCUCGUCGAAUAUAAAGGGAUUCACACAAAUUUCAAAUAAUUCAAAAUUUAAACUAUUCAAAUUUGAAAACUACCGGCACUAACAGAAAGUUUAUAAUUUUCUGUACCGAAAGCAAAAAUAUUCACAAAGAAACUCUAAAUACAACAAAAAACAACUCAAAAAUAAAUAAAACAAAAAUAAAUAAAGCGAAAAAAAUUAAGAAAAAAAAGCCCGCCUACUGGGCCAAAGCGGCCUACAUACGACUAGCAACACAACCUUUUGUUGGGCCAGGAUGCAGGCCCGCAAAGGCCCAAUAGGCCCACUGGGCGAACAGGACAGGUACGCCCAGUAGGCCACGUAAGGAGAGGAGCUCGAGAGAGCUACCGCACUGGGGCUUAUAAACCAGUGCGGUAGCCCUUCGACUAGCGAGGUGGGACUAAACUUGCGCACCGCCUGGAGCCAGCGCACCCCCUUUAGUACCGGGUCGUGGCUCGUACCAGUUCGUGGCUCCAACCGGUACUAAAGGUCCAUCCUAUAUAUACUACACUUGAAAAAAAAUCAGUUUCCCUCUGUUCUUCACUCUGUUUCCCUCCGUCGCGCCGCCCGGCCCCGAUCGUCGCCGCCCCCGCCCCUCGUCGCCGACCCCGGCCGUCGCCACCCCUCAUCGCCGGCCNNNNNNNNNNNNNNNNNNNNNNNNNNNNNNNNNNNNNNNNNNNNNNNNNNNNNNNNNNNNNNNNNNNNNNNNNNNNNNNNNNNNNNNNNNNNNNNNNNNNNNNNNNNNNNNNNNNNNNNNNNNNNNNNNNNNNNNNNNNNNNNNNNNNNNNNNNNNNNNNNNNNNNNNNNNNNNNNNNNNNNNNNNNNNNNNNNNNNNNNNNNNNNNNNNNNNNNNNNNNNNNNNNNNNNNNNNNNNNNNNNNNNNNNNNNNNNNNNNNNNNNNNNNNNNNNNNNNNNNNNNNNNNNNNNNNNNNNNNNNNNNNNNNNNNNNNNNNNNNNNNNNNNNNNNNNNNNNNNNNNNNNNNNNNNNNNNNNNNNNNNNNNNNNNNNNNNNNNNNNNNNNNNNNNNNNNNNNNNNNNNNNNNNNNNNNNNNNNNNNNNNNNNNNNNNNNNNNNNNNNNNNNNNNNNNNNNNNNNNNNNNNNNNNNNNNNNNNNNNNNNNNNNNNNNNNNNNNNNNNNNNNNNNNNNNNNNNNNNNNNNNNCACACACACACUACACACACACACACGUUAGUUUGUUUGUUAUAAAUUUUUCUAUUUUUAGUUAUAAAAAUGUUAGAAAUUAUUCUGUUUUUUAGUUAUAUAAAUAUUAGAAAUGUUAGUUUUAUAGAAAUGUUAUAAAUGUUUUCUGUUUUUUAGUUAUAGAAAUAUGUAUAGAAAUGUUAGCAAUUUUUUUGUUUUUUAGUUAUAUAAAUAUUAGAAUUGUUAUGGAAAUGUUAGUUAUAUAAUCAGGAAAUUUUAGAAUUAGUUUUAGUUAGAUGAAUUAGAUUAAUGUCAAAUUGUUAGAAUUUGCAUAUAUAUAGAAUUUUAGUUAUCACAAUUCAAUCAUUUAAAAAAUGUUACUUUUUGCGGGCAUAUAGUAUUUGUUCUCGACGAUAUGCCCGGCCCGCAUCCUCGCCGUCGACCCGUUCGCGACGACGUCCUGCUUGAGGGGACCCAUGUCCGGGACUGGGCUCCGCCGGGCUGGCACUGAGAGGUGUUACCUGGAGGGGCGCGCCGCUUGGUGAGGAACCCGACCUCGGGUCCCGUCGUCGACCCUGAUCUUCUUUGGUGGCGUUCGCGUGGGCCACAUUUGGUGCACAGGCAGCCGGCCCCGCUGGAGGUGGUGCGUCGCCGUGUCAGGGAGGAAGAUGAGCACGUCCAUCGCUACAUGGCUGCUAUGGACGUCAUCAGGUUCUCCACUACUUGGCGGGUUCUUUGGGCAGAUGAUCGGAGAUAUGAUCCUGUGAUGGUUCCUUCUCUUUGGGUGUGCACCGCCCGCGCCCCAGGAACCGCGAGUGGCGCCCUAGAUUCUUAUGUAGUACUCGAUCUUUAUUAGGUACCUAGCCAGUGAUGUAUUCGAUAUAUAGUAUUCGAGACGAUGUAUUCGAGAUUAUAUAUAUUAAGACGAUGAUGUAUUCGAGAUUAUAUAUUCGAGAGGAUGUAAUCGAGAUUCAAAUUUUCCUUAUUUAUUAAUUGCAUCCAUGCAUUGUAAUUUGAAUACUAAAUUGUUUUAUAUUUCUUCUGUAUUAUUAGUAAAGUAAAAGCUAUGGCGGACAAUACCGGCAGAGAGAGAGACAAGGAAUUGUUCGACAUCAUACGCAGCCCUCACAGGCUAGAUGAUCUGAAUAAGCAGAUGACGGCUCCCAAUAUCUUAACAAUACCGGAGAGGGUGAUGAAAAGAUAUUCGAUCUCGACGACCGGGCUGAUGAAGUCAUGAACUAUGAUUAUGAUUAUGACACAGACAAUGUUUGUGAUGACACAGACAAUGCUGAUCUUCAAAUAACAAACACUACCGGCGAGGUAUAUUUAUAUAAGCAUGCAUCAUGGUGAUCAUCACAUGUUUUUUUUGUUGAAGAUAUAUUAACGAAUCGAUCUUUCUUCUUUCAGCCCUCCAGAUCGAGCAAAUCUGCUUCUACAGACAGCAAGACAAAGCGAGGCCCGGGCAGAUUGUUGAAGGAUGGUGUAAAGUACCACAUCGAAUCCAUCAAACCUAGUGGCCAACCCCUCACGCCUAAGAACAUUGCGAACGAGUGGACUCGUCAGUGUGGAGUUCUUGUGAAGGACAAACUCCCUAUCUCCAUUCAAGAAUGGAAAGAGCCAAAGACUAAACGUCCAGGUGUUACUUGGGUCGACAAAAGAGCCAAAGAAGACCUGGUGAAAUCUCCGAUGGAACAUUUCACCCUACCAGAUCAUUUCACUAAAGCAGAUGUGGACAAAGUCAAGGCCGCUGCUCUUAAGAAGAUGGCAAUUGCAUUCAACACCCACAAGAAAACUGUAUGGGCCAACUACCUCGCUAAUGAAAGGAAGACUCCAGAAUUCACGGGAACACUAGAGAAGCAAAGAGAGCACUGGAACGAUUUCGUGACCUUCAAGGAUUCCGAAAUAUCUAAGGAACGGUCGAUGAAAAACAAGGCAAAUGCCGCAAGAAAGACGCAGUUCCAUAGGCUCGGUCUAGGUGGCUACACAGUGAGAUUGCCUAAGUGGGAUAAGUCUGAGCAAGAGAUGGAGGAUGCAGGGGUCACUCCGGUUACCCGGCACUGGCCCCCCAGGUGCAAAACUUGGUUCUAUGCGCAUGGGGGAGCGUUGGACCUGAAGACGGGCGGAGUUUCAAAGAAGGCAAGUCUAAAAGGAGACGAACAAAAGAUAAUUGACGCAAUAGAUGAAGCUCCAAGGGGGGUGUUCACGCCCAACAGAGAGAACGACGACCUUACGCGCGCCCUGGGAAAUCCUGAACACCCGGGAAGAACACGAGGCAUGGGCGUUAUUCCCUGGUAUGAGGGCUUUUCAGAAUGGAACGAGGACUACAGGAGCCGUGCAAGAAGGAAGAUGGAGGAGGAGAAGAAAAGGAAGCUGGAGGAGGAGCAGAGGAAGCAGGAAGCAGAACGCCUUCAAGGCCUAAAACCAAGGCACGCAGACCUGGCACUCAAAUUCCAGCAGCAGCAACAGCAGAUCGACUCACUUAGCCAGGAAAGGGGGUCUCAGCAGCGGCAGCAGCAAGCAGAUGAUCGUCCAGCAUUGGAUAGCACCGUCCCAUCCAUGCCGAGAAGCAGCGUUGGUUCUUCCCCGGGCGACACACUGCUGGAUAAAUACCCUGUGGAUGACAUCAUAGAGAACACUAACUGUGAGCUACACUCCAAAAUGAAGAACAUAUCCAUGAAGGUGGCGGACGGCGUUGCUUUUCCAGUUACCCCCGAAGCAACCUACCAUUGCAUCCCGAUUCCAGAGGGCUAUGCUCGUGUCAUGGUUGAUGAAGUGGUGGACCCAUAUUCGGGGUUAACGCUUGACAUUCCUGGAGGUGAAGACGAGCGCACACUGGGAGAGGCCAUACAUUGUAUCAUCCUAUGGAGAAAGGAUUGCAUCAUCUUUUGAAGUCCACCGACACCGCGUCGUCUGCCGACUCCUCGAAGUCCGCCAUCGAGUCAGCAGACUCCCGCUCCUCCAAGUCCACGAACGCGUGAGACGACUCCUCCUCAAAGUCCGCCACCUCCUCCAAGUCCCCGAACGCGUGAGCUGAUUCUCCGGUUUCAAGCCCGGCACAGCGUCAUGCCACUUCUCCGGUUGCAAUUCCGGCAUCGUGUUAGGCCACACCUCCUGCUUCAAGUCCAGCACAUCGUCAGGCCACUUCUCCUGGUCCAACUCCAUGUCAGCCGUCUCCGCUGUCUCAGCAAUCGCAGAAGAGACAUCCCGCAGCUUUGGUGCGUAGCGGUACGAGUCGAGGUACUUCAGGAAGUACAGGCAAAGGCAAGCGAUAUAAAUAUGGUCCAGGCCUCGCUCCUCUUCCUCAGAGGCCUUACGACAUGACUAAGGAGCAAAACACAGCCAUAGUGCAAGCCCAAGUGGACGCCCAUUUUGGACCGAAACCGGCACCGCCGCCAAAGGAGAAAGUGCCUGAGAAAGUAAUUGACCACUUCAUUUGUAUGGCUAGAGAACCAGCUCCCAAGCCUGUUGACUCGGACUAUGAGCGCCAAAUCAGGAAGGCACAUCGAGCAUGACUACAGAAGGAAGCGAGAUCAAGCUCGAGCCAACAAGCAGCUGGCAAAAAAUGCGGGAAAACCGUUCCCCAGUUGGGAGAACAGGCGGCGCAAGCGAUCCCCCCGCUUGUUGUGCCAACAAUACAUAAGAGGAGUAGUACGCGCACCAAAUAUUAUUGUGGGCAAACCGUUAGUGUUCCCCAGCAAGGCGAUGUGGUAAUAAAAGAGGAUCAUAUAAUGCAGGCUCAAAUGCUCAAUAUCUCUGUUGGACAACUCCUCGAAAUCGAGCCCAUGCCUACGCUUAAAGAAUCGGAAAUAGCAUGGCAAUAUGUCCGGGGCAAACCUUUGGUCCAUCCAGACAAGGUCAAGGACCUCCCAACGAGAAUGUAUCAAUUGCAUCAAUGGUACAUGAACAUUACCAAGAUUUCCAAUCGAGAGUCCCUCAUGGUGAAUGUCAAGCAUGAGCAUUAUUACCAUGAGAAAGCUCUGACCAUUGAGUAUCCAGAACUAUUUCAGUUAUUUAAUCAAGACGCACUCGACAAGUCUAUCGUUAGUUGCUAUUGUCUGUAAGUGAUUUCUUUCUGUAAUUUAAGUCUCAAGCUAUUUAUGUAAUGAUAAUUUUGAUCAAUCAUUACAUGUAAUUAUCCUAACUAUAUUCUUUUUCUGUGGUAUUAUAUGCAGUAUGAAGAUGUAUGAAAUGAAAAAAUUUGGACGCUAUGGCAUUGGGUUCAUUGACCCAAAUACCAUUAAUGAGGACAUAUGGCAGAUUAAACAUUGUCAAGCUGAAGUAGAGGAAAGCAUGCUAGAGUUCUUGAAGCGCCUCAAUACCAAUGAAGAUAUACUACUUCCUUACAACUUCCCGUGAGUCACGCUGUCUUGUACUACAAAUUCUGUUUUUGCUUACUAGCUAGCUAGAUGUUAAUAAUUAAGUAUAUACGGUUUACGGUAGUUGAUUAAUUUUAUGCACAUGCCCGCUUAAAUUAAGACAUGCAAACGUGUGCGUAUGCAGUUGGCACUGGGUCUUGUUAGACAUUAAAGUUGAGGAAGGAAAAGUUGAAUUACUGGACUCACUGACUAAAGAAGAUAAAGACUACACCAUCGUGAAGGGGAUAGUCAACAGGUAAUUUCAAUCAUUAUUAACUAUUAGUUCCUGAUAUGAACUAUUUAAUAACCCCUUUAUUAAUUUUCUUUGCCGGCGGGCAGGGCAUGGGCAAAGUUCAUCAAGGUGACUCCAGGCACGUGGCCAAAAAAGUUGUUUUGGCAUCGACCCAAGGUAAGUAAUUAAGUAGUACUAGCUAGCUCUACCAUCUCUUUAAUUCUUGUUUCAAUAUCAUUAAUUAAUUAUCAUGCUUGAUUAAUCAUUCUCUGAUUCAAUUCCAUCCCGUAAAGGCCCUAAGGCAGGCGUCGGGGAAUAAUCUGUGUGCAUUCUACGUUUGCGAGAACAUUCGCAUGAUGACGUGCGAAAGGAGCAGAUCUGAUAGACAUGACUGGGUACGUUUUUGUCAGAACACUAUUCACACCAUUAUCAAUAUCUAGUCACACAACUAACACACAUGCAUAUUGAUCUCCUUAACAGUUCAAAUCGGUGCGGGAUAAGCUCCUACCAUCGGACCGCAUACAAGCACUUCAAGAGGAAAUAGCUGGAUUUUUGCUCGACCGGGUCAUAGAUCCGAAAGGAGAAUACUAUUACCCGCUACCGCCCCCAUGAACCACUUGUCAUCGUGCUCCGAAGGCACCAAGGCAACAUGUAGGAGAAAUUGUAUAUGUAUAUACAUGUGUAUGUGUGAAUAGUUAAUUAAUGGUGUUGGUUGUGAGACAUUUGAUGAUAUAUAUAUUAUAUAUAUAUAUGCGGUUCUACGUACGAGAAAAUCUAUUUCAUAUAUAUGCAUAACGUGUACAAUUUGUAGUAUCAUGAAAUACCAGCAAACAAAAAAGAAUUAAAUUGAAAAUAAAGCCAAAUUGAAAACACAAAAUUAGAGCAAAAAUUAAAAAAAAACCAAACAUUUAAUACCGGUUGGUGUUACCAACCGGUACUAAUGUCCUACACGCACACGGGCCUGGCUCGUGCCACGUGUUUGCACUUUAGCGCCGGUUCGUGACGAACCGGUACUAAAGGGGGAGGGCCUUUAGUCCCCACUCUUUAGUGCCGGUUCGCCAACCGGCACUAAAGGCCGUCACGAACCGGCACUAAAGACUGGUUCUGCACUAGUGUCAUGAUCUCCAUCAUCACCGGCGCGACACCUUGAUCUCCAUCGUAGCAUCAUUGUCAUCUCGCCAACUAUUGUCACUACGACUAUCGCUACCACUUAGUGAUAAAGUAAAACAAUUACAUGGCGAUUGCAUUGCAUACAAUAAAGCGACAACCAUAUGGCUCCUGCCAGUUGCCGAUAACUUUGUUACAAAACAUGAUCAUCUCAUACAAAAAUUUAUAUCACAUCAUGCCUUGACCAUAUCACAUCACAGCAAGCCCUGCAAAAACAAGUUAGACGUCCUCUACUUCGUUGUUGCAAGUUUUAUGUGGCUGCUACGGGCUUCUAGCAAGAACCGUUCUUACCUACACAUCAAAACCACAAUGAUUCUUCAUCAAGUGUGCUGUUUUAACCUUCAAUAAGGACCGGGCGUAGCCACACUCGAUUCAACUAAAGUUGGAGAAACAGAUACACACUAGCCACCUGUGUGCGAAGCACGUCGGUAGAACCAGUCUCGUGUAAGCAUACGCGUAAUGUUGGUUUGAGCCACUUCAUCCAACAAUACCACCGAAUCAAAGUAUGACAUGCUGGUAAGCAGUAUGACUAUUAUCACCCACAACUCUUUGUGUUCUACUCGUGCAUAUAACAUCUACGCAUAAACCUGGCUCUGAUACCGCUGUUGGGAACGUGGUAAUUUCAAAAAAAUCCUACGAUCACGCAAGAUCUAUCUAGGUGAUGUAUAGCAACGAUAGGGGAGAGUGUGUCCAUGUACCCUCGUAGACCGAAAGUGGAAGCGUUAUGACAACGUGGUUAAUGUAGUCGUACGUCUUCACGAUCCGACCGAUCCUAGCACUAAAGAUACAGCACCUCCGCGAUCUACACAUGUUCAACUCGAUGAUGUCCCACGAACUCUAGAUCCAGCUGAGGUUGAGGGAGAGUUUCGUCAGCACGACGGCGUGUUGACGGUGAUGAUGAAGUUACCGGCGCAGGGCUUCGCCUAAGCACUAUGAUGAUAUGACUGAGGUGGAAAUCUGUGGAGGGGGGCACCGCACACGGUUAAAAGAUCAACUUGAUCAACUUAUGUGUCUAUCGGGUGCCCCCCUCCCCCGUAUAUAAAGGAGGAGAGGGGAGGCCGACCAACCCUCCUUGGCGCGCCCCCAAGAGGGGAAUCCUACUAGGACUCCAAGUCCUAGUAGGUUUCCACCUAAAGGGAAAGAGGGGGAAGGAAGGAGAGGGAGAGGGGGGAGGAAAGGGCCCCCCUCCUUGUCCUAUUCGGACUCAAGGGGGAGCGGGCACGCGGCCUGCCCUGGCCGCCCCUCUCUCUCCACUAAGGCCCAUCAAGGCCCAUUAGUUCCCCCGGGGGUUCCGAUAACCCUCCGGCACUCCAGUUUUAUCCAAAACUUCUCUGGAACAUUUCCGGUGUCCGAAUAUAGUCAUCCAAUAUAUAAAUCUUUAUGUCUCGACCAUUUCGAGACUCCUCGUCAUGUCCGUGAUCACAUCCGGGACUCUGAACAACCUUUGGUACAUCAUAUCACAUAAACUCAUAAUACCAGUCGUUAUCGAACGUUAAGCGUGCGGACCCUACGGGUUCGAGAACUAUGUAGACAUGACCGAGACACGUCUCCGAUCAAUAACCAAUAGCGGAACCUGGAUGCUCAUAUUGGUUCCUACAUAUUCUACGAAGAUCUUUAUCGGUCAAACCGCAUAACAACAUACGUUGUUCCCUUUGUCAUCGGUAUGUUACUUGCCCGAGAUUUGAUCGUCGGUAUCUCAAUACCUAGUUCAAUCUCGCUAUCGGAAAGUCUCUUUACUCGUUCCGUAAUACUUCAUCCCGCAACUUACUCAUUAGUUACAAUGCUUGCAAGGCUUAUAGUGAUGAGUAUUACCGAGAGGGCCCAGAGAUACCUCUGCGAAACAUGGAGUGACAAAUCCUAAUCUCGAUCUAUGCCAACCCAACAAACACCUUCGGAGACACCUGUAGAGCACAUUUAUAAUCACCCAUUUAUGUUGUGACGUUUGGUAGCACAAAAAGUGUUCCUCCGGUAUUCGGGAGUUGCAUAAUCUCAUAGUCUGAGGAACUUAUAUAAGUCAUGAAGAAAGCAGUAGCAAUGAAACUGACACGAUCAUAUGCUAAGCUAACGGAUGGGUCAUGUCCAUCACAUCAUUCUCCUAAUGAUGUGAUCUCAUUCAUCAAAUGACAACUCAUGUCUAUGGUUAGGAAACAUAACCAUAUUUGAUUAACGAGCUAGUCAAGUAGAGGCAUACUAGGGACUAUAUGUUUUCUCUCUGUAUUCACACAUGUACUAAGUUUCCCGUUAAUACAAUUCUAGCAUGAAUAAUAAACAUUUAUCAUGAAUUAAGGAAAUAAAUAAUAACUUUAUUAUUGCCUCCAGGGCAUAUUUCCUUCACGACAGCCGUCGGGAGGCGGCGGCAGCGGCGGCAAUUUUGUGUGAAUUUGGCCGGUGGCGGAGUUGGGCGGGCGGCCGCGCAGAAUGGAACGGAAGGCGGUUGGCGUGUGGCUGCUCUUUUUACAUCUCCAGACAGUAGAGAUGAAAUUUGUAUCGUGAGGUUUUGUAUUUUACAUCUCUGGAAGGUGGAGAUGUAUUUUUUUUGCAUCUACAUCAUCUCCUUGGAGAUGCAAAAGAUAGUUAUUUUCACACUGUCAGCAUCCUCCCCUAUCCUAUCACAUGGGCUGGACCUAUCCUAUUACAUGGGCCGGGUUACGAGCUGCUCCUGGGCUUGGACAGAAGCAGGCGAUCACUAUACAUACAGAGAGAUGACUAGAGAAGCGACUCGGCUUGGACCGGACGGCGGCUUCGGCCGAUAGGCUAGCUUAUCUUCUUCCUCCUCUGGCUGUAAUUCCCCUUCCUCCUCUGGCUGUAAUUCCGCUUCCUCCUCUGAGCUUGUAAUCGAAUCCAUGGCGAAUUGAGUGAAUUAGUAGAGAGAACCUCACAACUGGCAUCAGAGUCGUUCGAUUCUCCACCGAAAAUCCACCCAAAACUUUUCCCCAAUCAAGUCCAUGGACUCACAACGGCGCGCGGAGCUCCUGGCGACCCUCUCGCCGGAGGGUUUGGCGAUGUAUGAGGUUCUGAAGGCAGCUCGUGAUCUGGACCGAAGCUUCACUGCCUCCAAGGUGAGGCUAGAGAAGGCGGUCGAGACAGCGUUCGGCGACUUCCACGUCAAGCUGGACCAUACUAUCGACGACCUUCGCUGGAAGGUGCGUAGGGACAACGGCCGUAGGUGCGCCCCUACAGCGGCGACCUCUAUUUUCAUCGACGACGAGCUCUGCAACGUCUCUGCAUCGCACCGCCUCGACCACCAAUUGGGACGCAACCCUUGUGCUCGCGGCGACAUCCACGCGCGCCCCUACUGCAGCGGCGUCGGCUUCAUCAACGACGAGGUCGGCCGCGUUUCCGCCUGUCCCGCGCGGCACCGUCUCCACCAUCCGUUCUACCACGCCAUCUGCGGCUGCUGUGACACCUCUGCGCGUCAUCGCAGACCCGGCCCCGAUCUCCGUGCUGGACGACACGCUCGAGUCCGCCGCGACGGCUUCCUCAACAGCGAGCAGCACCAGUUGGGUCGCGACCUCCGUGCGUGCGGCGACGACCACACCCUUACCCACAGUGGCGUCGUUGGUCUCUACAUCAACCUCAGUGCUCAGCAUUGCCCCUGCAGCAGUCGACAUCACCCACGAUGCCAUGGCCACCAGCCACGCCAUGAAGAUGCCCACCAUUUGCUCGACGAAUUACCAGGGUUUCAACACCAGCAACAUUGGCAUUCUAGACGUGUCAGUGGCUUUGGAGGGCAUGUCCCAUACUGCUCCAACACCUACUCGGAGGACGACCACCCAACUGCUACAUGUCCUCGAGCAAGUCUCAAAGCUGCCUGCUACAUGCUCGACCAAUUGCUUGAGCAAUGAUUUGGACACUACACUACGGACUGCAACAAGACUGCUGUCAACAGCAACACCAUCGUUCAAUCCGGAGCUCACGGUGCAAGUUCCAGUGUAGCCAUCGCCCUUCUCCACCGUCUCCGUGCACAAGAACACCCUCGACACUGACGGCGCCUGCGACAUGGAGGCCAAGUCUUUGACCAUUUCAGCACCGACAGAGAGCCAGACAUCCCAGUCACUGUGGUUCUUUGUUGACCGCGGACUUCACAUGAUGCUGCCUACCAAGUGCUUGACUAUCGGUAUCUACUCGCGCCUGGUCUUACUCCCUCCUGUUGCAUUGAACACCAUUGAUACAAUAAUGACUGAGCGGCAGUAUGUCUACGAGGAUGGUAGAAAUUUUGUUCAGAAGAUGACUGAACGUGCUGCCACAUUAGUUUGUUUUCCGCCAUUGCCAUGGGAUGAGAAGCAAAUAUGGCCGCCCUCUUUCUCUCCUAAUGUGUCGGCAUUUAAUCUGCAAGUGUAUGAGCAGCAGAAUAAGUGCAGAUUACUGGACAUGAGUGGAUCUCCCCUGUUUGAGCAGAGCAACAGUUGCAAGGAUAUAAAUCAUGUUCAUGCAGCCAUUGAUGCGGACGCAUAAUUUGUCGCUGAGAGCUUAUAUCCAGAGCAAAUUGCUACAGCUCCUGAGCAUAUUGUUGCCAAGAAGGUCUUGAUGCACGAGCUACUCUGUACCAUGUCACUGCUUGCAGACUUGCCAUUGAAACCACCAUGGCCAUUCGUGCAACUAACAGAUGGAGUUCCUGCAGCUGUGAAAUUGCAGGGUUCGUUGAUGGAGUUGCUGAAAUCACAAUUGUGGCAGUAUGAAUUUCGUUGGAUACCAACUCAAAUGCUUAAUUCACUCCCAUUCCCUUGGUUUGGCGAGGUUGGUCACUUUUCUCGUUCGACUAAGAUCACUGAAUUAUGCAUCCCUAUGGUCGAUAUAUGGAAAAAUUUGCAAGGUGUUCCUGCUCGACUGUGCUUCUGUUGUAUGUUUCUGGGGCUGAGAAAUCACGUAAGUGCUUCUUUUUACUGGUGGACCUAAAGCGAUGGCCUUGUUUUUUGUUCCAUCCAGAUGAGUUCAUAUUCAGGUUUCCAUGGUUACCAACUAAAGCUACAUGGUGUGCGCAUCCACUAUUUGGAAAAUCAGUGCAACCUUGUGCUCAUGCUCUGGAGGAGCUCAAGCAGUGGCCCCCUUGGAUGUUGUGCUUAAUGGUUGUGGCUUUCUCACAAAAUUUGCAUGAUAGUCUGCAUUGCAACCAAGAAGUAAGCUUCACACUUGGAGCUAUUUAUUUUUCUGUUGUUGAAGGCUGAUGUGUGCUCAUCUCAGUUAUCGACGAUCAUAUUGCUUCAUUGCUCAAUUUGACAUCUACUGAUGGAAGCCCAAUAUACAUGUUAGUCUGUGGUCCUGAGCUGGUGAUUGAUGGCUUCUUGCAAGAUANNNNNNNNNNNNNNNNNNNNNNNNNNNNNNNNNNNNNNNNNNNNNNNNNNNNNNNNNNNNNNNNNNNNNNNNNNUGUUAGCUCAUGCCUGAGUUUCUCGGGUUCUGAUAAAUAUCAAUGGACAAUUGCAUGGUCAGUUAAUGGGGAGUGCUCUGAAACUGGUAGUUAUUGGGUUAGUCAUGUUGUUGCCUGGUACAUGUGUUGUACAGGCAGGAUUACAUGGGCAUUUUUCCUUCUUGACAACAUGAAGCACUACAACCGUCAGAAAUUGUUACAGACUCCAAUUCUAACACUCCCUGUGGUCCUUGAUGUUAUUGGUGAUGAAUUGCAAAGUCAACCUAGCACACGUCAGUUCGUGAAACUCUCCAGGGGCAGCACACAAGACAAGGGUCUCUUCUUGGUUGUUCCAAUGGUUGACCUAUGUUCAACAAAUAUGAGCUCUUGGAAUUAUCCACUAUCAAGCUCAAACAUUGGAAUUCUAGCAAGUACAUGGGUGAAAGAAUUAUAUCAUUGGUCUCUGGUUGAUCACUCAAGUGAUAUGUUAUUUGCCAAGAUAACUGGAACUGUGCACAUAAUCUCUUCUCGUCUUCUCUUGCCUCUGAAGACAUAUGGUCCCAGCAUGACUAUUAGUGUCCAAGAUCAGCACUCUUAUGCUUGGCUUGUUGUUGACAAUACAUAUCUGCAAACCAUUGUCGAGUGCUCUGCUAUUGAGAUGGUCAGCUAUAAAAUUCUACCUGCCAGUGCUACUGACUGGAUGGUAUGGAAGAUUGUUCAAGUGCCCUGUUCAGUGAGUACCGAUGAGGCCUACAACUCCCAAUGUUCAGUAUUUACAAAAGCGACUCUUCGGUCAACAUUGGGUCAACCAAACGCAUUGCUUCCAACUGUGAUCCAUGGUGUGCUAACUUUCCAAGCUUUGCAAACGCCUUGGGAUCCGGGUGAGAUGCUUCUUAGAGUUCAAAUUGCAGUACAGACGCCUUGGGAUNNNNNNNNNNNNNNNNNNNNNNNNNNNNNNNNNNNNNNNNNNNNNNNNNNNNNNNNNNNCUGGUGGUUUGACAUGGAAUCGGCUUGAGGGCAAGCCGAAAGUUAUGGAAGGGGCAUUGUCAGCAUCCUCCCCUAUCCUAUCACAUGGGCUGGACCUAUCCUAUUACAUGGGCCGGGUUACGAGCUGCUCCUGGGCUUGGACAGAAGCAGGCGAUCACUAUACAUACAGAGAGAUGACUAGAGAAGCGACUCGGCUUGGACCGGACGGCGGCUUCGGCCGAUAGGCUAGCUUAUCUUCUUUCUCCUCUGGCUGUAAUUCCCCUUUCUCCUCUGGCUGUAAUUCCCCUUCCUCCUCUGAGCUUGUAAUCGAAUCCAUGGCGAAUUGAGUGAAUUAGUAGAGAGAACCUCACAACUGGCAUCAGAGUCGUUCGAUUCUCCACCGAAAAUCCACCCAAAACUUUUCCCCAAUCAAGUCCAUGGACUCACAACGGCGCGCGGAGCUCCUGGCGACCCUCUNNNNNNNNNNNNNNNNNNNNNNNNNNNNNNNNNNNNNNNNNNNNNNNNNNNNNNNNNNNNNNNNNNNNNNNNNNNNNNNNNNNNNNNNNNNNNNNNNNNNNNNNNNNNNNNNNNNNNNNNNNNNNNNNNNNNNNNNNNNNNNNNNNNNNNNNNNNNNNNNNNNNNNNNNNNNNNNNNNNNNNNNNNNNNNNNNNNNNNNNNNNNNNNNNNNNNNNNNNNNNNNNNNNNNNNNNNNNNNNNNNNNNNNNNNNNNNNNNNNNNNNNNNNNNNNNNNNNNNNNNNNNNNNNNNNNNNNNNNNNNNNNNNNNNNNNNNNNNNNNNNNNNNNNNNNNNNNNNNNNNNNNNNNNNNNNNNNNNNNNNNNNNNNNNNNNNNNNNNNNNNNNNNNNNNNNNNNNNNNNNNNNNNNNNNNNNNNNNNNNNNNNNNNNNNNNNNNNNNNNNNNNNNNNNNNNNNNNNNNNNNNNNNNNNNNNNNNNNNNNNNNNNNNNNNNNNNNNNNNNNNNNNNNNNNNNNNNNNNNNNNNNNNNNNNNNNNNNNNNNNNNNNNNNNNNNNNNNNNNNNNNNNNNNNNNNNNNNNNNNNNNNNNNNNNNNNNNNNNNNNNNNNNNNNNNNNNNNNNNNNNNNNNNNNNNNNNNNNNNNNNNNNNNNNNNNNNNNNNNNNNNNNNNNNNNNNNNNNNNNNNNNNNNNNNNNNNNNNNNNNNNNNNNNNNNNNNNNNNNNNNNNNNNNNNNNNNNNNNNNNNNNNNNNNNNNNNNNNNNNNNNNNNNNNNNNNNNNNNNNNNNNNNNNNNNNNNUAGGGACAACGGCCGUAGGUGCGCCCCUACAGCGGCGACCUCUAUUUUCAUCGACGACGAGCUCUGCAACGUCUCUGCAUCGCACCGCCUCGACCACCAAUUGGGACGCAACCCUUGUGCUCGCGGCGACAUCCACGCGCGCCCCUACUGCAGCGGCGUCGGCUUCAUCAACGACGAGGUCGGCCGCGUUUCCGCCUGUCCCGCGCGGCACCGUCUCCACCAUCCGUUCUACCACGCCAUCUGCGGCUGCUGUGACACCUCUGCGCGUCAUCGCAGACCCGGCCCCGAUCUCCGUGCUGGACGACACGCUCGAGUCCGCCGCGACGGCUUCCUCAACAGCGAGCAGCACCAGUUGGGUCGCGACCUCCGUGCGUGCGGCGACGACCACACCCUUACCCACAGUGGCGUCGUUGGUCUCUACAUCAACCUCAGUGCUCAGCAUUGCCCCUGCAGCAGUCGACAUCACCCACGAUGCCAUGGCCACCAGCCACGCCAUGAAGAUGCCCACCAUUUGCUCGACGAAUUACCAGGGUUUCAACACCAGCAACAUUGGCAUUCUAGACGUGUCAGUGGCUUUGGAGGGCAUGUCCCAUACUGCUCCAACACCUACUCGGAGGACGACCACCCAACUGCUACAUGUCCUUGAGCAAGUCUCAAAGCUGCCUGCUACAUGCUCGACCAAUUGCUUGAGCAAUGAUUUGGACACUACACUACGGACUGCAACAAGACUGCUGUCAACAGCAACACCAUCGUUCAAUCCGGAGCUCACGGUGCAAGUUCCAGUGUCGCCAUCGCCCUUCUCCACCGUCUCCGUGCACAAGAACACCCUCGACACUGACGGCGCCUGCGACAUGGAGGCCAAGUCUUUGACCAUUUCAGCACCGACAGAGAGCCGGACAUCCCAGUCACUGUGGUUCUUUGUUGACCGCGGACUUCACAUGAUGCUGCCUACCAAGUGCUUGACUAUCGGUAUCUACUCGCGCCUGGUCUUACUCCCUCCUGUUGCAUUGAACACCAUUGAUACAAUAAUGACUGAGCGGCAGUAUGUCUACGAGGAUGGUAGAAAUUUUGUUCAGAAGAUGACUGAACGUGCUGCCACAUUAGUUUGUUUUCCGCCAUUGCCAUGGGAUGAGAAGCAAAUAUGGCCGCCCUCUUUCUCUCCUAAUGUGUCGGCAUUUAAUCUGCAAGUGUAUGAGCAGCAGAAUAAGUGCAGAUUACUGGACAUGAGUGGAUCUCCCCUGUUUGAGCAGAGCAACAGUUGCAAGGAUAUAAAUCAUGUUCAUGCAGCCAUUGAUGCGGACGCAUAAUUUGUCGCUGAGAGCUUAUAUCCAGAGCAAAUUGCUACAGCUCCUGAGCAUAUUGUUGCCAAGAAGGUCUUGAUGCACGAGCUACUCUGUACCAUGUCACUGCUUGCAGACUUGCCAUUGAAACCACCAUGGCCAUUCGUGCAACUNNNNNNNNNNUGUUAGCUCAUGCCUGAGUUUCUCGGGUUCUGAUAAAUAUCAAUGGACAAUUGCAUGGUCAGUUAAUGGGGAGUGCUCUGAAACUGGUAGUUAUUGGGUUAGUCAUGUUGUUGCCUGGUACAUGUGUUGUACAGGCAGGAUUACAUGGGCAUUUUUCCUUCUUGACAACAUGAAGCACUACAACCGUCAGAAAUUGUUACAGACUCCAAUUCUAACACUCCCUGUGGUCCUUGAUGUUAUUGGUGAUGAAUUGCAAAGUCAACCUAGCACACGUCAGUUCGUGAAACUCUCCAGGGGCAGCACACAAGACAAGGGUCUCUUCUUGGUUGUUCCAAUGGUUGACCUAUGUUCAACAAAUAUGAGCUCUUGGAAUUAUCCACUAUCAAGCUCAAACAUUGGAAUUCUAGCAAGUACAUGGGUGAAAGAAUUAUAUCAUUGGUCUCUGGUUGAUCACUCAAGUGAUAUGUUAUUUGCCAAGAUAACUGGAACUGUGCACAUAAUCUCUUCUCGUCUUCUCUUGCCUCUGAAGACAUAUGGUCCCAGCAUGACUAUUAGUGUCCAAGAUCAGCACUCUUAUGCUUGGCUUGUUGUUGACAAUACAUAUCUGCAAACCAUUGUCGAGUGCUCUGCUAUUGAGAUGGUCAGCUAUAAAAUUCUACCUGCCAGUGCUACUGACUGGAUGGUAUGGAAGAUUGUUCAAGUGCCCUGUUCAGUGAGUACCGAUGAGGCCUACAACUCCCAAUGUUCAGUAUUUACAAAAGCGACUCUUCGGUCAACAUUGGGUCAACCAAACGCAUUGCUUCCAACUGUGAUCCAUGGUGUGCUAACUUUCCAAGCUUUGCAAACGCCUUGGGAUCCGGGUGAGAUGCUUCUUAGAGUUCAAAUUGCAGUACAGACGCCUUGGGAUNNNNNNNNNNGACAUCCCAGUCACUGUGGUUCUUUGUUGACCGCGGACUUCACAUGAUGCUGCCUACCAAGUGCUUGACUAUCGGUAUCUACUCGCGCCUGGUCUUACUCCCUCCUGUUGCAUUGAACACCAUUGAUACAAUAAUGACUGAGCGGCAGUAUGUCUACGAGGAUGGUAGAAAUUUUGUUCAGAAGAUGACUGAACGUGCUGCCACAUUAGUUUGUUUUCCGCCAUUGCCAUGGGAUGAGAAGCAAAUAUGGCCGCCCUCUUUCUCUCCUAAUGUGUCGGCAUUUAAUCUGCAAGUGUAUGAGCAGCAGAAUAAGUGCAGAUUACUGGACAUGAGUGGAUCUCCCCUGUUUGAGCAGAGCAACAGUUGCAAGGAUAUAAAUCAUGUUCAUGCAGCCAUUGAUGCGGACGCAUAAUUUGUCGCUGAGAGCUUAUAUCCAGAGCAAAUUGCUACAGCUCCUGAGCAUAUUGUUGCCAAGAAGGUCUUGAUGCACGAGCUACUCUGUACCAUGUCACUGCUUGCAGACUUGCCAUUGAAACCACCAUGGCCAUUCGUGCAACUGACAGAUGGAGUUCCUGCAGCUGUGAAAUUGCAGGGUUCGUUGAUGGAGUUGCUGAAAUCACAAUUGUGGCAGUAUGAAUUUCGUUGGAUACCAACUCAAAUGCUUAAUUCACUCCCAUUCCCUUGGUUUGGCGAGGUUGGUCACUUUUCUCGUUCGACUAAGAUCACUGAAUUAUGCAUCCCUAUGGUCGAUAUAUGGAAAAAUUUGCAAGGUGUUCCUGCUCGACUGUGCUUCUGUUGUAUGUUUCUGGGGCUGAGAAAUCACGUAAGUGCUUCUUUUUACUGGUGGACCUAAAGCGAUGGCCUUGUUUUUUGUUCCAUCCAGAUGAGUUCAUAUUCAGGUUUCCAUGGUUACCAACUAAAGCUACAUGGUGUGCGCAUCCACUAUUUGGAAAAUCAGUGCAACCUUGUGCUCAUGCUCUGGAGGAGCUCAAGCAGUGGCCCCCUUGGAUGUUGUGCUUAAUGGUUGUGGCUUUCUCACAAAAUUUGCAUGAUAGUCUGCAUUGCAACCAAGAAGUAAGCUUCACACUUGGAGCUAUUUAUUUUUCUGUUGUUGAAGGCUGAUGUGUGCUCAUCUCAGUUAUCGACGAUCAUAUUGCUUCAUUGCUCAAUUUGACAUCUACUGAUGGAAGCCCAAUAUACAUGUUAGUCUGUGGUCCUGAGCUGGUGAUUGAUGGCUUCUUGCAAGAUAGUGUUAGCUCAUGCCUGAGUUUCUCGGGUUCUGAUAAAUAUCAAUGGACAAUUGCAUGGUCAGUUAAUGGGGAGUGCUCUGAAACUGGUAGUUAUUGGGUUAGUCAUGUUGUUGCCUGGUACAUGUGUUGUACAGGCAGGAUUACAUGGGCAUUUUUCCUUCUUGACAACAUGAAGCACUACAACCGUCAGAAAUUGUUACAGACUCCAAUUCUAACACUCCCUGUGGUCCUUGAUGUUAUUGGUGAUGAAUUGCAAAGUCAACCUAGCACACGUCAGUUCGUGAAACUCUCCAGGGGCAGCACACAAGACAAGGGUCUCUUCUUGGUUGUUCCAAUGGUUGACCUAUGUUCAACAAAUAUGAGCUCUUGGAAUUAUCCACUAUCAAGCUCAAACAUUGGAAUUCUAGCAAGUACAUGGGUGAAAGAAUUAUAUCAUUGGUCUCUGGUUGAUCACUCAAGUGAUAUGUUAUUUGCCAAGAUAACUGGAACUGUGCACAUAAUCUCUUCUCGUCUUCUCUUGCCUCUGAAGACAUAUGGUCCCAGCAUGACUAUUAGUGUCCAAGAUCAGCACUCUUAUGCUUGGCUUGUUGUUGACAAUACAUAUCUGCAAACCAUUGUCGAGUGCUCUGCUAUUGAGAUGGUCAGCUAUAAAAUUCUACCUGCCAGUGCUACUGACUGGAUGGUAUGGAAGAUUGUUCAAGUGCCCUGUUCAGUGAGUACCGAUGAGGCCUACAACUCCCAAUGUUCAGUAUUUACAAAAGCGACUCUUCGGUCAACAUUGGGUCAACCAAACGCAUUGCUUCCAACUGUGAUCCAUGGUGUGCUAACUUUCCAAGCUUUGCAAACGCCUUGGGAUCCGGGUGAGAUGCUUCUUAGAGUUCAAAUUGCAGUACAGACGCCUUGGGAUCCUGGUGGUUUGACAUGGAAUCGGCUUGAGGGCAAGCCGAAAGUUAUGGAAGGGGCAUUGUCAGCAUCCUCCCCUAUCCUAUCACAUGGGCUGGACCUAUCCUAUUACAUGGGCCGGGUUACGAGCUGCUCCUGGGCUUGGACAGAAGCAGGCGAUCACUAUACAUACAGAGAGAUGACUAGAGAAGCGACUCGGCUUGGACCGGACGGCGGCUUCGGCCGAUAGGCUAGCUUAUCUUCUUUCUCCUCUGGCUGUAAUUCCCCUUUCUCCUCUGGCUGUAAUUCCCCUUCCUCCUCUGAGCUUGUAAUCGAAUCCAUGGCGAAUUGAGUGAAUUAGUAGAGAGAACCUCACAACUGGCAUCAGAGUCGUUCGAUUCUCCACCGAAAAUCCACCCAAAACUUUUCCCCAAUCAAGUCCAUGGACUCACAACGGCGCGCGGAGCUCCUGGCGACCCUCUCGCCGGAGGGUUUGGCGAUGUAUGAGGUUCUGAAGGCAGCUCGUGAUCUGGACCGAAGCUUCACUGCCUCCAAGGUGAGGCUAGAGAAGGCGGUCGAGACGGCGUUCGGCGACUUCCACGUCAAGCUGGACCGUACUAUCGACGACCUUCGCUGGAAGGUGCAUAGGGACAACGGCCGUAGGUGCGCCCCUACAGCGGCGACCUCUAUUUUCAUCGACGACGAGCUCUGCAACGUCUCUGCAUCGCACCGCCUCGACCACCAAUUGGGACGCAACCCUUGUGCUCGCGGCGACAUCCACGCGCGCCCCUACUGCAGCGGCGUCGGCUUCAUUAAAGACGAGGUCGGCCGCGUUUCCGCCUGUCCCGCGCGGCACCGUCUCCACCAUCCGUUCUACCACGCCAUCUGCGGCUGCUGUGACACCUCUGCGCGUCAUCGCAGACCCGGCCCCGAUCUCCGUGCUGGACGACACGCUCGAGUCCGCCGCGACGGCUUCCUCAACAGCGAGCAGCACCAGUUGGGCUUGGACAGAAGCAGGCGAUCACUAUACAUACAGAGAGAUGACUAGAGAAGCGACUCGGCUUGGACCGGACGGUGGCUUCGGCCGAUAGGCUAGCUUAUCUUCUUCCUCCUCUGGCUGUAAUUCCUCUUCCUCCUCUGGCUGUAAUUCCCCUUCCUCCUCUGAGCUUGUAAUCGAAUCCAUGGCGAAUUGAGUGAAUUAGUAGAGAGAACCUCAUACACACAUACAUCUUCUAUUGGAGAUGCUCUUAGAGUUAGUAAUCCGUGCACGCUUACUAAUCUUUCCCUACCCUAAUUUUUUAUUUUUUCUCUCCCUGAUAAUAAAGCACGGAUUGAGUCUCCGGGUUCACCGUCGCGGUAAUUUUUCAAAACUGUCCCUGUUGUUUUUGACAUUCAACCCGCAAUCCUCGCAAUAAGUCAGCCUAACCGGUACGGUUGAGAGAAAAAAAACACCCGCGCCGCCCUGCCACCAAAUCCUAUCUCCACCUCCACCGCGCCGCCGCCUCCUACCACGGCACGCCUCGCCUCCCUCCUCUCGCUCGCUCCCUCAUCCCGCACCUCCACCUGGUCCUCUAUAUGCUUUUUCUGGUGAAUUUACGCUUUCAGUUUAAUUAUUUUCUUGAAGAAACUAUACCUGCGUUCUCCGUGGGUUCACCGUGAAGAAAAAAAAACACGACCGGAGAAGGAGCACGGGCUCGCCUCUCUCGAGAAAAUUGGCUAUUUGCCACUUUCAAUACGGGGCUUUUCAAAAUUGCCAUUUUCAAGAUUGGCUUCGUAAAAAUGCCACUCAGCUCGUGUGCACCUUGAUUACCAUGCCAUUUCCCUCCUUUUAUAUAUUUCCUUUUUCUUCUCGCAAUUAUAAGCACCAGAAAAGACCAAACUGCCCCUGUUGCUAUCUAAACGUACUUGAGGCGGACGUAAGUGUGCUGCUCGCCAAGAAUACCAUGCGUGCUCAAUCCAUGAUCGCCUGGAUUUCUUGCGUCAAUCGUCGGAUGUUGCCGCCAUCUCCUCGAGGCCGCGUGCUGCUGAUCUCCUCGCUGCUCGCGCCGCCCAUUGCCAGACAUGGAACACAAUCCUUCUACGAGGGCAGCUGUGCCGGCGCGCGCAAGCGUGGGAGAGCAUCAGCGGCGAGUUGUGGUGACUCAUGUAGGUGUCAGCGAGGUAAAGGGCGAGCUGCGCCGACAUGGACGAGCACCCACGAGUUACGGUGGCUUGGGCGGGCAUCGGCCAGGCAAGGACGGGCUGUGCCGACGCGUGUGCAGACGUGGACGAGCACCUCGGAGUUGUGGUGGCUCGCAUGGGCAUCGGCCAGGCAAGGACGAGCUGUGCUGGCACGCGUGCAAAGAUGGACGAGCAUCGAGGAGUUGUGGUGGCUCGCGCGGGCAUCGCUAGGCAAGGACGAGCUGUGCCGGCGCGCGUGGAAACGUGGAUGAGCAUUGGCGAGGAGCUGCGGUGGCUCGCACAGGAGUUCGCCAGCCGAGGGCCAGCCGUACCGGUGCGCGUGCAGUGAGCGAGCAUCCCCAGCGGUGAGCUGGGGUUGGGCCGAGAGGACCGGCGGCGGGAUGCGGUUGCUCGUGCAGGCGUGAGCGAGCUAUGGCGGCGAGCUGCUGUGGAUGUUGGAAUAAGCCGUGCCGAGUCAGGCGAGCCGGUGCGCGCGAGCGUGCGCGGUGGGCGCGUCCGGCUCGAGCCGGAGCAGGCCAGGGUGCGUGUGUGCGUGCCCGGUCGUAGGUGUGCAUGUGUGUGUGCGGGUCAGCGCGUGUGUGCGUGUGGCUGCAUGGGCCGUAGCGAGGUUAGGGGGAGUGGACCGCGUCAGGUGCGUAGCGUGGCCGCGGCGAUCGCGUGCAGGCGCGAUCGGAGCGCGCGAGCCAGAGCGCUGUGGGGCGUGGCGAGUGGCGAGUGGGCACGUUCGAGCGUGGCCCGGCAUGUCGGAGCUCGCGGGCAUAAAAGCCACUCCACCCCUGUGUAAUCGCUGAGGCAAUCGAGUUCGUGCUCGAGGAGAAAAACAGAAAAACCCAUACGUGCCGGAGGGCGUUCGAGCGCCGGUAAAUCUUCUGUGUUCGUCUUCCUCCCCUCCGGUCGUGUCUCCGGUGAUCACCGUCGGGUGCCGCAGGCCGCGGUUCCAACAUUUGGUAUCAGAGCGAGGCGACGAGGCGCGGUGAGAGAGCUCGCCGGAGGACAUGGCGCUGGUUCCACACGGCGGCGGAGGCAGCGCGGGCGGUUCGGUGCCUAUGGGGAUGCCGAUGCUCGCGCCGGACGGCUACACCGUGUGGGCGAUCAAGGCGCAGGCGAUCCUUGAUGCCCACGCACUGUGGGAGGCGGUGGCGCCGGCGGGCGACGCGGCGGUGAACGCGAAGAAGUGCAAGACGGCGCGAGCGCUCCUCCUGUCGGGGCUGCCGGAGGAUGUGCUGCUCUCGGUGGCGACGAAAGCCACCGCCAGAGAGGUAUGGGACUCUCUGAAGGUGCGCUUCGUCGGCGCCGAGCGGGUGCGCGCGGCGAGGAGGGCGACGCUGCGCGGCGAGCUGGAUCGGCUCCGGAUGGAGGACGGCGAGACCCUGGACGCGUACGCCGUGCGGCUUGCGGGCAUGGCGGCGCGGUUCGCGGGGCUGAGGGAGACGCUGGGCGAGACGGAGCUGGUGAAGAAGCUCCUGGACACCGUGCCGGACCGCCUCUUCCCCGUCGUCGCCGGCAUCGAGCAAUUCUGCACGCUGGAGGAGCUGACGCACGACGAGGCGCUCGGACGGCUGCGUGCUUUCGACGAGCGGGUGCGGCGUCGUAGGUGUGCGUGUGUGUGUGCGGGUCAGCGCGUGUGUGCGCGUGGCUGCAUGGGCCGUAGCGAGGUUAGGGGGUGUGGACCGCGUCAGGUGCGCAGCGUGGCCGCGGUGAUCGCGUGCGGGCGCGAUCGGAGCGCGCGAGCCAGAGCGUUGCGGGGCGUGUCGAGUGGCGAGUGGGCACGUUCGAGCGUGGCCCGGCAUGUCGGAGCUCGCGGGCAUAAAAGCCACUCCACCCCUGUGUAAUCGCUGAGGCAAUCGAGUUCGUGCUCGAGGAGAAAAACAGAAAAACCCGUACGUGCGGGAGGGCGUUCGAGCGCCGGCAAAUCUUCUGUGUUCGUCUUCCUCCCCUCCGGUCGUGUCUCCAGUGAUCACCGUCGGGUGCCGCAGGCCGCGGUUCCAACAUUGGAUUCGUGCAUGCAUAUCAACGAGCUACAGCGGCGAGCAAUCGUGAUGACAAGGAUGAGUGCCUCGCAGCAAUCCGAUCGAUCCAAACAUUUCAAGCACGCAUCAGAUAUGGAUUCAGGGGUAGUUUGGUCCUUUUAGUAGCCAGGAAAUGGAAAAGAGAAAAAAAAAAGCAAUGGAAAAGGAAAAUGGCAUGGUAAUCAAGAUGCACACGAGCUGAGUGGCAUUUUUAGGAAACCAAUCUUGAAAAUGGCAAUUUUGAGAAGCUUCAUAAUGAAAGUGGCAAAUAGCCAAUUUUCUCGCCUCUCUCCCUCUUGCCCACAAAGUCAUCGCCGCCGCCGCCGCCGCCAAUGCCCGCCGCUUCCGGCGACCUCCGGUGCCGUCCAGCACGCCCCCGAGCUCCCUACGGUCCACGCCUCCCUCCCCUCCGUCCAGAUUCUCCACUCCCGUCCUCUAUCACCCGCGCGCAACCUCACCCUCGAUCUAACCCGUCGUCUUUGAGGCGUGGUCGGCGAGGAUCCUGGCGAGGUAGCCUCAUGAGAGGUGCCGCUGAGGUCGGGCGACGGAGUAGAGGAAGACUUGUCAGCCCACGGCCCCGCGUCUCUUCUCGGCUGCAGGACCAAUGAGGUGGUCGUCGUCCCGAUCCAUGAUUGUUGCUAUUGGAGUAUUGGUCAUGGCUCAGGGUCGUGUGUGCCUACUCUCUCUUCUAAUCCAUGGAGAUGGAGGCGAGAUCCAGCAGCAGCGUGCGGCCAUGUACUCGUGGCAGCUACUCGAUCCUUGAUCCUCUUGCGGCCCCGUUGAGGAGGGUCUGGGGCAGCUGCGGCUUGCGCGCUCUCUGUCCCCAUCAACCGCUAGCCCUGCCUCCACUUUGAAGCCCGUGAGUGGCAUCUAAUAUGCCCUUUGCUUGGUCAAUACAAACUGCAAAUAGAGAGAUGACCCAAUGACUAAUCAAGUCAAAUGUUGAUUAGAUCAGAAGAUAGAUACAGGGGAAGAAAACAAGCUUGGCGGCUGCAAUGCUCUGGUUCAAUGAAAGGUAUCAGGCAGGAACUAAAAAGCUAUCGUUGCAUCUUACCAUGUUAUUUUCUCCAUACAGUGAUACAGCUUUUAAACUAUGCUUGCGUCCGUACCUAAUCUUCUGACUUUGUGAUGUCUAUAUCCAGUAUAAAGCACUAAUUGUCUUUGUGAUGCCUAUAUGCAGCGAAAUUGUAGCCUAAAUCAGCGUGAUAUUUGGCGAUUUCCCGCAAUCUCCUAUGAUUACUGCAUGCAAAUCGUGGGACGAAUUACUAGCGGCGAAUGAGAUGCGAACGCGGCCAAAUCACCCGUGAUUUGAAAUCAUAGUAUAAAGUAGUUCGGCUUGAUAUUCAAUAUUGAGUGUUCAUACAUAUGAUUAACAUCAUACCAUCUGGUUUUGUAAGUAUUAUAUCUCAGGGAUGCUUAAAACUGUCACCAUCUAGCACUACUUUUCCAUGGCUGCAAUCAUUAAUAUUAUAAUUCUUUUAUUUUACAGAAUUAUCUGUUCAAUUGCUUCCGGUCACAGAGUAAGGAGGGCCAUCUUUUUCAACCAUCAAAUGAGUUUUACAUUUGUUGGUAAGUGUCCUACUCUGAAAUUGUUUGUAAGAUAGUGCUUUAUUCAGUAUAGCAAAGGGAAGGAGCCUCGGUUGGUAGCUAUGGAGUUGUGUGAUCCUUCGUUGGAAGAAAAAUUGGUGCCAAACUGAGAGACUGACUGCUUUUUAUAGUAGCAUACUGUUGGUUGUUAAUUUUAAGUGUAGCAUCAGUUUUUUCAGGCAAUGAAGUUAUGCUCACGAUGUGGAGAACUUCAAGGAUAACCUGCCUGAACAGUUUCUACCUGAUUAGUGAGCUAGGCCAUUUACUAUACAAUUAGUUAUUUUGCUGCAAGUUACUCCCGUUGCUUCUAAAUACUGCACUUUUGGUUGCAUUUUGCAACUAAAAAUGAAGUACAAGAAGCGUAGUAGUUUACUUUAGUAGAAAUUAUAUAUUCCUUUACUCCACUACUGUGAACAUGUACCUGAGUAGGUAAUUGCUCCUAAAAGAAACCUAAUUACUAUAUUGGCAACCUAAUCAUGAGAUAAUUUUCAUUCUACCAUUGUACAGUGCACAUUAGUAUCAUCUAAAUCCAUAUGUCCUCGGGGGUUUCUCUUUGCUGGCAAAUUGAUUCUUGCAAUCAUAGUGAAAGGCCAACAAUAAGGCACUUUACACUGAGGAAAUCUGCUUAAGUAUUUAUUUUUGUGCUAAGAUUUCAAAAAAAGUUCCAACAUUAAUAUGUUUACUUCGAUAAAUAUUGAACUGAGGCACCCACCCAUACAUGUAUAAGCUCCCCAAAAAAUAAAACAAUAUGCAAAGAAUUGUGCAGCUUUCGGGCUAUAAGCUUUAGACAUUUUCGUAAGAAAUGCUGAAUGUUAGUAUCAAUUGAAUCAAUUUGACCUUAUAUGAAGUGCAGGUACCGGUUAAAUCUCUAGAUCUGUAAUUUAUUCAGCUGUAACUUGAUUUUCUUUUCACUUCAUUUUUUAUAAAUGCCAUGUAGUCGGUUAUAACAAUGAUAUUUUUUGGGGGGGUUGAGAGAGAAAUUGUGUGUCUGCUUUGGUACUCCCCUGCCUCCUCACCGCCGACUACAAGAGCACGCACCGGACACGGUUGUCCCCGCGGCAGCCCGUGUUCCAAUGGGAUGACCUUUGGAUGGAGAACCUCGCGGCCUCCCCCGCCUCUCUGCCACCAUCGAUGCCUCAAGGUAUGUAUGCUUUUCUAGGUGCUUGCUAGCUUCAACUUGGUGAGGACGACUACCUAUGGAGUAAAGUUGAAGGUCCCCUGCUCCUGUUGUUCUUCAGGACUUUUUUCUUUUGCUCAAACCAGCAUAAACUAUUCGGAGUUUUAGAUGGAAAAUUGGUCCUGUGCUUCCUCAUGAAAUACAAGGAAAGCUCAAUAGUUCAGAGAAAGAGUACUUCAGGAGCCACUCUUCAGCCAUUAAGUCAUAUAUCUCAGAAGUGCAUAUAGAUUCAACAGUGGUAUGUAUAUUUCCAGUUUCACUUGAUUUUGGGUGACGAACUAUUACCAGACUUUUUGUACAUUUUUUAUAGGGCAUGGUCCCCCCCAAGGAUCCUUAUAUCCAGGUUCAGGUACUGGAGCACUUUGGUGAAGUAUCUCUUGGUGACCAUUCCAUAUCGUUGACCAAAAUCUGCUCCACUUCCUUAGGCGCACAGAUGCAGAACAAUUUAUAUCACAGGUUUGCUAUCUAUUACGCUGUAUUUUCCCACUCUGAAAUUUGAAUAUUUCCAGUGCGAAUAAUAUUCUGUUUAAUUUUAAUAGGGUCUCAUGGAAGAAUUUCUGGAGUAGGGAUCACAUAUGGUGUAAAAUAGGUAUAGCUCCUCAGUCCUCACUGUGAUCUUGUUAGUUACUUAUACAGCAGUGUUAACGUAAUACAGUGACCAGUGCUGGCAGCAUGUCUUAGAUAUGUAAAGGCUUGAUGCUUAUUGAAUACUUUUUUCACUUGACACAUGACUUGUACUAUUAGCUACCAACUUUGAAAUUGUGUUGUGCAUUUUGACCUUAUUUUUUGAAUCAAUGUAUGUGAGCUGCAGAUUUUAAUUACCACCCACAACAUUUUCUUCGUUGCUACAGUCUGGUGGAAUAUGCACUCUUGAGGUUCUGAUCGAGACUUUAUGAAAAAGGAAAGAACAUAUGCUAUCUUCAGGUGGCUCUCUGUUCUUCGGCCAUUAAAUUCGUCACUGAAUAAUGAAAUCCACUUCAAUCCUAACGUUUGACCAGGGAAAAUUUAGUUAUGCAUAUUUAUGAGCACUGGUCUUAAUCUUUUUUUAGAUAAGCAAGCUCUUGACUUGAUUAAUAAUGCCCUAUGGGAAGUGGAGGCACACGAGUUGGGAUUAUCUGCAUCGCCUCCAGCAGCAUCGGAUUCACGGAAUCAAUGUAGCAGCUCUUGCGAGAGAGUUAGCUUUGGUGUUUAUUUUCAUGUUUAACUAUUUGGAUGUGUUCUUUUGAAUACUUCUGAUUGUCUGCAUAUAGUGUAUCUAAGCACUCUUCAUUUUCUUUAUUAUUAAGAUGACUAAACUUUGGAUAUUCUUUCAUACAUUUGAUAUUUAAUUGUGUAUUGUGUACUGUUAUGUUGGUAGAUCAGAAAGUGAGACUUUAAACCGUUUUGCCAUGGCCAUAUAGUUAGCUACUUGGAGUACAUUAGAUGCACAGGUCCAUGAUGUAUGACACAAGACCUCCCAAUUGACUGGGGAUGUUUAAAUAGAUAAGAGAAGAUUCAUAUGAUGUUUUCCUACACAUCUAACUAUAAAUCCUAGAAGUGAGUUUUUAGUAAUUUGCUUAUUAAAUGAUCGUGUUGUUGUUUAAUUUGGCCCGAUUUAUUUUUGUGGAACGUACAUGAUUGUCUAUAGUUUCAUUUGGCCUGAAACAAAAUAAGUUGUAUUCACUCCAAACCUGCGUAUUUGUUAACAGUUUUUUGUGUUUGUUUUGGUCGACAGUUAACCAGGAGCUGCAAGGCAAAUUUUACAGAUUUUAUUUCAAAUGCUUGUAGGUUUCAUUUUCACAGAAUUUGCUGCACACGCAACCUAACGCGGCGAGGUUGCACCUUAAGUACCAUAAGUAUUAAAGUGCAGUUUAAGCUCAGUUACUCAGAAGCUUAAUUUGUUGUAAAGGUGAUGCAGAUUGGAGGAGGUUGUCCCUAUCAACACCAGAAAUAUGCUUGUGAUUGAGGACAACGAGCCGACAGCCAGAUGGCCUGCGCUCACCACGUUACCGGAACCACCAUCUCCAUAGUCAGGACCAUCUAGAAGCACAUGGAGAACCAUAACUUCUAUACCAGUUGCUUUAUCUGAAAGCAGACUUUGGAAGAUAUAUAUUUUUUCCUGUUUGUGUCAUAUUUUUGGACAAUUGGUUGGUUAUAUUAGUGCAUAUUCAGUGCUUUACAGAGCCGCAUAUACAGGUAAUUGUUUUUUGGUCUGUCAUAGGUGAUAUGUACUGCUGCUACUCUUUUUUAUCAUUGUAAUCUAAGAGUUACUUAAUUUGUAAUCUAGGGUAGUUAGUGACUUUGCUGGGAUCAAAUGUACAUUUCUAGGAAUUGCCUGCAUGCCAUUUAAUGGCUAUUUGUUCAUGUCACAUACAUGUAGGUUUUGCUAAACAGAUGCAGGGCUCUUCAAAUAGGAAGAUUUACAAUUGUUAGUAUUGUGUGGUACCUGAUUUAGAAAAAAUGUAUAUUCACGGCCAACUCAGUUUAGUGGCUUAUUCUUAAAUUUAUGCUCAUCGCCAUACAUUUCUUUCCCCCACUUUUGUGUCUAGAUGGUCUUUAAUUAUUUUUUUGUUAUGGUGUGCAAUGAUUAAAUAAAUGUUUGUACUUAUCAUUCAGACCAGUCAUCUUUUGUUUUCACCACUUCAUAAUAUCAAAUUGAUGAAGCUGAAGCAGCCCAGUUUGUAGGAGAAGUUGGCCCAGUUUGGCCUCGACAACAUUUUUUUGACACAUUCUGGCCCCAACCACAUUCUUUUCCUCGAGUACAGCCAAUUUGUUCUCUAGAAAGAAAAAAAAACACAAUUAGCGGUACUGGCUACUGGUCGCCUGAGCUUGGACAGAGGGUGCAGAUACUCCGUGUGCAUCUGGACCAUGAUAUAUCCUUCGAUGAUUGGCCAAACUUUCAAAGUGUGCCAGUUAGGGCAUCUCCAGCCGUUGGCCCCCCCCAGGAUGCAUAAAAAUCGUCCCCUGGGGGCGAGCCGGCGAUACACUCGGCGUUGGGGGCGGUUUUGCGCCCAGUGGUCGCCCCCAGCUUGCCCCCAGGCGCCGAAAUUGUCCCACUUUGCAGCCCAAUUUCGGCGAAUAAACGGCCCAUAUGGGCGAGAAUAGGCCCAUAUUCGGUGUGGUUUCGCCAUUUCUCGGCGUUCAAUUAUCAACACAAUUAUUCCUUAUCACAUAUUUCAUCACAGAAAAAUCAAGUACUUCAACAAAAUACUACAACAACAAAUAGUUCAAUACAAAUUAUAUAGUUCAACAAAUAAAAACUCGUAUUUCAUCAUGCGGCGUCCCCCUUGAGCCUCCAUAGGUGCUCAAUCAGAUCCUUCUGCAGUUGAUGAUGUACCUGUGGUUCUCGGAUCUCCUGACGCAUACUGAGAUAGGCAGUCCAAGUUGUCGGUAGCUGGUGAUCAAUUUCGGCUAGAGGUCCCUGCCUGUAGUAUGGUUCAGUGUCAAACACUGGGUCUUCUUGCUCUCUCUCGAUGAUCAUGUUGUGCAAGAUGACACAGCAAGUCAUGAUCUCCCACAUUUGAUCUUUCGACCAGAUCUGAGCGGGGUACUGAACAACAGUGAAUCGAGAUUGGAGCACACCAAAUGCCCGCUCGACAUCCUUCCUGCAAGCCUCCUGAAGCUUCGCAAACCAGGCGUUCUUGCCUCCUGCCACAGGGUUUGAGAUCGUCUUCACAAAUGUCGACCAUCUUGGAUAGAUGUCGUCAGCUAGAUAGUACCCCUUGUUGUAUUGGUGCCCAUUGAUCUUGAAGUUCACCGGAGGAGAAUGGCCCUCAACGAGCUUGGCAAAAACAGGAGAGCACUGCAGCACGUUGAUGUCAUUAUGAGUUCCUGGCAUACGAAAGAAGGAGUGCCAAAUCCAAAGGUCCUGUAUGGCUACCGCCUCAAGCACCACACUGCAACCGCCUUUGGCGCUUUUGUACAUCCCCUGCCAACCAAAUGGGCAGUUCUUCCAUUUCCAAUGCAUGCAGUUGAUGCUUCCAAGCAUCCCAGAAAAUCCUCUUGCUGCAUUCUGGGCUAGGAUCCGAGCAGUGUCUUCCGCAUUGGGUGCUCUCAAGUAUUGUGGCCCAAACACUGCCACCACUGCCCGACAGAACUUGUAGAAACACUCUAUGCUGGUGGACUCGGCCAUGCGCCCAUAGUCAUCGAGUGAAUCACUGGGAGCUCCAUAUGCAAGCAUCCUCAUCGCUGUCGUGCACUUCUGGAUGGAGGUGAAUCCAAAAGCGCCAGUGCAAUCCAUCUUGCACUUGAAGUAGUUGUCGAACUCCCGGAUGGAAUUCACAAUCCUGAGGAAGAGCUUUCGGCUCAUCCGAUAACGGCGCCGAAAUGUUCUCUCGCCAUGAAGUGGAGCAUCGGCGAAGUAGUCGGAGUAGAGCAUGCAGUAGCCUUGCAGACGAUGACGGUUCUUUGCUUUCACCCGCCCAGGGGCCGAGCCACCUCGACGCGGCUUUUCAUUGCUCGCCAGCAGCUGGGCGAGGGCGGCGAGCACCAUCAGAUGCUCUUCUUCCUGGACGUCGGCCGCGGCUUCCUCCUCCAGCAGCGCGGCGAGCUCUUCCUCCUCAUCCGAGUCCAUCGCCGAGACAGUCAAAACGCCGAACACCUUGCGCUCGGUGGGCGUGUACCCGCCGUUAAACCACGCCUCCGUGGCCGGAAACGGCGGCCGGAAAUGCCCAGCUGCUGCGGGAGGGGCUGCCGCGACGAAGCGCUGCUAUUUUCCGGCGGGGAAUGGCUAUCUAGCGGAGAAGGCCGGCGACCGUCGCCGGGAUAUAGCUAGUGGUGGCCGAGGGCGCGGGGGGUGCGAGGCGAGUCGGGGGAAGAAAACCUUGACUUUUUCCCUGUCGGUGUGGGCCAGGCGUGCUUUUCCCUAGCGCCGGAGCCCCCAACGGCUCCCCAGCACGCCGGGUUCGGCCUGUGACCGCCGGGCGGAAAAAAGGUCUGAACCGGCGAUUUUCGGCGACCUGGGGGCGCGACUGGGCCGUUUUUUCGGCGCCGGUGCCGAAAAAGUGGCCUGGCGGGGCCUGGGGGGGGGGGCGGCUGGAGAUGCCCUUAGUGGUCCGCCGUGAUCCAAACCAACGGACACAAAAGGAAGUCACUCAUAUUCAUCGUGAUGCUCACGGUCGUGGGAGAUUUGGAAUGAGUGGAAUGCCCGGGUAUCCCGGAACAUUUACACCUUGCCAACAACGAUCUUUGCAGAGAUAAAGCGUGAGGCGGCACGUUGGGGCAUCGCUGAGGCAAAACACUUGAGAUGAUCAUACCGCGAGAGUAAUUUCUUGCAUGUUAUUGUGCCCUCGGGCAAGUGGACAACGGCCCUGAGGUCAAUGGUCCUGUUGCAAUGGUCUUCCUCAACGACAACCUCCCCUGACAAAGGAUGAAAUGAGGCCAAGCUUUGACAAUUAUUAAAAUUGGAUAUAAAAAAUGGUGCACAAUGAAGCAUGAAGUAGGUCGUGCCUUUUUUUUUGUCCGGUGCAACAUAUGGGCAUUUGUACUAGUAUAUACAAAUAUAAAUAGUAGGUAUGUGCUUGUGCAUCGUCACCGAGAGCAAAUAUUUGUUAGCACAAUAUUAUGAUACAAAUCUUGAUGCAAAAUAAAUAGAGAAAUAAAAUUAUGUUUUGAAUAUAUAAAACACAUUAUUUAUCAUUUAUUAAACUGGCAAAAUAGUAUAAGUACAUAGAUAAGCGGCGGUUGCCCGACUUUAGCAAAAUGAAGCCUUUAAGAUUUAUUUAUAACAAAUAAUUUACCGAAAAAGGGUUUCCCCCGCUUUUACAUUAUAAAGCAACCAACACUGAUCCAUAACAACUACCGGGGCGAGAAGCACAUCAAGCCCAAAAGAAAAAGAAAGAAAGCCCAAAAGAAAAAGAAAGAAAGAAACACAAAUGCCAACAAAGGCAGCUCGACAAAGCACGGAUGACCCGCCACCGCUGCGCCCUAUGGAUUCGUCCCACCACAGUUCAAGGCUUCGAACCGCCGCGUACCAAGCAACACCUCCAAGAAAAAAUGCAACGCCAACGUCGUUGUUGUCCGGACGUGUCCUAGGGUUUCCCCGGCACGCGAGAGGAGUGGGGGAUGGACACCACCGACACCCUUUAGGAAGGAAUGACGACACCCACAGGAGGCACCACGUCCAUGCCGGAUGAACCGGCAGGGAUUUCUCUCGCAUGCCAAACUCCACUGCCCAACCGAUGCGGAACCAACCAGUAACUUGCCGCCCACCAACAUGGGCCAUCGCGGUCUUGAUGCCACCCACACUGCCUCACUGAGAUCACCACCACGAGGCCGAGAGGACAGAAAGAGGAGUGCCAGGAAUCGGGAGUGGCAGCAUCGGAGCCGCGCGGGAGGAAACCACCUCCACUGCCCGUUGUGCGGGAGGCAUAUGCCUCCAGCGUCGUCGCGGUCGUCGUUCGGACGCGGCAGCAGAGGCAUAUCAGGCCACCCCUAGCCUGGCCAUGCCCAAAUCGGGCUCGCAAAGCCCCGACCGCCACGUUGCAGCAGGCCGGCGCGAGCGCUGCCACCAAUGCCGCUCCUCCGCUUCCCGGAAACCACACAUUCGACACGCCCCGCCGCCGCCGCCGCCCCUGCCUAGACCGAGAUGGGGCUCAAAGGGGCCAUAUCUGGGCCGAGCGGGCGCCGCCAUAUCGCACCGCCGAGCCACCCCACCGCGAACGACAACGCCGCCACCGAGCAGAUCACCCUAGGAUCGCGAUAUGCCACCCCGCCGUCGCAUCGGACCGCCGCCGCCUAGGUGUACCCCAUGGCUCCGCUCUGCCCCUGUGUCGGCGUGUCACCAAGAGGGGAAAGGCCAGGGGCCGCCGGUGCCGGCAGCGCCUAGGUGCACCCCACGGCUCCGCCCUGCCCCGCAUCGGCACGCCACCAAGAGGGGAAAGGCCAGGGGCGCCGGCGCCGACGCCGCUCGGGCCAGCGACGACGACGGGAAGGGAGGAACAUGGGAGGGCUCGAGGGGAGACGCAGCCGAUCACCCGCGGGGGCGACGCGGUCACGAGGGAGGGGGUCCCAUAACAAAUAAUUUGAUAAAACACAAUACAUAAAGUAGUAGUAGGAUUUCUGUUUGACACUAUAGAUAUUGAUCUUUUCUCUAAAAAUUUGGUCAAAUAUAUACAUGUUUGUUUUUCGUAAAAACUAGUAAUACAGUAAAUCUUAUACUCCAUCUGUAAAUCUUAUACAUAACAACUCGAAGGGAGUAUUAGUUGGUGUACGAGAGCCUGAGCUAACUCUAGUUCUGAGACGCUCCACAUGUCGCGGCGCUUGCUGCAAGAUAGCUACGCGACAGGUCACUCGGCAAAGAGAGAGCUGAGGAAUUGGGCCAAACUGUAAAAAACCAUUCCAGAUCUCACAUUCACAAGUCACAGCGACAGGCCGACAACGAUCCUCAUCAAUCCCCCCUUUCCCCUCCUCCCCUUCCCAGCCCUAGAAACAACCCGCGGCGCUCCACCGUGCGAGGCGACAGGCGCUCGAUCCCUCCACCCCCCUCCGUCUCCCCGGCGCUCCCCUCCCCGUGAUUUGCAAACUCGGUCCGCUGGGUCGCACCAGCCACCGCGGGCUGCUCGGCUGCUCGAACUGUUGCCGUUGAACAAGGUAAGGGCAGACGCGUUCUUUUGUUGCUCCGUUAGGUUAGCACUACAUGAUAAUGCCUGGUGUUUUGUCUGGACAGCGAAAAUUUUCAACUAGUGCUGCUCUGGCAAAAUCGAUCUGUUAAAGUUGGUGGUUUUUAGAGUGGCAAACGUUGUUGUAAUGCUGUUGAUGCAAAUUUUACCUCCCAUGGUCCUUUCAGUAUAACAAAUGUACACAAGGGCAGGGAAAAGAGCAUGCUCGUCAUUGUACAGCCAGCUCUCACCUUACCACGCCUCACACAUCUGUCAAUUUGACCUUGUUCUCGAAAAAGGACAAUCUGCAAUCCGCAAUUCAAGUUCUCCAUCUAGCUCAUUUUAGUCCCUUUUUGCGUGCAAAUGAUGUGCGAGGGUGCAGCCUGUUUCCAUUUUCUCUACUGUGCAUUGUUUUGGCAUUUCUCUGCUGGGCAUUAUUAUGACAUCUUGCAUCUCUAUAAACAUUAUCUGACUUCAUCUUUUGAAGAAGGUAGUGGUAAAAUUGUUCUUUUGUUCUUCUGGCAACCUCAUCUAGUUAAUACUAGUACAUAGUAAUGCCUACUAUUCUGGAUAAUUAAUUUCUCAACAGCAACGUUUUGAGUGGUAAUUUUUCUUGAGAGAGUGGCAAAUGUUUUGAUGGUGCUGAGUCAAUUCCCUCUUCUCGCAGGCAGAGGCAGAAGCUACCUAAACCUGUUUUAAUCUGCUGAUCAGUGGCCAUGGCUGGAUCCAGCUGGAUGAUGCUCGACCGCUUUGUCUUCCACAGGGAUGACGAGGAAGAGGGCAGUCCCUUCCUAGACGAUUCCAAGGUGCCUUUCAGGGCAAGUUUGCGCACCUCUCUUGGCAAGAAGUUUGACAUCCUCUUCCUCCCCGCCAAGCCCCCGGCCAUCUCCCGCUUCUACAUGCGGUGGCCUGACGGUACAAAGUCGGAGGAUGCCAAGGGAACCGAGCUCGUGGCCACUCACUGUGAUCUGGUUCUCUUCAGGCAAACUUCUUUUGGAAGAUUGGGCGAGGACGGUCUCUUACCGAUCAUACAAGACCACUUUAUCUGUGUAGCGUCGUGUGAGACUAAGUCAUCCCUGCAGCUCAAACGGCUCCCUUCCUGCAACAAGCCAAUGAUCUUCCCUUUUGGAGAGGAAGAGGAGAAGGCAGUGGCUGAGCAGCGUGUGUUCUUCCCGGACACCGUAGGACUCAUCCGAGGCCAUGGCGAAAGCGUUGAAGCAAAAUUUGCAGUGGCGCAACUGGCUAUGGUCAGCGAAAUACCUGGCACGCUCAAGAUGGAAGCAGAAGUUUGUGUGUUCUGCUCACUUGUAUAUGGUAAUGAUGGUGAUGGCAAAUGGGAUGUGAGGAAGAUACCUAUCGACCAUAAGGAGGAUGAGCAUAAGGCGUUAUACUAUUGGUCAACUGAUGCUGUCAUCACAUUCAACUCUUGCAUUUGUUGGAUCAACUAUUAUAGAGGCGGUAUGCUAGCUUAUGAUGUACUUGAAGAAAAGCCCAAGAUCUUAUACCUCAGAUUGCCUAUUGUUGACCGUCCUAGAAGUUCAGCUCAAGGCAAAGCAUUCUAUGAGGUGAAUCGCAGUGUGUGCCCCACGAUGCAGCUGAGCAAAAAGGGCACCAACAACUCUGUUCUCAAAUUCACUGAUGUUAUCCGCUCUGAUGGGGAGCCGUUUGGGCCACUUGGGAAAG
rnacentral:lncRNA from 1 species